CCUAAGAGACUAUUUAAGCCAUAAAUGGCCUUCUAUAGCUUGCAGACCUCAUCAAACUGCACUUGUGAGACAUGCUGAGAAGAAGGUUGCUCCAUGUGAAUUUCUUCCUAGACAUCACCAUGAAGAACUGGAUCCAACCCAUAGGAGGAUUAUAAUUUGGAAACUAUGAGAGACAAACACAUAUGAAAAAUGUCAAACUGGUUGAGAACCCAAAAACAAAUUGAAUGGGAGAACAUCGGUGGGUCAGUGACAGAGCCAGACCCUAUGAUUUCAUACAGUUAAUACGAUUACAGAUACUACCUGUAUAAAUGCUAAAGUCAGUUACACUUAUAUAGAUCCCUUCCUUCCACUCAGCUGAUCAAAUCAAACAGGAAAACUUAAGAAAGCAAAGAUGAAGAUGAAGAUUGACAUUUGGGAAAAAGGAGAGCAACAUAAGUUGUAUCACUUUCAUGUUGUUGCAGUAUUACUGGGAAAAAGCUUCUUUAUUUCUUCUAGUCUUUUCUUUUUUGUUUUUUUUUUUUUUUUUUGGUUGGGCAGUAUCACACAAAACCAGACCCAGAAUCUCUUGUGGACUGCCUCUUGAACCAGUCCUCAAGAUGCCUAGAGAGUAAAACAAUAAAUCCUUUAACAUUCCCAAGAAAGGCAAGUAAUGACACACACUACCAAAUGAGACUGUAAAGUAAAUGGACGGUUGAAAAUUAAAUAAUACAUGCAUUUUGACCAUACAAAUUUUGUAGACACACGGUUAAUUAACCAACAAUUUGCACUGUGAAUUUAACAGACCUUACAUCCAUCUUAUAACUACAAUGUUAAUUGCAAUGACUUGAUGAUAUAUCAUACUAAAUCAAGUGUCCUAUGCAGCAUAUGAAGCAAAACGGAUGCUUGGACCCAGGUCCCAGGGUCACAUAAAACCACAAAGUGAAUGGAUAUAACUCCACAAUAAAUCAACUGUCUUAUAACACUAAUUUGGGAUGAGAAAUUGAAUCAAAUCCAAAAUUCUAGUAUCAACGAGCAGGCAUCUUAAUCAAUAAUAUAGGAAUACUAAAUAAAUCUAGGUGUCUACCCAUCCCUUUUAACCUCCCUUACCUAUUCUAGCACAACCAGUUUAUACCAAGCCCUCACCAGCACCAAUGACCUCCUUUGGACAGGACAAAACAAUCUUAAUUGAUUCCACACCAUCUUAUCAUAAAUUGUGGCCAGGAUAAUGUGAAGGAUACACAUCUUAGCAAUCUGAUCUACCAAUGCUUUUAUACAACCACCUUGGUUCCCACUUCAAUGAUACCUUAUAAGUUGUUUUCCACCCAACAUCUAUUAGCCAACCAAUUUUCUCCACAUCAACAACAAUGUUCCUUUUGCAGCAAAUCAAUAAAUUGCAAUUCUCACAAGUCAGAACAAAGGGGACACUUUUAAUGAUGAUUUUAAGCCAGGAAACCUACUGCAAAUUAUUCUAGUGAUAUUCAAAUUGAACAAACAAAUAACAAGAAGUGUACAAAGUCAGAGAAGCUCCAAUGAAGCAAGUCAAAGCAUGGUAGCUAAGUGAUUAUUGAAGAAGAUAAAUUGUCUUCAAAACAUUAAGCAGUAAGAAAUGCCAAACACAGCACAAGUUAGCAAGAGUCAAUCCACACAUAAUAUCGCACAAAUGCCUUGUCAAUCUAACCUUUAAACUUCUUAUCUCUUCUUGUAGCUUUUCAUUUGCAUCUUCAAGAUCCUUAGCUUCAUUUCUCAGCUGGUUCAGUACUCGGAUGGCAUCCCCAAGUAUGGCCAAUUUGUCAGUUUUGGCAGAUUUACCAGGUUCUAAAAUGGAACUCAAGUCUAGAAACCUAAAUCGGACAAACAAGAUUUUUCCUUUGAGACACCAUCCAUCACCUUAUAGAUUGAUCAAUGGAUAGAUACACAAAAAGACAUAGAGAGCACAUAAGAAAUCUGUACAAGUAUCAAACUACAAGAAAUCAAUAAAAGAUUUGGACUACUCAAAUGGUCACAUUUCCCGAUGACAGAUAACAUACGCAAUGAUGAUGAAUCCCAUACCAUUAAAGAUUGUGUUUUUUGAAAUAAUUUUUUGAUAGGUAAGCAACUUAUCAAAAACACCAAACAGGCUAUAAACCAGUACAUGUGAUAUGUGUUAGGCACACAAAGGAAAGGAAAAGGAAGAAGAGAGGAAGACACCCUCCCUUAGUUAUACAGCAGAAGCAAUAAAUAGAAUCCAAAAUUGAUGUAUCAUCAGCAUAUUUCACAGACAAAAAAAAAUAACAAGCUUAAGAAGCAUUUCCUUCAGCUCAAAAUUGGAGGUUCCUCAUCCCAAACAUGUUCCCUAUUUCUCUCUCCAUAUGAACCACAUAACACAUGAGGGUACAAAUCUCCAAAACUUCCACCCUCCCUCCCCAGCUUCCUCCCACACCUACAAUUACCAUUCUGGCCUUUGUGAAAUGCAUCAUCUGCUCCAAAGAGCGUAAAUGAAGGUUCACAAUUCUUGCUAUACUACAAUAAACAAAGAGAUGAUUGCAAGCAUCAUAUUCUUUUUACCUUACAUAACUCCUGCAACAGAUUAAAGGCACGUAGCUGGGAAGUGAAAGACCGUUAUUUUUUUAACCUUAGACAAAAUUAAUCUGAUCUAAUAUGCCUCACCUAUUCUUGAACAAAUGCAGUUGCACAUCAGUCAAAUAAAACCAUGACAUCAAAAAAAAAAAAAAAAGGAAUCUGAUCCAACAAAACACAUGCCUGUCAUUCAAUCUUUCCCUUCGCAAUUUCUCACGGCAAGCUUUGGUUCCAGGCCUGGUGGAUGAAUCAUUGCGUCCCCUACAAAUAGUCAACAUGAAAUUAUCAUGAAAAUCUAAUUACAAAAUGAAAAAUAUGGAUCAAGUUAUUCUACCAGAAAGACUUAUAAAAUGAUAAACAAGGAACCAGCUCAUUUGAUAGUUUUCUAUCUUUUUUCAACUCAUAGUGUAAAACGGUCAUGCAAAUGAAAGCAUUCAUAAAGAAUAUCACACUUCUAUUCUAGCAAGAUUAAAAUAAAAAAAUAAAAAAUAAAAAAUAAAAUAAAAAGAUUGCUAUGAUGGAGACAACUGACAGCCACCUUUACAAGUUUACAAGGAGUAAAGGAAUGGGCUUUAAGGCCAAUCUUUAAUUUGGCAUUCUCUAGAUGACAUUGAGCUUACUUGCGAUCUUAUAUAGUUCAACAUGGACUCAGCCUAGAAGUACUUUCCAGAAAUCAGAUAAUGGGCUUCAUCAAUGGUCUUAAGUUCUUACUUUCAGUCGUUUAUGUUGUCAUUUUCCAAGAGUCUUUUAAUAUGGUCAAGUAGUCAUUCAAAGUCUCUGAUAUUUUCAAUCUUCAUUGCUACUGUGUGAGUAUUUCUAAGAAGUUAUAACUCUUUAGAGAAGUUCUAUAUAGUAUUUGAUAAAAUCAAUGAAUGAAUGAUAAAAAUUUCCAACACCAUUAGUAAUAAAUGAUACCACCAUUAGCAAGCACCUAUUAUACAUUUAUUUUUUAGAAAUUUAGAAAAAACAUUAAAAUAAAAAACCAUGAGAAGAACAACUUGAAUCAACUCAAUGACUGGACAAGUGCAACAAUGUUUAGAACAUGAGAGCUCCACAUGUUCAAAAUAUAUAUCCCAUAUAGGUAAUGCUAAAUAGCACAAUUUUCCCUUUUCUACUUUCACCAGUUACAUGGAGAAUAAGAGCUUUAAAGAACAUAUUAAGAGGACACUUAUUCCCUAAAACUUGCUCUUUUGAUUGUCUCAUUUAAAGUAAGGUAAGAACAUUGAAAAACAAAUUUGUGACACUAUCCAACAAUUCAUGGAGCAAUGUUAUAUAGAUACCAGUAUGAGCAUCAAAUUUUCCAUGAGCCCUUAGAUUCAACACCAGAAGAACCUUAGGAUUUGACUAUGAGGCAGAAUAUUUAAAAAAUGUUUUACAACGCAAGUACAUUUAGAGAAUGUUUGGCCUUCAAUGUGUUACAUCUUCUUACCCAUCUACAUCUGAGAUCACAGAAUUCAAAAACUUAACAGUGUAAAGGUUAUGGGGUUGUUAAGCAUAUAAUUACAAACUACAGUCUAGAAGUGUAAACUUCACCAACUCAUGGAUGCAACAAUCAUCAUCCUUAAACCCUCAUGCGAACCAAAUACACUUAUCCAACCAUGUUCAAUAUCAAUCCCUCAAUAUUCUAUAAAAUCCCGAAAUAUAAAUAGCAAUUCAUAUUAAUUGCAUAAUUCUCUGACCACAUACACCAUUGAAUUCAAUCCCAAAGGCAAGAAAAUAAAAAGACAACAAGGGGAAGAAACACAUUGCUACAUGAUGUUACUCAAUCCCGAUAGCAUAGUUUUCCCACAUUUAAAAAAAAAAAAAAAAAAAAAAAAAAAAAAAAAAAAAGCUCGCAUAUUAUUCAAAUCAUACAGUUCAGCAUUGAUAAGAGAUUUCAUUCCAGCAUAUUGCACAUUAGAGUUACAAAUUACCUCUUCUGUCUGCCUUCAUUUUCUUGCGACGCAGCACAAAUACGCGAAAGAUCAAUAUCGACACCAGCACUGAAAUAGAACAAGCAUACCAAUCACAUUAACACGCCGAUCUAAAGUAUCCUCAUUUCAAUUUCACGAUUAAAACAAUUUCAAACAACUUUAGGUCAAAAUGACUCGGACCGAUAUUCUAAUUAUCCGAGGUGAAGCUGAGUCGCCAAGACAACAAUUAACUAUCAAACUUAUAAAAUCAAUCACACAAUUAUGUUUCGCCAAGCCGCUGAUUGGCUGCCGAGAAAGCAAAAGAAAGGAAGAGAAAAUUUAAACAUACAGGUACCCGUCGUUUAUCCAAGAGAGAUCGUUGGAUGUGACGUCGUCUAUCAAUUUAUGAUUAAGAAAAUCCCAAGUAUCAUCGUCGAAGGAAUCCAUGGAUUUGGGAUAGGCAACAGGAAUCCAGCACCUAGUUUGGAGGGGGAGAUGGAUAUUUUGAAAGAAAAUUGCCCAGCAAAGGCCCUAAAGUGGCACCACGUGGAACACGUUUGAAUAAGUAUGACGGCGAGUUGCCGCUUCCUGUUUUGACCAACACGUGUGUCUGCACCUACUCCUUUCCCACGCGCCUCUGUCGUCGUCGAUUCGGGUCCGGUGACCCUCUCAAUUUUAAUUAACUGGAAAAUACGCGAUUUACUGAUUUGAGUGAUUUCCAUUUUUAUUUUUGAAAAAUAAAAAUUAGGAUAAAAAAUAAGUUUCGACUUUAUCUUUUUUAUUUAUUUAAAAAUAAAUAAAAUAAAAAUUUUGGAAAAGGCUUGAUGUUUUAUUUUUCAAAAUUUCUUGAGACAAUUAAAAAUUAUCUUUUGUAAAUAAAAAAGAAUAAAAUUAUAUCUUAUAUUGGGUAUAAAAGGGAUACAUAUAUUAUAAAUAUGAAAUACAUGGAAAAGUAGGUUUUUAUUCACUAAUUUAAAAAAAUAUAGAAAAAUAACCUAAAUUUUUAUUAAUCAUAUUUAUCUUUACCUAUUUAAAAAAAUUUUAAAAUACAUGUAUUUUUAUAAUUUAAAUAAUUUUUUCUUAAAAUGAUCAUUUGACAUAUUUAUAACACUAAUUAACAACUUUUUAUUGUGAGAAAUGAUUUAAGAUUAAUAAAAUAAGAAAUUCAAAAAAUUAAAACUAUAAUACUUUAAUACGAAAAAUACAGCAUAAAAUAUUAAUUUUUACUUCAUUAAAACACUUUGAUAAAAAAUAUGAAUAUCAAAAAAGAGUUGGAAAUAGAAUGAGUAAAUAUUUUUAUUUUAAAAUUUUUAAGUUUUUUUGUUUUUAAUUAUAUUUAAUUUUAAUUGUAUUUUUAAUUUUAAAAUUUUGUAAAAAAAAAUUAUUUAAUUUUAUUAAAUAAAAUGAGAAAUUGAAAAGAUUUAUAUAAUAUAUGAUAUAAAAUCAUUAUUAAUUAGAAGAUUAAAAAGAUUAUAUUUAUCACUUAUGAAUUUUGAAAAAAAAAAUCCACAAAUCUCAUAUUAUAUAAUAAAAAAUUUAUAAUAUAUUUAUCAGUCAAACACCUUUAUUAAAUUAAAAUAAUAAAUUAAUUUUAAAUAAUUUUAUUUAAAGUAAAAUGAUAUUUCAAGAAAUAACUAUUUAAAUUAUGAAAAACUACGUUUAUUUUUAAAUGGGUGGAGAUAAAACUAAUUUUUUUUAAAAAAAAUUAAAGUUAUUUUUCCUAUAUUUUAUCAAAUUAAGGAAUUAAAACCCACUUUUCCUAGUAAAUAUUAGGAUAAAGAAAUAUUUAUAGACAUCAAUUUCAUUCAUUGUUUUGAAUGAAAUUGGAUAUGGGAAAUUCGAUAACAGGCUAAAAUGAAAAUUUUAUUAAACCAGGAUUUCCAUCAGUUGUAUACAUGGAUUUCUGUGUCAAUUUAUAGUUUCGAAACAGAAUCAUUUGAUGAGAAGCGGUCAGCAGAGAGGACUUCCAGCCAAAAAAAGUUGAAACAUAAUCAAAUGACAUGAGCUUCAUUCUUAAGCUGGUCGAUCAGCUCAUCCACGGAAGAAACAAUAACUCCUGCUUUUCUCUUGGGAGGCUCAGUGACCUGAACAACCUCCAAAUCGGAUUUGAUAUCUACAUUCAAUUCCUGUGGAGUGAACUUCUUUAUUACCUUCGAUUUUGCUUUCAUAAUGUUGGGGAGUGUUGCAUACCGAGGCUGGUUCAGUCUCAAAUCAGUGCUGCAUGAGGUACAAAAUAUCAGGUCAAGUAAUGAGAUGAAACACAGAGCCAAGUUGCAUUUAUGCUAGCCUAUGGCAAAUAAUUGCAGUCAGCUUUCUGAUAAUAGCUUUGUUCAUCUGAGAAACACUUCCUAUUCAUGUGUUAUCAGCAUUUCCACAUGUUGCCUACUGCCAUUGGGCAAAAGCUUGGAUGAAAAAGAAGCAUGUUUUUGUCUUAAUUCUCUUAAGCAGAAUCAAGGAAUAGGGUUUUUGAGCAGAACUUCAUGUUACGAGUAGAUCCUUCCAUCAUUUGAGCACUAGCUAGCUAGGAAUUCUUACAAGUACAGAAUAUAAAGCUUGUAAUGACCAUGAAUGGGCUGCAAAGAACACAUGAAUAACUUCAAGAGUUCAAAACAGACAACAAAUUUUGCCCAUAGCAUAUAUUUUUAUACAGAAAAAUCAGUUGCAUACUCUUAAAUGGUCAAUUAAAGCUCAUCAACCAAAUCUGAAGCGUCACAAUUUAACAUUUGCUUAAGCCCACAUGACUUGCAUCAGGUACUCAGUCAAUAACCACAAUAAUCCCACUAGGACCUCCUCCUCUGUUCAUCAUUGAAGACCUUGGAAUUAGGGGACAUCAUUUACAUGGAAUUAGGGGAAUUAGAAGACCUUGGAAUUAGGCAAUAAGCUCAUAUGCUCUCACACUUCCCAAAGACAGUCCUCAUAGAUGGGCAAUCCUCAUCUUAAAAGCACAUCAAUCCCUAUUACAUUUGGUUUCUAACUUUAUCAUAUGCAAACAAUAUGAGACCUUUGACGCUACUGAAAUAUUAAUCUAGACAGACAUUCAUUAACUACAUUUUUCCCUGUUAUACAGAGUAGUGAAAGGUUCUAGAAAGUUUUUAAGCCAAUACACCACUGCAUACACAUCGGAAUAAAAGUUCUGCUUACAGAAACAACGCUACAAUACAUCCUAUUAAGUCCCAUACGAUAUGAAUAUUAUUAACUAUUUUCUGAUAACCCAAGAAAGAAAAGACUAGAAUAGAAUAAAUAUAUUUUAAAGCAUAUUUUCAAACUGGAAGUUAAUUAUAAUCAGUAACACAAUUAAAUAAUGAAUUUAGAGUCACAUGUUUCUAAACCAAAAAAGACAAGUUGUUUAAUUAAUAUGAAUAUAAAUUUAAAAAUAAAACUUUAAAAAUAUGAUCUAUCUAUGUUUCAAAGGUUUGUUAUAGAGAUUUCAGAGAUUUCACGCUUUCUUUUAUAAGCACAGCCAACCAAAAUACAUUAACAAACAGUUUUUCCAAGAGAGAAGACGAAUAAAAACUUCAAGAAGAAAAUUUGUUUAAGUUCAGCAUAAGAAAAUAAUUUGAGUUUAAAUCCCCAAAUCUACAUCAUUCUGUACAUCACCUAGAAUUUUUUUGAUAGGUAACCCAUUUUCCUUUUAUUUAUUUUAUUUUAUUUUAUUUCAUUGUUAAAACUUGAACUUGGAACCUCCCACAUCCAAGCUACAACCCUUUCUCACUUGAGACAAGCAUGAAGGAGUAUAUUUCACCUAUAAUCCUUAGUUAUGUUUGGUUCCUAGAAAGUACCAAGGAAAGAAAAAAAAGGGAAAAUGGUUUCUUAUGUUUGGAUGCUACAGAAAAAGAUAAGGGAAAAAAUAUUGAGGGAAAAUGCUAUAGAAAAAAGAUUUUCCUCCUGAUUUUCCUUAAAAAAUGAUGAGGAAAGUUGGCACAAUGUGCAUUCCUCACAAUUUUACUUCCCUCAAUUUUUCAAUGCACAACCAAAUAAGAGAAUUUUUUUAAAAUUUCCUCAUAUUUUUCUUUCCUUCUAAUUUCUUUCCCACAAACUUUCCAAAACCAAGCAUAGCCUUGAUUUUUUGGUCGAUGGAUCCUAAUAUUUUUUUCCAUGCAAGAAGAACCGAUGGAUUAGUCUUCUCCAUUUAUGGUUCCAAAGGUUUAGAAUUUCUUUAGCAUUUUAUUUUGCUUAAUUGAAAAGACAGAGAACAAUAAAAGUAUUUCAAGAGCUUCAUCAAAAUUUUAAACCACAAAGCUCAAUGUAAGACAUGAUGGCAUGUAAGACAGAAAACAAAAACAAAGACAGAAAAACAGUAAAUAGCAUAAGAAGAACAAAUAGAAAACAGAGUGAGACAAUUACGUGAUUACUGCUGGUAAGUCCAAACAUAAAGUUUCAAGACCACCAUCCACCUCUCUCUCCACUGUUGCCACCUCUUUCUCCUUGUCCAGCACAACCUACUAGAAAGCAGCAGCCAGGUUGAACAAUUAUUAAAGGCAAAGAAGAAUAACUUUUAAAGAGAUCAUCUAAAUGUUCUAUCAACACCAAUUGCCAAUACAUCUCAAAUUCUCUAGGGAAAGUGGGGAGAGAUACAAAAACAUAAGCUAUGUUUGGUUCCUAGAAAAUUUGAAGGAAAAUGUAAGGGAAAUAAGAUAGAAAGGAAAAGUAGAAGGAAAGACAAAGCAAAGAAAAUGCAUAGGUUUCUAACUAAUUUUAAUUAUAUUUGAUUUUAUUUCUUAUUUUUUUAUAGUAAAACAAAACAUAAGAAAAUAAUUUUCCUUAACAUUUUUUUUCCUUAAUACUUUCCAAGAGCCAAAGGUAUCAAUGGUUUUAUUGAUGCACACAACAUAAUUCUUUCAGGUAUGCCCCUUGCAGCUGGAGAACAAAAAGAAUAUAGGUACAAAAUGAUUUAAGAAAACAAAGAUUACCACCAUAGAAAAGCUAAAGUUAAGUUGAAUUCUAUUGCAUACAGAAAUCCAUGAAUCAUGACAGAAAUCCUAAUAAUAUUUUCCAUGAGGAAAAACAUCCACAUUUAUAAUACUACUGAAGAACCACAGUAACAGCAAUUUUAGGGAAAAAAGGACCACUGGCAUAUGAUGGUACCAUAAGAACAAUCUCAGCCCAAAAAACCCUUCAUAGGGGGGGCAAAUUGCUCUAACUCUUGAAAUCUACCCAAAGAAGGGAAACUACCUCUUUAAUCCAUCUUGGUUAGGUACCAGUUCCACAAGGGGCCAUGGUCCCCAGAUCCUUAUUUUUCCUUGUCCACAGUGCUUUUUACAUUCGGAGUAAUUACAAUAUCAGAAACAAGAAGAACAUAACAUCGAUUGAUGUAUUUGGAAGCAAAAAAAAAAGGUUAAAAAAGCUGUCUUAAACCUUUUGGGGUAUCUGUUAUUUUGCUUUCAUCAACUCAAUUGAUGCUUUUUUCAGCCUUUCCCUCCUUUCAUGGCCUUUGAUAUACUCUAUGCAUGCCUUGCUGAUGCUCUUACCAUUCAGCCUAAGGCCACACAACUAGCCUUUCGCAAAGACAUGACUCCAGUUUUCAGCUUUCUCAUCUUUUCAUGGCACACUCGCUAACACUGUCUUCACCCUAAGUGAUAUGAUGUGUCUCACUCAUGCAACCAGUAUUCACCCAAAGAGAUAGAUCAGAGAAAAUUUCUCUGUGUUAAGUUUCUUUAAAAGCAAACAGAGUCUUUGAGAGUUUCUUGUUAUUCCAUCUAUGACCAAAAGGGUUGAGAUUCAUGGCCCCUUGCAAUGAAUUUUCCAUUAUCAUCUUCAAAUCUGACAUUUAAAUCUUGUUUUCUUGUUUUCCUGUUUUUACUCUCAAAAUAAUCCAAAAACAGUAUUUUGGAAACCCUCAAUUACUUCAAACGAUCAAUGAGAGGCAAAUUGGAAACCAUAAUUCACAAGCGCUGGCAAAUGGAAAUGGACUCUAAAAAGAUGUUAGCUGUAAACUAAUUGCUUGUUGGCUCUGGUGGCAUCCAUCAUCAAAGAAAAAAGAUAAAUAAACUGAGACAUGGAAUUUCACUAUCCUUUUUUUCUUAUAGGUAAGCGAAGCUUGUAUGAAAGGAAUAAAGAAAAUAUAUACAACAUAUACAAAGCAACCAAAAUGGAAUUUCACCAUCCUAGCUGAAAAGUGGCGCACUGUUACCCUACUUGAUGUUGUAAUAAGCUUUUUCAUCCUAAACUAGGGGAAAAUGCCACUAGCAUGCACCUUACAAGUCUUUCUAAACAUUUCUGCAUCUCAUCAUGAGAGUUUUAUGGCAGUGAAACCCCAUCCCAUGCCUCCGUCAGUGAGGAUUCUAUAACAACAGAUUCAUAUAUAUCAUUCUCUAAUCCUUUUCUCUUGUAUGUGAAUAGAACAUAGCUCUGUUUGGAUCCAAGAAAGAAUGACAGAGGAGACCAAAACACUCAAAACACUGAACAUAACUUUAGAAAGUUCAAAGUUAUUUUCAGGAUUUGCCUUUUAUUUCUCCCAUUCUCUCUGAUAUAAAGACAAAACCUAAUACUUGUAGAAAGACACAUGGUUAAAUUUUUGUUGUCAACGCCAACAAAUCCAUGUAAGGUGAUGCUUUUCACUAAGAAGAGACUCUAAGAUUAGAUUCCCAAUGUAUAGAGUGUUUGCGCAGUAAACAAAUCAAUCACUUAUCAUUUAUAUAACAGUAGAAGUGUAUGGAGAGUGGGACUAACCUUGGAAGCAAAGGUCCCCUGAGGCCAGUUGAGCAACCCGGCAACCAUUUGCCCUGUUUGAUUGCAAUCGUCAUCAAUGGCCUAGAAAACCCAUGCCCACAUCAGAAAACAACAAUCCACCAUAAAAAGAGUCUAGGAUUUUCACGGAAUCCGCAAAUUUAUUUUUAAAUCGUUACCAAAAACCCUAAUCUCUGGGCACGAAUUCACAGACCUGUUUGCCCAGAAUAAGGAGGCCAGGCUUCUCCACAUCGACGAGAGCUUUGAGAAGCUUAGCAACUGAAAGUGGGUACAGAGUGGCGGAAGCUUCGACGUGGAUGGCCCUAUCGGCGCCCAUGGCGAGACCCGUUCUGAGCGUGUCGACGCACUGGCUGGGACCCACACUGACAGCGAUAACCUCCGACGCCAGACCCGAUUCCUUGAUCCUCAGAGCCUCUUCCAAACCUAUCUCACAAAAGGGGUUCAUCGACAUCUUGACGUUGCUGGUCUCCACGCCGCUCUGAUCGUGGGUUGGCGAUUGUUAUUGGAUGAUGAUGAAAUUACAGAUACUGAAUAACUUGAGAGUUUGGAUUUGGGUUACCUUGUCGGAUUUGACUCUGAUCUUGACAGCGUAGUCCACAACACGCUUUAUCGCCACCAUUAUCUUCAUCUCGUAUAUGGGUGGUUAUCUUCUCCGGCACAAGGGUAUUGGCAAAUGACUGAUGAUGAAGGACGAGGAUAUUCGCCCGAGCCCUACUGCACGACACCACAUCCGCUUAUAAAAUCUUUUGAUACGGAUAAGUACAAGGGAAGUGGAAAAAAAGGAUUAUUAAGAAAAAUAAAUAUAUUACCAAAAAAAUUAUUUAAAAUUUUGUUCAUGUAGAAAGAACCCGUGAAUCAGAUCGAAAAAAUUAUAUUAAAACUGCUGUAUAGCCGAAAAUUGUGUACAGAAUUUAUUUUAACAUUGUAUUAUUGAAUUUUUUAUUCAAAAAUUGCUUAACGUGAGAUAGAAAUUAAAAAAUCAUUAGUAAUUUUGUCCGAAAGUUGUUAUAUUUCAUGUGUUUUAAAAAUAGAUGUAAUUUAUUCCUAUUUGCAUUUUUAACGUACAUUUAAUUAAAUAACCCAAAAAGUUAUUGAGUUCACAUCAUCUAUGGAGUCUACCUCUCUUUGCUUUUGUUGCUUCCAAAAAUACCAUACUCCCAUAUUUUUUUGGUUCUACUCAUUUUACUUUAUUUUUUUCAUUCCAUUCAUUCCACGUGAAGUCUUCAAUCCUAAUAACAUUUACUAUAUUACAAUUAAGUUUAAUUUUUAAAAAACUUAAUUAGGGUUAAAUUUCCUUUGAGAGAACUUCAUUACAAUUAUUUGAGUUGUACGUUAAGUUUCAUUUAAAAAUAACUUAUUUAAAAAGAUGUUAAGCUUCCCCUAUUUUAUUUAUAAAGUUUAAUAUCUAUUUGAUUUUAUAUUUGAAAUCCAACUAAAACCUAAUAACGAAUUGUUGUAAAAAAACUCCAAUCAAAAUACUAACAAAAAUUAAAACAUAAAACUCUGAUAAAAAAUUGUUAAAAAAUCCAACAAAAAAACAAUCAUAAAAAACCCUAAUCAAAAACAUCAUGGAAGUUUAAAUGAAAUUGCCAAAAAAUAAAAAGUAUAGAAAACCCUAACAAAAAAACAACACCAAAACACCUGACAAAAAACAAUUACAAAUUCUAGCACAAAAACCCCCAAUUAAAAAUAUCUAUAAAGAAAAACCUAAAAAAAACCAAUUAUAAAACCUCCAACAAAAAAUAAAGAGAAAGAUGAAGAAUAUGAAAAAUUUUGAAGAAGAAAGAAACAUGAGAGAACUAUCAUUGAUCUUUAUUUGUUAAUCUUUGUUAUAUGUUUGAACUUCACUAGAAAAUGAGAGAGAGAGCAUAAACCUAAAGAGAGAAAGAGCUGAAAAUGAGAGGAGAAAUGAAUCACAAUGAGGGGAAUGACAAUUUGAGGAAAUAUAGAAGGGUUAAAUCAUUUGAACUAGGUUAACGUUUUUAUUAAAAAAAAAGAGUAAUGAAGGUCCUUGUUCUAAUUUCAAGAGUAUGUCUGUUAAUUACCAAAUGUGGCAACUCUAAAUAAAAUCCUUUGUUAUCAACUAAAACUAAAAGUCCCAUUACAUCAUAUCCAACUUUCAUUUGUUAUCAACAAAGUAAAACUAUAUACAACUAUUAUCACCAUCUCUCCUAUUUUGAUGUUAUUUUCUUAGAUGAAUUUGUAAAUCAAAAUUUACACCACCCAUAAAUUUUUUGAGCUUCCUAUUUAACACAACUUCAAUUUGUUAUACUUUGAACAUCACAAAGAUAAAGUAAUCAACAUUUUGCUUGGACAAGUUUUUCUUCUCUAAAGUUUAGAGUCCUAUUUCACUUCCCGUUUAUGGGUUGUUAGUUCAUCUAAUAUCUCACCAUCAUCCAUUCCAUGUACUGUGUUUCCGAAAUGAGUUGAUUCCACAUCCUAAAUGUCUGUGCAAAUUAAUAAGGAAUGUCGAGUUACCAAUUUUCUUAAAAGCUUAAUCUUGCAAGAUUUGGAUUCAAAAUGCAUAUCAUGCUCUCUUUAACACCCCUCCCCCCUCUCACAUGUAGCCCUAUACCCACACGUAGAGAAAUAGACUUAUAGGAAAAUUGGUAGUUUAAUAUAGUAUCAGCACUUGGUUUGGUGGGAGGUCUCCUGUUUGAGUCACCUCUCCACAAUUUACAUUUCUCCUAUUUGUUUAAUUUACAGUUCUUCCCUUAAUCUGUAAUUCUUUGGAUAUAAAUUUUCCCCCUAAUUUGUAGUUUUGUGGAUAUGAAUCUCUCUUCCAUGUUCAGGUAUGGGGCCACACAUAAGAGAGGGUGUUAAAGAGCAUGAUAUGCAUAUUAAACCCAAAUCCUAUAAGUUAAAACUUUUAGGAAAAUUGGUAGUUUAACGCUUUUAGGAAAAUUGGUAGUUCAACAUGUGUACACCCCAUUUUGGGGACUGCUAUUGCUCCCACUUCUUUUUGUCAAAUGGUGGAGCUUUUUAGGAGCACAUGUUGUAUUUGGAAAGGCUAUUAGAAAAUGGCAACAUGACUGUUAAUGGAAGUAAUGAUUUUCUAAAAAGGCAACCAUGGGAAGACACAUAACAAAGAUGUUUGGGGAGGAGGGAGAGUGUGCAUCAAGACUACUCAUGAGGGGUAAGAAACAAAAAAAAAAAAGUGUCGAAGAUAACUAAAAAAUUGGAGAAACAUAAAGGAAUAAGGAUUUUAGGGCUAUGGAUGGUGAACAAGAGUGAAUUAUGGGUGUCUAGGACAGCUAGGAAUGGUGAGAGGAGUAGGGAGCUGUAGAAGGUGAUGAGCUAGGUAAGAUGUAUUUUCGAGAAAGAAAAGAACCAAAGAAAGAAGGUGGUGAAUUAAGUGAGACACGUCUCAGAGAAGCAGAGAAAGUUGGCUUGAAGCCAAGCAAACUUUUGCUUGAGAUGAGCAUUGCCUAGUAAGAUUGUUUCGAUUCAUCGAUUAUUACUGAUCAUCAUACUUCUCUUGUCUUAUAUUCAUGUGAUUAUUUUACAUUGAUUGUGGGGUUGCUUUGGUUUGGUUAUUAUGGCUUCAUCCUCUAUUUCUUUAGUUUUAUUCAAGGAUAAAUCUAAUUGUGCUUUGAUUAGUUAUUCCAUAUUUGAAAAUCUUUGUGUAUUUUGGGUUUUUUCUCUUUAGAUAUUUUCUAGAUUAAUCCACUGACCUUUAAACCCACAAAUAAAGAAAAAUGAAAUGAGUUUUUUCAUAUUUGUUGGGUGUUUGGCCCUUGUUUAUCUUUUUUUAAAGCUUUAUUCCUUUAUAUUCUCUAUUUCUCCCCAUUUUGUACAUGGGUGUUUCAAUCAGAGUCUCUAUUUUGGCUUCCACAUUUGAGAUUUCUUUUAUGAGCGAAGACCCAAAAAUGGAGACUGGCUUCUUGUAAUUGAUAAAAUAGUUAGUCACCCAUUAGCUUAGAUGAAGCAUAGAUGUUAACCGGAUUGUGAACAUGGAUACUCUAUUUUGGGCCUAUUAGGCCUUCCAAUCCUCUCUUAGUUUCAUUAUUCUUGAGGAUAGUGUUUGGUUGUGUCUGCUACUUAUUCUGUGGCUUCGGUGGUCUGUUUGUUUAUUCUUGGCUAUUAUCAAUGCUAACAAUGGGAAAGAGACUGGUUUUGGUUAUGCUCUUACGGAUUUGAAGGUGAUCAAAGGGUCCAGUGAAGAGAAGAUUAGUAGGUCAUAUUAGGUUAAUUAAUUAAUUAGGACAUGUUUUGAGUUAUAUUAAGUAAUACAAGCUCUUAGUGGGCUUAAGUAACUUAAGCCUAGUGGGGAAUGCCAUAAAUACCCCUUAGGGGUUAGCAUUUCCAUAGGUUUUUCUAGAGAGUCAUCUUUCACCUCCAAAGAAGGAGAGUCAUAGCCUUUACCAUUUUUUCCAUCAUUAUCGAAGUGUGUCAAGAUUAAGGUUUAAGUCAUUGAGCGGAAGACUCCAGGUUUAUGAGACUUCAUACAACUUCGUUUUUCAUUUUCAUCAAAUGGAAUUAAUUUGAAAACAUUUGAAUCUGAAGUAUGGUUUUUGUUAGCAUAUUUCGAAUCCCUUUAAAGUUUAAAAAUGCAAAUUUUCCACUAUGUAUAGGAUUUAAAAUCGCUUAAGAUAGUUAAACAUGUUCCCCACUUGAUCUGAAUUGGGAAACGGAGAAAUCUGAUAUUUUCCCAUCACAAGGUAGGAUAAGAACUUGUGAUUGAUCUUUAUGGAUUGGACUAAUUAAUUAAUUGGAACCUAAUUAGGCUAAUUAAUUAAUUAAGACCUAAGCAAACUAGUUUAAGUUACACAAGCCUAGGAUGGACUUAAGUGACUUAAGCCCAUGGGAAGCUUAUAUAAACUCCUUUAGGGGUUAGGGUUUCAAACUUUUAUCAUCUAGUCUUCAAUUCCUUAAAGAGAAUAGAACUCGAGCCAACAACUCUCCUAAAGGAUUCUAUUGCUCCGUGUCAAGAUUCGAAAAAAAACUAUUUGAUGGAAGGUUGUUAUGUUUAUGAGAUUCGUUAUGUUUUUUUACACCUUUUCACUAAAUGGAAUUGAUAUAGGAAUGUUCAUAUCUCAAGUGCAACACACUUAUUCUCUUUAGAUUUAUAUUGCUUAUGGUUUUUUUUUUUUUUGUCAUGGUUUUCCGUUAAGAUUAGAUUAAGAGAGCCCUAUGUCAUAGAAUGCUUCAAAUGAGCCUCCCCGGGGGUUUGUAUAGAGCCCAUGAAGCUUCUAGAGACUCCUAUACUUAGCCAUUGGUGGGAAGAGUGUGAAAGGUUCUACAGAUGUCUAGAGAUAUUUACACAUCUCUACACUAUGGUGGAAGGCAUGAGAGGAGUCUAAGGCAUUCUAAAGAAUUAUAAAGAUCUCUUAUAUAUUCUUGUACAUAGGCUUGUACAUAGAAUUGUGUAGGAAGUUAUAGAUUAUUCUUGAGCUGUAAGGAACCCUCCAAGGUUCCAGAGAGUUCCAUUGGUGCCUAUAAAUAGGUGAAUGCCUCAUUUGGCCAAGACACUAAGCAAGUGAAUUCCAAAACACUUGUAAAGCUUCCUUUGAAUAAUAAAAGUUUCAAUUCUUCAAGAGUUGCCUAUUAUGCCUUCUAAAACUUCUAAGUCAUGAGCAUCUUAACCUAACAAGUUAAGCAUUGGGAGUAAUGCUAACUUAGCAAGAUCAAGGAUCUUGACUUGUCUAAGUGUUGCACGAUCUUAGGAAAAGAUUAAGUUUGUGACAGUUGGUUUCAAAGUGUGACUACGAAGUGAGCAUAGUAAAGGAAACAUGUCGAGCUUCAACAUGGAGGAAACUAGUGAGCAAACCCGUGGGAAAGAAACCGAGCCUACUGCAUAGGACAGGGACAUGAAGGAUAAAUCUCGUAAUGCCAUAGCCAACGUGGAGGCAAGGCUAGCCAAGGUGGAGCUAGCCAUGGCAGACACCCGGGAAGGGGUGGACUUAAUCGAGCAAGGCAUGGAAAAUGGCUUAGAGGAUCUAAAUGAGCAUAUCCAAGACCUUCAUGAGAGAGUGCUAGGCUUACAAGUUCGGCCGAUGUCAUAUGAGGAGUUCAUGUCCUUCCAAAACGAGGUCAUGAGCAUGUUUGCUAGCAUGGAGUCGAAGGUGGAGGCCUUGGCUGCACGCAUAGAGGCCCAAGACCAAGAGGUUCAACAAGAGCUAGCUAUCUACAAGACUGUCUUAUCAGCACGAGUCAUGGCCACUCAUGAGGCACUAAGGGUGGAAGUGCCCAAACCACACACGUUCAAUGGCAAGAGGGAUGCCAAGGAGUUGGACAAUUUCUUGUGGCACAUGGAGCUCUACUUUGAGGUUAUAACACUAAUAGAUGAAGCCACUAAGGUAUGUACCACAACCCUCUACCUCACCAAUAAAGCUACUCUAUGGUGGCGUCAGAGGUUUGCCAAUAUAGAAAAAGAAAUGUGCACCAUAGACACAUGGGAUGCCUUUAAGCAAAAGAUCAAAAAACAAUUAUACCUUAAUGAUGUGGCUUACCUAGCAAGGAAAAACACAAAAUGUCUUAAGCACACAGACUCGAUCCGUGAGUAUGUCAAAGAAUUCUCUACACUUAUGCUUGAGAUACCCAACAUGUCUGAGGAAAAGCUACUAUUCAACUUCAUGGACAACUUGCAAAGCUGGGCCGAGCAAGAGUUAAGGAGAAGUGGUGUCCAAGACCUAGCCACGGCCAUGGCGGUAGCGAAGUCCUUGGUGGAAUACAAAAAGGGAGACUCUUUUAAGCCCAAGCCACAGUCUAAGGGUAAUCAUGCUAAAGGUGGGGAAACAAGGGAUCAAGGAGGUACACUCCUAAGGAAUGAUCAAGCAAGACCUCUGGUGGCAAGGAUGGUAAGGGUAAGGAUAAACGGAAAUAGUUCACGCCUAAGAUCAAUUGCUUCCUAUGUGAUGGUCCACAUUGGGCGCGAGACUACCUCAAAAGAAAAGCCCUAAAUGCCAUGAUCGAGGAAAAGUAGAAGGAAGACAAUGCUCAUGUGGGAUCAUUACAACUCUUAAAUGAUAUCAAGGCUAAGUCAGUGCUUAAGACACCUCAAAGUAAAAGUCUAAUGUACAUAGAAGCCCUUGUAAAUAGGAAGGCUACCAAGGCUUUGGUGGACACUAGUGUCACUCAUAACUUUGUCUCGAAGGAUAAGACAAAGAACUUAGAGCUCCAAGCAUCUAAGGAAGGAGGUUGGCUCAAGGCAAUUAAUUAAGUUUCCAAGCCAUCACACGAAGUAGCACGCAGGGUGGCAAUGCACAUUGGCUCAUGGGAAGGAAUGGUCGACUUCACAGUGGCACCCAUGGACUACUUCAAGAUGGUACUGGGAAUGAACUUCCUAUAGAAAGACAAGGUCAUGCCACUACACUUCCUACAUUUAAUGGUUAUCCUAGAGGAUGAAAAGUCAUGCAUAGUCCUUACGGUCACCGAAGGUUCACCCAAGACCCCUAUGAUAUCGGUUAUGCAAGUAAAGAAGGGAUCAAAGAGGAAAGAGGUGACCUACCUCACCACUCUUAAGGAGGAAAAUGAUGAUGAGUUGGGGGAGCCCAUGCCUAAGGAAAUCAAGAGAGUCUUUGAUGAGUUCAAGGACGUGAUGUUGCCUAAGUUGCCUAAAAGACUCCUUCCUAGAAGAGAGAAAGAUCAUAAGAUCGAGUUAGAUGCAGGAACUAAGCCCCUUGCUAUGGGGCCAUAUAGGAUGGCACAACCCAAGCUGAAAGAGCUAAGGAAACAACUUAAGGAGUUGUUGGAUGCAGGGUUUAUCCAACCAUCCAAGACUCCCUAUGGCGCACCGAUUUUAUUUCAAAAGAACCAUGAUGGGUCCCUACAGAUGUGCAUCGAUUACCAAGCACUCAAUAAGGUAACAAUAUAGAAUAAGUACCCCAUUCCACUCAUUGUUGAUCUAUUUGAUCAACUUGGUAAAGCAAGGUAUUUCACUAAGUUGGACUUGAGAUCAGGCUACUACCAAGUGAGGAUUGUGGAAGGAGACAAACUGAAGACUACAUGUGUGACCCGAUAUGGCUCAUAUGAGUUCUUAGUGAUGCUCUUCGAUCUCACCAAUGUACCAACAAUGUUUUGGACACUCAUGAAUAAGAUCUUCCAUCCCUAUUUAGACUAGUUUGUGGUGGUAUACUAAGAUGACAUAGUCAUCUACAAUAGCAUCUUAGAGGAGCACGUGGAGCAUUUAAGGAAGGUCUUCAAGAUCUUAAGGUAAAACGAGUUAUAUGUAAAGAAGAAGAAAUGCUCAUUUGUUAAAGAGGAUGUGAGCUUCCUAGGGCAUCGCAUCAAAGAUGGCAAGCUGAUGAUGGAUGACAACAAGAUGAAGGUCAUCUAGGAAUGGGAUCCACCUACUAAGGUACCUCAACUAAAGUCUUUCCUUGGCUUGGCUAACUAUUACCAGUGGUUCAUCAAGGGUUACUCUACAAAGACAGCUUCACUCACUAAUCUUCUUAAGAAGAACAAGGCAUGGGUGUGAGACAAAAGGUGGCAACAAGCCUUUGAAGAUCUAAAAAGUGUUGUGAUUGAGGAGCCAAUGUUGGCAUUACCCAACCACAUGAAGGUUUUUAAGAUACACACAGAUGCCUCAAACUUUGCUAUUAGGGAAGUUCUGAUAAGAUAGACAUCUAAUCGCCUUCAAGAGUUGCAAGCUAAAUGACAUAGAGAGACGCUACAUGGUACAAGAAAAUGAUAUGACUGUCAUUGUCUAUUACUUGCACACCUGAAGACACUAUCUUCUAGGGUCUCACUUCAUAGUGAAAACCGACAAUGUUGUCAUUAGUUACUUCUAAACACAGAAAAGUCCUAAGUAAGCUAGGUGGCAAGACUUUCUGGUUGAGUUUGACGAUGCGCUGGAGUAUAAGACAAAAAGUACUAAUCAUGUGAAUGACGCCCUAAGCCGUAAUGUAGAGCUAGCAUUCAUGACGAGCCAGCCCCAAUGAGACAUAAUAGAUCUUCUAAGAGAGGGGUUGCAACAUGAUCUAGUGGCUAAGAGCCUUAUUACCUUGGCCCAUGAGGGAAAAACUAAGUGUUUUUAGGUAGAGGACGACCUACUCUACACUAAGGGGAGACUACUCUACGUGCUUAAGUGGGGGAACAUAAGGUAGAACUUGAUUAAGGAGUGCCAUGACACCAAGUGGGUUGGGCACCUUGGGCAACGACGCAUAAAGAGCACUACUCGAGUCAGCUUACUACUGAUCUUAGAUACAAGAUGAAGUUGAGGCAUAUGUGAGGACUUGUCUUGUGUGCUAACAAGACAAGGUAAAACAACAACAACCUAGAGGCUUGUUGGAGCCACUACCUAUAGCAGAGCGUCCAUGGGAGAGCAUCACCAUGGACUUCAUCAUCGGGCUACCUAAGUUGGAGGGCUAUGGCUCGAUCAUAGUGGUAGUGGAUAUGUUCUCUAAGUAUGUGACCUUCAUAGUAGCCUCUACUGACUGUACUGCAAAGGAGACAGCAAGGCUAUUCUUGAAACACAUGGUCAAAUACUGGGGGUCGCCUAAUUACAUCAUCAGUGAUCGCGAUUUGCAUUUCACUAGGAAGUUUUGGACAAAGCUCUUUAAGCUUAUGGGUUUGAAGCUUCACUUCUUCACAAGCUUUUCACCCGUAAACAGAUAGGCAGAUUGAGAGGGUGAACGCCUUAUUAGAGUUAUACUUAUCCUUCAUGAGUGUCAACCAAAAGGAAUGGACUAAGUUGCUAGAUGUAAUCCAAUUUUCAUACAACUUGCAAAGAAGUGAGACAACCAACAAGAGCCCGUUCAAGCUAGCCAUAGGGCAGCAACCAUUGACUCCUCACACACUACCAAUAGGCUAUACGAAGAGAAGUUCAGCGGCUUUGAAGUUCACUAAGGGGUGACACGAGCCAACUGACAUAAUAGCUCAUACUUGGAUAGGGCCGCUAGAAAGAUGAAGAAGUGGGCUGACAAAAAGCGACAUCACACUGAGUACAAGGUCGGAGACAUGGUCUUUGUCAAGCUCCUUCCUAAAAAAUUCAAGUCACUAAGGCCGGUACAUAAAGGCCUUAUGAUGAGGUAUAAAGGACAUUUCCCCAUACUUGGAAAGGUCGGCAAGGUGUCCUAUAGAGUUGAGUUACCACCGAGGUUGAAGAUUCAUAUCGUCUUCCACGUAAGUUACAUAAAAUCAUAUCACGAAGACAAGAAUUAUCCAAGCCAAGGGAUGUCCUAGAUGACACCUACAUCGAUUAUGACCUUCUAUGACAAGGAAGUAGAACACAUCAUUGCAGGCUGAGUCAUCAAGAGAUGAGGCGUGCCUCCUGCUACGGAGUACUUGGUGAAAUGGAAGGGACUACCAGAGAACGAGACUAGCUGGGAGCCAAUAGAUGCACUAUGGCAAUUUCAGGAGCACAUUAAGUGGUUCUAGGUGGAAGGUGCGACAAGGACGUUUACGGUUUAGGUAGGGGAGAGUGUCAUAGAAUGCUUCAAAUGAGCCUCCCCAGGGGUUUAUAUAGAGCCUAAGAAGCUUUUGGAGACUCCUACACUUAGUCAUUGGUGGGAAAAUGGUGGAAGGUUCUAAAGAUGUCUAAAGAUAUCCACACAUCUCUACACUAUGGUGGAAGGUAUGAGAGAAGUCCAAGGCUUUCUAGAAAAUUCUAGAGAUCUCUUGUAUAUUCUUGUACAUAGGCUUGUACAUAGAAUUGUGUAGGAAGUUUUAGAUUAUUCUUGAGUUGUAAGGAACCCUCCAAGAUUCCAAAGAGUUUCAUUGGUGCCUAUAAAUAGGUGAAGGCCUCAUUUGGCCAAGGCACCAAGCAAGUGAGUUCCAAAGCACUUGUAAAGCUUCUUUUAAGUAAUAAAAGCUUCCAUCCUUCAAGAUUUAUCUACUACGCCUUAUAAAGCUUUCAAGUUGUGAGCAUCUUAACCUAGCAAGCUGAGCAUUGGGAGCAAAACUGACUUAGCAAGAUCAAGGGUCUUGACUUGUCUAAGUGUCGCACGAGCUUAGGAAAAGACUAAGUUCAUGACACCUAGGACUAGUAGCAUGCACCCUAAGUAAUCCAAGGCUAGAAAUGAAAUGAUACAAGGAUUCCCAACACUUGACUUAAUUCCUUAGAAAUUGAAACUCAAUAAAAAACAUUAGUGUCAUUAACCUCAUUUUUUUUAUUACCAAUACUUAAUUAGGGGAAACCUUGAGCUAACAACCUCCUCAUUUUUUAUGAUGAUAAAACUGUACCAUCUAAAGAAAGCUUUCCUUAAUGUAUGCAUAUUAUAAGCAAUUUAAACAUUCAUCAUAAAAGAUGGAAAACAUAAACUCAAAUGGAGACAUGGAUAUAUAGAUAUAAGAGACAUCAUAAAGGUUGCAACAUGAUCGUAUAUCCGAAAUAGCAUCCAAAAGCAUGUCAUCCAAAAAAAAAUCAACCAUAAUAACCAUGUUCAAAUUGUCCCAAAAAGGAAAAAAAUAUAUAUAUGAAACAAAAAGUAUUAAAUAGUUUACUAAAUGUUAUGCCCUAGAUACCUAAAGAUAUCUCCCCCUUAGGCAACAUCGAAACAAUGAGGGAACUAUAUGGCUCAAGGUUGAGGUGGUGGAAACAAGGAACAUAGGACAGCUAUUGAAGAAGCUAAAAUUCUUCAUAAAUGAUUGAAUUUUAUUUCACCAUGAGAAACAAUACAAAGAGGGAUUUUUUUUUUUUUUUUUUUUUUUUUAUCAAGGGGAAGACCCCUUUCUCUUUACUACUUAUCCCUUUUAAUAAAAAUUCUUCCACAUUUUUCCACUUUAUUUUGCCAACAUUCUUUCAACCCCUUUUGCACAAAAAUGCCAAAGAUAGUAUUAGGAUAACCUUUUACAACCAUUGCUAACUUUUGACACAAGUUGCUAAAAAUUGUUGAAGAUUUGCUUUUAAUGUCAGGUAGGAUAGCAGAUUGGUUCUAAUUGAAGGUCAUUUCUUGUGGAGGACCUUACUUAUAAGUGAGAUGAUUGUUCCUAUCUUCAUGGUUUUAUGUUGUAUAGUUAUAGAGACUUUUUAGAGGCUAUCAGCUUUAGAGCAAAUUUAUGUUGUUUGUUAGGGAUUAAGUAUUUUAUUCAAAUUGGGUGAAUGGUACUACCUCUUUACUUGAGAUGGCUUUGAGAUUGGGUGGUUGAAUAGUAGUACUUUGGAAUGGUCUAGUUUUUGUUCGCUUUAGCUAUCAUUUUCUUAUGCUGUGUCUAUAGACGAGUGGAGACGUCAUUUGGAAAUUGGUCAAAUUGCCCGUGAAAUUGAUCAAAUUGUCAAGUUGUCAUCCUAAAAUUGACUAAACCUAGUUUGUAAAAAUGAGAAACGACCGUCACUAGCGACUAACAUCUUCUCAAGCUAAGUAUUAAUAGAUCCAAUCUGAGCAUAAAGGGCAUCUUAAUGUUGCAGGUUCAAUGCUCAUGAAGCAUAAUAUUUUGGAUACUUGGUGUGAGACACCUCAGCAUAAGUCUAAUCCAUAAGGAUAGUCUCCUCAGGAGGUUGAGAUGUGGGCAAUUGAAUGGUGGCAUCCAUGCCCUUGGUUUGCAUCUCCUGUUGAACAUCCUCACCCCCUAAUCCUUUAUGGUCACCCUCAGUCUCUAUCUAUAGAAUCUCUGCCUCUUACUCAACCCGGUCUUCAUUCAUAGCAGGACCCUUUCUUUUUCUUUCCAAUGAUCCAUUAGGCAAUUUCUCAAACAGCAUUCGGUCUGGAUUUUACGUUAUAGGUAUCAUAGGAUGAGGCCUGAAUGUUUUUUUCUCUUCUUAUGUCCACAUUGAAUGCUUUCAGGAUUUUUGUGAUCAGUCUUCUUCCGUUGGCCACUACUUUAGAAUUGCUUUUACAACAGUUUUUCAUGUGUUGAAAGAUGAUAAGGAAACCUUAGAAUGGAUCGGAGUCAAUAGAAAAUGCUACAUAAUAGGACACCUUGUCUCUAUGUCCACCCUUAGGUAGAAAAAUAUGUUUGAUCAUGUGGUGGUGCACCCUAGAGAUAAUGCUCAAGGCAUGGGCAUGGAGCUUUGAAGUCACUGUGUCGAUGGGUAAGUUACAUAUCCUCUAGAAAGCCCUACCUAGGUUAAAACUAGACACUAUAGGCCAUCCCUUCGUCUCAAAUAAACAAAGUCCCCCACAAAGGAUCUCCAAAAUAUCACAAAGCAUAUCAAUAUUUAGUUUAAUUCAACUCCUCUAACAAAUGUGCUAAUUGGCCUUCAUAUAUUUUAGGUUCAAGUAAAAUACCUGAACAAGGUUGGGGUAUGUAGGCUCUCUUGAUGAGAUGGUAUUGGUGAGUAUUUUUUUUUCUUCAAUACAAAACUAUUACAACACUUGGUUUUUUUUUUUUCUAAAAAAAAAAGAAAAAUAAAAAUAGUUUUAUAUUAUACUUAGUUUCAAGAAAAAUAAUAAUCAAAGCAAAAUGAAAAAAAAAUUCUCAUAUUGGUUUCUCGUGAAAAAUAUAAAAGCAAAUAAAAUACAAUUAAAAUUAAUUAAAAUCUUAUGUAUUUUUAAAUUAUUAAUUUUUAUAUAAAAAAUGAAAAAUAGUAUAAUGAAUUUAGAAGAAUAUAUAAAAAUAAUGUAUUAACUUUAAAUCUUUUUUUCUUUAUAUAUAUAUUUUCCCUUCAAUUUUCUAAUACCAACACAUAAUAAGGUUAAUGUCUUCUAGCCAACCAAUUGUAAGUCAAUUUUCAUAGAGCUUUUUUUUUUUUUUUUUUUUACAUGCCACCAAGUAGUUAUAUAAGCAUUUUUGCAUGUUAUUGUUAUCCAACAUACAAUAACUAUAACAUCCAAUUAUUAUGAACAUGAACAAUAAAAUUAGAUGCAACUAACUAUUUAGUGUAUAACAAGAAGUUGGUGAAGUAAUUCAUCCUAACAUGAUUCAACAAUUUUUGUUUAUUUUUCAAGAUUAAUUAUAACAUACCCAUUCUAUUAAAGUUGUUGAGAUAUUUGAGCAAAACUAAAAAUCAACAUUAAUUCAUUUUAUACCCACAAGAGAAAUAAGAUUUGUUUUUUUGUUUGAUAAUAAAGUAGUUGUAGUUAUUAAUGAUAAUUUUGAUCCUAAUUUAAUAGGUAUCCAAAAAAAAAGGAAAAAUGCAAGUAAACCAAUUCUUAUCUAACACAAUUAUUACCACCUUAAAAUCCUGAGGGGUAGCUCAGUUGAUCAGUUCGAGUCCCUUUAGGACCAUGAAAAGCUUACCCGAUGGUUCACCUUAAGAAAAGCAAAGCAUUUAUAUAAUUCAACUGGUAGUUGAUAAGUCUUAGAAAGGGUUUUGCCAUCAUUGGCUUCUCAGUAAAGGGCAAAUUUGGGUUGUGGCUGACAAUUAUUGAAUUUGUGAAGAAAUAUGUGAAGAAAGGAAACAAAAAGAGUUGAGGACAGAAUUCUUCAAUUAAAAAAUGGUUAGCCCAUGAACCCAUUCUUCAAACAGUAAGCCAAUGAGCCAAUGAGCCAAAAAGAAAGAAGAACAGCUGGUUUCAUCUUUUUAUCUUAAUGACUUUGACAACCCAUCUUUCUUUUAAAUACUUGUGACUUUGGAAUAUAAUUAAAAUGAAACUUUGGAAUGCCCACAUCUGAUUCACGGCCUUUUUACCUGUUUUCUUGUUUAACAUUUUUUUAAAUAUUAUAACAGAUGGAAAAACAUGAUUCUAACAGGCUGGAAAAUAGUGGAAGUUGGAACACCAACCAUAACCAAACUAUACCUUCCAUCUUUCUCCAACACUCGGAAUUAUUGAUACAAGUUGGUGGUUUUAUGAUUGUUUCUAUUGAGGGGACCCCUCUCCAUUUCCAAUUUCAAUGGAAAGGUUCUUCUUUCCCUACUUUUUUUUUUUGUUUUUCAAAUUCUUGUAGUUUUGUCUGUCUCUCUCAACAAAGCAAACUGCAAUCACUAAUUCAAAGAAAAGGAAUCCUAAAUGAAAAGAAAAGAAAGGAAAGGAAUGGUAAUUUAGGCUAUGAUGAUGCUCCUAUAUAAUGGCUGUAAGUCAAUAACAACACACUGGACCCGCCUCCUAUCUCAAAAGAUCACAAACCCAAAUAUCAUAUACUUCCAAAUUUCAAUUUGGUUCCCUGUUUAUAUCACAAUCUGUCCUAUAUCCUCUUAAUACAUCUAAAAUCUCUCUAUAUCAUAAAAAUAAUGAUGGAAAAAAAAAUUAAAAAGAAAGAAGGAAAAAAUGACAAAAAAAAAAAAACCUUGGUGCUGCUAUGGGUCCAUAGGAAUUGGCAGGACUGCACUUCUGGAUCCCCUUCCAUGGCCAAAAGAAAAGAAUGAUCUUCGGAAUCUGCUGCUGCAACCUUCACUAGGGCUGAAGUCACUGACAGGCCUGUUCUGUUGCAAAAUCUCUUGAAUUGCUAAAUACAGCUGCCUGUCGUUGGAUGAGUCCAUUGAAAAAGACCUCCUGAUGGGUUGGAUUGAGAACUGAUCAUCUUUGCCUCUAGUGUCAAUGCACUCAUCACCCAUGCUUGCAACAUGAUGAAACUUCCUUGCCUUUUUAGGCACAAUUCUCUGCUCUAGCUUCCUAGGUGAUGGACUAAUUGAUGGCGCAGAUAACUCUCUGGAAUUCAGUCUUUCUGGUGGCCUAAGCAGUGAUGAAUCAGCAGAACUAUCAUUUCCCAAUUCAAUUACUACAAAAUCUUCAUCCCCUCCUAUGUAAUUAUUGGCGUAGGGGCUUGGAUCUUGGGGGGAAGAGCUAGGAGCAAUGAUUUGGUGAACAGGAAACCGGGGUGUGGUUGAAAUGCUUGUUCUGCAAAGUGGGCAAUUAGCAUUGCUUUGAAGCCACACGUCUAUGCAAUCUAUAUGAAAUAUGUGACUGCAGUUUGGUAUGAUUCUUAGCUUCUCUUCUUCUUGAAACUCAUUCAAGCAAACCGCACACUCGCAAUGGCUUCUUUCUCCAAACUCUCUGCCACCUCCUUUCCUGAACUGGAAUAUUGGGAUUGAUCUGAUGACUGACUCGUCCAGGCCUCGACUCUCGAUUGCUGGGGAGUACACCAUUAAAGGGUCUUCCGGGUGCCGACUCCUUGAGAAAGAAAAUCGUCUCAGCAGAUCAAUCCGGUGCCAAUUGAGGCAGCAUUUGAUUACAAAGAUGUAGUAGCUCACCAGCAAGAAAGCAGUGGCCAGGAUUCCUAUUACGGCAAUGGCUAUAAUGGGGAAACUGGUGUCCGAGGAAUGAGAGGGAGAAGGAAGCACUGAGCUCGCCUGGCUUUUGAUGGGAGAAAAGGCUUGUGAUCCAUGGAUGGAGGAGUCUGUGCUCACAAGAUCCAUGAGAGAGGCUAUGAAAAACAUUUAGAAAUGAGUCUAUUCGGAUCUUCAAUUCACAGAAACAUGCAAAUGCUAGAAUAAAAUCGACAGACACUCAGAUAUAGACCCUACAGUUGUAAUGCAGCAUACCAUAAAUGUGAUUGAGUGAGUGAGGCUGAAACAGCAAAUGGGUCACUUCAAGAUCUCAACAAGACAGAAAACCCAUGUUGAAUUCACCAGGAGAGUAUUGAAAAGGGAAAAAUUAAGGACAUAUAGCUGUAUUGAAAGUUGAAACAAAUGCAGAAACAUAGAGAAGAGAGAGAGAGGGAGAAAACCCAGGAGGGUUGAAUGAGAGCGCUGCUGGGGAAGACAUCAAAACGCUUCAAAUUCAAUGAGAAUCUGUUGGGGACCUCUUUAAGAGGACUGCACAAAGCCUGAGCGUAGGGUACGUGGUUGGUUGGUGAAUUUCUCGGCUUCCAAAAGAGAAAUUUGGUGAGAAAAUUUUCAAGUCUCUUGAUUAUAGUAACGUAGCGUUUAUUUUAAUUUUAUGUAACCGAAACUAAUGGGCUGGUUCAAAAAAAUAAAAAAUAAAAAAAGGAACUUUCUAGGAUAGGCCAGCAGUCCACCGUUGGUCAUGUGGUUUCUUUUGCAUGUCCACAUCUUCCAACUAGUGGAGGUCCCUGUCACAACAGUAAGAAAACACCCAAUUGAAUAAAAGUAUGAACUUUUGGCUCCCAAUAUUACUUAUGCCCUCAUUCAAUACCUCAAAUAAAGCAGAGAUUUUGUGUCCCAACUUUUAUGAUUUCAUUUCAUCUUACUUCAAAUGCUAAUGACAAAAGUCCAAGUAUAUUCUGUAAUCACCCACACCCCAAUAGUUUUGAAUCACACUUGAAAUAGUUCCCAUGCUUUCUUAAUAAUUUAGAUAAUUAUUUACAGAAAAAAAAAUUCAGAACAGGAUGAUAAUCAUUUUGUGAUAGCAUGGAAGAAACUUUACUAGCCACUUUGGCCCCAUGAAGUUGAGUACUUGAUGCCAAUUAAUGGCAGGGUGGAAAAUAGAGAAAAGGGAUCAUAGUCAAAUCUAGAGUACAAGGCAUUGAAUCUUUGUUAAUAAUUAACAAAUGGGUAAAGCAUGGGUCACAGGGUCUACAGUUUGGAUUGCAAAAACCUCAGGCUUCUAUAAAAAGCUCAUCCAUUAUCAAUCAUCAAUCUGAAAGCCAGAAAGUCCAAGGCACAUGCAACCCACGACAGGGGUAAGAUUUCUGCAUCAUGUCCCUGAGUUGCAUUCACAUCAUAUGUUUCCCUCCGGGCCGUUCCAAUUUGAAAUCUCAUGGAAAUCUUCAAGAGCAAGGCUACAGAGUUUAAGAUAAUACUAGGGGUGGGUCCUGAUGGGAAAAGAGGUAGUGUAGGAUAGUCAAUAAAGGGCAUGUGUCUCUGGUGUGAAGUCAAAUCCAGUGUACCAUCCUCAAUGGAAAAUUUAGAAAUAGAACCGACACUCUACAGACUGCCGUGUUGACAGAUUAGAGAAAGACAAACCCACUUACACUUGCCUCAAAACCCAGUCCUGCCAUUUCAAAGGCAAAAAAAAAGGGUUUCUUUUUAUAGUCAAAGGUUGAGGCCUGGCCUGGCCUAGCAAAGAAACUUCACCUACUCUUUUCUUAUUUUUCAAAUUAAGGCCAUUCAACUUUUCCUGUUUGCAGGCUUGCUGCCAUAUCUUACUCCAAAAAAGGUGAAAACCCAAAAGAAAAAGAGUGUUUGCUUCAAUGGAAAACUCAUGUUUAAUAAAUUCACCGCACGAGUUUUGUUCCAGCUUUUCCUAUGAAAGCUGUGAUGCGUUUGGUAUGAAGUUGAUUUUGUUCCUAAAAAUUUUGAUCUUGGCGUGGAAGGCAACUUUUUCCUUUUCCCCCUUUUUCUUUUUGAAAAGUUCGGCAUUAGUUACCAAAUGUCCUUUUACUUGCAUGUAGGACAGCGGAAGCAUUACACAUCGCAGCAAAAUCCCAUUUACCCGAAUUUUCCACUAACUCUUUUUAUUUUUUACCAUCAUUUUUUAAUAGAAGUGAUGCACUCUUCAAAUUACAUGAAGCUUUUAAGAAGGUAAUAACCCGUUUCAAAGCGAACUUAACCUACAGAGUAUGUUUUAAAAAUAUUUAGGUAUUUGAUAAAAUUUAAAAAAUAUUUUUUAAAAUCUUUAAAAUGAUUUGUAAUAUUGAAAAUUUAUUUAUACUUUUUUUAAUAAAAAAACAUUUUAUAGGUAAUUUUUCUAAAAUACUUUUAGAGAAAAUGUCUUCCCUUCACUAUAAAUAUUAUAUACUAUCAAAUACACUUUAAAAAUCUGUUUAACAAUAAUUUUAUAAAGUGUUUUUAAUUUUAAAAAUAUUUUUAAAAACAAAUUAAAUUUUUGAUAAAAUUUAAAAAAUCUUUUUAAAAAUUUUGAAAAAUAUCUCGUAAUAUUAAAAAAUAUAUAUAUUUAUAAUGUUUUUUAUAUAAAUACUCAAAAUUCAUUUAAUAGUGAUUUUAGGAAAUGUUUUUAAUAUUUCUAAUACUUGAAAAUUUUUUAUCAUUUAAGUAUUAAAAAUAUUAAAAACACUUUAUAAAAUCACUUUCAAAUGGACUCUUAAUGAUUUUACUAAAAACACUUUUCAUAGAAAACAUUUAUAAAAAAUAAUUAUGAAAUACACUCUAAAUUAAGUAAAAGUUGUUUUUAACAUUACCACUAUUUAUUAAUAGUGCAUUUGUUUAAAAUAUUUAUAUGAAAAAUUCAUUAGGGUGGGAUAUAAAUAUAGAAGUGUUUUUCUUUAUAUAUUUUUUAUAAUAAAAAAUGAUUUUUGAAAUUAUAAAAUUUGAAUUUAAGAAUCAUUUGAUAAUAAUUUUUGUUAAAGCACCUUUAAUACGUGGUGCUUCUAUUGAUAGCGCUUUCAUUUCUAUGAAUGGCUAUAAAUUAUAUUUGAAUAAAUUUUUUAUAAUGUAUUAUAUAAUAAAAAAAAAGUCAUUUUUAAAAAAAUUAUACAUUAAAUGAUUAUUCAAAUAGUAUUUCCUAAAUUUUAUUAAACAUUUUUUUCAAAAAAAAAAAAAAAGUUUUCAAAUACUAGAAAACGUUUUUAAUCUCUCACACGAUCACAUCCAAACAAGUCCUAAUGCUACUCCUAGAAACACUCCAAAACAAAAGUCUUCCUCUAUUAAUGUUCAUAAAAUCCACAUAUAUUCUUCCAUCGUUUUUUCAAAAUUCAAAAUCAUUUCUAAAACAUCAAAUCAUGUUCUUUGGAUUGGCUGACUUGUUUUUUGAAAAUAGAAGGCUCAUUAUUGACGUCCGUUGACUUCAUAACCCAGUCUUGAUCUCUUGAUGGAGGGCAUAAAUGUAAAUUGGACGAAACCCUAGGGUGCGCUAGAGUGUAGAGGAUGAAAGGUUGGAAAAAGGAUGAGGUGGGGGUGUAAUAAAGAGGAGGGUUGGGAGAAUGGGACAUGUGUAGGUGAAGCAUUAAAUUCAAGACUAUGCUUACCAACAACAUAUAAAUAAAUAAAUAAAUAAAUAUAGGAACAGCACAUGGGGUGAGUAGGAGACAUCAGAAGAUGUGAACAACCCCUUGUCAGUCCAAUUUGCGUCUUUUAUCUACUCUAUUAUCUAUAUCGAUUUUCGUAUUUAUUUAUUUAUUUAUUUAUUUUUACCAUUUGAUUUUGCAUGGAUGUCGAAGGGUUUAUUGGCUGCCACGUGUAGGGUUAUGGUCAAGAUCACGUGGGGUGCCUACAUGGGAGUCACGUGAGUGCAUGAGGCAGGCUUGAAUUGCAGGAGGAGCAGGAGCAGAGCAGUGGCUGUUGUCUUAAGACUUUGCUCUCUUGGUGGAACUGCAGCUUAAGCAGCAUCCACGUGUUGUCACGUGCAAUGCGAGCCAUCCACACCACCAGUUUCUUUUUAGUGAUUUUCUAAAGUCAGUUAAGGUUGCAGUCAAUACCUUCAAAUGUUGACAGAGUUAGGGAUCUUUGUUAAAUGGAUUUUAUUAAGAUAUUAGUAAGUUAAUUAAUUGAGGGUCAACAUAACAGAUGGGUCGGGUUGGGUUGAAUCUGAAUUUAAAACGAUUUAAUUUAUGUUUAAUCAAAUUUAACAUUUAACUCGAAGCACUCAACUUAAGUUUAAUUGAAUCUUAGUUUUCAAAACAUUAUUUAAAUUUGGGUCAUUUGGAUUAAAGUCAAAUGGGUUAGAUUAAUCGGGUUAUAUGGUUCAAAAUCCACUUACCUUAUUUUUUAUACAUUAAUAUUAAAAUUUAAAUAAAAAAUAUUAGAAGAAAUUUCAAACUUGGGAUUAGUUGAUUGUAGCCAUGCAUUUGGAUGUUGGUAUUCUUGUUUCUUGUCUUGUUUCCAAAUACCCUUUCAAAUCGCUUUGUUAUUCAAUAGCAUCCUCCCGAUCAUUUAAAAAUUUAAAGAGCAUUGGUAUGAUGGAGGAAUUCAGAAAUUUUAGUUGAAUAAGUAAAAUUUUUCUCUCAUAAAACCAAAUAGCCUCUAUAGCUCAGUGGUAGAGCGUCAGUCUUGUAAACUGAAGGUCUGUAGUUCGAUCCUGCAUGGAGGCAACUUUUUAUAUUUCAUGAUCCAUUAUGCUCUAGUGAUUUAGUUUUCAUUAUAAUUUUAGAUUAAAAAAUUACAUCAACAUUUGAUAAGUUGGUUAUGACUUUGAUAUAAGGAUGAAACUAUCAAUAAUAUAUAUAAAUAUUUUGACACAAAAUAUCUAAUAUAUUAAAAAAUUAAAAAAAAACUCUAAAAAACAUUAUAAAAUUAUAUAUAUAAUUUAUCAUAUUUAAUAAUAAUAUCUUCUACCCUAAUAAAAAAUAUAAAUUUUAUAAGCAUACAUUUAUUAUUACAUUGUAUUAUAUAUUAUUUUACAAGAAUAUUAUGAUAACAUGUCUAAUUUUAAAAUAUAUUUAAUAUUAAAAUUAUCAUCAAUUUUAAUUUAAAUGUAUUUAAUGAUAUCAAAUAAUAUAUAUAUAUAUAAUUUUUUAAUAUUUAUAUAUUUUUAUAUUUAAUAAAUAUAUAAAUUAUGUAAAAAAAAAAGACCUAUUAAGAAGAUUAUGUUUUUAUAUUUGGAUCAAAAUUAAGUUUUUCCGAUAAAAUAUAUGAAACUAUUGAUAAAUUAUUGAUUGAAACGUGAAAAAAAAAAUUCAAAAAAUAGAUGAGAUAUUAGUAAAAUAUCCGAAAAUAUUGAUUGAUGAAUAUAUCAUUUCAAAUUUUGCAUCAACAUCCACAUAUGUUGGAUAUAUUGGCCAAAUAUAUUUAAACCUUGUUUCCAUGAGAAGUCUUUCCUUCAACAAUUUCAAAAGGUUAAUGAGGUGGUUUCCAAGAGAUGUGUGUAGGGGUCUCCAACGGGCGGGCCGGGCCAGCGGGCUUUUUGAAAUAAGCCAAAAUGGCUUUCAAAAAAGGGAAGGGAGAGGAUUUAAACCCCUUCCUUCAUGCUUAAAUUUCAAGGUUCUAACCAAUUGAACUACAUUCCUUUAAUGUUUAUUAAUUGAGUUAGUUAUAUAUAUAUAUAAAAAUAAAGUAUAUUAUUUUUUAAAGGGGCGGGCCUACGGGCUGGGCCGGGCCGAAAGCGGGCCACGGGCCACGGGCUUUUUGGAGACCCUUGGAUGUGUGCAAUCACAUUUGGUAUUAUAGGUGACAAAGUUUGAUAAAUGAGUAAUUAUUAGGUUAACUUAUAAAAUCCGAAUUUGAUUUAAAUUGAUUCAUUUAAUAAUCCCAUUUAUUUACCCAAUUAAAACUUUAAAUUAUUUAACUUAUAUUUAAUUUAAUUAAAAUUUGUUUUUAAAUAAAUAGAUCAAUUAAAACAUAAACAUAUUUGAUUGAAACAUUAAUAAUAUAGAUUUAAAUAAGACCUAAUUCAACCUAACGAUCAAAUAGAAAUAUCUAAUUAUUAAAUAAAUUAAACAUGUUACUUGCUUAAUAAUUAUGUGACAUUUGAAUUUAUGCUUUUGAUAUAAUUAUUAUUUAUAUCAGGUUUAUAUAAUGAAAUAUCUAGACUUUGACACCAGUCAACAUUGUCCACCAAUACAGAUUGCAACUCUUAUAUGCUACAUCACAUCAUGUUGAAGGAAGAGGAUGACGUUCAUUGGCAGCAGAGCCUCCAAUCAUAAGGAGCUUGAGCAAAUUCAAUCUCAACACUGAAAUUCACUAGAAAAAAAGUUUAUUAUUGAUACUUCAUUUGUGUAAAAGCAUUAUAUUUCUUGCAUCAAUCGUAAAGCAUGACAUUCCAGUAGGUACGGAAGAGAAAAUUUGUUAUGAAUUGAAAAAUCUGUCAAGCUUAAUUUGGAGGGCCCAAAAUUGACACGUUUAAGAGCUCUAUCAUUAGCCCAAUGAUAAGAGUCCAUUUCUUGAGUUUCAAGGAAGGCCCAAGUUUAACUUAGAGGGCCCAAUCUUGGUACCUUCUAAAAGGUGCAAACUUUGGCCCAAUUAUAAAAGCUUAUCCUUGCUUCCUAAGCAUCAAUGAUAUAUUUGAUCGAAGUAUUCACAUAACUAUCACGAAAUGAAAUGAAAUGAAAAUGUAUAAGUAAAUGAUGAUUUUGAGUUAUUUACUGACAAUAAAGAAUUAGGUGGUGUUUGUUUUUUUUUUUUUGGCUUUUUACUAAAAGCAAUUUGUUUUCAGAAUUUAGGUUAUUUAUUUUUCUAUUUUUUCAUGACUUAUUAUAAACUUUUUACUAAAUAAGAAAAUCCAAAAUAUAUAGUUUUUUCUAAAUAGAAAAAAUAACAUAUUGGUUUUCUUUUUUUUUUACUUUUUAAUAUUUAAUAGAAAUAAAAUAUUAUAAAAACAAACAACCUAAUAUUUAACACUAUUAAGUAUUAAGGUUUUAUUUAGAAUUAAGUAAAAAAACAAACACUACCUUAAAAUGAAAAGUAUGUAUAAUGACCUUAUACAAAAAAAGUCUCAUUAUUUUCUUCCAAAGAACUCAUACUUUUGUUUUUCAACUAUUACUUUGUUUUUAUUUUUUAAAUAAUAUUUCAAGUUUUUUUUAAUAAUACCUUUCUCUUUAUUAGAUAAUUUUAAUGACUUUAAAAGUAUUUUAAUAUAUUAAUUUAUUAUAUAAUUUUAAUGAUUUAAAAAUAUUUAAAUGUUGAAAUAUUUAUUUUCAAGUCUAAUUUUAAUUAUUUAUUUUUUGAAGUAUUUAAAUAUAUAAUAAAUGUGGGAUUAUGUAAAUCUAGUUGUAAUUAUUUAUUUCAUUCUAUUCAUGUUUUUAGUUGAAUUUGCUCAAAAUUUACACCUCUUUAUUUAAAGAUCAUGGAUUAGUUAGGUGUCUUGAGAUUUUUUUUCUCUCAAGACACUACUUGUUACACUAGAAAAUAAUUUGUGGCUAUAUUUUUUAGGCAAAAAGAAUUAUAUGUUAAAACUUCCUUUAUUGACUAGUUUAUCAUAGGGUGUAGAGGAAAGUUUGUGAUGUCUUUUUAUGUCAACUUUGGGAGAAAAAUAUCACUUUAGCAUUUUCCUUAGAAAAUUUUCAUACAUAAUUGAUUUUGGAACUAUGGAGGAGCAUAAGUAGGGAUAGAUAAUUCGAUUUUGGAAAAAUUAUAAUAGCUUUUCAACUUGGUGUUAAUGAUAUAUUGUUUAUUUCUUAUUUUUUUUCCAUUUUAAUAUAUAAUUGGGGAUUUUAAACUUGUAGAACAAGGCUUUUUCAAUUGAAUUGACACGUACAUAUGAAAGUUCUCUUUGGUUGCUAAUCACAUUUUUUUUUCUUUUGCUUUUUGUUUUUAUCAUAAUGAAUAUUGAACUCGAAAUUCAGUUUUUAAAAUCUUAUGAUGUUUUAAAGUUUAUAAAUAUUAUUGAUUUUUAUAAAUGAUGUUAUUCAUAUCUUGGUAAAGACAAUAUUUUCAUAUCGGUCAAGAUGAUUAAUAACAUAUAAGUUCAUAAAGAAAAACCUAUUGAUUAAUGGAUAUUUAAUGAUUUUUAUUAGGAAUGUUUUUUAAUUAGUUUCAAUACUCAUCUUUUAGAGCAUACAUAUAGGGUUUUAGAUGCUACAUUGGUUUUCAGCUUGUGAUUUAAAUUAUUGAAGCAAAAAAUGAGGGUUUUGCUUUAUGGAACUAUCUAAAGGGAGGUGAAUUAGGCGGUCUUCCUUUUUAAAAUCCAAAAAUUAGAUUUUUAAUACUUAUAUUAGUUAUACAUGUGUUCAAUAAUUAAAACAAAGAACAAGUCCAUAAUUUACAUGUGAUGUGCAUGGAAAAACACCUACAAAUUCUCUCAAAUACUUUACAAAUGAAAAAAAAAUCAAGGAUCGAUCAAUCACAGAGCAACUUCACUAAAUAUGAAAACAUGACUAUACAAUUUUACUUGGAUGAGGUGCUACCUUCUCUUAAGGGUUUUUACACUAGCCAACAAUUACACUCACCUUCACUCUCACCAUGCACCUCUAUUGUGCUCCAUAGUAAACACUUUAAUGACUGUAGCAAGAUUGCGAUAAAUUACUGCGAUUAAUUUGAGAGUGUUGAUAAUGAACAAAAAAUAAUGAUAAUUAACUAGAGAGCAUAUGAUUUUGUAAAAACACCAAAAAGAGGCAUAGUUAUAAGUGAAAACUUUAAUGGAUUGGAUUGAAUAUAUAAUUGAAGUAUGAAUGAAAAAUUACCAAAACAAUGUUCAAAACCGUGCUAAUCAAAGCACAAUCACUUGAGUACUCUCAUGGGGCACUUGAAUGCUCCUUUUAAUCACCGUAAUGCUGAAAUUAAUAAUUUGUCUCAAAUUGUUUUUCCAAAACAUAAAGCAAAAUAUUAUAAAUUUAUAUAAUCAAACCCAAUUUCAUCUUAAAGCUAGCCUACUUAGUCUUAAUUCAUGUCCAAAAAUACUCAUACUUGUCAAAGAAUGAAUAUGGUAUAAACAAAUUCUUUAUUUUCAAUUAUAUUCAAUUAUUGAAAGAAUAAAUCGGUUUACAUACAUUUUGAACAAAGGUAUAUACACAUAGACUAAAUCAAGGAAAUGAGGAAAUCAAUCACAAUCAAAUCAAAAUCAAAUGAUAGGUUGAUAUCUAGGAGAAGGUUAAGUUAGAACCAACUCAUGUAUUCAAUAUUCCCCCUUAAGAUGGCAUAUGGAGAUCAUGAAUAUCAAACCUAGAAAGUAAGGGAUAUGAAAUAUCUAUACCAAGGGAUUUUAUGAAAUAUCAACCAAUUGUUGUUGUGAUUAAACAAAUUGAAUAAGAAUAAUUUCAUUUCGAAUCUUUUCAUAGAUCAAGUGACAAUCAAUUUCAACGUGUUUAUUCUGUUCAUGGAAAAUUAGAUUAAUAGCAAUGUAUAGAGUUGUAUUAUUGUCACAAUAUAGAUGCAUUGACCAAGGAUGAUGAACUCCAAAAUCUAUAAGUAAAUAUUGCAACCAAUGCAAGUAGUAAUCAUUAAAUAAUAUUUCACUUUUCUUCAUGAGUGUUAUAUCAUUGAUUGCUUUUUAGAUCUUCAAGAGAUUGAUAGGCCACCAAGUAAAAUACAAUACCCUAUAAUUGAACAUCAAGAUUAUGCACAAUAGGCAUGGAGGAAGGCAAAAGAAUUCCUUGACCUAGACGAUUUUUUAAAUAGUAUAACACUCAUGUACUUGUGAGAUAAUUGAGACUACAUUGGCUUGUCAAGAAUUUGAACAUAAUUAGCAAUAUUAAGCCCUAUCAUUAUGAGUCAAAGUAACUUCCCAAUCAAAUGCCUAUAAUAAGAAGCAUCCAACAAAGGUUCUCUAUCUAAUUUACUCAAUUCCAAAUUUUGUUUCCUAGGAGUUUUUAAAGUUACAUGUUCCAAGAAAACCAAAAUCUUUUAGUACUUCUAGAGCAUGUUUUCAAUAACUUAAAUAAAUCUCAUUCUUAAAAUAUGUCAUUUCAAUGAUGAUGAAGUACUUUAAUUUUCCAAUCUCUUAGUUAGUUUGAAAAUGCUAUAUAGGUUUUCCUUGACCACCUUAAUUCCUUUAAGAUCAUUCAUUGUAAUAAUUAUAUCAUAAAUGUAAACAAGAAUGAUUGUGAAAUAGUUAUUUGAGGCUUGAGCAAAUAAGAAGUAAUAUGUACGUCUUGGCUUGCUUGUAAACCAUAAACAUCAAUGUGAUAGAUAAUUUGGCAAACCAUCAACGUGAAGCUUGCUCAAGGCCAUAAAGGGAUUUUUUAACUUUGCAAAUCAUAUUUUUGGUUCUAGAUUUCCUACAAACUUGGUGGAAGCUGCAUGUAUACCUCUUUAUCUAAGUCUUCAUAAAGAAAAACAUCGUUGAUGUCAAGUUGGUGAAGAUGUCAAAUUCUAAUUAUACAAUAAUUAGGGGUGACAAUGUGUCUUAUCGUGUUGAGGUGAGAAAUAGUGAAAAUUUACUUAAUCCGACUAUGACCCGUUUGAUAAUCGUGUCAAAAUAACCUAACAUGAAUACAAUUAGUUUAUUUCAUGUAACAUGACCCUUUUAACAUGUUUAAUAAAUAUAUUAACUUGGAUUAUGUAUUAAUUGACAUGAAUAACUCAUUAACUUGAUUUCAACCCCUUAAACUCAUUAACACAAUUCCAACCCAAUAAACUCGUUAAUAUGAUUUAACUCAUUAAACUUGUUAAUAGGAUUAUAACCUCUUUAACCUAUUUAAAAUUUUAAAUUUAUAAAUAAUAAAAUACUUCUAGAAAGUUUAAUUUUUAAAAUUUGAACUAUAAUACAUGUAUGCACCAAUUUCAUGAAGUCCUGAAAAAUUAGCAAAAUUAUAGAAAAAUAAUAUAAACAAAAAUUUGUAUUAAAAUUAAUAAGUAUGGGCUACAAUAUUAGUCAUAGUACUGCUUAUUUCUGAAUGACUUUAUUAAAAAGCGAAGAAUACAUGUGUAGUUCUUAUGUGAUUUCUUAAACUUGUAAGGCGAUUUUAUAAAGUUUUUUUUUUCUUUGUGAAACCUCUUUUUCUAUGUGAAAUUGUUUUGCCGAUUUGAAAUCUUCAUUAAAGGAAGUUACUAUUAUUUAUAAUUGAAAUUAGAGAAUGAAAUGUGGAAUCCCCAUGAUUUAGUUGCUUAAUUCAAGGAAUUUGAUUAAUUGAUUUUGGUAACUUGUCUCAUAAAAUUUUCUAACAAGAAUAUUUAUUUUUAAUCUCUUUUAUUUCAAUUGGAAUAUUUGUUUCCUUUGUAAAUUUGUCAAUAGAAUAUUUAUUUAUUUAUUUAAUUCUCUUUUGACUACAAUGAGAAGAUUUGAUUUUGUUUGUAAGACUAAAUUUUAUAACCUUUCAAAUUUGGCCAAGUGACACCUUUUGAAUAUAUGUCACAUGUCAAAUGUGUGUGACUCAUUAGUUGUUGAACCUAAAUUUUCUUGAAUUAGAAAGCUAUACUUUUGAAGACUAAUUUAGUGAUAAUUUAAUUCAUUAAAUUUUUUUGGUGUCUACAGUAUAUUUAUAAUAUGAAAAGUAAAUUAAAAUUUUAAUUUUUUUACUUGUUUAUUAUUUUAUUUAUUAUUUAAUGAUAAAUAUUUUUAUUCUUUAUUGAAAUAUAUAAAAUUUUAAUUAAUAUUUUAAUUUUUUUAAUUUCUAUAUAUAAAAUAUAUAGAUUUAUAUGGUCUAAUUGAGUCAUUAAAAUAAAUAGGGUAAAUAACUCACACAUAAGUGAUGGAUCAUUCUAACAUGAUUAAAUUAACAAGUUAGAUGAAUUGAGUAGUCAAAUACAAACAUGAUUUGUUUAUUAAAUAAGUUAUAUGAAUUGAUACGAUUAUGACAUCAACUCAAUUAAACUUAACUCAAAUAAGCUUUGUCUUUUAUUUUAAGUUGUCUAGUUGUUCACACAAAUUUUCUCAAAAUAAAGAAAUUAUAUAUAAAAUUGUAAAUUUGAUUAUUUGAGGGGACCAUUUUCAAUACUCUUUUUUAAGUAAUCUGGUGUUUAAUUUUGAAUCAAAGGGGCUUUCAUUAACAAAUAAUAGACUGUAGUUUUCAUAUAAGAAGAAAUCUCAAGCCUUUUUUUCUUGAAGGAAUCUUUAAAUUUUCUUUGAUACUUUAAAAAAUCAAUCUUCUUUGAUUUUUUAAGAAAUCUUUGAAUUUUCUUAAAGUCUUCAAAAAAAAAAAAAAAAAAAAAACUGAGUUUAAGGAAUUUUUUUAAUAACUCUCCAAAUUUCUUUGAUAUUCCAAAGUGUCCUUUAGAAGGGGACAAAUCCUCUAUUUACAGGAUUGAGAGUUUUAUUUUAAUAUUAUCUCUUAAUUUUUAAGAAAUAACUCUCUUAUUUAUGAUAAUUACUAUUUAUUUUAUUUAUCAUAAUUAGUUGCCUAUGAUAAUUAUCAUAAUUAAUUUUUCUAGAGAUAAAUAAUUAUAUAUAUUUAAUUAAUCAUGAUAACUAUAAUAUUUAUUUAAUUUUUUAUUAAAUUAUUUUACAUAACAUAUCAAUAUAUAUUAUUAGUCAAUUAUUAACACCGAAAAUUAAUGAGUUGGCAUAAAAUUUAUCUCUCUAUAAUAGUAUCAAAGCGAGCCUUAAUAAUAACAUUGCUUAUAGUCAAUUUCACAUGCCAACUUUUUACUGGGCAUUGGCGAUUUCAAUUUUGAUAGUCCGGUUAGAAAAAGUAGGUAAAGAUUAUUUGAUGUGGUAGGUCAUUUCUUUCAUAAAGACGAUGGCGGUGAAUUCAUGAGACAGGUGAUAAAGGAGAGAUUCUUUCUUUUGGCUUUGGAAUUUUAAUGAGGUCCUCGAUCCUCAUCCAAAAUACACCUCUCCAAUUAUAAAAAUCUUAUUAAAAAAAAAAAGAUUUGACAUGUGCCUUUCGAACUGCUGGUUUUCUGUUCCAAAAAUGAGAAUGGUUUCAAGUGGAUGAAGGAAGGUGAAGAACCCUUGGUUUUGUUAAGCGAAAAGCCACAUGAUUAAAUAAACAUAAGGCGGCAAAGGCUGAAAAUUUAAAAUUAUACUAAGGAACCCACCCCACAGGGCGACUACACUUUUGGUGAAGCCACGAGAAUGAAAGAUAUCGAAGGUGACACCAAGACAUUAAGCAGCACCAAGGUUUCGAUAUAUUAUAAGAUGGGAUCUUAUGAAAGACGAUCUCUAAUCUCUCUCCAAUCUCUUCUUUAACCUUUUCUUACUUAAAUCCAUUUCCAUGGUAGGGCACAUGUCCAGCUGACCCUACCCCCUCACCUACCUAUACUGCUAUACCCUUUUGUAUAAUUUGAUAUGGAUUGGAAGCCACCCCAACAUCUUUCUAAUUGCUCGUAAAUGUUGAGGUGCCUUUCCAUUUUGAGGCUGCCCUAAUGUGUGGCUGAAGUACGUAGGAAAAAAAAAUUGUGAUACAUGCACUGACGAAUCAAAUCCCAAUGUCAAAUUAUUAGACUCACCUGGUUCUUAAAUUAUUGUGAAUGCCGCUGGCCAUGGAUAAAUGGAAUUAGUGCGUGGCUUAAUGAAAAUUUAUUUUGAAAGGGAUAUUAAUUUGAGAGAAUUUUGGCUGAUACUUGGAGUUGAACGUAAGCAUAUAUGACCUCAUUUCGGGUGUGAUAUUGUGCUUAUAACGAACCUUUCGUUCUUUCCAAUUCCAGUGGGUAUUAAAUAAUUAAAGAAUUCAUGGUUCGAAGGCGAAAGGUAGAAGACCAAAAAGGGAUUACAAAGCCAUCGGCUUGACCAUCCAGAUGCAAUGGAUACAAACUUUGGACUCUAUCGAAAGUUCUUUGGGCACGUGCCCAAGUGUCCUACCCAUAUGAUAAGUUACACGUGGCUAAUUGCGGACCGGUUGCUCGUGCUAAACAGGGUACUUUUUCUACGCAUAUAAGAUGUUUCACUAGUGGGGCUUCACCAUGCAAACUCAUGGAUGAAGACCCUGAGGCCAAGAUGAAGGAACAGAAAGAAGGCGGAGGAGAGGUUCGGUAUCGAGGCGUUCGGAGGCGGCCAUGGGGGAAGUUUGCUGCGGAGAUACGUGACUCGACUAGGCAUGGAGCGCGCGUCUGGCUCGGGACUUUCAAUUCUGCGGAGGAGGCUGCAAGAGCAUAUGACCGAGCUGCUUAUGCCAUGAGGGGUUCCUUGGCGAUUCUCAACUUCCCUAAUGAGUAUCAUACACCCGGCACGGCUAGCUCUUCAGCUUCAUCCUCAAUGCCCGAAGGUGAUCAGCAGGGAAAACAAGUCAUUGAAUUGGAGUACUUGGAUGAUAAGCUGCUAGAGGAUCUUCUCGACUCUGAAGACAAAAAGAACAAGAAAACCUGAAGUUUCUGCUGCCUCGAAUCCCCUGAAAUCUAGUGCUUCAUCGAAAAAAAAUCCCCUCGCUCCUGAUUAACAACAUUUUUAUUUUAGUCAAUGAAUGUGUUCUCGGAUCAUUAUAAGUAUUUCUGCCGAAGUCCAUUGAUUUUUGGAGACUGAAAAAUGUCAGAAAAAUUGGUGCGAACAGGUUUACUCCUUUCUAAAUUAUGCAAUUGAAGUAUUUGGAUUAGUGCGCAGUGUAAACAUCAAGGAAAGCAUGAUCCACUAUUUUAAGGAGCCUAAGUGCUUUCCCCUUUACUCUUUUAGGAUGUCUUUUCAGUGAAGAAAGUUGGGAGACCACCACUUACCCUUUUGAUUGGUAUAUAACUGCCAACUAAUAACUGGACUAACAUUUGGCCCGUCUGGCCCUACUUCUUUGACUUUGUUGUUAAUUUAUAACUUUAUGUGAAGUGGGGGCUGUUUGGGAAUGUGUGAAGCAAGGAUUUGAGCCGACUUCGCCUAAUCUGAUUCUCCAUAAGUGACUUCAUUUUAUCAUAUUGGUGUUUUUUUUCUUCUUCUUUUUAAAUGGCUGGGGAGGAGGGGAUUUGGGAGGGAUGCAAUGCCAUGGUUGCAUGCUGGAUUAUCCUUCCAAAUGAAACAUCCAUUUGGUUUCUAGUAACUAAUUGCAAACAAUUAAAGAGAAUAAAAUUUUAAGAUGAUUAAACAAUAAGUACCUAUGUCCAUGAAAAGGAGAGAAGUUCACUCAUGGGUGUUCAUGAAAGACAUCACAAAGAACCAUCAAUAUGAGAAGAAUCCUGAUACAAUUAACUUUCAUGCAUAAGAAAAGACGCUCAAAAAAGAAUAAUGCUUACAAGGAAAGAAUCUCACUACGAUCAACUGAAAAAAUAUUCCAAUUUAAUUGGAAAUCCUUACAUGGGAAGAAUAUCAAUAAAAUCAACUAAAAAAAUAUUUUAAUUUUAUAUCAAAAUAUUUGUGAUUUAACCCGUAUCAUUUCAUCAUGACUUCUUAUAAAUUUUGUUCCUUUUUAUCAACACCACCCCUUGAGUUGGAGCAUAAAUAUUUAUUAAGCUAACUUGAACAAGAUCUUGAGAAAUUUUGUCGCAGGAUUUGUUUGCACUUUUUUUUUUCAAAUAAAGUCAUAAUUAACUUUAAUAUGUUUAAUCAUUUCAUGAAAUACUAGAUUUUAAGCAAUGUUGAUAGCAUACUUAUGCCUGAAAGCUUUAUCCCAAAUCACAUGAGUACAUGAAGUGAUUGCAUCAUUAAUGGUAGUAUUAUUACUUUAUAUUCAACUUCUCCACUUGAUAGGAUGCAUGAAAGCAUUGUGCUUUCUUCUGUUUCAAGUAAUAAAGAUUAUCACCAAGAAAGGUGCAAUUAAUACCUAGUAACAGAGUACCUAGUGGUAGCAUGCACCUAUCCACUGAACUUGUACUCGACUCUAUGAGUGUACGUUACAUAGUCCUUUUUUCGAAGUCUAAAUGUCCCUUGAUAAAACCUUCUAAUAUUUGAGGUUUUGGUAACAUUCAUGUAUCAAUGAACAAAUUAAUUUACUAGCUAAACUUUAAAAUUAGGCAAUGUUUUUCAAUGGGUGAUCAAGAUCUUGGAAUUUUCAAUGUUGUUUGAAUAGCUUCCACACACAAGCAUAUUUUCUCCUAUUUAGGAAUAAUCCCUUUUUUGAAGGUGUGAUCUUUAUGCUCAAAAAAUAAAGAUACUCAAAAAUUUAAUAUUGACCUUCUCGUGAAGGAAAAGCUUUAUAACUAAUUUUUUUUGUGCAUUAUAUAUAUCCUCAAUAUAGACUUUAAAAAAAAAAGAAGUAACUCCCUCUACAAAGAGUGAAGAGUCAAUUAAACUUUUUUUUUUUUAAAAAAAAGGAACCAAUUACUCGUAAAAGUAAUGAUUAUUUUUACAUACCAAACUUGAGGAGAUUACUUAAGAUCACAAAAGUUUUUAUUAAAUUGCAAGCUAGAUGCAUUUGAAACGAUCGUUGAUGUCUUAGCAACACCUUAUGUAACUCAUCAAUCUUUAUGUAAAAAUGCAUUUUUAACACCCAUAUAAAAUAAUGAUCAAUCCUAAUUUAAUAGAAACAAAUGGUAAUACAUGAAUAUCAUUCAUAUUAAUGAGAAAAGUAAAUAUUGAUUUAUAAUCAACUUCUUAAGUUUGUGUCAAUGCCUUAAUCAUUAGUUUAACUUUGUCAUUCAAUGAUACCAUCAUUACGACAUUUAAUUAACUUAGAUUUGCGUAAAUCCCUUAAUCACUAGUCUAGCUUUAUGUCAUUCAAUGGUACCAUCAUUAUGGUAUUUAAUUGAUCUUAUACCCCCAAUUUGUAUACCCCAUGUUUUUCUUAAUUUACCAUACAUCACUUAACAAUGUUCCAUGCAUGGAUUUUGUUAAGUGCCUUAAGUUCCUUUUGCAUAGCCUUUCUCCAAAUUGGAUGAGGAUUGGCUUCAUUAAUGUCAUUAGACUCAUGAUAUAUGGAACUCAAACAAUUGUUAAGUGAUUUUGUAUAUAUAUAAAAAAAAAAUUGUAAUUAAUGUGGUAGGCAUAAAAAUCUCACAAAUGAGGAUUGAUUAAUUGUUAUAAUUGAGCAACAUGCUUGAGGCUUAGUCACAAUACUAGAACUUGAAGUCAGACAUUCUCUUCAAAUAAGGACGUAUAUACAUUAUAUUGGAUCUCCAUUAAACAAGUAAAGAACUAUUUAGUAGACAAUGAAACCUCAUUGAUCAAUGGUGGUAGAGAGACACAUGAUGACCAGACUAUUCCCCUGGAAAUGAGAAUAAAAAAUAUCAUUAGCCGCAAAAAUCUCAAAAAAAUUUAGAUAAUGGGAUAUAAAGAGUUUAUGAAUUUUACAAUCAUAACUCUUAUACUGGUUUAAGUGGUAGAGUAAUCAAGAACACAAAACGAGUUUGAUGAGUGGUUGAGAUAUGAACAAAGCAAAGAUUUCCAAAGACACCAAAAUCAGAAAUCUCAAUUUUUGGGCUAAGGAUUUCAAGAAGAAAUUUAAAAUUAACUACAUGACUAGAAAAUUUGUUCAUCAAGGAAAUAGAAGUAACGAUAUCAUAACAUCAUAAUUAAUCAAUAUUUUUAAUAACAUGCAUUUGGAACAUGAUAUACCGGCUUUCUAAUAAUCAAUGAUUUUUGGUUCAACCACACCAUUUUGUUUUGGGAUGCCAAUACAACAAGUUUAACGAANNNNNNNNNNNNNNNNNNNNNNNNNNNNNNNNNNNNNNNNNNNNNNNNNNNNNNNNNNNNNNNNNNNNNNNNNNNNNNNNNNNNNNNNNNNNNNNNNNNNAUGUAAGUGCCAAAUUAGGUAGUGUCGACAAUGAAAUGGAAAUUUUGGAAUAUAGAAACAACCUCAUUUUUAUGUUCUAAUAAGUAAACCUAUGUAGCAUAAGAAUAGUCAUUAAAAAAAAAGGUAACAAAAUGUUGAUUUCCAUCCUAUGGAUCAAUUAGGACACAACCCCAAGGUAAACUAAUUUGAAAGUUGCAACAAAAAUGGAAAGAGAUGAAAAAAUAAUAGAGGAAUUUAAGGUUGUUUCAAAAUUUCAAGACAUGCUAAGAAACACAUGAGAUUAUAGAUGAUUAGGUAACAACCUUGGUUAAGUAUAUUCAACAUAUAUAUCCCACGAGGAUAAAUAUCUUCACUAAACUUUUCCUAUUAUUCAAUCCCCUAAUACCAUACAAGUGAAAAAUUAAUGUCACGGUCAAAAAUUUUAAUAAGCUUCCAAAGAGAUAAUAAUUUUGGGGAAAAAAACAACCUAAGAAACCUAUGAAUUGAGAUAAUUUAGGAAAAAACUAAAUGUUCGUUAGCUCUAGAAGGGAAUUGAAGCUCAUCAUCAAUAAAGAUUGUUGCUAUCUCGAAUAAUAUCAAGUAAACCAUUAAGAUCGCUAUUAAUGGUAUGAUUAGCAGCACCAAUUAUCGACAAAAAAAUUAUUAAAAAUAUAAGAAAUGAGAGCUUUAAGAUUAUCUAAUUGAUUUGUAAACCUAGGUAAGUGAAUCAGUAUUACGUUUUGUUAAGGAAGCUUAGAUCCAAUUGGUAUCAUUCACCAAGUUAUUGGAUUAAAUUACACUAUCAAACUUUGGCUUUAAAUGAGAAUGAAGAAUCUAACCACAAUCCUUAUUGGGAUUAGAUAUGUUAUUGCAAUAAUGUUUACAAUCGGAUGAGUGCUAAUUUCUAUUGAAAUCAUGAAGCAAUCUCUGAUCAUUGGUCUUCUUUGUAGAAACAUGAGCAUUGAAUUUAAAAUUAAUAAUUGUUACUUGGGAUUCAACCUUCAUAAUCAUUGCCUGGGUUUCCUAAUCACUUUCAAGAAUUACUUAUAUAGUGAAGGCACUCGAAACUAAUCAAAUUUGUCCUCUUAUAAAGUUGUCAUAUUCAAGCUUCAGAAUAGCCAAUAAUUGAAAAACUUAUCAUACUCCGCAAUUUGUUGAAGAAUAUUUGGGUCUAUUGAAGGGGACAAUAUAGGGAAUAUUUGUCCCAUAUGCUCAAAAUGUUCAAUUAACAAAGUGUUCUGUAUGUUUAGGGAUUUGUUAGCUUUAAUUACACAAAACAUUAGCAGUUUUAGAGAAAAUUAAUUUUUUUUUGCAAUCUUAGGUUCCAUGAAAUUAAAAAGCCAAUAACAAGUCAAUAUGGCUUGAGACCCAGUCAUCAUAUUCAAAGUCAUCCAACUUAGAAGCAUUCAUUUUGCCACUAACAUGUGCUAAUUUCCAUUUUCUAUCUUUCAAGAGAAAAAGACUGCUCUUAACCAUGGCAAAUAAUUGAACCCAUUAAGAAGAUUGAGGAAAGUAUCAUAUGAGGGUUGUCAUUUUCCUCCAUGACAAAGAAAAAGCAACAGAGAAAAACUCAUAAUAUUAGAAAGAGAAUGAAAGAAAUUGAGUCAUAGAUACACACAGAAGAAUCCAAAAAUAAAGCAAUAAUACAACCACAAAUAUGAGAAGAAGCUCAAUUACAAAGAAAGGAACUCAAUACAAUCAACUAAAAAGCGUUCCGAAGUUCAUACGAAAAUAUUCAUAAUGUGAAGAUCAUUUCAUGAUUCCUACAAUUUCUUCCUUCUACCAGUCCACUCCAUACAAGGUUUGAUCAACAACUUCUUCAUUGAUUUUCUGGUCUCUCUCCGGUGUAUCAUAGAGCAUUUUUGACAUGUUUCUGCAAGAUACACUUGUUAACUUUAAGCGACAUAAGUGCAAAAAAAUAAGAUCAUGUUGUAUUGCCUGUGCUUCCACUCUGCCUUGUUUAGUACUAUUAUGGAGCAGUACUUCCAUAUAGAACCAGUGAUCUCCAGUUCAUUAUGUUGCCUUCUUUAAACUAACUUUAAUUAUCUAUACAUAUAAAACAAAGUGGUCCCAUCAAGGGGCUAAAUCAAGAAUCAAGUGGGGCGAACAGGAAACAGUGGCAUCAAUUUUUAAGUCCAUAAGCUUUAAUAAAAGGAAUAAAACCAAGGAUAUGAAUAUGUUAUUUUUUCAUUUGUUCAUGCACUGGAAGAUCUUUCCUCUUCAAGCAUUGAACCAGCAUCCUUCUGUGCAAGUUGCUGUCGGAACCUUCUAUAAUUGUCAGAAGUCUGUUUCUGAAAUAUACAGAUAAAACUUUUAGCAAGUCUUGACAUUGCUCAUCACUAGGACAUUGUACUAGGAUACCAAUUCAUCUAAUUAGGGUUAAGUUGGCAUCUCGUACACUAUUUUUUAUUUUUCCUUCAUCUUUUGUUCCCAUUUGCAGUGGAAGUGGCACUUAGAAUAUCUGAUCAUGAAGAAUUAGCUUUCGGUGAGAUGAUACUAGGUCAAUUGCCAUUAUCUUUUUGAGUUACUGUGCGAGCAAUCUUGAAAAUAUUUUGGGAUAAAUAGAAUUUGUGCUUAUCAUAAACAUGCUAAACAUCCAAAUCAAGUGCUUUUACUAUUGAUAUCAAAUCAGUAAUUGAUUUUAACCUUUAUGCUUAUCUUUCAGAUUCUCAAUUAUGUAUCUUGAAUAAUGAUAUUAAGCAGAAAUCAUGAAUUGAAUUGCUUUAAUUAACUGUGCCUUAUCAAGCUUGUCAGCAGUGCUAUUGCUACCGCGAAUCAAAUUCGCUGUGCUUCCCGCCUUCUCCAAAUAAGCCACAAGCCCAAUUAUAUCCGCCCUCCUCCCAUCUCCAAGGGAUCAAAAAAUAAAAUGACUUCAAUCAAUUUUCAAGUUUUCCAUCUUGAUCAGUAGACCACCCGGCAUGAAUGUUACCCUCAGUUUAGGAAUAGGAAUUCCUUUUACUAAUCAUUUGGCACUAAAAACUAUGACCCCUAGCAAUUCAUUCCCUCCAUUAGAUAUCUGGGGGCAUCUUGGCUCAGCCAAAAAUGAUAAGUCAUUGCAUUUCACAUUGCAUUCAUUUGUAUUAAUGAGCUAAUUUUUUUUCACAGAAUGUGAUGUGAAUCGAAUUACUUCCAACCAUGUGUCUCUAUAAGGGUUUAACAAAUGUAAUUUGCAUUGUCUGUACACUUUUUUUUCGGUUUCUUUUCUUUUUUAUGCAUGAUUCAUUAGUCCACGGAUCUUCUAUGCAAAGUGUGCAGGCCAAACACCUCCUUCAAUGCAUUAUUCUAGAAGUUAAGACUCAGUUUACUCCUUAAUUGAUCUGUUCCAUUUACUUCAAAUCAUUUGAUUACAUUAAAUGAAUCUUGAAAUUCAAAAAUGCAUCAAAGUUAAAAGACCUUCCAAUGCAUUAAGAAAUCAUCUGAUACAAAUAUAUGUGAACCUGCAACAACAAUAAUGUCAAAAUGGAAAACUUAGGUAGAAAAUAUUAGAACGGAAACUUACGACGAACUCAAUUUUUGGCGCCUUUCUUCUUCUCAUCUUCUGAUCCAAGAAGCUCUUCCAACACCGUGUCAUCCAAACACUCGAACUCAAUGACUUGCUUUUCUUGCCCAGAAGAGGAACCUCCCAUCUCUAAACUCCUACAAGGCCCAGAAGAUGACGAGGAAGACGAUGAGGAUGGUGAUGGUGGGGGGCGAUGGGAGCCCAUGAUUUCAGAAUAGUACUCAUUAGGAAAGUUAAGAAUGGCAAGAUGACCCCUUAAGUUAAAGGCCGCUCGAUCAUAGGCGCGAGCUGCAUCCUCCGCCCUGUCAAAUGUGCCUAGCCAUAGACGAGCACCUUGCCUAGACGGAUCCCUAAUCUCGGCUGCAAACUUCCCCCAUGGCCUCCUCCUCACCCCUCGGUAUCGAACUUCUUCCUUUUCCUUCCCUUCCUGCUCCUGCUUCUCAUUCCCUUUCGAAUGAUCUUCCAUGCUAAACGUGUCGAUUUGCUAGGCGCAAUUUUUUUGGUUUCAAAUGUGCUGGUUUACGAGAGGCAUGGAUGCUUAUGUAUAUAUAUGGUUGCCACAGUCAGGUCUGACGUCACCGCUCAAUGUAUGUUCCACAGCGUGGGUUGACGAGCUUUCUGAGGGGGUUUCCUCGAAUUCAAAGCAAGUAUAAAAAUUCGAUUCUCCGACCUUUCCAAUGAGGAUCGAACAGGCCUUUUAUUAGAACCGUAUGAUAACUCCACACUGUUUUCAAAUAGUCAAUGUGAUCUAGAUUCUUCGUUAAUUUUUUCCACCUGACUGAUUGUUUACAAUUUUAUUUUUCACCGUCCCAAAUUUAAACCAUUUACGCGAUUCCCUGGAUUGCAUUUUUCUUUAAUGUUGACUUUACGAGGCAAUAGGACCCCCCAGCAACCCCACUAGGGCGACUUCAUGGGAACCAGAUUACUUUUGGAUCCAGAUAUGGUCCAGAAGAAAUAAGACAAAUCAAUUAAUGUCCACUAAAGUUUUGAUGGAACCCUUAGUCCGUGUUUCCUGUGGAUGUAUGUAUUGUAUGCACCUCAAUUUUCACCAAUCCCUGCUACGAGUCCCUUUAAUUUUGACGUUAUAAAUGUUUUUCCUGACAUUAGCAGAGUGUUUUUCUGCCGUCUUUGAGGACCUUCCACGGCCCAUAAACUAAUAAGGAUCGUCCAGUGAAUUUAGUCUUCCCCAGUUAAUUAUCCUGCGAGGGAAACUUGGGCAGUAAGUUGCCUACAUGAGUGGCUCCCGCCUACAUGAGUCAAGGGACCAUACGUCAGGACGACAACCAGUGUGGUCACACCAAAGUGGGUUGCCUGGACUCCAGGGUGGUCGCUUCAAAGUUGUCAAAUGAAGGCUAGCUUGGCAAGUUUUGGAAAACAAUUAUUGAAAAACAUUUUUCAUGAAUAACAGUUUCUAUGAACAGAUUUUAAGAAAGUUUAUUUUGUGAUUUUUAGGAAUAUUUUUAAUUUAAAUUUUUAUAUUUUUAAUUUUUUAUUAAUUUAUUGAUUAUUUAAUAUUAGCUUAAUUAAUGGAUUUUUCUUGGUCCCAAAUUAUUAAUUUAUCAAGAUUUAAUCGCAUCCAUAAUUAGUCUAAUUUCUUUUGGAGUGAGUGUGACAAAGUGCAAAUUUCUAGAGUUUUAUUAAUGUUAUUCAAUGUCAUAAUUUAACUAAUUAUAUUAAUUAUUUAUUAAUCAAAAUAAAUCAUUCACUUGAAAUAUGAUAAUUUAAAUUAAAAGUUUCAAUUAUUUAUUAAUUAGCAAAGUAUGAACUUUUCUUCUUGUUUUAUUAUUGUUAUUCCAUGUAUAUAAUUUAAUUAACUGUUUCCAAUAUUAAUCAAUAAAAAUAGAAUAUAAGCAUGAGAAGAAUUAGUAAAAUUCAUUGAUUUGGAAUUAGAUAGCUAGAGGAAGAACUUCAUCAUCUUCCCAUUACUUAAAUUUGUAUAAAUUCUAAAUAUUUAAACCCCCCCCCCCCCCCCCCCCCCCAAAAAAAAAAAAAAUGGUAAAGAAAGACUCCCCAAGCUUUCUUGGUUGGUGUUACCCUAAAAUUUGUACAAUAAGAUGAACCAUUUGGCUUAAAGCUUGGUGCGAAACCCCUUAUCAAUUGAAAAUAUCAAUGAAGUUGUUGAAUGGUUUUAGAGGACUAUUCUUAUGCAGAGUGGCAUAAGAAGCGAGGAGAUGAAGAGCGGAGAGACGUUAACAUCGGAUGCUGCUACGAAGGUGGGAAUACGGUUAAUUAAUUAGAUUUUGUGAUGGCUUUGAGUUUGAAGGAGUUAGUUUAAUGGGUAUUAUUAGUGAACUGAUAAUUGGAUUUGAUGUAAAGAAGGUUGGUCCAUUGGAUUAGCAAUUGGUUUGGCCUUUUGGGGGCCCCAUUUCCAAAUGCAUUGCCUUUUACAAGCAUUCAACAUCGCUGGACGUAACCAGGCUUGGUUCACCUAAAAGUAUCGCAUGGAUUGAAUUGACUAAGUUUUCAUUGUAGACUAGCCUUGAUUUUCCCUUGACCUGCCCACCAAAUCCUGAUGCCCACGCGAGGGAAUACCUCAAUUUUCUAAUAAUUUAUGCAGUUUCUCUUCAAAGCUCGUGUGAUCACUUGGGUCGGUAAAAUAAUGCAUUCCUCUACUUUUUCUCCCUUCCUAGAUGCAUGUUAUACCAUUAAUUCAAAUGUGAACAUGGGCUUGGCUUUGAAACUUGGUUCAAGGCCCAACAUGUUGACCCACAAUUGAGGUGUAAUUGAAUUUGUACACUUUUCGACUUUGAUACCAUUUGUCAUUACCAUUGACAUUGGGUCAUUGUUGAUUUUGAGUCCACAACUUUUAAGGUUGUUAUUACAAUUUUAAAUUGCGCCCACCCAAUUUAUAUGCAUUAUCCCUUAUAAAUACCGAUAACCUCUCUUUCUUCGAUAAUAUAAAAUGUCACAUAUAUUAUAUAUCUCAAUGUUUUCUUUUACUUUUUUUUUUUUUAUCGAUCGACAUUCUCUCUCAGAUGAUAUGAGAUGUCACAUAUAUUAUAUGUUUCAAUGUUUCUUUUACUUUUUCUCUUUUUCCUCAUGAUUGACAUUGUCUUUCUCAAAUGAUAUGAGUUGUCACAUAUAUUUUAUGUCUCAAUGUUUUCUUUAACUUUUUUUCUCUCUUCUUUAAUGAUCGACGUUCCUUUUCUCAGAUGAUAUGAAAUGUCAUAUAUAUUAUAUGGCUUAAUGUUUUCUUUUACUUAUUCUUUCUUUAUUAAUAAUCGACAUUUUAAGCAAUAUGUGAAUAUAAAGCAUUAAAAUUAUCUCCAUCGUUUUUGGAUGUGGUAUAAAUACACAAUUCUUAUUUUUGUUUUAAAUAUUUCUAUUGCUAUCUAUUGAAAUUUUAUGCAUGAAGCUACCAAGUUAAUUAUACAUAUAUCUUAAGAUUUUUUUUUUUUUUUUUUAUAGGAUAUAUUGUCCAUGAAUAUUUUCUGCAAUGGUAUCUUGUUUGAUUACUAUAAGAAAUAAUAUAUAUAUAUAUAUAUAUAUAUAUAUAUAUAUAUAUAUAUAUAUAUAUAUAUAUUAUAUUUCAAUGUUUCAUAUUUGCUUAAAAUAAAAAUUAUAUUUUAUCACAAUAUUUGGUAUUAAAAAAAAUGAAAUCUCUCUCAUUUAUUAUUACAAAAAAAUUAUAAUUUAUAAUUUUCUAAAUAAGUUUUAUUUAUUUGCUAACUAUAUUCAUGAUUAAAAGAUUUAAAAUUUAUAAAUAAAAAAUAUUAUGUCAUGUCAUUAAAUAAAUAAAAAUAUAUGUAUAUAUUAAAAUUAUGUUUUAUUGUAGCUUUUAAUAUUUUUUUUUUUAUUCUUUUCUUUUUUGAACUACAAUUUUAAUUUUUUUUAAUCAAAAUUUUUUAAUUUACAAAACGAGUAACAUAAAACUUGCCUUUGAACUUUAUUGGAAUGUUAUAUACUACCAUUUGGCUUUCAAGACAUUAGAAAAGGCAUAAGUGUCCCUUUUAUUUUUCCGAAAGGCAUAUUAGACUAUAGUAGGAAGUGUUGUAUAGAGGCAACUAAAAGUUGCCUUUAACUUUAUGAAGUCAUAUACUCCUCUUUGGCUUUGAUGACAUCAACUAGCAAAUUGGAUUUUGUUUCCUUUGCAACAUUUUUCCAUCCAUUAGCCAGUUUUUUUAUACUGUUUGGUGCUUGCCAACAUGGCACACACUAUGGUUCUUAAAAAGUAUUUUUUUUUUUAAGAUACUACGAAAUAAAAUACACGAUUGAAAGAUGAGUCACAAUAAUUUUCAAAACUAAAUUUUUUAAUAUUGUUAAGAAAAUUUGACCACCAAAUGAUUGAUUUUAAAUUACAAAUACUUUUGUUAGCUAAGAAAUUUGUUGUUCUAUUUGUUUCCCUAUAAAUAUGACAACAAUCAUAAAUAUUUUCAUUUUAAGAUAAUUUUCAAAUAUCUUCCAUUAAUAAUAUAAUAGAAUUAGGAAUUUUUUUUUUAGUUAUAACAAUCUAUAAUUAUUUAAGAGUCUUCCUCAAUCUCUAGGUUUAAGAACUUAUUGUUCUUAACAACUAACAUGUCAUCUCUUAAAAUAAUACAUUCUGCAAUAAUUAUUGAAAUAUGAUAUAAUAUAUAUAUCUACUUACAACCAUUUUUGUAGUACCAUUAGAAUUUUUAAUUACCCAUUCUAAAGUAUUUUUAUUCUCUAUUCUUAAACCAUCAAAAUUUAAUUUAAAUCUUUCAUUAAUUGGAUAAAUCCAAUGAAUCUAACAAGUUAAAGGAUUAUGAAUCCGACAAAACAGUUGAUAAUAAAUUAAUAAUGCCAUUAAUAUGAUUUUAAUGUGAAACACAAUUAUCACAUUUAAUACAGUUAGUCCUUGUAUGAUUAAUGUUUUGGAAGCUAAAAUCAAUCUUUUGACUAUAAUAAGAGUUUCUACUAUUUCUAUUUUUGGAUGAUUUUAUAUUUUUCUUAUUGUUUUAGUUUAAUACAAAAAAUAAAAAUAAAAUUACAUUAGUAGAAUUUUUUUAACUUACUCAAAAACCUAUUUUAGUUGAAUGAUUUUUUUAAAAAAAAUAUAAAUAUUUUGUUAAAAGGGAUAAAAUAACCUUACCUUGUGAAAAAGACCUCUUCACCCAAGAUUACUUGUUCAUAAUCCUUUUAAGACGAAAAUGCCCCCUUCCUAAAAAAUAUUUCAUCUUAAACUUAUUUUUCUUUUUAUUGCCCUUUGUUCCAUCCUUCCGGCUUGGGAGAGAAAUUCAUUCUUCUUUUGCGAAGAAAAAUUCCUAUUGCGAUUUUUCAUUUCAAGUGGAAAAAAAAAUUCUUAUUUCAUUUUAAAGAAAUUGUACAUUUUCAAUCUUUCUCUUUGUUCCUAGUUGAGGGUUUUUUUUGUAAUUUUAUCUUAACACUACAAAUUUAAAGGUGAGAUUAAAUCUUAAUGGUUAUUAGUUAAAUCACAUAUCUAACUUUGUUUUUGUCAGGACCUAUAAUAUGAUUGGAACCACCAUCCAAACUUCAUUAGGUGGGAUACUCCCCACCCUCCCCCUCCCCCCGCGAAAUCCUUGGAUUUUAGUUUUGACUUGGAUUUCAAUUGCCCGUAUCAAUUUUUCUUUAUUUAUUAAUUUAUUAAUUUUCAACUUUAACAAAAGCCUUGAAUCAUAUUUAAAUUCAAAUAACUUAAUCCUAAUUAAGUUCUUUUUAAAUAAAAAUUAAUCAUUGAAAAGUUCAUGUGACUAUUAUAAUUGAGAAUUUAUCCCAAGUUGGGUUUUUUGCAAAUAAAAUUUUAUUAUAGGACAUCAUGAUGCAACAUAACAUAAGGUUGUUACUUAAGUUUGUUUUGACCUUGUAAUAUGUUAAAAUGAAAAUGAAGCCAUUGUAACAGGAGAGAAUGAUGAAGCUGUGGAGAGAGCUUAACAAAGCUUGGGUUGGAGAGACUUCACAGGAAGAGAGAGAGAGAAAUAAAGGGUAAAAUUAUCAAAAGAGAAAAGAAAAAAAAAAAAAAAAAAGAAGGUUAUGUCUUCAAAUAAUCAAUAAGAGAUGUCAUUUUUCUAAUUUUCAAAGUUCUUUUGGUCCUUCUCUACAAAUAUCCCUAUAAAAAUAUUAUAAUAUCAAGUUAAUUUGUCAAUACCAAAAUUUAUAUUUUAUAUUAGGGCGACUAAAUAACAUAUAGAAAGAAUUUUAAAUGAGUAAAUCAAAUCAAUUUUGAAACCAAAACUUAAUAAUUACCAAACUUGUAAUCUUAGUCAUUAAAAGUGUACGAUGAAAUCUAAAUUAUUAAGCAAUGAAACAAAAAAUUAAGAUUAAAAUACAAAACGUUAAAAUCAAGAUACAAACUAUUAAAAUGUAAGUGGGAUAUGAGAUGAUAUUAUAAAAAAUAGUGUGAUCCAACAAAAAGUCUAGUACAUCAUUAUCUUCACUUCCAACCAUGUUUAAAAGGUCACAAGUUCUAGCGGUUUCCAAGGACAAUGUUAAAAAUAAUAAAAAUAAAUCCAAUUAAAUAUUAAUUAAUUUAUUUGAAUUUGAGUCCGACAAAAUAGUUGGUAAUAAGUUAAUAAUGCCAUUAAUAUGAUUUUAAUGUGAAACACAAUUAUCACAUUUAAUACCCGUUAGUCCUUGUAUGAUUAACUUUUUAGAAAUUAAUAUCAAUCUUUUGAUUAUAAUAAGAGUUUCUACUAUUUAUAUUUUUGGAUGAUUUUAUAUUUUUCUUAUUGUUUUAGUUUAAUACAAAAAAAUAAAAAUAAAAUUACAUUAGUAGAAUUUUUUUUAACUUAUUCAAAAAACCUAUUGUAAGGUGAAUGGUUUUUUUAUUUUUUUUUUAAAUAUAAAUAUUUUCUUAAAAGGGAUAAAAUAACCUUACCUUGUGAAAAAAGGCCUCUUCACCCAAAUUUACUUGUGCAUAAUCCUUUUCAGACGAAAAUGCCCCCUUCCUAAAAAAUAUUUCAUCUUAAACUUAUUUUUCAUUUUUAUAACCCUUUGUUCCAUCCUUAUGAUUUGGGAGAGGAAGUCAUUCUUCUCUUGUGAAGAAAAAAUUCCUACUGCCAUUUUUCAUUUCAAGUGAAGAAAAAUAUUUAUAUUUCAUUUUAAACAAAUUGUACAUUUUCAAUCUCUCUUUGUUCCUAGUUGAGGUUUUUUUUUUUUUUUUUUUUUUUUGUAAUUUUAUCUUAAUUGUACAAAUUCGAAGAUGAGAUUAAAUCUAUAAUGGUUAUUGGUUAAAUCACUUAUCUAACUUUGUUCUUGACAGAUCGUAUAAUAUGAUUGGAACCACCAUCCUAACUUUAUUAGGUGGGAUCCCUUUUUUUUUUUCCCCAAACCCUUGGAUUUUAGUUUUGACUUAUAUUUCAAUUGUCUGUAUCACUUUUUCUUUAUUUAUUAAUUUUCAACAAGUUCUUUAACAAAAGCCUUGAAUCAUAUUUAAAUUCAAAUAACUUAAUCCCCAUUAAGUUCUUUUUAAAUGAAACUUAAUCAUGUGAAAGUUCAUGUGACUAUUAUAAUUGAGAAUUUAUUCUUAGUUGGGUUUUUUGUAAAUAAAAUUUAGUUAUAGGACUGUGAUGAUCCGUUCUCAACCGUAUAAAUAUUGUUCGUUUUGAAUUCAAAAUAACUUUUACGGCUUUAAAACAUGUUUACAAGAUUAAGAGGAGUCCAUAUUUAUAUAGCUUCACGAACUUUCCCCCCUAUUCGAUGUGGGAUGUCACAAGGACAUCAUGAUGCAACGUAUAACAUAAGAUUGUUUCUUAAGUUUGUCUAACCUUGUAAUGUGUUAAAAUGAAGAUGAAGCCAUUAUAACAGAAGAGAAUGAUGAAGUUGUAGAGAGAGCUUAACAAAGCUUGGGUUGGAGAGACUUCAUAGGAAGAGAGAGAGAGAGAGAGAGAGAAAUAAAGGGUAAAAUUAUCAAAAAAGAAAAAAGAAAAAAAAGAGGGUGAUGUCUCCAAAUAAUCAAUAAGAGAUGUCAUUUUUCUAAUUUCAAAGUUCUUCUGGCCCUUCUCUACAAAUAUCCCUAUAAAAACAUUAUAAUAUCAAGUUAAUUUGUUGAUACCAAAAUUUAUAUAUUAUAUUAGGAUGACUAAAUAACAUAUAGAAAGAAUUUUAAAUGAGUAAAUCAAAUCAAUUUUGAAAUCAAAACUUAAUACCUACCAAACUUGUAAUCUUAGUCAUUUAAAGUGUUCCAUGAAAUCUAAAUUAUUAAGCAGUGAAACAAAAAAUAUAAGAUUAAAAUACAAAACGUUGAAAUCAAGAUUCAAACUAUUAAAACGUAAGUGGAGACGUAAGAUGAUGUCAUAAAAAAUAGUGGGAUCCAACAAAAAGUCUAUUAAUCAUUAUCUUCACUUCCAAUCAUGUUUAAAAGGUCACAAGUUCUAGCGGCUUUCAAGGACGAUGUUAAAAAUAAUAAAAAUAAAUCCAAUUAAAUAUUAAUUAAUUUAUUUGAACAAUAGAUAGGACCAAAAUAAUAUUCUAAAAGGAAUCAUAGGGAAGUCCUUGGACAACCUACGACAUUGAACAAAGGUACAGUGAGACAAUGCACUUAGCCCUUCCUUGUCAUUGCGAUGAAUAUAAAAAGACACCCUGAUUGAGGGUGCCCCACUAAGCCAAGAGUGAUUCUUUUGUAUUGUAUAACGUGAAUAUUUUUGAACUUUGAAUGACCCUUCCUAUAGUCAUCAUUGUCAAAACUAGAAAAUCAGAAAGAUGCGAUGUACGAAGGCACCAUUGAAUAAGAGGCUUAAUUCUCUUUGGCAAUUAGGAUAAAGUUUCAAAAUAGAAAAAUUAAACAAAUGUACAGUGUACGGACACUUGGGCAUUGCCUAUUUGUUUUGUUCUUCUAGAGUUGUAUAUGGUAAAGGUCAUAUUGGGUUGGUUCUAUUUGGUUAUUGAAGUCGGCUAGAAUAUUAGAUUUGGUUUCAAUCUAAUCCCAUAUGAUAUUAGAAUACCAGCCCAUACAGAAUUUUUGACCAAAUAUAAUAUUUCUUUUAAAUAUAAAUAUAGUAAUUAAUUUUAGUCUAAGAUUAAUUAUGUAGUUUCCUAAAGAGACCACUUCCUAAACGGUAGCUAUGUGGAAGUUGGGCCAGGUCCUGCCGAGAAGGUUUCCACGAGCUGAGCCCAAAACUGAGUAGCUGUGAUGGGAUCAUUCUAGCAUUCAGCCUGAAACUUGUAACAUAACGGAUCGAGAGGCCUGAACUCCAAGACCAUGGUUCGUCAGCCCAUUAACUUCAACAGCACGCAUUUUAGAGGACUGGGCUUGCAAGGGGUGAGGUUUCCGGGCCGCGACCCCAAAUAUGAACAGCCUCAGAAGUGAUAUUGCUUACUGGCACGUGAAGAGCGCAAGCGUAACUAGAAGAUUUGUAAUGCCGCUUUAAUUGUUUGAUUAUAGAAUCCCACGCAUUACGCAUGGAAAGUGUAAAAGAUAAAAGAUGUAGAAUUUUUUCUUAGAGAAAAGUUCGUUUGGAUAUAGUUAUUGUUUUUUUUUUAAAUAAUAAUUGUUUUUUUUAUAAAUUAUAGAUAAUCUUAGAAAUUUAUCUUUAAAAAAAUAGUUUUUAAAAAUAUUUAAGGAGAAUAAAAGUGAUAAAAAAAAACUUUACAAUUUCAAAUUUUUAAAAAAUGAAAAUUAUUUUUAAGAAUAUAAGUUAAUCUCCUGCAUUUAAAUCUUAGGUGGUUUUUGUUUUUUUUACUUUUCGCUGAAAACAAUUUGUUUUCAAAAUUUAGGUCAUUUGUUUUUUCUAUUUUUUCAUGAUUUAUUAUAAAUUUUUUACUAAAUAAAAAAAAUCAAAAUAUGUAACUUUUUCUAAAUAAAAAAAAUAACGUAUUGAUUUUUCUUUACUUUUUAAUACUUAAUAGAUAUAAAAUACUACAAAAACAAAAAAUCUAAUAUUUAACACUAUUAAGCAUUAAAGUUCUAUUUAGAAUUAAGUAAAAAAACAAACACCACCUUAUAUUUUAUAUAAAAGUUACUUAUAUUUUGGUUUUUGGAAAUAAAAAAUAUAAAGCAUAUCCAAACAUGAGCUUAGCUAUUUUAAAUCAUAUCAAAAUAAUAAUCCCAAUAAGGUAAAUGGACUUUUAUACGGAGAAUAAUCUUUAAGGUUUUCAUUUUUAUUGGAUUUUUUUUUUGUGGUGUUUUUUCAAUCCAUCUUCUCAAUUAAUUCCUUAAAAUUAUUUUACUGUUUUUUUUUUUUUCAGUUUCUAAAUAUUUGAUUUUUCCAAAAUGCUUAAAUGGAAGACACUAAUUUUUCAAGAUAUUUGGUAUUACAAUUUUCCCUGUUCUCCCUAUUAUCUAUCAGAUUCAUGGCCCUUUUGUUUUUUCAUUGGUUUUCAAUUUAAUUUUCCAAAUAUUACAUUGUUGUGUUUUGAAUUUGUGAAACCAAUUUUAUAUAUAUAUAUAGUAUGUAAGUCUACUUUGGGUAACAUGUACAGAGAGGUUUUCAUGUGUUUGAAACCUUUUACCUCAAAAAUUAAUUAUUUUUAAUUUUAUAAUAAAUCUUUUUUUAUUUUUUAUUUUAUUUAGGAAAGCCUAUAUUUAAACUACAUGUUUGCAACGCAACACCAUACAUACUCCUAGUGGAACUUACCUUAGUGCUUGAGGGGGAUGCAGAUCUUCUUCUAAACCUAACUAAUAAGCAUAAAAUUGUUCACUAAUUAGCAUAUCUAGUAAAUCAUACAAAUUGGCAAUAUUUCAUGUUUUUCAUGUUUUGUCAAUAAAAGGCGUCUUGACCAUUUUGUGAGUUUUGUAAUAAAUAAAAAAAAAAAAAAAAAAAGGGCAAAAGGUGACUAAAAUGAGGCACUUUGGAAAGGUUAAUAACCUAAAAGGAAGAUGAAUUAAUACCCCCUUAUUCCUCUUCAAAAACCAUUGAGAAAAUGCAAGAAAUGCUCUUAGUUGUAUGCUAGGCUAACAGCCUAGCAACCAUAAUACCCUUCUUUGCAAUUGUAAGCAUUUUUUUUUUUUUUUUGAAGGCCAAACAACGUUGCAAACUUCCCAAAUCCCUUCUUUAUUUUUUAUUUUUUUAUUUUUGUUUUUAGAAGGAGAAUGAAUUUGAUGACAAACUCCUUGUCAAUCUUAUCCAAACCACGAUCGAACAGAACUCCUUGUCAAUCUUAUCCAAACCGUGUUCCACCUCAAAAACAUGUGUAGGACUUAAGGCAGCAACUGGCAAGCAUGACUGAUAGGGCCAAGUGCCCUUGUCUCUACAAUCCAUUAAGUUAACCAAGGGCAGUGAACCAUCAUUCUUUUCAAAAGCUUCAUUCCGUGUUGAAAAUGUGAGACUGAAGCAUGGUGCCCCCAAAAAUAACGAUCUAUUUACUAGCAGCAUGCCUGGACCCAUUAAAAAUACUCUACUUUAGGAAUAGAAAAAAUUACAUCUUUAUCCAAUAAUUUUAUAACAAUUCAGACGUUUCAGUCUAUAAAUAAUUGUACAUAGUUGCCAACGUUUAGCUAGUUUCAAAUGAAUAGCCUAGGUUCAUGCACCAGUUUGGCUGGUGGAGGAAAGGGAUUCGAGACAUUGAACCCUCUUUUUAGUGUGCCAAAUAUUCCACAAAAAUCACUACCUUCUCUUUGUGUUUGUUCACUUUUAGUUUAUAUUUAAUAAAUCUAUGUUUUCGAGUAGAGGUUGGGUUCAGGUGCGACCCACGUCACCUCUCGGACGGUCUUGAAAAAGGAGACCGGACCACGUAAUUUCAAAUGUAGUGACCAUCUCACUUUUACCUCCAUCCUUGAAGAUGGUUUCCCAAAUCAAUAUUAAUCUUUUGUUUACGACAAUAUCGAUCACUUUAUGUCUAUAUCGUUGUUAAUUUACCUUUUUUUUUUAGCCACAUUAUUUGAAAAUUGAUGCAAACUUUACCAACAUCUUGGUACCAUUUUAAAAUAUUAGAGUUAUUUGAUUAAAAAAAUAAAAUAAUCUCGAUAACUUGUUUAUAAAAUAAAUAUCUUUUAACAUUUAGACUAUUCUCACGCAUGCUUUAAAAUUGUAAAGAUAUUCAUAAAGUGGAACUUUAGACUUAAUCAAUAUCGAUCACUUUAUGUCUCUAUUGUUGUUAUAUUUUUUUUUUACAACAUUAUUUGAAAAUUGAUGCAAACUUUACCAACAUCCUAAUACCAUUUUAAAAUAUUAGAGUUAUUUGAUUAAAAAAAUAAAAUAAUCCCGACAACUUGUUUAUAAAAUAAAUAUCUUUUAAUAUUUAGACUAUUUUCACCAUGCUUUAAAAUCAUAAAGAUAUUUAUAUUCAUAAAGUGGAACUUUAGACUUAAACAUGAUAAUAGUUUUUUUACAAUAUUAUAAUUAUUUUAUCGUUUUAAUUAAGCCCUUUAUCAUACAUAUAAAUGUAAAUUAAUGCUAAAUUUUUAAAGCAACGUAUAACCUUUUACAUCUUUUUUUAAGAUGGUGCGAAAAUCCUAUGAAAAAUAAUAAAAGUCGAUGCAUAAGAAGAUUGUUUUGAUAAUUCAAUAGAAAAAUUCUUUUAAAAUGAUAUUAAAAAAUACCCAUAGAGCCUUUAUUAAAAAAAUCAAUUAUUUUCAUAAUAAAAAUUAUAAUUUUUUAUUAUGUAUUAUUAUUUUUAAGUAUCUUUAUUACAAAUACUUUUUUUGAGUUUAUGAGAGGAAUCAACAGGUUGGUACAAGCUUAGGCGUCCUCGUACAUGUUCCCGCUGUGCAAGGUUUUUGUCUUGUUUCGAGCUAGUCGGAAUUUACGUGUUUGAUAACGUUUUGUCCUAUUUUUGUAACGCUUUAAAGGGCGGCCCACCGUUGGAACAGUUCAAGCCAUCCAAAUCAGCCCGGAGGGUUAUGGCGACGUGGCAUGACGCCUACCACCUUAGUUCACAUGAACCCUAUGAUCGUACUACCCUCACAUGACAUCUGUGAUUCUUCACCUCCAAACCCUCUUUAACUUGGUAAUGUAUUCAAAGCUUCAUCAAAUCAUAGCGAUUAGCGACCCUCUUCCACCCUAAUUUUAUAAUAAAAAAUAAAUCUUAGUGGACAUUAAAGUAGUAUUUUGUGGGGGGAAAGAAAAACUCUAUGGGCGUAUCCACUAAAUACGAGCCAAGUAUAAGAGUUAUCACCAUGGAAUCAAAUUAUGAAGCAUUGACAUUUUAAUUGUAUUCAGAUUUGAGGAGGGCACCGCGGCACCAGCUGGCCCAGUGUAGUCUGCUAGCCUACCCGCCAUAAUGACCAAAUUAAUAAAGUAAAAAGGAUUACAGGGAUAUUCCCAACUUUAUUCUGGGUCUGAGCUGGAACUUGGGAGUUAUCACGAUCAACGGGAAAGAUGGUGGGUAGGGGACGAGGAUUGAGGGCUCCAUAUUCACAUCAGUGAAAAACGAAAUGUAUUGAGACAAGUCUUCUAAGGAUUUUCUAGCGUAUUAUAUGGUUUAAAUGAUUAUAAAUCUGUAGUUACUGGUAAAGAGUAGAGAGUGAAGACGAAAGACGUUGAGUGAAAAGGAAGGAGGAGAGGGGAUGGGGCCAUCUUACCGUGUCGGGGAGGAUCCAUAAAAGGACUACGUUCCCUGAAUCUGUAGGCAUCAUGCCUCGCCUAACGGGUUAGUCAAAAUACAGUGAUGUGUGUGAGUUGGGGGCCUCACUCCUCAUUUCUUUCCUUCUUUUCACCCCCACCCCCACUUUUUUUUUUUUUUUUUCGAAUUUUUCUUUGUCCUUUUCUCUCACUUGCGCACGCGGGAGAAGGACCACAAACUAGACAAUUCCUCUGCUCACGUGACCCCGAGUUUUUAAAUAUUUGCCUAUUUGGAAAAUAGUCAUGAAUCAUGAUCGUUAACAAACAAUCUUCACUUUAUUUAUUUAAGAUCUAUUUUUUGGAGCUCUAGUUUAGUUUAUUAUUAUUAUUAUUAUUAUUAUUAUUAUUAUUAUUAUUAUUUAGUAACUCCUCUUAUAUUAAUGAAAAAGAGAGGAGGAAUCCAAACUUGUUUAUUCUUCCUCUUUUAAGGUGUUUGUUUUUUUUAUUUUAUUUUUAUGCUUCAUAUGUCUUCAAUUUCUUAGCAUUUGUCUUAUAUUUCUUCUUAUCCGAUUCAUUAUUGCAUCCUUGGUCAAUCUUUCACGAGGAGUGCCUACUUUUUUCCUUUUUAUUAUUUAAUUCACUUUAUCUUUAUAUUUUCCUUUUACACUUUAUUUCCAAUUCAAAACGUGUCAAAAAAAAAAAUUGGUAACAAAAAAAAAAAAAAAAAUCAAUUGUAAUGAUUCUUAUAUAAUUUUAUUUAAUUUUUAUUAAACAAUAAAGAAAUUAAAAAUAUAUAAAUUUUUAAAUAAUUAUUAUAGUCUUUCAUUUUUGUGUAUAAUUUCUUUUGCAAGAAAUAGUGUAGGCUUUCCACGGUCUAAAGGAAAUGGAAUAUCAAAUGAGAAGGUAAUAAUAAUAAAGUGAGUUAUAGAUACUAAUCAAACUAAUCCACUAAUGAAUUAUUUAUUUUUAUUUCACAUGGACAAAUCCUAAAAGUUGGAGUUCUAAUUUACUUUUAUGUUAAGCUUUUUUAAGUAAAAAUCUUUUAUUAUUAUAAUUUAUAGACAAAAAGAAACCCAUUAAUGUGAUGGAUAAAAAAUUUCAAUUUAAAAAAAAAAAAAUUAAAGUUGCUAAAUUUUUGUAUUUAUUAUUUCAAACUCAUUUAAAUAAUUUAAAAAUAUGUCUUCAAUUAAUUUUAAUGAAACAAAGCAUGAUUUUUUUUUAAUUUUUUUUUCUUUACCAAAUAAAGCAUUAUUAUAAUACGUUGAUUAAAUUUUCAUCAUGUCUCUCAAGAUUUGGAUUAAAUAUACUUAGUUGUCAUAAAUUUGAAAUUUUAUUUAAUGUAUUUUUUAUUUUAAAUUAAAAAGAUGAAUGCAAAUAAAAAAAAUAUGUAUAUUUUAUAAAAUUUUAAAUUAAACGAAGGAUACGUGUAUUUAACCAAGGUGAAUGAAAUUAAUCCAAAUACUUUUUGGUAACUUGCAAAAUAUCUUGACGAAAUCAUUAUGGCAGGCAUCGUACAAGCUCAACCCUUGUCGCCUUGCUAGAAAUAGAGAAACAAAAAGACCCCCAAAUUGGGUUGCAUCCUAAAUAUGAAGAAGUGGUAACAAAGGAAGAAAAAAUGCUGUGUUAUUGAAUAGUUAAUACAUUGAACAUGAUAUGUUACAUAGAGAGCCAGAUUAAUCCUAGUGGAAUUCCACUGUCACGAUGGUAACCUAGGGUUAUGUUUGGUUAUUGAAAAUACCAAGAAAAGAAAAAAAAAUAUAAAGGAAAAUAAUUUUUUCAUUUUUGAUUGUCUUAUAAAAGAUAUAAAAAAAAAACAAAUAUAAUUAAAACUAAUUAAAAAUUUAGGUAUUUUUAAAUUAUUUAAUUUUUAUAUUAAUGAGCGAAAAUAAAUAAAAUAAGUUUAAAAUAACAAAAAAAAUAAUUUACCGAUUUUUAAUCUAUAUUUUAUUUUACUUUUUCUUUGUAUUUUUUUUUUCUUAUAUUUUCCCUCAAAUUUUCUGAAUCAAACAUAGCAAAAAAGGAGCUACCCCUUUCGAAAGAAACUCCCAAGAAUUUCAAAGAAACCUGCUGAGAUAAUGAAUGAGGGAUCACUGUCGGUAAACAGUAUCCAUUCUUUUGGGAGGACUUUCAAACUGAGAAGUUGUUUUCAUGACUUGGAAACAAAAUUUUGAGCUCUAAGGGGGUCUGUAUUUGGGCCCUAAAAUUCAAUCCAUCAAUCUGAAAAAUGCUUAGGAUAAUGAUUUGAUUUAGCCACAAUCACUAAACAAAUUCCAGAGGAAAAUUUCGCUACUCAUAGGUGGCUGAUUCUCAUAAAAAGACAUCGUGGUAGGGUGUCUCAAGUGCAGGCUCACCAUCAACUUGCUGCCCUUUUUAGAUUAUUGUAAAAUGAUUUCACAUGAAGCCCAAUGCAAAACUUUGAAAGAAAAGGUUGGUGGAGACGUGAAGAAUAUGUAACCCAUAGGCCAUAACUAGUACCGAAGAUUAUUGAACAAACAUUCAAGGUUUUUGUAUAGACGAAACUGAAAAGAAUGUGUACCAGACUCAGGCGUUCAGAUCAGAUGAUGCCGUAAUGUGGAUUGUGGAGGAGCAUUGUGCAGACAGAUAAUGAGAUUCUGAAAGCGAGGCCACUGAUGGGCCCUUGGAAGGGGGGCGUGCCUUCAAAAUUAUAUAUAUAUAUAUAUAUAUGUCAUUGAAAAUUGGAAGCAACUUUUCUUCUUAAGUUAUUUUAAUCGAAGAAGAAACAAAAAGUUAAAAACAUACAUUAUUCUUCCUUCUUACGAGGUUUCCGGGUCUAAAUUACUAUGGUCUCUGCAACUGGCGUCGUUUUCUCUCCCCUCUCUCUAUUUUCCCUUUAUUUUUUCACUUUUAGAAAGAAGCAUCCCAUCAAGAAUCUACUACAACCCUACGCUUCCAUUUUGAUUUAGAAAGUUAAAAAUAAGUUUAAGUUAAAAAAAAAUAUUUUCUUAUAUAAUUAUUUAAACUUAUUUCUUUUCCUUUUUAUAUAAAGAAACAAAUAUUUUGCAAAUAAAUAAAUUUCUAAUUAUUUUCAUUAACAUAAUAAUAAUAUUUUUCAUAUGACUUUAAUCACAAUUUUUUUUACCACUUGUCCAAGGCGGUGAGAGGUGAUAAAAUGUAUUAAAAAAACGAUUAAAUUGCAUUAGGUAUAGAAGUUUUGUGCUUCAAUUAUCACUUAUAAAAAUAAAAUAAAAAUAGUCAAAUUUGAGUGUGCAAGUUGGUAUUCGUAUGUAGAAGGAAUUGGGGGAUUUGGGGGUCCUAACAAAUUUGAUAUGAUUGAUGGAAGGAAAUGAUUAUUAUAGGAUAAAGUCCGAAUGAAACGCUGACGAGGGGGGAAAAACAACAGUGGCAAUGCACUAUCCACAGAUCCAUGAUUGAUUUAUGUUAGCAAUAAUGAAUUAUUUUGACUUUGAUAACCUUGGUUAAGAGAAUUUGGUCUUGUUAUUAUCAUUUUUUCAAAAAAAAAAAGUGUAGGUAACUAGGUAGUUGAUUUAUUAGAAUUUAGAAAUGAGGAUCCCCUCCUCCUGCAAGAGCCGUGACAGACAUGCCUGCUUUCUUGCCAGAUUAUACCAAUGUGCCCAAAUAAUCCCCCAUCUAUCAUCUCUGCACCCUGGAACACGUCACUCCCUCCUUUGAGCAAUAAAAUAUCUCUUUUAUUUUCUUUUGAACCACUCUUCUAUUUCUUUGUACCAGACUGGACCCAUUUAAAUUCUUCGCUACGCUGUUCCCAAGGACUACGAGAAUCAAAAUAGCAAAAUUCUUGAAUCAUUUUAAUGGGUUCAGAAACCACAUGUUUCUCUAGAUCAUAAGAGGAAAAUCUUUUUGGAUGGUGUUUGUGUUGUGUUGUGUUCAAUAUUAAAUACUCAAUUAAAUAAGCUAAAUCAAAUAUCACAUGAAAAAUAAUCAAAUUAAAAAUAGGGAGAAUUAUGUUUUGAGGGUAGAUGGACCCCAAAUUAACAAAAGGUUCAUGUAACUCUUCAAAUUGAGCCCAGACCCAAUGAAAAUAUGGAAAUUGAGUUGAAGUAUAUCAUCAUUCAGUAUUUCCAAAAAUGUCCUUUGUUGAUUUUGAGAAAAAAAUUAAUAUUUUUGAAAAAUAUUUUUAUGUAAUUUAAUAUUUUUUUAAAUACUUUUAUUUAAUUUAAUAUUUUUAAAAAAUAAAUUUAUUUAAUUUAAUAUUUUAAAAAAUAUUUAAUUUAAUAUAUUUUUUAAAUACUUUAAUUUAAUUUAAUAUUUUUGAAAAAAAUUUUAAUUUAAUAUUUUUGAAAAAAAAAUUAUUUAAUUUAAUAUUUUUUAAAACUAUUUUUAUUUAAUUUAGUAUUUUUGAAAAAAAAUUAUUUAACUUAAUUUUAUAAAAUAUUUUAUAUGUGUUCUUAAAGGGUAUAUUUGUCCGUUACUAUUUCAUAUCCUUCAACUCAAUUUAAAGAGUUAUAUGGACCUUUUGUUAAUUUGGGGACCCAUCUACCCUCAAAAGAUAAUUCUCCCUUAAAAAUAUAAAUUUAAAUAUGACAUAAUUAUUAAAUAUGUUAGAUCUUGUAUGAGUUUAUAAGAUUUAUGUUUCAAAAUAACAUGUUUAUAAUUCAUCUAUUGAUUUAUAAUCAAAUUUUAAAUAAAUUAAAGUUAUUCAAGUUAAUAAAUAUGAUUUAUGUUAUAAAGACUAACUAAAAAAUAAUUUAUUAAUUAAACGGAUCCUGGUCAAUAAAAAUUUGAUUUAAAUACGAUCAUACUUAAUCAAAACUUAGGUCAAAUUGUAUUGAUAAAUUACAUCAAAACCUUGUUGUGUUCAAUAUUUUAUAUUAAACUAUUUUUUAAUAAAAUUAUUUUUAUAAAUAUAAUAUUACAUCAUUUGGAGAAACAAAAUAGUAUUAUAUUGAUUUUACAUAUAAAGCAACCAGUUAACCCCUCAUUAUUUUGAUCCAUUUCACAUCCAUAUCAUUCUCAUAAUUUUUUUAUAAUAUAUUAACAUGAUGGACGGUAAUUGAGGGUAGAAAAAAAAGAUGAGAAGAAUAAAAUAAUGUGAAUCCUCUCUAAAUGUUACAUCUUCUGACAAAUGAAGUCUAUAGAAAUGUGUAAAAAAAAAAAAAACACUUAAUUGUGAGGUUCACUUGAUUUAGCAAAAAAUUAAUAUUUUAUUUGUUGUGUGAUUUAAAAAUAAUAUUUUAUUUUUAAAAAUAAAAAAUUAUUUUUAAAGUUUUUUAACACUAUUUUACUAUUGUUCUUUGAAAUAAUUUUUAAAAUUAAAAUGAAAUAACUAAUAAUUUUUAGAUAAUAAAUUAAAGUUGUUUUUAUUAGAUUUUAAAAAUAAAAGAAAAAUAUAAAACCAUUUGAUCAAAUUUUUUUAAACUUAUUUUUAAAAGGUUUUUUUUUUUUUUUUUUUUUUUCUAUCCUAAGUUAAAAGAUAAAAAAUAAUUUUUAAAGAUAGGUUACGAGCAAAUGCCACAAACUUUUUUCUUCUCUUUCCCUUGUUCGGAUAGAAGUGAAAAAUAUCCUCCCAUGGAUCGACAUUACGUGAGCCAUCACCAUUCCCCAACUGCAAUUCAACCGCCAAAGCUGAGGUGUCAUUAUUAGUUUGAACAAAAGUCAGCAUUGUCCACGUGGUGACAAGCGGAACUGACCCAACUUGCAAGGCAAAAAAAUAAAUAAAAUAAAAUGAAAAAAUCAGAUCACCAUUAUGACGUCAGUCCAAUUGCUGACCUGGCCGCCGUCCCCCAUUUGACCCACGUGUUCAUUUAACCCAUUCGCCGUAUGCCGUGGCUCCCCACCCAUAUGGCCAUAUCUGCCAUUUAUUUUAUCCGUUGCCUCCAUUCGGUUUUUGGAUUUUACCCAUUCGCCCUCGUCUAUUCCCAUUUCCGUAUUUGCCCACCAAGGAAAUUCAAUUCCCAUGCUUUUGUUUUACAUUCAAAUCCUCCCCCCUCUAUAUAAAGGAGGGAGUAGGGCUUGAAAGUUUCUCAAGCCAACAUGGACUGUUGAGAGUGAAAGACAGAGGAGCCACAAACAAAUAUCACUCACUCAAACCAAAGCCAAAACCAAUACCGAAUUCAAUUCAAAUGACUUCUUUCUCUCUCAUCAAUUCCCUGAAUUCCGAUUCCGAUUUCAAUUUGUUAUCGGAUUCUUUUUCCUGGGAAAACUCCCUACCUUUCAAUGAAAACGACUCCCAGGAGAUGCUCCUCCUGGGCAUGCUGGCCAGCUCCACUCAGGAAACCUCAGAAACAGUUUCUUUGAAUCGAGUGAAGGAGGAAGAAGUGACUUCCCAGGAAAAUCCCGAGAAGGAGAAGUCAUACAGAGGCGUUAGGAGGCGGCCAUGGGGGAAAUUCGCAGCAGAAAUAAGGGACUCGACCAGGCAUGGCAUAAGGGUGUGGCUGGGAACAUUUGACAGUGCAGAGGCAGCUGCUCUGGCCUAUGAUCAAGCUGCUUUUGCGAUGCGGGGCCCUGCGGCAGUCCUCAAUUUCCCGGUGGAAAGAGUGAAGGAAUCGAUGCAGGAGAUCAAGUGCAUCUUGGAGGAGGGGGGCUCACCAGUGGUGGCCCUCAAGAAGAGGCACUCUAUGCGGAGAAAAAGUCCUUGCAAGAAACAUAAAAGUGAAGAGGUGAGGUUAGAAAAUGUGGUAGUGCUGGAGGAUUUGGGUACUGAAUACUUGGAACAGCUCCUCACUUUCUCUGAGACCUCUAGUCCUUGAUCAUCAUCAUCCAUCACCUGGAUAGCUUCUUCUCUUUGCUCUGUUUCUUACUUUUCUCUCUCUCUCUCUCUCUCUCUCUCUUUUUUUUUUAUGUAAUUUUUCUUAAUGUAUUUUUGGAGAUGGCGGGGGUGUAGUGGUGGCAAUUAUCCAUCUAGAAUUUUUCAAAAGAUAUGUUCUUUUGUUUCUUUGUAUAAAGUUGAAAAGUGGGGAUCAAUUGUGAUGGUGCUCUAUGUUCAUCCACCCAAUUUAUAUAAUCAAGGUGAUUAAUGUUUUUUGAUAUCAACAAUUUGUGAAUGACAUAGAGAGAGAGAGAGAGAGAGACCUUAUUUUCUACACUCAUUACGGUGGUUUCCAUUUGGGGAAGGAAAAGGAAAUGGCUAAGAAUGUUACCAAAAGAAGUGGGGUGGCUUUCAUAUGCGUGGUGGCAUACUUGCAUACAAACUUUUCAAUUGUGUUCUGCAUGCCACUCGGGUCAAUUUCAUUUCUUUUACUCCUAGUAGCCUAAUUGGAUUUCCUUUUUCUCAUGAGACAUCAAAUAAAUUUCAUUUUUUUAUAUUUAAAUAGUUAGGUAAGUUUGAUAGUGAGUUAUAUUUUAUACAUUAAUUCAUCUUUUAGAAUGUUGUCUACAAUAUAAACAGUGUAAUUAAUUUCAUCAUUACAGAACAGUCAUCUUAUAAAAUAACAUAAAAAUUAUUGGAUCACUUGUAUGGCACCACUGAUUUGGACUUGGUAUGGCUCUGUUUGGCUUCAUAGAAAAAAUUUGGACCCAAUUUGAAUGUCUUGCAUAAAAAGAGAUACGUCCCACUUUGAAUGAUAUUGAAGAAAAAAAUUUCUGAUGAAGAAUAUAUUGUUGGCAGGGUCAUGCAGGCCAAUAGGGAAACGAUAAAUUCAGAAGAAUGAGUCCAAACCAGUGGGCUUGAAAAUUAAGAAGAGAAUUGCUGUAUAAAACAAUCAUUUCUUAAUCGAGUUCACUUUCUGAAUAAUCGUCACUUUGAGAAUGCAUACUUAGGAAGAUGAUGAUCCUUAAUGGGAAUAAUCAAAGGCAUCAAAAAAUUGUUCUGGAACAAUUCUUGAUUGUCUCCAGUAAAAUUCAAAGUCAAAAGUCAAAAGUCCAGUCGGUCAACACCAAACCAGGCCAGUCCAAAAGACAUUAAUUUGCAAUCUAGAAUCUAUGAUGAGGUGGCGAAAUCAAACCUUGGCUUUUCACCAGGGAAUGGUACUCUGAAUUUGGUCAGUUCACUGUUUCGAGUGAAUAGGGUGUAGUAAUUAGUAAAUCAUAUUUUAGAUUUGUGUCACAAGUUACAAGGGAUAUGGGCUGACGUUCAAUUUUGGCGACAAUUUGUGGGCCCGUAUAUUUGUUGAGAUGUGGAAAUUGGGUGUGUGCUUUUUUCUGCUACCACAUAAAUAUAUUUCUUUGAAUUGAAGAGUGUUUCAGACCAUUUUUUUUCAAGUCACAAAUGGACAACUGAUUGAGAUUGUAUUGGUGAGAGUAGGAGUUUAUUUUGGGCUGGUUGAGCGAAGUUGAAAGUCGAGUUGGACCUAACCCUUGAAUUCAGCAGACUACAGUCCGAUCCUGUAUUUUGGAUUUAGGGAACCUUCUUUCCCAGAAGCUUCGUCUGGGUUUUAAAGUCUAAAUGUGGCUACUCUUAAACAUUGGAGAAAGGAUGAGCGUUCACAAGCAAAUGGGUAAUUGUGGAUGGUUCAAGGACCUGGCCAGCUGGUCUUCAAGUUUGGAUGCCGGUUUGGGCCUGAGAGAGUCUUUGCAAAGUGACUUCACUUCAGCCUAUGAGAUCAAGAUAUCAUGGUGAUGUCCGAUCACUUAGGUUUCAUUUUCACCUCGGAUUACCGUUACCAUGUUCAUGAAUAAAAAUAAAUAAAUAAAUGAAGCCUUAUAGAGAAAUUAAUGAAGUGAGCUAUACAAGCAACUGGGCCAGGAGCCUACAAGGCAGAAAUUCCCUGCCCUAGACUAGGCCGAAUAAAUUAGAUGAAUGAAUUGGGGAAACCUGGGCCAGCCACACAUCCUCCUGAAGGCUGAUGUCGAACUCGCUUACGAGGAAUGGACAUGGGAGAUUGGGCUGGGACCAAAUAACCAAUUGACAGCCCUAUCCUUGUGGCAAGACGUCAGUAAAAUGGUUCAUUCUGAUUUUACGCUGCCAUUCAAUUUAAUUUUAAUUUUUGUUUAAAGCGAUGUACAAAUUGAAUGGUGUCUAGUCACUUAAAGAGUGGUUCAUAAUACACUUAAUUUAAACAAAAAAGAAAUUAUUAGAUAGGGGAUUCUCCAAUAAAAACCACCCCAUCUUGUCAGCAAGUCCGGAAACUUCCUUCACUUAGGGCGUAUUUGUUUUUUUAACUUUAAUAUUAAAGAAAGUUGGUUAAACCUUAUGACACUUUUAUAUUAUUUUAUGAAUUUUUUUUAAUUUUUAUUUUAAUGGAAUUUUAACUUUAAUACAAGUUGGAGUAAUUCUUAUCUUAAAAACAAAUCAAAAUUACUUUAAUUUUAUAUAGAAAUAAACUUACAGUAAAUUUACCAUGAAAAUUUCUAAGUCAAAUACACCAUAAGUGCUAGUAUUUUAUAAUAUUUAGAAACAUGUUAAAUUAUUAUUAUUAUUUUUUAAAAUUAUUAGUUUUCAUAUUAGUUUUAGGGAAACUUGUGCUUUAGGUCUUUUAUUUGCAAAUAAUAUGGUUUUCAAAUCCUAAGAAUAGAAAAUAUGAGAAUCAACUGUUAAUGUGGAAAAUAAUAUCAAUUUUGUGCAAUCUCUAUUGACUCAUUUUUUUGUGCCUAGAUUGCCUUCACCCACUUCCAUGUCAACAACCACAUUAAUAGAUUGUUUUUUUUUUAUAAAACAAAUAAUUAUUAUGUUUAAAAUUUUGGGGAAACUCUCUAUCUCUCUUACUUCUUCACUACAUCCGAGACCCAUCUUCCUUAAACGUUUGCCUCUCAUUUUGCCCUAACCCCAAAUCUCAUAAAUUUCUCAUUUUCUUGCCUCAUUUGAAAUAUGAAGAUGACCGAUUCUCAAACAUCUCUGUCUCUCUCUUCACGUUUUGACCAGUCUAAUUGGAAACCCAUUUUCCAAAAACCUUCUUUCUUUCAUUUUGCCCUAACCCCACUAUCUCCCUCUUCAAGACCUAAUCACCCAAACUCGAUAUCUAUCUUCCCAAAACCUUCAAGCAAACUGAACUAGACCCAUAUCUUCUUUUUUCAUCAUCAAAGGUGAAAUUUUUUUAAGGCUUUUGGAAACCGAAUUGGAGCUUUCCCUUCUUCUGGGAUUAAUCAUUCGCAAGUGAGUUUUCCAUUUAAGGCUUUGUUUGGCUGUUGAAAUCUUGGGAUCAAAGGUCUUUUAUUUUCAGGUUUCUUGUAUUUUGCUUUAUUUUCUUGUAUAUAACAAUAAUCAUUGUAACAUAUGCUAGUAGUUACCCUUGGUGCAACUUUACAUUUCCAAAUACCCUAAAGUCCAAAGCUUUUAAUUCCCUUUUCAAAGCUUUCAACUUUGAAAGCAGACUAAACCAUAAGAACUAUGAAACUUAUAUCUCUAUCACCACUAAUUAAGCAUGUCUAUGAAUCCUUCCACUUUAAGUCACUUAUUCUCAAACCAAGAAGGGCUCCUCUCAUUCUCACCCCACCUCAUCUAAAUGAGGGAAAUGAUCAAUUGCAGCCAUGCUUUGCACCAAAUUAGAGAAGUGAUCCUCCCAAUCAUCCAUUACCAAAAAUUGAUCAUGCUGAUGAGAUCAUAAGAGUCUAUUCGGAACUCCCAGUUUACUUGCCUCUUAUCUCAGGAUCCUCCAUUACCCCCUGUCUUUCCAACAUCAAAUCAACUUGCAAACAAUUCCUUUGUAGAUAAAAUGUUUUUAAUAUUGCAAAAGGGGACUUAUCAUAAUGGUUGAAUCGAUUUAUUUGAUAUAAUCACUCAAAUUCAAGCUUAAAAUUGAUCAUAAUAAAAUGUUUUUAAUAUUGUUAAAAGGAGAUUAUAAUGGUUUUAUUUGAUAUCAUUACUAAAAUUCAAGCUUUCAAACAUGCUCUACAAAGAAGUUCUAAAAGACUACAAGAAAGAGUUUCCACUAAAGAAAAACAAUGAAACCAUUUCUACUAAAGACAAACAAUGAAACCACAGAUGCUUUGUGAAAUAUGUACCCGCACAAUCCAACAAACUUUAGAAAUUCACAAACACUACCUAGAAUUUUUGCUGACCAGCAAAAAAUUUAUGCAAUUUAAUUCUUAUUGUUAUUAUUAUUUUCAAUGUGAACAAAUAUGAUUGAAUUAUGAAGUAUUUGGCCAGAAGAGGAUCUUGCCUAAUUAUAGUCAUUAAACAACCAUUUAUACCAUAGCCUCUAGACUUUAAAAAGUUUAUAAAACUCAAGGGCUUCCACCCAAUUUCUAGAUAUCUCCAUAACAUUCUUCUGACUAUUAGAAAGCAAUUACCACUUUAAUUUUUCAUUUCAUGAGUGUUCAAUUCAGAAAAAGACCAGGAUCGAACUUGCGAUCAUGCAGUCGAAAAUCCACCUGUGCAUGAAACUAUUGCCUCACGAUUGCAAACUCAAGUUGGAGUCCAGUAACAACUCUAGGUUUGCUGAUGUGCUCCAUUUGAAAUAAAGGAACUAAAGAAUACUUUAUAAAGAUUAAUUACCUUCAUAUUUUAGGUUGGGGUUAAGGCAAAAUGUGAUAGAUUGAGAGGAAGAAAAUAUAUCUUGUUCAGGAAGCCAAUAUUUUGGAGUUCACCUUUCCAUUCGAGUCCACUCUGCUAUAGCAAAAUCAGAGUCACAACUAUGCCUCUUUAAGCUAUCCUUUAAUUGGAUGAAUUGCAGAUUUGGUUGCUGAGAAAGUGGAUAAGAAAGAAAAAUGCAUACUGUAGCUUGAGAUUAAGAGUUUGUUUUCUAAAAUGAGAGAAAGGGAAAGAGAAAAAAUGCAUAUUGUAGCUUGAGAUUAAGGGUUUGUUUUCUAAAAUGAGAGAAAGGGGAAGAGAAAUGUUCGACAACUUUGAGAUGACAAAUUUUUAGAUUUGGAAAAUUUGAGAUGAGUCUCAGGUUUUUUUUUUUUUUUUUUUGUCUUUGUCUUUGUUUUUUUUUUUUUUUUUUGUUUUUUUCCCAAAAACAACCUGUUAAUGUGGUUGUUGACAUAGAAGUGGGUGAGGGCAAAAUGGGCAUAGAAAAAAGAGUCAACACAAAGUGCACAAAACCCAUAUUAUUUUCCACAUUAAUGACUGAUUCUCAUAUUUCUUGUUCUUGGGAUUUGAAAACCAUAUUAUUUGCAAAUGGACCUCCCAAAGCACAGGUUUCCCUUAGUUUUAUGUCUCCAUCUACAUUUUACAUAUAAAUAGAUUAUUUUAUAAAAUUUGUUUUGUAGAUAUAUUAGUUAAUAAUUAUAUAAUUAAUGAUAUAGAAAACAUAUAAAAAUCAUAUUUAAAAAAGAUAAUUACAUAUUCCUCAACAAUCCAUCCCAAGAAUUCGAGGUUGAGUUGAAAACAUGUAGAGUCUUUGAUGUUAUUAUAAUCAUAUCCAACACAUAUGAUUAUUGUUUAUGAGAUAUUAUUAGAAAGUUUGUCUUAAAAUAAUUGAUUUAUUACCCACCUUUAGCAAAUGCCCAUUUUUGCGUCUUUCAAAAUUUUCAUUUUUUUUUUGUUUAAAAGAAGUAUUGUAAAGAAUGAUGAAAUAAGAAAUUUGUUGAGAAAGUGUGAGUAAAUAAUUUUACAUAAAAAGAGAUUUAAUACUUGAUAAAUAAAAUAAUAAAAUCAUGAUUUCUAGUUGUAUAGGGCCGGGUGGAUGGAGUGGCUAAGAUGUAAUUCUUGAAAUAGAGGAGACAACAUCAAUGUAUAAAAGUUUAACAGAGAAGGAAAGUGUGUUUGAAUGACUUUAUUUUCUUCAUUUAAAGUUUUGACGAUGAGUGUUUAUACAAGAUAAAUUUUCAAAUGAUAGGACUCCUAUUUACAUGGAGUUUGUGAUAUACUAUGAUUAUACAAAUUUAAAAUUCAAACAGAUUCAUGAGUUGAUAGGAGUCUGCUCAAUACGCCCCUUCAAAAUGGUGGGAGAUAGCACACCAAUCUUGACUCGAAGGGCCUAAACUCGUGCAGAAGAUGAGGGCUUUGUUAGAGCAUCGACAAGUUGAUCCGUGGUUGACAUAUGGGACACCUUGAGCUCACCUGAUUAAACCUUGUUUCAAACAAAAUGAAAAUCAAUCGCCGAUGUGUUUCAUGGAGAGUGAAACAUGGGAUUUGCACAAAGAUAUGUUGCACCCACGUUAUCACAAGAGAUAGGAGGUGGUGAUAAAUUUGAAACACUAAGUUUUGAGAGAAGAGAAUUAACCCAAAGAACCUUUGAGGCUGUAGAGGCCACGACGUGAUAUUUCGCUUCAGUGGAAGAGCGUGCUAUGAACUUUUGUUUCCUCGAUGACCAAUACACAAGAUUGUGACCAAGAAAAACAAUGGGAGCAUUGGUGGAGGAUCUGACAUAAGGAUUCCUUGCCCAUUCAACAUUCGAAUAUGCAUGUAGAUUGAUGGGCGAUUUCUUAUGCAAGAACAGACCAUGCACCAUUGUGCCGACUAAGUAUCUAAGCAAUCUUUUAACACAAGACCAAUGUGUUGAUGUUGGAUGGUGCAUAAAUUGAGAUAAUUUAUUCAUCAAGAAGGUGAUGUCAGGGCUAGUAAGAGAGAAGUAUUGAAGGCUUCCAACAAUUGACAUAUAUUUAGUGGGACCAGGAAAAGAGGUGUCAUCACACAGAUUUGGAACAUUGUUGAGGAACAUCAAUGAUUGAACUGGUUUGGUAGCCACCAUUUGUGUUUUCUUAAGAAGCUCUCGAAUGUACUUGAGAUAAAAAUAAUCCUUUGGAAGUAUGUAUCAUUUCAACACCAAGAAUAAAAGAUGAAGUCCUGAGAUCCUUAAUGGAGAAUUUGACUGCUAAUUGAGAGAUCACGCGAGCACGAAAAACAUUAUUGUUACUUGUUAAAAUAAGAUCAUCAAUAUAAAUAAGUAGGUAAACAAUGAGACCACUCUUUUUAAAAAUGAAGAGGGAUGUCUCGGUUUAGGAGUUGACGAAGGCUAUUGAGAGGAGAAAUUGGCAAAGUUCAUGAUACCAUGAUCGUGGAGCUUGUUUAAAGCCAUAAAAAGCCUUACAAAGUUGGCAAAUGUGAUGAUGUGUGUAUUCGUGAACCCAGGAGGUUGAAUCAUGUAAACAUCUUCAUGAAGUGUCCUAUGCUAGAAUGCAUUAUUAAUGUCCAAUUCAUGAGUUGAUAGGAGUCUGCUCAAUACAAUGUGGGAGUGUGAUUUCAAAAUUAGGGUAAUUUCGAAAUGGAUUUUGUAUUCACAAGUUGAAUUUCAAAAUUAUUUUGAAAUGGUCUUUUAACUUUAAGCAGUUGUGUUCAAAAGGUCAUAACUUCUUCGUUUCAAUUUUGAUUUACACAUUGUUUAAAACAUUGGACUCUUUACUUCCCGAGCUUCAAAACGAUAUAUAGUAUGCUCAAAAAUGACAUCAGGAUUGGUUCAAAUUUCAUCUUGAUAUUAGAGUACAUGUUGUGAUUAGAUUUUGAGUUCCAAAUUUCCAUGUAAACUUGAUUGCAUUUGCUUCAAACCUCCUUCAUUAUGGUUGCUUGCCCUCUAUCUCACUUUGCAACAUUUGUUACUAGUAUUUUAUGUCCAUGACUUACUCAUUUCAACCUUUCUUGGAUUCUUCAUGGUUCACAAAUUAUGGAUUCUUCAUGGUUCACAAAUUGAGUCUUUCAAUUAUGCAUGUUUAACUCCUAUUUCCUUGGUUGAUAAUGACUUUUACACUUAUCAUUUUCUUUUAUUCUUUAAACCUGAAUUUAGACUUACAAAAAAAAGUUAGAUCCAUAACUAGGGUCUUAGCAUCAAUUUGAGUUAAGUUGGAUGAUUUGAAAAUUUUAUAUUACAUAAAUCAUAUCAUACAUGUGCCAUUGGAGUGCACAUUUUGGCUCUAAUCAUGUUCCAACCCAUUGUUUUACUCUUGCAUGAAGUAUGUGGCCAUUGAUUUUAAUUUUAUUUGCGAUUAGGUUCAAAAUGGUGCUUUUGUGUUGCUCAUGUGUCAUCAGAAGAUCAACUAAUGGAUUCUCUAACAAAACUACUACAUCAUAGUCAUUUUUUUUUUUCUUAAGACCAAGAUUGAGAUCUCCAAUCGGAGCCAACUCCAUCUUGGGGGCAUGUUAGUGAAAGAUAAAAUUUAUCUUUAAUUUAAAUAUUAAUAUUUAUCAGUUAUUAGUUUUAAUUAGAGUAAAAGAUAGAGUUUAAAUUGGAGUAGGAGAUAAACUUGUGUUUGAACUAGAAUAGAAGAUAAAGUAUAAAGAUUUAUGUUUGAAUUAGAAUAAAAUAUAAAGUUUGAAUUAGAGUAGAAGAUAAACUUGUUCUUUAUUUGUAUAUAAAUAUUCAUCAAUUCUUGAGAAGAAGAUUAUUUCAUAGUUUUUCUAUCUUCUUUUUUCUUCAUACAUAUCUGCAAGAAAUUGAAGAUUUCAAGUAAAAUAUUUUCUGUUUUAAAUAGUGAAAAAAGCUAGAAAUUCACUUUGUUAUCUCUUGGGGUAAAUUGACAAGGUUUAACGUUAAGAAGGUGAAUUAUUUUUUCAGAAAAACUGAAGUAGCUAGGAUAUCUGGCCAGUUGUGAUCGAUAAAAAAGUUGUAAAAUCUCUCAUAUACUAAACAGGUUUUGGAUGUUGGUAUGGUAAAUCCAUCUGCAGUCAUUCGUCAUCUCAUCUAGUGAGAUGUUUGGGAGGUGGUGACCGCCGGAUUGGGUUUCAUUUGGUUAAAUCUGUCAGUGGGUUGGCUACUACCCGAGCCUCUUGCUUUGGGGGAGGUGGGUUCUAGAUAUAAUGUUCAAACCAUUUUAGUUAUCAUAUGCAUGACAUGUAAGCAUAAUCUCUUUAUCACUUCUUCAAUGGGAGUUCAUGGUUAGGAAUUGACUUCUUUUCUUCUGGGAUGCUUGGCAUGUAAUGGACAAAGUUACUUUUAUAUCGAUCGAAUUUCUAGUAUUAUAGUGAAGACUUACCCUUUUGACAUUUUAUAUCGAAUUAUAGAAGAUGAAAGGGACAUACAUGCAAUCGACUGACGCUUUAGUGAAUAUGCUGAAAAUAUGCUGAUGCUGUGGAGAUCGUAUGAGGACAGAGGAAAAAGAUAGAAAUGGAUAUAUAAUUAGACCUAGGUUUUUAUUAAAUGAGAUGGGGAACAUAGAGUGAGGGAAAAUCAAAAUUUUUGGCUGCAGUUCACAUUGGUGAUAUUUUGGAUUGACAAAGACUAACGACUUUUCUAUUUUUCUUUUCGGCCUGACUGGAUAGUUGGACAUGGACAAUACAGAAUCCACAGAAGGAUUGUUGGGACCGCUGAAAAUUAGCUAGAAGAAGCUGAGGAAGUAGUCUACGUAGUCAAAUACCAAACACAAAGAAAGAAAGAAAUGGAUAUCAUGGAUGCCUAGAGUUAUACUCCUAAUACCGUCACAGGUAUUUUUCUUUCCUCCUUUUUUUUUCUACGAUAAUUAGAGCAUUUCUCCUCCUCCUCCUCCUCCUCCCCCCACCCCACCACCAAAAAAUAAAAAAAUAAAUUAUUGCAAGUAACACUUCAAAUAUUAAUUUAUACAUUCUAAAGUAUAUAUUCAUGAAAUAACUUGAGUAUCAUACAUUAGUUCUCAAAAAAAAAAAAAAAAAAAAAAAAAAAUUACUGGAAGAGAAAAGUUUAAGAAAACAUAAAAAUAUUCAACUACUAUUUUAAAGAGAAAAUUUAAUUUUUACACUAUAAAUUUGAAGAGAACUUUUACAUGCAUCUUAUAUAAACUACCAUUUUUUGCUAAAAGGCUUAAAUUUGUCAAAAAUACCCCUUAGGUGCUUAACGUUCUGGUCAUAAUAUAAUUGGCAUCUUUUCUCAAACAUAAGGCCUGUGUGUGGGAACAAGAUUUAAUGUUAAUGAGCUUCGCCACCGACAUUUAGUUCCAGAAAUCAUUAUUUUAAUAGAGUGGGCUCAAUUUACAACUUUAAUUAAACUCUAACCAACUGCAUUGUGAAAUGAAUAUGUUUCUUUCGUGGUGAAUCCAAUGAGUUGGGAGUCAAACUUUGCUUCAUUGUGUAUAGAUGAAAUGUUAAGACUCCAUGUAACCUCAAACAUUUCCGCAAUNNNNNNNNNNNNNNNNNNNNNNNNNNNNNNNNNNNNNNNNNNNNNNNNNNNNNNNNNNNNNNNNNNNNNNNNNNNNNNNNNNNNNNNNNNNNNNNNNNNNUUCUUUCGUGGUGAAUCCAAUGAGUUGGAGUCAAACUUGCUUCAUUGUGUAUAGAUGAAAUGUUAAGACUCCAUGUAACUCAAACAUUUCCGCAAUGAGCGGGAGUUCUAAAUUUAAUAAUUGAAAUUGUCAGUGGAACCAGUGGACAAGAGUUGGUUUGUGGUUGACAAACUUAUCCGUUUGAUCUUUACUUGAACAGUUCCAGUGUGUGGAUGGGUACUGAUGAAGUGUGCGCAUUUAUUUUGAGAAGCCUGCUUGUUCGCAUAGAUUUUAACGACAUGAACAUUGUGGUAAGGUUAGAGAGUAAUGCGAAUGUAGGAGCUUAUAUUAGAAAUGACACAAACACGUAAAUAGAAGUAAUCUAUAUAUGAUAUUACUCAUGGACUACAAGCAAAGAAGUACAAUACAUGGAGUAAGUGAUGAAAUGAGCAUUCCUCACUACUACUGCUUGACUGAUGGAACAUGAUGCACGAGAUAGCAUAAGUAGUAGUAGGAAGCAGCUCUUAUUUGUGGCGUCGGUAUACAUCAUACUAGGUAGAUGGUUCAAUUGGCAUGGAUGGGUGGUGGAGCCUUGAAGUGCUUGUGAUGGGGAGCCCACGGCUUCUUCUCAGGAGUUGGUGGCUUCUUGUAUGGAGUUGAUGGAGGUGUUUCUACUGGAGGGUGGCCAGGGUAGUGACCCUGGGGUGGUGAAGGUUCUUUUGUCGGUGGUGGCCUCACUAUUAUUGGCGGUAGAGUUGGUGGCUUGGGCGUUGGCGGUGGUCUCACUACUCUUGGGGGUAGAGUUGGUGUCUUGUGUUUUGGUGGUGGAGGUGGCUUAACAGGAGUUGGUGGCUUGUAUUCUGGGGGUGGUUUCUCCACCGGAGGUGGCUUAUAAACUGGAGUUGGUGGCUUGUAUUCUGGGGGUGGCUUCUCCACUGGUGGUGGCCUGUAAACAGGGGUUGGUGGCUUAUAUUCUGGGGGAGGCUUCUCCACUGGAGGCGACUUAUAAACAGGGGUUGGUGGCUUGUAUUCCGGGGGUGGCUUCUCUACGGGAGGUGGCCUGUAAACAGGGGUUGGUGGCUUCUCCACCGGAGGUGGCUUAUAAACGGGGGUUGGUGGCUUGUAUUCUGGGGGUGGUUUCCCCAGUGGUGGAGACUUGUAAACAGGAAGAGGUGGUUUGUGCUCAUAUGGGGGUGGCUUGUGGUCAUUAGCAAGUGAGGGAGUGGUGAGGACCACCAAUCCAAGGAACAACACGAGUGAGCAAGCAGAAGACAUGUUUGGGCUCUGGUGAUGCACAAGUAGAAGAAAUGGGAACCAUUUAUAAUGCUUCGAGACCUUGGUUAGCACCAAAAUAUGUCAAAAUCUUGAUUACUUCAUUUCAUACAUAGAUUUAAAAUUAUUUCAAUCAACCAUGAUCCUUAAUUUUCUGGGUGGUCCAUAAAUGUAAUGGGGUCAAUUUGGGACCUAACAAGCUGAGAAGUUUGACAAUGCUGCAAGGCUUCAUCCGAAAGUCCGGGGAAGAAUAUUAGGAGUUACACUCCGUUUCCUUUUUUGGGUGCAUUUUUCUCCUUUAACAUUCUAUUCCCUUUUACAUUAGCAUUUGAUCUUAGCUCAUUUCAAGUACAAGUUUCUUGAACCCUAUACCAUUGUCAAAGUUGAGUAACCAUCUCUACUUUGCUCAAGAAACAUAAAAGACAAUGACAAUAAAGAAAAAGGAGAGAGACCAUACGUGACUUGGUUUAUAGGUGGCUUUGUGUUGACAUUUGAGUAUGGAAGCCGACAUGCAUCUUAGCUUCGAUUUUAAUUAAAUUUGUACAUUAGUGUCUGUGUCAUUCAUUUUGGUAUAAAAGGUCUCUUGAUUUCGUAAGUUUGGUAAGAACCGUUGAAAAUAGCAGUAGCAGCACAUGGUCCACUUUCUUUCACAAAAUAAUUUUAAAAGUUUAGAAGCAUAGGAGGUAACAUUAGUGGCCUUGUGGCUCAGCCACGAGUACUAUGUGGUGCUCGAGAAAUUGAGUUUAAUUUCCUUCCGAUAGUUCAUGAUAAGGUCCGUCACUGUCCUGAGACAGAUUGCGUUUUUUCUUUUUUCCUUUUUUAGUGUUUUAUUGACUAGCUAGGUGUGACUUUUCCUACUUUAAGGCACGAGGCAGAAAAGAAACUGGGAUUUAGUGCUUAAGAAGGCAAAUUUAAUUCGAUUUGGAUCUAAAAUUUGCCAGCAACAUGAGAUUUUCCAGCCUAUCGUUGCUCCACAUAUAGACAAGGCACUUGUAGAAGUGGCUUGUUUGUAGCCAUUCCCGAUAUUUGGACUCACUUGAUUCACCGGACACUUUGAUAAAAUUUAAUAUUUAUUAUUUAAUAAUUUAAAUUGAUUUAAAAUUAAAUUAUACCGAAGUUGUGAUUUAAAAAUUAUUAUUUAAUUCUUACUUUUAAAUAUGAAGAUUAUUUGAUAAAAAUAAUUUAAAAUUUAUUAUAAAUUAUCAAAUUAACAUAUUUAUCCUUAUAAAUUAUAAUUAAAACAGAAAAGGUCAAAUGAUUUGAGUAUCCAUAGAUGUGGUAAAAUAAUAAAAAAGAUUAUAAAAACAAUUAUGAUAAAUAAAGAUAAAAAGUAAAAUGAAUAUGUGAAUUUAAAGAAUAAAUUAAUUAUUUUUAUUUAUUACUUAAAAUUAUUUUUGACUUUAAAUUAUAUUAUUAAAUUAUUUUACCAAACAUACUUAAUUUAGUUAAUAAUUUAAAUUUAAUUUAAGUUAUUAAAUUGAUUCACCAAAUACCCACUUAAUCAAAGACUGAAGUAUACAUUAUUUGGCCAAAUGCAGCUAUUGAAAUUUAACUUUUUCCAAACUUAUUCAUUUUGUGGAAAUAUUUUUAGAAAUGAUUUUAAAAAUGCACUAUUCUGUGUGUUGAUUUUAUAUUUUGGCAUUAAUCCAACAUAGAAAACGGUUCUUAUUUUCGCUGUUAAAUAGGUACCAGAUCCUUAAUUAGUGCCGUGAAUCCGGCAGCUUCCAAUGAGUAAUUUGGACUUGGGUAUUGACAAUGUGUGGCCAUGCUUCUACUAUUUUAUUAUUCUUGAAACAUAUAUGAUAUAUUGGACUUUAUACAGGGAAAAAAAAAAAAAAAAGUCUUCACCAAAAAUGAUUCCUCCUAAAAAAUAGACUCCACAAACUAGGUUUAACAGGAAAAUGAUUCUAAUCUAGUAGUUUCCAGCCACAUGAGCAUUUACGUAACAAUAGUAUAGUUGAUAACGACUUUUAUUUUAUUUAUUUUUAAAUAGUUAAAGGGAUAAUUUUUGAGCUUAAAUUUUAUUUUUUUAUUUAGAAACAUUUUACUUUAUUUUUUAAUCAUAAUUCUAUUAUAUUAAUGUUUUAUUUUCUAUUUUUUAAUAUAUAAGGAGAUACUAAAUUUAUGUGAUUAUUUUUUAAAAAUUUAGUAUAUGAAAUUAAAUAAUUGGAUAUAUAUACAUAUAUCAUAUAAUGUUUUUUAAGUGUGAUUUUUGAACUUUUUAGUCAUUUUAUAAGUUUAAGCUUUUGAUUUUUUUUUUUAAACUUUGGUAUUUUUUAUUUUAUAUAAAACUAUUUUGAUUUAAUUUUAUUAAAAAAUAUUGGUAUUAUAAAUUAUUGUAUUAAUUAUUUUUUUAUAUUAUAAUGUAACUGGUAUAUACUAAAAAAUGUAUGCAAGUUCAAUUUAAGUUUCAAAUUAAAAAAUUUCAUUUAAAUAUUUAAUAACUUGUUCAUAAUAAAAAAUUAAACAACAUAAUACAAAUGAAAAGAAACAUAAAAGAAAAAGGAAAAAAUGGUCCUCUCUGUGUGUCACAUUACUAGGUCAUCCUCUUUUUCUAUGACCCUUACAAUAGAAUGGCAUAUUUGUCAAAUCUACUUAUGAAAGUUGGAAUGUUUCUACAUGUGUAGGGUCCAUUGGAACUAAUGGAGGAAAGGCUUAACGUCUAUGUAAAUCACAACGUUGCCUAGGUGGGCAUAGAUCUAGUUGUGUAACAUGAGAUGGUGUGAGAGUACAAUAUAUGCAUUGUAGUCUCUAUGGGAAGAGAGAUAGGUAAUGGUAGGGUGGUAGACGGUAGGGUGAUCUCUAAUAUAAUGACAUUUGAUGUGGUGGCUUCUAAGAGAGGAGAUAUAAGAGAUGGUAGAAUGACAUUUGGUGUAAUGGUCUCUAGUGCAAUGACAUGUGAUAUGGUGACCUAUAAAGAAGAGAUAUAGGUGAUGGUGAAGUGGUAUGUGGUGUAGUGACCUUUGAGAUAGAAAAUAGAGGUAAUGGUAGGUUGGCAGGUGGAGUGGUCUUUGGUGUAGUGACAUCAAUUAUAAAUGUCUCCAAGGGAGGAAAUAAAGGUGAUGGUAGGUAGUAAAUGUUGAGGUGGUCUUUGAUAUGUUAUGCUCUAAGAGAGAAGGUAUAGGUAAUGAUAAUAGGGAAUUUGACAUAGUGGUGUUGGAAAUAAAAAGUGAAAGUGACCGUAGAGGUGAAAGGGCAAGUGUAAAAGCCUCAAGUACGAAUGGAGUAAUUAAUGUGGAUGGUGCUAACAUAGUCUUAGGUGGAUACACAAAUAGUCAUAGUCAUCAACUAGCUUGCCCACCAUCUGUCUUUCUGCUAGUGAUAGGUUACAUCUUAAUAGUAAUGGCCAACAUAAGUGGUGUGGAUCCGAUUUUUUUACGUGUGUCCCCACUCAAUCGACAAGACUUAUUUUUUAUUAGUGAAAAAUUAAUUUUGGAAAAGUUGGAGUCACCACUUAUUUUAUUUUAUUUUAAAAAGGAAAGUAAAACAAGAAAGAGAACUCUAAAGAAGUGACUUCAUAGUUUUGGAAAAGUUAGUCUUAAAAAAUCCAAGUCUUGGUCCGGAGAUCAGGUUACUUAUUGGGAAGAUACCUCUAAGAGGUAAUACCCCUCUAAACCCUAAAGAAGUCUCUAAUGACUAAGUUGAGGAGAAUGUGGUAAUUAAUUAAUUGAUUGAGGGUACCUAGGUAGACUAAGGUGAUUUCAGAAUUAACAUACCAAGCUAGAAAGUCCAAUCAUGAUCAUAAAAGAGAGUCAAAGUAUGUACCUGAACUGCUUCUCAAACGCUAUCAUAAAACAUCAAAGUUAGUAUAGAAAUAUAACACAUAAUAUUUGUUUUAUCCAAGCAAAUAAAGCAUACAUCUAAGCACCCAAGAAUCACAUCAAGUAUGGAUAUAGUCAUCAAUAGCAUACGUGUCCAUAGAACUAUCGAAAGUAAAUGUGGAGGAGCGUAUCUGGACAACAUAGAUAACUUAUAAUGUGCUUCCACAAGACAUGGGGGUUAGAUAAAAGUUAUAAUAAUAAUUAGUAAAUGAAAGAAUUCUAGCAUGUUUGGUAUCUAAAUAACAUAGCAAAAAUGAACAAGAGUACACGAAAACAUCAAUUAUCACACGAGUCAUAUUGGCUAGUAUUUAAUCAAUAAACCAACAAUAAAUGACUAUAAACAUAUAAAAUGACAUAUUCAAAGAGACCCAAACAUAAAGAGCCUAGAACACAAGCUUACACUAAAUUUAGAAAACUAAAACAUGGAAUUUUAAAAGCAUAAAUUAGCAAACAAAUUGAUGGAAACUAAAUUUAGAUAACUUAAGAAUAUUUUUCUUAUCCUUCAAUUUAAAUCAGUAAGCCAACAAUAAAAAAUUAUAGAAACAUGGAAUAUCAAGAUCAAUGGGAUACCUAAACUAUAAUUUUUAAAAGAAAAUAAACUAAGCAUAAUAUCUACAAAGCAACUAAACUAACAUUUUUUUAAAAAUAAAUUAAACAUGACAUUAAUGGAGUAACCAAACUAAAUUAAAGUAAACUAAAAACAUUUAUGAAUUUUCAAACAUGGAAUCAGCUUUCUUAGUAAAUUAAAAUUAUUAAAAUAAAAUCUAAGCUUAAAAAUGAAUUAAAUACUAACUAAAGCAAAUCUAAAACCAAAUAUUUAACACAUAGGAUCAAUUAUAUUAACAAACUAAAAUUUUAUAAGAACACUUAAACCUAAAGUUGAAUUAAAAACUAACCAAUUUUUAAAACUAGAUCUUUAACCCAUAGGAUCAAUUAUAUUAACAAAUAAAUAAUAAAUAAUAAAUAAAUAAAACUCAAACCUAAAGAUGAACUAGAAAUGUACCAAAGUAAAUUCAAAACAAGAUCUUUAACACAUUAGAUCAAUUAUAUUGACUAACUAAAAAAAAAAAAAAAAAACACUCAAACCUGAAACGAUGUAUUAGAAACUAACCAAAGCAAAUUUAAAAUAGAGUCUUUAACACAUAGGAUCAAUUAUAAUCACUAACUUAAAUUACAAUUUUUGAAACAUGAACUAAUUAGUGUUGGAUUAAUUAAACUAAUUAACUAAAAAAAACUAUAAACUAGAAUACGGUGAAUCAAGAAUUCAAAUCAACAAACAUAAAAUAUGGGUACAAUGAAAUGAAAAUCUAUUAAACUAAUAAGACGGAAAUAUGACAAACUCAUGAACCCACAUUUUGAUCAACUAGGAAAUAGAAAUUAAUAGACCUGUAGCAUGGAUACAAUGAAAUGAGAUCAGUUAAAUUUAUUUGCCGAAAUUCUAAAAAACACAUACACUCAAAUAAGAUCUAAAUCUAAGACCAAGCAAAACUCAAACUUUCUCAAUCUAAUGCAAUGAAUCAAAACUAAAAUUAAAUAGAAAUCAAACCAUUUUUUUUUUAUCUAAUAUAAUAAAUCAAAGCUAAAACUAAACAAAAUCGAAUUUUCUUAAUUUAAUAUGAUGAGUCAAAGCUAAAAUUGAACAAAGUUCAAACCUUUAUAUAAUGGAUCAAAGUUAAAUCUAAAUGAAAUCCAUACUUCCACAAUUUGAUAUAACAAAUCAAAAAUAAAACUAGAUAAAAAAAAAGUCAAAGCCUUUCAACUUGACAUAGUGAAUCCAAACUGAAACGAAACAAAAUUUUAACUUUUCCAAUGAAACCCAAUAUAGAAAAAAUUAGCUUACCUUCUUUAGAAUAUAUGUAUGGGCCAUAAAGAAGUCACCUUGGUGCAUGUGUUCCUCACUUUGACGCCAAUGGACGACUUUCUAUGGUAGCAAAUGGAGAUCCUUUUUGGUGGUAACUUGCGUGUGGAAACCUAUGGUACAACCAAUGUCAUCUUUUAUUGUGCGUGUGGACCAAUUUCUUCUCGAGAACUCAUGUGUGUUGUGCUCAAAAUAUGUUGCCUGUGAGAAUCUAUUGGUAUACCCCACAUAUGGUUUCCUUGAGAGAAUCUGUGGUUGUGUGUGGGCGUUUUCUUCAUGACAGCAUGUGGAUGUUCCCAUCUAUGGUAGAUUGGUUGUGAUGCUUUAGUGCAUGGUCUCCAUAGGAAUAGUGUGUUAUGGAAAUUUGGUUUUUUUAUUGGUGCAUGUUGUCUAGACUUUCCCAUAUGCGUGGACUGUGUGUUCAUGCUUUUCUUUUCGGAUGGUCGCCUGUGUUAAUGUGUGGCGGUGUCUACAAUGAAAGAUACAACCCUUUCUCUCCUUCUGCGUGAUAGAAAAGUCAAUCCCCCAUGGUGCGACUAUGUUCCCUCGUCCUUUUUGAAAAAUUUUGGUGUUUUCCCCCCAAAAAAUCCCCUCCAAAAAUCUAAUUAUAAAUGUCUGCUUUGGCCUAAUGUGUGUGCUACUUUUUUUUUCCUUCUUUUUAUGGUUGUGCGUGCUUUUCUUGAUACGUGGCUUAUUUCUUAAGGAUAUGAUUCGCUCCCAAUUGGUGUCUCAGCUGAUUCAUGUCCUUUCAAUGGUCCCUGACAGUGGUGCCAUUUGAUUCGUGUCCAGCUGGUGUCCCUUGAUUGUGGUCCUCAGAAGGGAGUAAUCAAUAAAAUUUAUAACCUAUUACACCAUGUAUUAGGAUAGCCUUAGCUAGCAUAGCAUAGUGGCUCUAGGGUCGUUUAUUGGGAUGAGUUUUCACUUCACAAUUGAUAUUAAUUCAAGAGCUGAAUUGGUGCCUUUUCAUUUCAAGGUUAGCUUUAAAAGAAAACAUAAUCUUUGGUGGAAAAAGGUUUGGUUUUAAACUAACCAAAAAUAGUAACUGAUUUUACUUACAAAGAAAAGUGUUCUUUGGAGUUUAGAUCACUAGGCUCAGGUUCCUCAUACAAAAAGGAGAGUUCCGAUCAUUUGUUUCUUUUCCUCGCAUUAGAGAAUUAACAUAUAGUUAAUUCUCUAACCGGUGCGGUACAUAUGCUUCCCAUUAAUGGGUUCAAACACUAAAUACCUCUCACUGAUGCACCUUGCAAUGGCUCGUGCCUCUCACCUAGCAUUUAUCAUUCAAGGUGAUCUUUAACCUUGGAUUACCCAUCAAAAGCUCGCAAGAGAUAACUAAAGGAUGUCUCCUUAGAGUCCAAAAGCUUACCAAGUGUUGGUUAUUCUAGAAAAUCCUACCUUCAAACCACCUCCCAAAGGCUCGCAAGAGAUAAACAAGUGCAUCUCAAUGGAUGAAGAUCACUUGCCUUACCAAGUUUUGGCCCAGAUGAUUUAAUGACAUUUUAAGUUAACUAAAAAGAUAAAAACCAUUAACGGGUCACACUUUCUCUUCAUUAAAAACUAAAACAACAAAACUUCCAAUUUAUGCAUGAGGAAACUUACCUGGCUUUCUUCACUUCAAGAGAUGAAGAGCCUAGCCACUCAUCAUUUGAGGAAAAAUCCUCAGAGUUUGAUUUGCUAGAAAUAAAAAUAAUGAGAAAACAAAAAUAUAUAUAUGAAAAACAGAGCAAGUUCUCUGUAAUAUAUUUUUCUUCCUUAUACAAAAGGUUGUCUCUAAGAACAAGUUCCCGAGAUCUAUCUGAUUGUAAAUAAAAUUACAACUAUAUAUAAGAGGUUAUUCACCCCUUUGUUCUUUCUUAAAGACUAAGGAAUCCUAUGAUAGGUGGGUUACAAGGAGAGUUUGGGGAUUUAGACAUCAAAUAUCUAAAGCAAAAUAUCUCAAGAUGUUAGUCGGAAAUAUCAGGAAGCUUCAGGAGAACACCGCGACACUGUAUACUGAGAGAAAAACUCUCCGGGUAAGCUCUAUCAAAGGAUCCAGACAUGUCUGACUGGGAAAGUUGAAACGUCCUUCUCUCCCAUCCGGAUGUGAGAUAUCCGGAGAAAGUGAAAUGUCGGUCGGACAGAAUUCUUUCCCCGGGUGGAAUGAGUUGUGUUGCGCGUCGCAAGGGGGACCGUCUGCGUGUACAAGUUGUAGGGACCCCUCUCCCGGAUGACACCGAGCGCGUAAGGCUAUCCGGAUCAACUCCAUUCGGAUUCCCCAAGAGGACAUGUGGCGUGCUCCCCUAUCAGGACUCCCUUAGGGAGAAGCACACGACACUCGUGAACAUCAUACCCGGACGAUAGCAUGUCCUAUCCGGAUGUGUUGUCCGGAUCAUUGACUAAAGUGAGCAAGCCUUGCUACGUCAUUCGGACAGCUUGCCACAUACCAUGUUCCGUCGCCAUCUGAUGGUGUGUCCGAACGCCUUGUCCGGACAUCUUUUGCUCCUUGCAUUCCGGAUUUGCUUAUGACAAAGGACUUCAAAGCUUCGGUUCUUCAUGUUUCUGAGCUUUCCAUUGCUUUGCCAUGGAUUCCAAAGAACUCUCCUUAAUCACGGAUUGCUUUGGUGAUCAAAAAGUUAUCAAAACACAAAAACUUAACAUAGUUUGAUUAGAAUUGAUUGCAAGGGUUCUUAAUAUGUUAAUUGGGUUAAAAGGUGAUAACUACUACUCAAAAGUGUUUAUAAGAAUUAAUUACAAGCUAUGAAAUAACACUUUUUGAGUAGUAAUCAGGAUACAUCCUAGUUUUUCAUGGAAUUGAUAGUGGGUUGUUGUGCAUGAAUGCCACCAUUUCAACUAUGCUGUUGUUAUUUUUAAAAAAAAUAUGGAUUAUGCGCGAGUGGCAAUUCUCCACUAUGGAAAGUGGAUUGCUCCUUCAACCCAUGCAUGGCUACGUAUUCCUAUGUCUUUCUACUUGUGUUUGAUCCUCCAAAAAAAAUUUCGGUUUAGUGCUAGUAGAUUUUAAGUGGUGGAUCCCCAUUUUUUGAAAAUGAAGUGGCAGCCUCCCAUUUCAAGACAAAAUGGUAGCCUGCCUUUAAUCUUUGGAGAAAAAUCUGUGCAUGACCUUUUUUUUUCCCAAAAAAUCCGUGCAUGGUGUCCUUUAAUAUUUGGAGAAAAAUCUAUGUUGGAUCUUUUCUUUUCUAGAAACAUUUGUGUGGUCUUUUUUGUUAGCCCAAGGGUUCUUCUAAUCAAGUUUUGAUGAUAACAAACCAUGGUUAAGUGACUAAUUGGUUUAAUGAUUAAGAAUCUCAAACAUAAAAUCGAAAAUUCAUCAAAGGACCAAAUGGAUACAAGAUCGAGACGCUUGGAAGACUUGUAAUCAUAGGAAACUAAUGUAAGAUGAAUGCAUGAGUGCACUUAGGAUUUUCACACGUUUCAUGCAACUUAGAAAACCCAGUUUAUUCUUUAAAACUUCAUCCCAGUUUAUUCUUUUUAUGGUUGUGUGUGCUUUCCUUGAUACGUGGCUUAUUUAUUAAGGAUACAUCCCAGUUUUUCAUGGAAUUGACAGUGGGUUGUUGUGUGUGAAUGCCACCAUUUCAACUGUGCUGUUGUUAUUUAAAAAAAAAAAAAAUGGAUUGUGCGCGAGUGGCAAUUCUCCACUAUGGAAAGUGGAUUGCUCCUUCAACCCAUGCAUGGCUACGUAUUCCUAUGUCUUUCUGCUUGUGUGUGAUCCUCCAAAAAAAAUUUUGGUUUAGUGCUAGUAGAUUUUAAGUGGUGGAUCCCCUUUUUUUGAAAACUAAGUGGCAGCCUCCCAUUUCAAAACGAAGUGGUAGCCUGCCUUUAGUCUUUGGAGAAAAAUCUGUGCAUGACUUUUUUUUUCCCAAAAAAUCCAUGCAUGGUGUCCUUUAAUAUUUGGAGAAAAAUCUAUGUGGGAUCUUUUAUUUUCUAGAAAAAUUUGUGUGGUCUUUUUUGUUAGCCCAAGGGUUCUCCUAAUCAGGUUUUGAUGAUAACAAAUCAUGGUUAAGUGACUAAUUGGUUUAAUGAUUAAGAAUCUCAAACAUAAACUCGAAAAUUCAUCAAAUGACCAAAUGGAUACAAGAUCGAGACGCUUGGAAGACUUGUGAUCAUAGGAAACUAAUGUAAGAUGAAUGCAUGAGUGCACUUAGGAUUUUCACACGUUUCAUGCAAUUUAGAAAACCCAGUUUAUUCUUUAAAACUUCAAUUUCAUUAAAACCCGAGUUUUUAACUAAUGUACCUUAGGCAAAAUGUUUUAUAAUUGGCUUAAUAAUUCACCUAAAUACAUUUUCUAAGUGUUAGAAAAGAAAGGAAUUAAAAAAAGGUUUUCGGGGCAAAAAAGGCUCAACCGGUCGAGGCUAUGGUCAACCGGCUCAACCGGUUGAGGAACCAAUCGAUCGGUUGUGCUUGUCCGAUCGAAGACCAAUCGAGGGAUGCCAAAAAAUUUCUCUCUCUCCUAGUGGCCUUCUCUUCCCGGUCGAGGUUCGGUCUAGGCAACGGUAACAUGUCAAGCAUUAAAUGCUCCGACGACUAGUGAAUCGGUCGACCCCUAGCCCGAUCGGACGAGGUUGCCUUUUGCUGUUUUUGACUCCCGAGCUUAGAAACCUAUAAAUUGAGAGCUCCACUUCAUUUAUUGAUAAAAGAGAACACUUGCAUUCAAUAGUCUACCUACCUUUUCUUGAUCAAAAAGCUCUCAUUUCCUUCAUAGUGCAUUAAAUCAUCACUUGCAUAUCCUUUAGUGCACUAUUGUGUGUCAUCCUAGCUUUGUUUUGUAUUUGAGCUAUCCUUAAGCUAGGUUGAGGGAUUAUUUCUUAUAAAAAUCUGAGUGUUAAAGCCUUCAAGAGAUUUGAAUCUUGAAGAGAUUGUGUAAGAGCCCAUUGGAGCCGGAGUCCAAGUGUAAGAAGAUUGGAAGCUUGGUUGAAGCUUCAAGUUAGUGGAACCCUCACUCGGUUAGGAGGUUGAGGAGAGUGGACGUAGGUAAGGAAGUGUCGAACCAUUAUAAACCCGAGUUUGAAUUCUCUAACUCUAUCUCUUUAUUUUGCUUAUAUUGUGUUUGAAUUUGUUGUGAUUGAAAAGAUUUUAAAAACCUAAUUCACCCUCCCCCCUUUUGGGUUUUUUUUUCUUAAUUAAGCAUAACCUUUGUUUUCUAAUUUUCUUUUUAGGAAAAUCCAUGCGUGGUAUGUCCAAACUCUCCAAGUGGCAGUCUGCCUUCUUCUAAAAAAUUUGUUUCUAUUUCUUUAUUCGACUACCUUCCAUGUCUUCCUAAUGAGUGCUUGUGCUCAAUGGUCAAUCCCUGGUGGUUGCCUCCUUUUCCCAUAUAUACGUGUUGCAAAAUCAACAUCCCACUAUAUGUGGGUUGCCUCUAUGGCAAGUUCACAUUUCCCACAUGAAACCUAUGAGUUUCCACCAAAAAUUGCCAUGAAAAAGUCUUUAUAUGCAUCUCAUGCAAUAAAAAGUCAAGCCAAUACUCAUCUUAUCUCGAAAAAUAAGUAACCAAAAUCAAGAUCAUGCCUAAGUGAACUAUGCCAAAAGAAGUGUCCAAGUGACCUAUUAUGAAAAAAGUGCCUAAGUGACCUAAGGUGAAUGUGUGUAAGCUGGAAGGUGUCUAGGAUGUUUAGGACAAUGCCUAAGCCUAAAAUAGGGUUGCCAAGGGUCACAAUGGGGUUAGAUAAAUCUCUCAAUCAGAGUCUCCAAGGUGGCUCAUAAAAGAUAAGCUACACGAGUAAUGAUGGGCCACCAGGGAAUUAUUGUAAAGCACCAAACGAACACAUAAUAGGACAUGUGUUAGAAUGAAAAAAUGGAGGGUUUACAAGUGGUCUCAUGGAUGAGCUUGAUAAUUUAAAUGACUCACAUAAUGAACGUAUGUGAUGUUUCUCUCCAAUAACAAGCAAAACAUCACUAGCAAUAUGAUGAAUGUCUCCUAAAUCACUUGAAGUAGUCCUAGCAAAUCAAUUAGAAAAAUCACACAUAUUGCUCUAAUGUAAUAUUAUAUACAUCUGUCAAUGAAUGGGAGAACUAAUGACACAACCAUCAUGUUGAUAUCUCGAACCCUCUAAUCUCAUAUGUAGGUGGGAUCACACUUAGAAACUCAUAACACAGUAAUGACCAAUCUAAGUCAAAAUGUGUUGGUGAUCGGAGGCCCAUGAAUAUGAAGUUCUAGGAUGAUAAUGACAUCUUAUAAAGUAAUGAUCAUCUCCUUAAUAGAUAGGUGAAAUGUGUGUGUCUUAGGACACCAUCUCUCAACAAGACUUGUGAUCAAUCCCCAGUCUAGUGUAACAUGCCUAUUAUGACAUCCAUCGUAAAAUCUAGACUAGAUAAUAUAAGGACAAAUGUGAGGGUUCAUCUCCCUUUCCCACAUAAAUUUAAAAAAUUAUUAUUGACAAGUUAAGACCAAACUAAGUUGCAAAAUAUAAAUAAGUCCAUUAGAUAACAAAUUUAUGUUUUCUCAUUUUCUCAUUUUUAAAGAGAUAUUAUGUGCUUCCAUGUACAUACAUGCUAAAGUCAAUUAUACGAGACUUAUAUCCAUCUUGUAGAACCAAAUCGAACCUAUCUAAUAGAUCCAGAUUAGAAGUAUGUCCUCUAUACUCCAUAUUUAUAACACAUUUAUAAAGAUAAAUGCUAAAAAAAUGUUAAAGAUAUAAAUUUAAUGAACCAUACUUUAUGAUUUUAAUUCUCAAUUAUUGUUCAUAUUUAUAAGAGAAAAGUUAAAAAAAUUGAUAGAGUUUUCCCUCUAUCAUGGACAUUAUCCCAAAUAAAAAUAAAUUGAUUAUGCAAAUUACAUUAAUAUUUGUAACCAAAUGAUCAAUAACUAUCUUGUAUCAAUUUAGUAAAUAAAUUUAAGUAUAUCUUUUCAUUUAUGACUAACAAAUAACUCAUACUUGUCCAAUAAAAGCCACACCUAAUUUCUAAAAUUUUGUCUUCACCUCAAGUGAGUGUUACAUUGAGAAAGAAAAAAUAUGAAAGAAAAAAUGAACACCUUUUUCUUUUAAUAAAAAAAGGCCAUAACGAAACAUUAAAUCUCACUGUUACACCUAUCUUCAAUGGAAACAUGAGGAUGUGAAUGGUGGCGGUGAUAUUCUUUGCUUGAAGCUCAUAAACAAAUAUUCCUUACUAAGCCUAUGCCAUUUAGUAUUUCAAUAGUGGACCCCCCCCCCCCCCCCCCCCCCCUCCUUGCAUUUCAGAUUUAGCAAACUUAGAACCAAAUAACAAAGUGCAUUUGAACCCAUAAAGAAGUAAUGAGACUCUCCUAUAUUGGCAAUAGAAGAAAUUUUUGGAGGUAUAGGAGAUUCACGGAUGAAGAAGUUGGGCCCCAAUUGAGAUAAGACCCAAGAAAAGAUGGGGUAGAGAGGGAUGGUUGGAAAUUGUAAAGUAAGAUUUUCAAAAUGUAGUUGAUGACUAAGAUUUUGACAAUUUAAAAAAGGUUUAAAAAUGUAGUUAGCAAUCGGGGUUUUGUAACAUUUAAAAAAUAAAAUAAAAUCUCAGGCCACAUGGUAGCCCAUGUGAUUCAGAAGCUUGAGAAUUAUUUUAUAAGAAGACUUAAUUUGUGAUUUUUUUAUAACUAUAUUAUUUUUUUUCUUAACACACGAAAAAAAUUAUGAAAUAAGACAAUUUUCCUAAGAAAGCAUGUAAGUGACUCUUGGUUAUUUUAUUUAACUUCUUCUAGUUUGGAGAGGAUUAAUACCUUUGCUUUUACUCACUUGCUUGGAUAUGUACACGUUGUUCAUGUCACUUUUCAUUUAAUUUUCUGAUUAAGGGAAUUGGAACCGUACGUAACUGUCUUUAUUCCCUCUGAAACUUGGACUUGGAGUUGGACUUUCAAUCUCAUCAGUCGUGUUUCCAUAAAAAAGAAGAUGGAUUAACCAAUUUUCCUAUGCCUACUAAUCAUACACAAAACUCCACUUCCAAAUAAAAAGGAAUGGGAUAUCACUUGUUAAUAGUGGCUAAAGACUAUUAAUAACCAUGCAAAGAAAUGUCACAUUUUUUGUUCUACGCAAAUUUUAUUCAUCAACUACUAGAACCAUUUCAUACAAUAGUAGCUUUUCGAUCCUUUGAUAAAUGGACACUUGAUGUGAUAACACCAACUACACCUAUAUAUUCAAGCAAUCAUGCGUAUAUAAUAGUGGAUAUGGAUUACUUCUCUAAAUGGGCAAAAGUUUUGUCAUUCAAGGAAAGUGAACGAGGAAACACAAGUUUACUUUCAUCGGAACUAAUAUUAUAUAUUGAUAUGACUUCCCAUUAUUACUUACGAUGGAAUAUGCUUCCAUAAAAUGGCCUAGAUGAACAAACUAUCCAAGAAGUUUGGGAUCAAAUAAUAUAUAUAUAGUUCAUGUGUGAUUCUUUGGUUGACAACCUUGUUAAGGGGUGAGUGAAGCACUUUGGGCAUACCACAUACUACAUGCUAGACUUCCACCCAAGCUACCCUAUAUUCCUUAUGAACAAAGUAGAAGUUGUCAUCUCUCUUGAAUACCAAAUCCUUUCACCUAAUAAUGCUAUCUAAAAAGGUCUUAAAAAGGAUAAAAAUGCGCAUAUUUGAAUUUUUGAAUUAGGAGUGCUACUUAAAAAGAAGCUAGAUAUACAAUAAUAGAAUGUUAUCAAGCAUAUCUCUUCAAAGUUUUUGACCAAAAAAUAUAUGAUUUCUCAUUUUAGGUAGGAGACUUAGUACUCACUAUUCAAAAACCAAUUAUCAUUACUCAUAAAAACUAAUAGAAAGUUUGGGCCAAAGUAGGAUGGACCUUAUAUUAUGCAACAAUUAUGCCUAUAAAAUUGUUGCAAAAGAGGUUUUAGAAUCAAAUCAAUGAAUGAAAAAUUAUUAAAGCAUUACUAUGCUUGAAGGCUAGUCAUUUUCCCUUAAAGUGCAAUAUUAAGUUGCAUAGUACUAUGUGGAUCCGCAUUUUUCACAUGCGUUCCCACUCAUUGUCGAGACUCACUUUUUAGAAGUGAAAAAUUAGUUUUAUUAAAGUCGAAGUUGCCACUGGGGAUUUGAACCCUAACAAAAGGUUCAAUUUAAGGAUAAAAAUAUCGAUAAUCACAUAUAUAUAUAUUGGUACUUUGAUUUUAUGAAUAUAUUGAAGAAAUAUGGACAAAUAUUUUGACACAAAAUAUGUACAAAAUAAAAAUUAUAUAAAAAGUAAAAAUAAAUAUUUUAAAAUUAUUUUUUUAAAUAUAUAUAUAUAUAAUUUGACAUAUUUGAUAAUAAUAUAUAAGGGUCUCCAAAAAGCCCGUGGCCCGCUUUAGGCCCGGUCCGACCCGACAGGCUAAAGCCCGGCCCAAGCCCGCCGGGCCCAAGCUCGGCCCGAGCCCGUUUAUGGGUGGGCCGGGCCGCGAGCCCGUAGGCCUGCUCCUUUAAAAAAAAACUACAAAAAUAAAAAGUAUUAAAAAAAAUAUUCAUUUCAAAAUUUUAUUCAUUGAAUGUAUAAUUACAUUUGAAAAUGUGGGAAAAGUUUACAUCACUACAAAAUAAAUACAUCCCAACUAGGUUGGCACCUAUUUAUUUGUCAAUCAUCUGUAUUUUUCAACCACAAAAAAUAAAAAUAAAAAUAUAAUAUACAUUUAGUCAUUAUUUUCUGGCGGUGAUGGCGAACUAUCAUGCAUCCAUGAAGAUCUUGAUAAUUUUAAAGAUUCCAUAUCGGUAAGCAUCUUUGUUUCUCGAAUGGAAUCAUACAUCCUUUUAUCUGCUAUUUCCCAAUCUUUCACACAUAUCCCUGCUUUAAUAACAUCUGACGCUAAGUUGCAUCGUUUUUUACUAACUACUCUUCCACCUGCACUAAAAGCAGCUUCUGAUGCAACUGUACUCACAGGAACUGUUAGUACAUCACGAGCAAUUAUAGAAAGCACAGGAUAUUUGUGUUGAUGUGAUUUCCACCAUAUUAAAAUAUUAAAAUCUUCUUGAUCUUCAAAUGAAAUUAUAUCAGUAUUAAGAUAUUUAUCUAAAUCAGAUGUAUUAUUUGGAGAAUUAUUUGUUGUCUUUUUUCGACUUUUCAACAUUUCUAGAGCUCCUUUAUAAAAAGAUGAGGAGUUUGUAGAUGUAGGUGGUAAUUUAAUAGUAUUAAUAUCAUUACCAUAUUUUUCUUUAUAAUAGUUAUAUAAAUUAUAUAAUAAUGAAUUUAUUUCAUUUUUAAUUUCUUCAAUUUUUAUUUGGUCAUUAAAAUAAAUAAUUGUUAACCAUUCAUCCAAAGCUUCAAAUUUCAAUCUAGGGUCCACAAUUAAAGCAAUAUAAAAAAUUAAAGGUAUUUCUCCCCAAUAUUUUCUAAAUUUUUAUAUCAUUACAAAUAUUGUAUCAUUAAAUAUUUCAAAACUUAAAUAUUUUUGAAGUACAAUAAAAAUAUUAGUUAUUUGCGUAAUAACUCGAUUUGAAGUUGGAUAAUAUACACCACAAAAAAUGUUUGUUGAAGUAUCAAAAAUUUCAAAAAGAUCUCUUAAAACAUCCGCAAUAUGCCAAUCAUAAUCAUUUAAUGCAUAAAUAUCUGCUUCAUAAUCAUUGUUAAUUAAUUGUAUUUCAUAUAAUUCGACUACUUUUCUAUAUUUUGUAAUAUUUUCUAAAAGUUUAUAUGUGGAAUUCCAUCUAAUAGCCAUAUCCAAAUUUAUAUUUUUUCUUUUCAUAUUUAACAUUUUGCAACAAUCAAAAAAUAAUUCAUGUUUUGCUUGAAAACUAUUAAUACUAUAUGCAAUGCCUCUAAUUUUUUUCCAAUGUACUAUCAACAUUUUUUAAUCCAUCCUUUACAAUUAAAUUUAAAAUAUGUGCACAACAACGCACAUGAAAUAUUUUAGCAUGAUCUUCUUUUACUUGCCAAUAUCGUUUUAGUCUAUGUAUUGCUGCAUCAUUAUUAGCAGCAUUAUCUAAUGUUAUUGUCAAUAUUUUAUCACGAAUGCCUAAAUCUAUAAUUUCAUCAUUUAUUAAAGAUGCUAUAUUUUUACCACUAUGUGGAGUAUUUAUUAAUUUAAAUAAAAUUAUUCUUUUAUUUAAUUUCCAUUCAUUAUCAAUGUAGUGAACAAUUAUAUAUAAAAAACCAGUAUGAGUUAAAGAUGUCCAAAUGUCAGAUGUUAAACGAAUAUUUCCUUCAAAAUUUGCAAAAUUUUUUUUUAAAAUUUCUUUUUGUGUAUAAAUUUUUUUCAUAAUAUCUCUUUUAACUGUAUUUCCAGAUCAACCUUUAAAUUGAGGAUUAAUACCUCGUUGAAUUGUUCUUGCAAAAUCAUGAGUUUCCAUCAUGUUGAAAGGUUGUUCUGCUCUUAUUAUAUAAUCAAUCAUUUCUUCACAACAGUUAGAUUCAUCAUAAGAAAAUGUUUUUAAAUUUCCACUUUCAUUUUUACUUAAUUGCAUAUAAUUUCUAAUAUCUACAUUAUUUUUAGUUUUACAAUUUUCAUGAUGUCUUUUUAAAUGACUUGUAUCUGCAUUUGAGCCACCAGUAAGAAAUUUAUUACAAAUUUUACAUUUUGCUUUUAUUUUUUUUUUAUUAUUUUCUAAAAUUAUUUCUAUUCUAUCAAAAAAAUUCCAUAUAUUUAAAGUAAAUUUUUUGUUUGAUGAUAUUUCAUCACAUGGACUAGACGAAGAAGCACUUGUCAUAUUAUAAUUAUUGAUAAAAUAUUAUGCCAAAAAUAAUAAAGUAAUAAAUAUAAAAAAAAAUGUAACAAAAAAAAUAAAGUAGUAGGGGUGAAGUAUGUUACUCAAUUAGAGAACCUAUGCAGAAAUUCCUAGCAAAUUUGAACUCUUGGAGCCACCAAUGCUUGUUUUGCACCAUCAACAAUAUUGUAUAAUUUGAGGGAAAAAUAAAAGAAUUUAAAAUAUUGUAGAAUGUGAGAGAAAUAGAGAGAAUUUGAUGAAAAAAUGAAAAGGAAGAAAAUGUAUUUAUAGGAAGGUUAAAAAUAAUAAUAAUAAUAAUAAUAAUAAUAAUAAUAAUAAUAAUAAUAAUAAUAAUAAUAAUAAUUGGCCAUGUGACCGUUGGAGGCUUAGCUCCAACGGUCACAUGGGCUGGAGCUAGGCUCCAACAGUCACAUGACCGUUGGAGCCUUUAAUUUUUUUUUUUAAAAUAAUAUACUUUAUUUUUAUAUAUAUAUAACUAACUCAAUUAAUAAACAUAAAAAGAAUAUAGUUCAGUUGGUUAGAACCUUGAAGUUUAAACAUGAGGGGAGGGGUUUGAAUCCCUCCCUCUCCCUUAGGGGCUUUUUUAAAAGCCAUUUUGGCUUAUUUCAAAAAGCCUGUCGGCCCGACCCGCCCUGCAGCCCGCGGGCCUAGCAUUUUAGCAUGGCCUGGUCUGUUGACUAGUCAAAUGGCUCAUAGGCUCGGCCCGAACUGGGCCGCGGGCCUCUUAUUUACGGACCGGCCCGACCCGGCCCGCCCGUUGGAGACCCUUGAUAAUAUCUUCUAUAUUAAGUUACAUUAUAGUUUAUUUUACAAUAUUAUUAUGAUAAUAUGUCUAAUUUUAAAAUAUAUUUAAUAUUAAAAUUAUGAUCUAUUUUAAUUUAAAUGUAUUCAAUGAUAUCAAAUAAAUAAUAAUAUAUGUAUAAUUCUUUUAUUAUUUAUAUUUAUUAUUUUUAAUAAAUAUAUAGAUUAUAUAAAAAAGACCGGAUAUAUCUUUUCAAAUUUUGUAUCGCUCUCCAAGGAUAUUAGAUGUAUGGGAAUUUGUAUUGCUAUCUACGGAUACGUUGAUAUAUGGGUGAUUUAUCAGGAUAAUUAGAAAUUCUAAUUAUGUAAGCAGGUACGGAGUUCUGUGUCGGUGCGAUCUUGUCGACAACAGCUCCAAAUUGUGCAUCUUGCUCAUAGAGAGUAGCGGAAUGCACCAAUCGUAGGCUCAGAGUACCACUGAGUCGUCUGGCAGAGACCCAACUGAAGGUGCCUGUGUUGUUCCUGAUCUGAUCAGGCUUCAAACUACAAGGUGGAAUACUGGUUCCCCUAUAUCAGAAGCUGGAGAUACCCACCCCAUAUGCUCGUCUGGAUGUGCUCCUACCCUUUGAAGCCUUCUUCCGAGUCAAGUCCGAAUUGAUAAGGCUAGUGAGUUCCCAACCAACUGUACUCAGCAUGCUGCCAGGUGGAGACCCUCCAUAUUUGAUGGCUUCCUAAUAUUAAAAUGCUGACCACUGGUCUUCAUGUUCCACAGGCUUAAUUGUGUCCUUUGCUGAAAGAAUGGAUAGUGAUCCAUUUUAACACAUGAUUCACGCCGUCUUUGCCAUUCUUCAUGGUCUAGCCCUUUUAUAUAUAUGCUUCCUGAACUGUUGCUAUUAAUAAAAUGUGGUAUCUAUCCCGUACACCUUCCUGAUGGCCAGCGAAUGCAGAAGCUACAGAAACGGUUCCAUCUUUUGCUUCCGCCACUUUGGCAUCCUCCAUGAUGAGAUCGAAGGUGAAUAAUCAUAUUCUGGGGAUUUAUGUCCUGGAUAUUCUCAGUAAUGCCCAAUUUCCUGGUGCCGGCCUCAUUUCCAUGGGAACUGAUGGAUAACUUAAGGCUUCUACCAUCUGCGUGGUUCGCUUCUAACACAGGAAACUUCACGGCUAAAAGCAAGAUACCAAGAACAUCAAGGCUGUGACAAAAAUUAGUAUUUUUAACUUGUAGGAAUUUGAAAGGCAACCAACCAUCUAGCUCUGUUCUUAAAGCUCCCAUAGGAGGAUCAGAGGCUGGAUUGCUCAAGAUGAACUCAUCCAUUGUUGCACUUAAAAAGAAUUGGCAUGAAUUGUGGCCGCUCUAAUAGGUUCCCUAAACCAUCAUCCAAGUGGGCUUGCGGAAGGUAGCGAGUUUAAAACACCUAGGGCGAUGAACAGUGGACUGUGAUGCUCACAAAAGAGAAAAGGAAGAAUUCAAUAAUUCCUAAGAAUCCAUUUGCCUGUCAUCCAAAUUUUUAUAUUCUCUUCAGUCUGACGCGUUAUGCCAUAUAUUAAAAAUAGCGGCUUCUUCCAAGCCGAGACAGACUGUGCAAAGUUCGCAAGGCCAAUCAUCACCAUAAUCUGAAGUUGGCCUCCUCAAUCGCAGCUUGUAUCCGAAUGCUCACUUCACGGGAUGGAUUGUAAUGAAAACUAAUCUCAGUCCCAGCUAUGGCAGCAUCCUCACUUGACAGCAUUUUCUGCAUAUUCUAGAACAAAGCAAUAAACCCUCAAAGGCUCCUUCGGAUCAGAGUUAGAAGACUGUCCCUCAGGAACGUGAACACUAUGGUGGUUCUGAUAAGCAGUGAUAUUGCAUUAGAGCCUUUUGGAACAAGAGGAUCUUUUCAGGUGGAAACUGUAAACUGCUUCAUGUUGGGCUGCAACCUUUUCUUCAAGCAAUACUUUCUUUCUGUAUCACGACUUAUGUUGCUUCCGGAGCCAUCCCGUGUGGACUGCCCUUCAGUGAAAGAAUAUGUGUGUUGACAUGUUGGAUUGUAAUCUUUGUUCCACUCUAAUGGCUUUUGGUCCUCCUCUUUCUCUUUAUGACAGAGAACCAUUUAGUGAUCCAUCUCUAUAUUGUAGCAUUGCUGGUGCUUUGCAAUACUACACUCUCACCAAGCAUAACAUCUAUUUUUCCGUGACCAAAGUAUGUCGGUUUAUGCAUGCGCAAACUCUUAUUCAUUGGCAAGUUGUCAAGCGUAUCUCAUGAUUUCCCAAAGCCACAAGUUCUUAUGGUCUUUCUGUUCAAGCUUACAAUGAUCUAUCUUUUCUUGGUUAUACUGAUGUCGAUUGGGCUAGUUGCCCUGAUAACAAGCACAAUACUAGUGGGUACAACACUUUUCCUGGUCCUAAUCUCAUUUCAUGGGCAUUUUCAAAGCAGAAGGUUGUGUCUCACUCCAAUAACGAAUCUGAAUAUAGGGGACUCACUAAUUAAUGUUGUUGCCAAGGUCACUUGGAUUGAAUCUGUCUUACGUGAGUUGCGUGUUUCUCUACCCCAACCACCAAUUUUGUUGUGUGACAACAUUAGUGCUACACACUUGGACAAACCAUGUUGAAAUACACUAUCAUUUUAUCCAUGAAAGGCUUAUGCAUCACACACUCAAAAUUCAAUACACCUCUUCUAUAGACCAACUAGUCAAUGCUAUGACCAAAGCUCUUCCUUCAUCUCACUUGUACAAUCUUCAGUGCAAGCUGAUUGUUCUUCCCAAACCACUCAACUUGAGGGGAGAUGUUAAGCCAAUUUAAUAAAUUGAUUUCUUUUGGUUAAUUUGUUAGAAUCAUUUUUAUUAGAGGUUUGUUUGUACAAUUACAUCCAUUUAUCAGGAGAGUACACGUGUACAACUCCUCUUUUAAUCUCACCAUUGUAUAUAUAUGAUACACGACCUUACUCAGAAUUGCAUAACAUUUCCUCUGCUCAUUCCUUUUCUUCUUUGAAUUUUCCCUUACCUCACUGAUUUUGAUUUAUACCUGGUGUUUUCACCUUUGGUCUCUACCUUUCUAGCCAGUUUUCUAAUUAAUCCGUAUAUGGUAUACCUGUCAACUAAUGAGGAGAAAGAGAAAAGGGGAUUGCUGUUCCACCAGCUACAUAUAAUAAUUAAUUACAAUCAUGGUAAUGGAUCCUGAAAUCCAUCCUUUGUGGAUUUUGUACGGAAUAUUGUUGUUAUGUAUGUGGGCUCACUUAGAUGUAUAUUGCUAGCCUGUCUGGGAAAUGUGAUUGCAGGUCCAGAUUAUGAUGUUGAUAUUAGUGGGAUAAGCAAGAGAUGCAGUUAACACGUAUGUGAUGGACUUGAGUAACUUUUCCAUUUCAGUCCAUUUUUUAAGAUUAUGCUUAGUCUUAUUACAAGGAAAGACCAUAAGAAUCAUGAGUCAUUGGCAAGGUAAUAUCAUUCCCUCUUUACAGGCUUCUUCACCUUUUGGUUUUUUUAAUAUCCAUCAAGAUCUUUUAAUUGGAGGACAAUUACAAGUAUAUAUAUAUGUAUUAAAAGGGGAAAAUAUUAAAACAGGAAAUUUUAGGGAAAAUAUAAUAAUUAUUUCUUCCUUCUUUCCCAUAUAGAACUACACAAAAUAAAACUUUAAUAAUUUUUUCUUAUCUUUUUUAUUAUUAUUUUUUCUUAGAAACAUCCGUGGUCUCACAAGCUUGUAAUCCUAGAUUGUUAGGCUCCUUUAACAGUGCCCCAACAUCGUGGUCCAAUGACAAGCUUCCACGCCUUAAAAUCAGAAAAUGCCAUUAAACUUUAUCAGACAUUACAGUUCAAGACAAAGCUUUCAUUUGCUUAAUGUGAUAAUGAAAUUGUUAAUUUCAUUUCGUGGGCAUCUAAAUUUGGACGAGCAAGACCUCUGAAUUCCCUGUUUUUAUCACCAGCAGAGGAGAUAAAAUCUUAAUGGUGAGAAUCUCCACGUGAAAUUUAUGUGUACUGUCAACAUAUUUUUGUUUAUAUAGUCCAGUAGCUGCAGGAAGUCUAGAUUAUAUAGGUAGCAGUAGCACUAUUUAUAGCACUCGAUAUUCGCUGUAUGAAUACAUUAAACCUUGUUUUCAAUACGCAUCACAAGCAAGUACUAGAUACUACAAGGAGUGACAGUCGCAUCAACAUUUCUUGAUAAUAGCAGUGACUGAUUUAUACACAGAACAGUACUGUACACGUACCAGUCACCAGAGAUAGGAUCUUAUUCCUACAUACGACUCUUAUUGAUCGAAGUCACUCAGUUGGGGUAGCCUGGAGUUGGAGGUUUGUGUGGUGGCUUCUUCUUUGGAGGAGGCUUUAUCUUUGGAGGCAUCAUCUUUGGAGGCAUCUUGUGUGAGUCUUCUUCAGCAUUCUCUACAGGAGGAUGGCCAGGCUUAUGACCCUUAGGUGGUUUGCCAACUGGGAUUGGUGGCUUGUGUCCUGAGAGUGGCUCCUCUUCUUCGGGAGGUUUGCCAACUGACGUUGGUGGCCCGUGUCCUGGGGGUGGCUUGUGUUUUGGGGGUGGUUUCACUCCACCGGGAGGUUUACCAAUUGGUGUUGGUGGUUUGUGCUCAAUCGGUGGCCUCUCAACUGGGGGGCGCUUGGGGUAAUCAGCGAGUGAAGAAGUGGUGAGAACCACCACUCCAAGCAACAACACUAGCAAGUAUGUGGAAGACAUCUUUGAGUUUGGCUCAGAUGGUGUAGAACUAGAAUCCUGGGUGGCCUUUUAUAUUAGUUGGGCCCUAUGCCCGAACGACAAGUGUCAUGGUGACACAUAAAGUGAUGGGGUCGAUUUGGGCCUACCGGAUUUGAAAACUUGGACAAUUCGAGAAGCGUCUCCUGACUCCGGGUUGUAAAGUGAAAGAUUAGGUAUCGACCAUUGAAGUAUGAUCACAACUUUUGGCCUUUGGCUCUCUCUACUGCCGUAUAGCUUUUUUCCUUUGGAUAUUUUUCUUAGCUAGACACAAUUAUUGAGCAGUCUAAUCUCGAAAUGGGAUUAGUAUAGCUUUAAGCAAAUUUAUUAUAGUUAGUGGAGGACUUUUAAGAGUGCAGACGACAUUUAACACAUGCAUGCAGUAGUAUAGGGGACAUAACACUAUUCUUUUUCCAAAGAUUCACAUGAUUUUUAUAUUAUAGUAUUGGCACAUUGUAUGUAGCUGGUUUUGUGGUUAAAAUUCCAUAUGUAGACACUGGCGUUUCUCCAUUUCUCACAAUUGAUGUUUACCUCCACGAUUACUAGAUUAGAUAUACCAAACAAUAACACAUUGUAUAAUCUAUCCGCCCUUCAAAAUCUACUGUAUGAUGAAAUGUUUCAUGUGUGUGUGAAGUGUUAGAAAUGCACUAUAGGCAACAUCAUCUUCUUUUGUCUAGGCUUGGGCCUCAAAUUAUACUCCCAUGCCAUGAUAAAUUUUCAUGUGCAUUCUCUAAAGAAGAGUGUCUUGAAUGUGCCAAAUCAUUUUGAUUGAUUUUAUGAUGUUAAUUGCUCCGCAUAUGGAUGGGUAUGUGCUUUAUUUGCUUAUUCAAUCCACAAUUACCUUGAACUGAAGUCCUAUUGGAGCUCUAUUAUUUUAGCAACGUCCUGUCAAAUAGGCUGCUAACUUGGGGUGGUAUGGACCCAAUGAUCCAUCUUAAUCUUGGGUUGAUUUUGUCUGACUCUAUCUAUCUCAGAGAGAACCAGGAUCACCAGUGCUGGUCUGCUUAAAGAAGACUCAGUACUGGAUUAAUAUUGGUUUGGGUCAAUAGCUUAUAAUGCAUUGAAUGCAGAAUAAACAAGAUCAAUGAAACCCAAAACACACUGCCCACACAACUUCACUCUGGUGUCUGUUAUUCAUCAAUUCUAUUCCCACAUGAACUGGUUCAAGUUUAAGAAAAUGACAACGGAUCCACUGUAUUAACUUGGUUUUGCUUGGUUUUGAGCUAGUUGCCAAACCAGCCAUGAGUUUUACCUCUAAUGUCAAUGAACAAACCCCAAAUGAACAACUGCAACAGCUUAAAGAGAAGGAAUGGAGAUGAAAAUCCCUGUUUCUUCUCAUUCUGGGGACAAAUUAGAACAUAACUACAAAGGUUCUAUUAAUUGACUUACUCUACCAUGAAUUAUGGUUCUUUGGUUUUCCAAAUUUAAAUUGUACAUGAGAUUAUUUUUUUCCUUUAUAUAUAAACAUAUUAAGGUUUUCUUAUUUCGUGGGCAAAUGCGCUAAGGAUGAAAGUCAUUUCAUUUGGCUGCAACAGCAUCUUAUAAUCAACAUGCAUAAGCAGCAGUUUUAAUUGAUCGAUUGAACACCGACUCACAAGAAUAGAUAGAAUGGUACAAGACAGCUCUUAUUAAUUUAUACUCGUUACUCAUUUUAUGUAGCCCCAUUAAGAUGGCUGGCUGGACCACCGAGGUCUGGGGGUGGUGUUGCUUGUGUGAUGCAGCGGGCCGGGCAGACACUUCUCUAGUUGCUUCUAUUUGGAGUUAGAGGAUCAGUCUCUGCCAACCUUGAGGACUCUCUACCUCAGAGGGUCCAGGUGGUGGACUCUGGUGUCGGUAGCUUUGAACUCUCAGUAGACUAGUGUGUCUUAAUCAGUCACUGCCAGAGGCUGGCGUAGGCAGUGACGAUAAGGUGAGACAAAUUACCGAAUAGUCAAUAUCGACUGCACUUGACCAUUAUAGAUUUGUUCUGACAAAAGUGAGAAAAGGGAGAAAAUCGGAUGUUGACCUUUAUAGAAAAAGAUAAGAUUUACUGCAACACAGAGCACUGAUUUGUUACUUGGAAACCAAGUUAUGCUAUUAGCUAGCCUCCAUUAGCAGCAGGGUACCUUGCUGCCUGAUCCUAAUCUGAGUUCCCAAGGUUUCAAUCUUCGUUUGUUAACGCUUCAGGAUUUGGAUAUUUCAGCUUCGUUUCUCCAUUUAGCCAACGCUGCCUGGUUUGGAUUUCAAUCCUCAUCUGGAACAUUCUUUUUUCGGUCUGAUUCAGGAAGUGUUUGGUGAUAGUUGAUUAAAAUUAAACAGUACUAUCAUACAAAUAAAGCUGAUCUAAUUUUGGUGGGCAAUAUACCAACUCAUUUAUUCUUGAAAACACCAUGGGGAAUUGGAGGUCCAUCCGAAGUACUAUUUGAUGGGACUCACAAAAAGAACAGGUGCACAUUUAUGAGAUCCGUGGAAGAGAUAACUAUGACAGCUAUGCAUGUACAACAGAUUUAUGUCGAGUUCACCUCGUAGAUAUUUUGUUUUCAGUGUCGGUGGACCCCAAAAUGGAAAUCGGAAAUUAAGGUUAUAUUUAUUUUUUUAUUUAAUUUUAAAUAGAAUUUUAAUUUUUAAUAAUAUUAAGUAUUAAAUUAUUUUUUUAAGGGUAUUUUAUUUUUAUUAAGUAUUAAAAAGUAAAAAAAAUUAAUAUGUUGCUUUUUUAUUUUAAAAAAAUUAUAUAUUUUAAUUUUUUCUAUUUACUAAAAAGUUUAUAAUAAAUUAUAAAAAAAUAAAAAAAUAAAAAACUUAAAUUCUGAAAAUAAAUUAUUUUUAAUAAAAAAAUCCAAAAAAGCAAACACCACCUAAAUUUGAGAUGACUCAAAAUUUUAUAUUUUUUUUCACCUAAAUUAUAUUCAUAAAUUUAAAAUUAAAAAAUUAGGAAGUUGAAUUUUAUUUUGGAUAAUUGGAAACUACAAGAAAUCAAUAAAAAUAUUUGGAAAAAAAAGAAAAAGAAAAACUAUCUAUAUAUUCACCCCCUUCUAAGAAACAUAACUUUAGUUUUUAACUAUUUUUUAAAAUAAUUUUUGAAAAAUGUUAUAUAAUAUUUUAUAAAACAAAAAAUCUGUUUGACAAUUUGAUAUGUCUUUAACUUAUUUUUAAUAUUUAUAUAUAUAUAUUUUAAAAAUAAUUUUAUAUUUAGAACUUUAUCUUUAAUUAUUAUAUAUAUUUAUAUAAUUAUUUUUUUUAAAACAACUCUUAAAAAAUAAGUGAAAGUAAUUGAAAACAACUCAAAGAUAUUUGAUGAAAACACUCUAAUUUGUAUUUUUGAGAAUAAAAAAAUAAAUAAAUAAAUUUCUAGUUAUCAAAUGUAUUUUUUAAUUCUUUUAUUCUAAAAAAUAGAAAAUCGUUUUUGAAAAUAAUUAUUAAACAACAUUCUUAAAAAUUCACUCGUUACAAUCUAGAUUUAAUGCAAGAAUGAUUGAAGGAGUCCUCCAAUAGAACCCAAAGUUAUAAACAUGAACAAGAAGCCCUAGAAACACCAAAGAUCUCAUAUGGUAUAUAUAUGAGCUUGAUUGAGAACUGUUUUAAAUUCAGUUUUUUUUUUUUUUUUUUUUUUUUGUUUUCAAAGUCAAAACAAGUUUACUUUUAAUUUUUACUUCUUUUUUUUAAUUUUAUAAAUAACAGUUUUUUAAUAAUUUAUUUUGAAAACAUGAUUAUUUUUAAAACUUAUAAUGAAAAUAGGAAUUUUUUUUUUAAUAUCAUGGUUAUUUUCCCUUCUUUUAAGGAGGGCUAUUUUAAAAAUAAAUUUACAAAUAUGAAAAAUGAUUCAAACUAAAGCAGUACAAAUAAAAAACAUUUUUAAGAAAUAUUUAAAAAUAGAGAAAAUUAUUUGAGAACAUUUGAAGUCCUUAAAUAGACUUUUGUUUUAGAAAAGGCAAGAUAAUUAUUUUUGAAAAUUGUUUUCAUAAUGAUAUGCAAAAACCUACGUAAAAACCAUAAUUAUAAUCGGCCACAUAUCAAAUCUACUAAAUAUGAAAAGUAAGUACAUAAUUAUAUUUGACUUAGAUGCAAGGAGGAAAAUGUCGCGAUAUUAUCGCCGAAAUAUCGUGUGUCGAAGGGUAUCGACACGAUUUUUCUUGCAGAAAUAUCGGCCAGUCGAUUUUUCGGGAUAAAUCUCGAGAAAUCGGCAAUUUAUCGCGAUAUAUCGGCGAUUUUUCCUCGAUAUAUCUUCUGGUCAACGCGGGUCAACGGAGUCAACACGCUACAGUGAAAGUCAAAUGUGCUACAAUGUCCCCGCUACAAUCACCUCCCCAAACAAAUUGCCAAAUUGCUUCCGAGGGGAUUUGAACCAGCCUUCUUGCCAUUUGGGCUAACUCGCCCUUAUGAUAUAUAUUGCAUUAAACAUAUAUAUACUUAAAGUCCUUAUAUAAAGAAAAUGUUAAAAAAAUAUUUUAAAGAGCAAAUUAAUUAUAAUUAUUUUAUAAUUAAAAGCAAAAUUUUCUUUUAAUUAAUUACCAAAAAUAUAAAAAUUAUAUAAUUUUCUUCAUAAUGUUUUUAAUAUCAUUAAUAAUUAAUUAAAUAUUAAAAAAUUAUAUAUAUAUAUAUAUAUAUAUAUAUAUAUAUUAUAAUUUAUUUUAUAUUGUUUAAUACAAUUGAAUUAAAUGGAUCAUAUUUUAAUAUUAAUAUAUAUUUUAAAAUUAGACAUAUUGUAAUCAAAUAUCAUAAUAUUAUAUGUAAUUUAAUAAUAAAUGUACACUUAUAAAAUUCAUAUUUUUAUCGAUGCAUACAAUAUUAUUAUCAAAUAUGAUAAAUCAUGUUAUACAUAUAUCAAAAUUUUCAAUAAAAUAACUUUAAAAUGUCUAUUAUACUUCUAAUUAUAUUAUUAUGAGGUUUUCUUUACAUUUUCAUGAGUUUUAAACAAUUUUAAGCACCAAUAUUUUUUUCCAAAAUAUCCACCGAUAUAUCUCCGAUAUAUCCAAUAUAUCUCCGAUAUCUCCGAUAUAUCCGUAAAAUCGAAGUACCGAUAUAUCCGUGAUUACCGAUAUUUUCAUCAUUGCUUAGAUGCAACCUUCUUCCAAAUGACAUACUUUAGUCAAUACUUAUAUUUUUUCGUUUCACUUCUUUGAUACAACACCUCAUGGAUUUAUUGUUUAAUUUAUUUGUAAUUAUAAAACUAUUUUUCAUUUUUAAUAAGACUUGAAUUAAUUUAAUAAAUAUUAUAUAAUUUGAAUUUAUAAUUCUUUUUAUAAAAUCAAAGUAUAUUAAAAAAAAAACAAUUUAUCCGAAGAAAGUUUUUUAUUUUUUAUUUUUUAAAACCGAUUUUAAAAAUAACUAGCUAGACACCCUUAUUUUGAUAAAAUACGAAAUAAAAGUGUAAAAACAACAUGGCCAAAUAGGGGCUUAAAUUUUAUUUUUAAAACAUUUUUUUACACUAAAGUGCAUUUUAAAAACACCAUCAAAACCAACUACAAGUUAUGCUUCUUCCCGUAAUAGAAAUAUUUUAGGCCAAAAUAGAACCUCCCCAAAUAAAGACCCUAUACUAAACUCCUUUUCAUUUUAUUAAUACAAAAGUGGGGAAAAAAGGUCUAUGCUCACCUAAAAAACAUGAAUAUUGUGAAUUCACCAUUUCUAUAAGGAAGUUGAAAACUUCAAAAUUUUAUCAACAAAUUCUCUAAAAUCCUCAAAAUAUAUAGGGCCUGUUUCACAAAGUUUUUUAAAAUUUGUUUUUAUAAAUUGCUUUUAAAAUAUAGAAUAAAUAACAGUUUUUUAGAUUUUUUGAAAAAUAAGAGUGUUUGGUAAGAUGUUUUUUUUUUUUUUUUUUUUUUUAAGAAUUAAAUAAAAAAUAAAAAAAUUGUUUAGAUAAAAGAAUUUGUAUUGUUUUUAAAAACAAUGUCUUACUUUUAUGUUAUAAAAAUUUUAUUAAUUUAAUUUAUAAUAAUAUGAAAUGAAAUUCAAGUUAAGUCUUAUUAAAAAAUACAAAUUAAAUCUAUAAUUAUGCAUGAGUUAAAGAUAAAUAUAUAUUUUUUAAAACUAUAAAAUAAAUUUUCUAUUAUAGUGAAACAAAAAUUACUAUAAAAUAAAAAUAAUUUUAAUAUUCAUUUUUAAUACAAGUCAAAUAAGUACUUUAAUUAAUUUUUUUUAUCAUGAUUUCUUAUGUUUUUUUUUUUUUCUAGAAAUUAUUUUAAGUAAUAUAACUAAUUUUUUUUUUAAUGUUUUAUAAAAAUAAGGAUAUUUGGCAAGUUGUUUUUAUAAAAGGAUUUUAAAAAUAAAUGGAUUUUUUUUUUUUUUAAAAAAAGAACAAAAUGAUUUGUUUGAAUAAAUUGUUUUGAUUUUGUAAAAACAUUUUAAAUUCAAUUUAUAUAAUAUUAAUUAAUUAAAUUAAAUUGAAGUUUUAUUGAAAAUAAAAAUAAUUUUGUAAUUAAAAUUAGAUUAAAAAAUAUAUAGGUUUUAAUAAAUCGUAAAUAGUAAUAUUAUAAUAAAAUUAUAAAUUAUAUUUUUAACAUAAAAUAUACUAUUUAUUACAUAUUAAAAAAAAUAUUUUAUUAUAUUAAUAAUUUUAUGGUAUUAAUGAGUUUAUUAUUUAAGUUUUAAAUUAUUUUUAAAAAUUAAUAAAUUUGUUAACAAAUGCAAUGUACUAAAUGUGGUUUAAUUUGGAGUUAAUUUGUUUAGGGAAAAAAAUAAAAAAUAAAAAUCUUAUGUAAAAGAGAAAUAAUAGAGUGUGUGUGUUUUUUUUUAUUAUUUUUAAAAAUCAGUAAAAAGAACUUUUACUUAUUGCCUAAAAAUUAUUCUCUAUUUUAUUUUAUUUUUUAAAUCUAGAAAUAGAUAACAAUAAUAAAAAAAAUUAAAAAAGAAAAAUGUUUUUUAAAACUCAGACUUAUAAUUGCUUUUGUUUCUCAUUCGCACCCCUGGAUUCCUGGAUUCUAAACACAAAAUUAAGUUGAAUCGUCCAUCUAUCUUGUAAGCCAAGAAUUCACAUAGAAGAAAUAAUCGGAAUUUGAUUUGAUAUCAGAUUUAGAGUGGCUCACUACUCAUGCAUUGUCCCACAAUAGUAAUGCUUUGGGCCGAGAUAAACCCAUUUGUGGGCCCAAAUAAAACCCCUGGUUUGAAAACAUCGAUUUUACAGUGGCCCAAAAGAUUAUCUAUGAGGGGAAGAUAACUUGGAAGUCAAGCAAACACAUUUAUCGCUAACUUUUCUCUAAUUAUAAAAUUAUAACUUGGUCUUCUACACGUCUCACUUAAGAGGCGGAGCCACUUGGCACUACCUUUCCAUAUUGUAAAAGGAGAAGAAGCAGAAGGAGAAGAUUCUUAUGCCAUUCCACACACCAUGGCUAGUACUGCUAUGCUGCUUGGCCCGCCGGCUCUCCGCCAUCCUAAUUCUCCCGCCGGCACUGUCUUUGAAGAUGGGGUCAUUCUAACGGAUUCCCUGAUCGUCCGCACCAGUAAUCUGGAGCUUUCUGAAAAACCGCCACUGGAAUCCCUGGCGUAGUGCUCUGUCAGUGGGGAUAUUGCUAUGGAUUGUUUGGAUUCCCAAGCCCACAAUCUUCAUCUUCCCGGGAAACCGCCGAUGGGCUUAACGGAAAACAAGUCUCCGACCUUUUUGUCUUCCGGGAACCCGUGCUUGGACUUCUUCUUCCAUGUGGUUCCCGAUACGUCGUCUGAUGAUCUGAUCCGACGGUUUGAGUUGGCUUGGGAAUUCAAUCCGCUGACGACGUUAAAACUGAUAUGCAACUUGAGAGAGGUGAGAGGCACCGGAAAAUCUGACAAAGAGGGUUUCUACACGGCGGUUCUCUGGCUCCACGACCACCAUCCCAAAACCCUAGCCUGCAAUGCUAGGGUGUUGGCCAGCUUCGGUUAUUUCAAGGAUUUUCUCGAGAUUCUCUACCGGCUUCUGGAGGGCCCUAAAAUUCGAAGAAUCGAAAAGAAAGACUGGCUGGAUCGAAAAGGAAGGAAGAAAAAUUCCCGGAAAAGGAACUCAAUAUUCAAGCGAGAAAAUAGGCCUGGAGUUGAAUUUCCUGUAGAAGAGAAGGAUGUGGAGUAUAUGGUGGAAGAAUUUGUGGAUAAAGAAAAGGCUAGGGUACUGAGAAAGGAGAGAGAACUUGCUCUUGCCAAAAGAGCCCUGCACAAGUAUUCUACUGAUUCUAAUUAUCAGUUCUUACAUGAUCAGAUUUCAGAUUUAUUUGCUGAACUUCUGAAAUCUGAUAUUCAGUAUUUAAACUCCGGUGAGCUUUACAAGAUUAGUCUCGCAUCCAAAUGGUGUCCCACAAUUGAUUCUUCUUAUGAUAAAUCCACCUUGAUAUGUGAAAAUAUUGCUCGAAAGGUUUAUUCUCGCGAGGAAUAUAUAUCCAGAAUACCAAGGAAUUGAGGAGGCUCACUAUGUUAAUAGAGUCAGGGAUAGGUUGAGAAAACAAGUACUUGUUCCAUUACGUAAGGCCCUGGAGUUGCCAGAGGUUUUCAUGUGUUCGAACCAGUGGGGAUCACUUCCCUACAACCGUGUGGCUUCAGUGGCCAUGAAAUCAUACAAGAGCCUCUUCUCAAAACAUGAUACAGAGCGGUUUGGUGUGUAUCUUGAGAAAGUGCAAACUGGGAAGGCUAAGAUUGCAGCUGGUGCAUUACUUCCCCAUGAGAUUAUAGCUUCAUUGAAUGAGGAGGAUGGCGAGAAAGUUGCAGAGCUUCAGUGGGCGAGAAUGGUGGAAGAUUUAUCAAAGAAUGGGAGGCUCACAAAUUGCAGUGCGGUAUGUGACGUAUCAGGAAGUAUGAGUGGAACUCCAAUGAAGGUGUGUGUGGCUCUGGGGCUGUUAGUUUCAGAGCUCAGUGAAGAUCCAUGGAAAGGUAAUGUAAUUACUUUCAGUGCAAGUCCUGAGCUUCACAAGAUCCAAGGAGACAGCCUUGUAUCCAAGACUGAAUUUGUGAGGAUGAUGGAAUGGGGUGCGAACACUGAUUUUCAGAAAGUUUUUGACAGAAUCUUACAAGUAGCAGUGGAGGGAAAUCUGAGUGAAGAUCAAAUGAUAAAGAGGGUUUUCGUUUUCACUGAUAUGGAGUUUGAUGAAGCUUGUGGGAGGUAUAACUAUUGUGAAUAUGACUAUGAUAUGGAGGAAAUUGAUGAGAGUCAGAAGGCAUCUCAGAAGUGGGAGACAGAUUAUGAAGUGAUACAGCGGAAAUUCCAGGACAAAGGAUAUGGAAAAGUUCCGGAGAUAGUGUUUUGGAACCUUAGAAACUCAUCAGAGACUCCAGUGAUGGCCACAGAGAACGGGGUGGCCUUAGUAAGCGGGUUUUCGAAGAAUCUGUUAGACCUUGUUUUUGGAAGGAGGUGGAAUUCUGACCCCUCAGGAUGUGAUGGAAUUAGCCAUCUCUGGUGAAGAUUACAAGAAACUUGUUCUAUUUGAUUAAGAUAUCAAGAGAUUUAUCAAUAAUAAUAUGUUUUUUUUUUUCUAUGUGAAAUACAUGUAAUAUUAACUAUGGAGUUAUCAAAGUUCUGGAAAUUUAAUUAUUUCUUCUUUUCAAGUUUUGUUUGUCUUUGUUAGGAAUUCCCCUUGGGCGGACCCAGCUGGGGACUUGGAUUGAGGAAGUAAGGAGGCGAAAUUGUGUUCUUCUAUGGACAGAGAAAAAAGAUAAAAAUAAAAAAUAAAAAAGGAGGUUAUUUGCAUUUGGAUGUCAUGUGGUUUCAGGGUACAACUACAAGUUCGAAAUUGUACAUAAUGUGAAAAUUCCUGUGUGGAGAACAGCAUAAAUAUGUAUCUCAGUGUGUUUUGUUUGAGCUAAUUGGCAAAUUCGCUUUAAACAUGGUCACAUGGAUGCAUAUUUAUUUGUGAAAUGAUAGUAGUCGAUUACUUGGUCAGUAAGGUUUGUAUCUCUAACUCCAACAUCUUAUUGUAGUCUUUUAAAAUGUCAAAAGUUUAAUGCUAGCUUGAGAAAUUUUGGAAUGGAGACAUUCUAAACAAAGUUAAUAAUCCAUGAGACUUGGUAAAACCGAUCAGAUGAUGCUUACGUACAUGAAUGCCUUCUUUAAGCCGUAUCCUAUUUUCAUUGAAUGAGACGUGCCAUCUAGUUUUGUUCUUGUCUUGAUUGGAUCAUGAUCCCGGGAAUUGAUUACUGUUCUGAAUUUGCGAAUGUUCAAGGUAUUAGAGAAAGUUAAUAUUAUCGUUAAUUUACAUAUUAGUAUUUAUCUAGUUAUUAUAUAUUAGUUUGAAUUAUAAUAUAAUAUAGAAUUUGAAUCAAGUUUACUAUUAGUUUGAAUUACAAUAGGAAAUAAAGUUUGAAUUAUAGUAUAACUCAAAUAUAUUUGUAUAUAAAUAUCCAUCUUUAUCAAUGAGAAUAGUAAACCAUAUUUUUCUCUAUCUUCUUCUUUCUCUAUAUAUAUGGUAUCAAAGCCUCCAAAUCCUAAACCUAGUCUCAACUUAGAGCAAAUUUAGGGUGCAGGGUUUAGGCCCCGCCUCCCCCAACCCUUACCACAAAUGGUAGUGACCUUGUUAUGCCUAUGUAUUGUCAAUGCCUCAUUUUCUAUGGUCUUCAAUACAAUAUCUAGUUUCAAUGUCUCUUUCCUUACUAUCUCCAAUGCAAUAUAUUGAUUUCAAUAUCUCUUUACAACCAAGAGCUCCAAAUUUUCCUGGUUCAAAUCUACCAUAAUUUUUAUUCUCCUUUGCUUUUUACCAAUAUUAGUUCCCCUAAUUUAAUAUAUAUCUCUUUAUUACCUUCAACUCUACCUCUCUCUUUCUUUAAAAGCUUCCUCAAAGAUUUGAUUGCUUUCUUGCAUGUUUUGGGAAAACAAACAUGCUCAUAUUCUAUUACCUCUACUUGAGAUCUGCCUUAUACUCUACCUUCUUCUUUACCUCCUAUAUCAUCUACUACAUUAGCUUCAAAAACAUUAUUUAGUUUGAUGCUAAAUAAGGCUCCUAAUCCUACCCUUCCUUCAACUAACUUUCUUUUACAAGUCCCUCAAAGUUUUUUUUUUUUUUUUUUUGGAAAUUUGGCUUAGAAAGAUUUCAUUACUCUUACCUAAUCUUUCAACCAUCAAGUCGAAUCCACUUAUCUCUUGAAUCCAAGGAGACUACCCUCCACAAAAACAAGGAGAUUGACCCCCACAAUAACAAAGAGAUUGUCCUCCAUAGAAACAAAGAGAGCUUCCUUCAUGGAAGCCGAAUACAUCGCAAUCUAUUUUCUUUCUCUCAAGAUCAAAUCUCCAAUCGGAGCUCCAUCUUGUGGGGAUAUAUUAGAAAAAGUUAAUAUUAUCCUUAAUUUACAUAUUAGUAUUUAUCUAUAUUAUAUAUUGAAUUAGAAUAGAAUAUAGAAUUUGAAUUAAGUUUACUAUUAGUUUAAAUUACAAUAGGAAAUAGAGUUUGAAUUAUAGUAGAACUCAAAUAUAUUUAUAUAUAAAUAUCCAUCAUUAUCAAUGAGAAUAGUAUUCCAUAUUUUUCUCUUUCCCUGAGGCUUCAGAAUGUGAUCUUGAACAUUUGAUCUUUUGGAUUCUUCUUGUUUCGGUGGUUUAAUAUAAUGGAAUGUUUAAUUAUAGCCUACUUUAUCACCAUGGAUGUGCUCCUGCAGAUUUCUUGAGGGUGAUGGUUAUUUUGUCAUGUUUCUUGAAUGGUUUGCAUCAGCUGCCUGAGCUGUUGUUGCUGGUCACUUUUGCAACCAGGGAAAGAAUCAUGGCUUUGGAGAAGCCAGCUUCUGUUUUUGUUGCCCAGCUGUUAGUUCACUAAGAUUGGGGGUCCUAACAUGUAUGUAUAAUCAUAAGCAAGGAAAUUUUAUGUCUUACGCUAGAUAGGUACCAUGAUAUGAUGUUUGAUUGAUUUAUUAACUCUACCUGUUUCAAAAGGCAUCAACAUUAAUUUUACCCUUUUAACACAUUGGAUUGUUUGACCUUACGAGAUUUUCUAUUUCUGUACUAUUUGAACUGCAAUCGUUAUGGUCCUUAGGUCUCUAAACCUUCGUUUAAAAUAAAAGUAAGGAGCACACAUAGUAAAAGUUAAUUUUGGGUAACUUUUAAAACAAAGAGAAAAGUAAAAGUUGUUUUUGAGAAAAACAUAUAGAAAUUGAAAGAUUUUUUAUUUUGAGAAAAAAAAGUCAUAGAAAAGAAAUAAUAUCCCCAUAUAAGUAGAUAUGAUCUAUCCGAAGUGUAGCUACUCUCCUGGAUUUAUUCUAACAUUUUAAAAUUUUUCUCAAUGGGCAAAGGAAUAUCAAAUCAAGCUUGAGUAGGAUUAAUUUCUUAAUUUUUAAAAUAACUUAUAAUUAAAAUUUUUUGGUGUUUUCUUUUUUGGACAAUUUUUUAUGAAGACUCUGAAUCAUGCAAGAGAUAUGGUUAUUUUAAAAAAAAAAAUAAUUUAAAACUCAAAUACAUAAUCAAUGUCACAAAUUUAUAAACAAAAGGUUUUUAAAAAAUACUAUUAUUUCCCCUCUACACAUAAUUUUACUUUUCCGAUUUAUUUAUUUUUGUUGGAAAACAGUCUUCAAAUCAAGUAAAAUUAAUAUGUUAAAUUUGUUAAACAAAUAAAUUUUAAAAUACAAUUUGGAACUCAAAAAUCAAUUCAAGUAAUGCUAAAAUUCAAAAAAUCAAAUUUGGAAUAAAAUGACUUUGUAAAUUUUUUUACUAAACAAAUGAAUUUUAAAUCAAGUGAGAUUUAAUACAUUGGAUUUUUAUGAGAAUAGUAAUUUUAAAAAUUAAUUUGGAACUCAAAAAUAGACACAAUAAAUACCAAAAAUCAAUGAACCAAAAUUGGUUUGGAAUAACUCCAUAAUUUUUUAUUUAUUUAUAUAUUUAUUUUUUUGUGCACACGAAUUUCUUACUAAGCAUAUUGCUUCCAAAUUGAGAAAAAUUUACUAUUUAGAUUUUUUUAAUGAGUUUAAUGGUAUUUAAAAAUAAUUCAAAAAUUCGAAAAUUGACUAAUUUAAUAUUAUAAAUUCAUAAACCAAGACUAAUUCAAAAUGCAUUGGGGGCUAAGGGGGUUGAAAUUAAUGCUCCAUUUGGUUGUGGCCACCAAUUGGCAAUGGCCACCAAUCAACCAAUCAAGGUGGCUAAGGGGGUUGAAAAUAGGGACAAUGGGGUGGGUUUGGGACAGGACACUCAUAUCCCAUUCCCAUCCCAAUUACACAGUUAUUUCCCAUCCUUAUUCCAAACUUGUGUUGGGGCAAGUUGAUUUGUUCCCAUCUUUGUUAACGAAAUGACUAAUAACCUCAUCCUCUCCUUGUCUUAGAUGUACAUUUUCUCAAAUUUGGUCAGGUAUGAUUGAUUCAAGCCCUAACCUUAAUUGGUAAUGAGUGGAUACCACACCUAAUUGCAUUCUUCUUUCGUUGCAAAAUAAUGAGAUUAUAAUAAUCUAGCAAAUAAGAAAAAAUAGUAUGGAAGUUCAAAUUAACACCAUAACUAUCAAUAAUUUUAAGCUUAUAGAUGACUUAAAUGAUUGAAAACUAAUGCAAAAUACUAAAAAAAAAAAAAAUCAUCUAAAGAAUUCACAAGAGAAUAGAACGAACAAAACCAAAUAGGAACAUGGGUCAACAUUAGUUACAGAUUUUGAUCCCUUUCAAGGCCAAUCUUUGAACCAAGACUUCAUCAAAUCUACUACUUCAAAGGCUUUUGUGUUCUUCUUGAGUUGUACUCUGGAACAAAGACUUCGAGGUGAUGCUUUAGAUGAUUGCAUUACACAUAUUUAGGGUAGGGAGAUUGGAGAAGCUUGAAGAUGCCAACGAUGGGUACAAUUGAGUGGUCAAUAAGAACAAUGUGGCCUAUGACUAGUUUGAUGUCAUGGUAUAGGAGUUUUGGGCAUUGAGGUGAAAGCAAGAGCAACAUGGAAUUGAUUUCAAAGUCUUUCAAUUAGUGUAAAGGAGGAAGAAGAAGUGGUAUUGAUCCUAGAAAUAGUGUUUUAGGUGUUGCAUUAGAGGAAAAGAAAAAGAAAAAGAAGGAACCAUUGGAAUUAGUACGAGUGUGAAGAGAGAAGUGUAUACAUAAGGGGAAGUAAAAGCAAAGUUCUAAAAAUUUAUUUUUUUAUUGGUGGUGUAUGGUUGCAUGAUUAUCCCUAUAAAUAAUAGGAGUUUUUUGGUGUUCUACUAGUAGUUGAAGGAUAAUUUCAUAAGAUAAUAUUUAGAGCGGGGUGGGGUGAGUUGUGACAAAAUCCAUACCCGUCCCAAACAUUGGUUCAGGUUUUUAAAAUAUUUUCAAACUUAUCAUAUACCCAAUUUUAUAUUUCAUACUUGUCCUAAUAGAGACAGGUUAGUCAGGGUUACUUGAGUAGCCUACAAAACUAUCAUCCCUAGUUGAAAUGCUCUUUUUGGCAGUGGCAGCUAGAAGCUCGAUCGAUUGACCUACAAGACUAGUUGUCAUCAUUUUAAAAAGAGUUUUGGCUUUGGUUGUGAGUGCAAUUGAAUCUAAACUAACAUUUCCUUAAUGCAUCUACUUCAAUCCUAAACUUCUUACUUAAGCCUCAAUUGUUGUUAAGAUUUUGGAAAACCCAUUUCCUUAAAUUGUAAAUUUAAGAAAAAAAAAAUUAAAAGUGAGACAUUUCUUGAUUGAAUGUUGUUAAAGGUCCCUUGGAAUUAAGACUUGGUUGAAGCCUUGGAAGAUUAGCAGAACUCUCAACUUAUGUUUGAACCUUGAGGAGAGUGGACGUAGGCCAAAAUUUUGUCAAACCAUUAUACAAAUUGAGUUUGAAUUCUCAUUUCUUGAUUUCUUAUUUAUUUGCUUUUUCUUAUUAUUACUUGAAUUGUCAUUUGCAUUCAUUAAUGUUAAAAUUGGUUAUAAUUAGCCAACACUAAUUCUCUUUCCCCUUCCCUUAAUUUCUUGGGUGUAAACCUAGGUUGGAUUAACUAGAUUUUAUCAAAUCUAUUAAGAUGGUAAAAGAAUAAUUAUUCUUAACAUACAUAAGAUCAUCUUCAAUCAAAUGACUCAUUGGCUGAUAUGUUGAAUUUGCUUAUUACUUGCAACUCAAAAUUGUGUUCUAGUUGAUAUGUCAAGUCCUGAGUGUAUGGACAUUAAAUUUGUAGUACGUGAUGAGUAUUUAGAUGGUCCAAUUCCAAGAAAGUGAUUGAAAACUAGUUCAAGAAAGGUGCAAAAGGGAAUUGUUUUGGUAUUUUCGUUUUUAUUCUUGAAGGUGGCAGAGCUAAAAUUUGAGAAAUCAAGCAAAACAUACUGAAAUUACAUUGAAAGAAAGAAAAUGGGAGUUAAUGUCUUGCAGUACAUGAUAAGGACUUCAUGCAUGUAGUGUGACCCAUGUCUUGGACUGAUGCCACACUCACGGUUACACUUAUACCCUUAGUUCUCUCUUUACUACCUUAGCUAACCUAGAUCAGGUUAUGAGAUAGGCACCUCACCACACCAUUACUUGCCCAUUAAUUAGUGACAUUUUCAAGCAAUGAGGUAACAUGGUGACACCAAGAGGGUAUAUUCCUCACCCCCAACAAGCCUAGACCUGGUCUAAAAAAAAUGGAGAAAAAUGACGUGUUGUUAUGCAGAAAUAUAGCAACCAUGCCUUCCUCAUUACUUAGAUUCAGAAUGUGAAGGUGAAAUUGAGAAACAGAAACUCUUGAAACCAAAAUGAAAAUUGAUACUUUUACGAAGAAUUACAACAACAUUAGAGGAAGACUACAUUCUUCCUCUUUAUUCCUACAUUUCUACACUACUUCUACUCCACUCCAUAUUUCUACAUACAUCUUUAAUCAGUCUUCCCUCCUUUAUAUAGAGCCAUCUUCACACAAAUUCCGCAAGGUAGAAAAGAGGAAUGAAACUUGGAGCAAGGUUCGACUACUGGCUGUAGCUUGUCAAGGCUGAAAGUGAACUUUUUUUCUUGGCUUUUCUGGGCAUAGGUAGUAACUUGUAGGUUCCUUUUUGGAAUGAAAAUGGUACGGCUAGAACAUGUGGCACUCUCUUGUUGGAUGAUGUGUCAAGCAUGUGGCAGCCAUCUAGUGGAGAUUAUGUCAAUUUUGGGAUGGAGAGUUGGCAUCCAAUUGCAAAGAAAUAUGACAUCUACCAACAUGCAAUGUCAACCUAUGUAGAUCAUAUGAAGAUAGAGAGGAAAAAUAUAGAAAUGGAUAUAUAACUAGAACUAGCUUUUUAUUAAAUGAGACGGAGAGCCAACAAUGAAGGAAAAUCAAAAUUUUUGGCUCAUAUCAAAGAAUUCACAUUGUGUUACCCUAGGUUUUCUUAAAACUUACUUUUAUGAUAAUAAAAAAUCAUUAUUGUUUAAUCCUUUGUUUUAAACGCAUGUUUAGCAGGUUGUAAAAUGUAAAUAUCUUUCGAAAUUCAAAUAUGAAGAUAUGACAUCAUUUCAAGCAAUAUAGUCUCUAGGAAUUAAUGUAAAGCUAAAUUAAGGUGCAAUUAAGUUAGUUCAAUGCAUUAUUUUAAGAAACUUGACCUAUCAAAACCUUGUCUUACUUCAAAGCCUCUUUUUCUUUUCUUCCAACUAACAUUUUAAUAAGUGAUCGCAAAAGUACAAAAUUAGAUGAAAUCCAUUUCAAUGGUUAAAAUGAUCAAAUUCAAACUUUUUCUAAGUAUCUUUUAAAAGCAUCAAUAUUGAAAGACAAUUUUAUAUUUAGUCAAAGCUUGGACAGAGCCAAAAAGCACACAAAAAUUUAUAUUUUCUAGCUCUCUACCUUGGAUGGUCUCUUGAUCCUACUUGGAGAUGUGCAUAAAUAAAAGGAUUUGAAAAUGACAAUUGACUAAGUAUGUAGUCAAUCAAUUACUCAUUGAUUGACUAGUUGAUCAAUUAACUUUGCAACAUCAUAUGCAAUCCUAAUAGCUAGUCAUCUAAUCAACUAGGUAGUAAAUCAAUAGGCCAAAAAUAUGUUUAUAAUGACUAUUUUGUACAAAAACCACUUAUAUAGUUAAAUAUAAUGCAUUUCAUUUAUAAAUCUUCUAAUUCUUGAAUAACAAUCCUAUCAUCCUUUGAAAGUUUUUAUUACACCUUUUCUACAUUUGUUCUAAAACUUAUACAUCACCCUUAAUUGUACCAUGAGAACCUAGCAUUUUUUUUUUUUUUUUUGUAUUUCAUCAAAGUUAGCUCUUGUACUCAUUGUUGUAUUAUUUUUAUUGUAACUUAGAGAGCGAGUGUUUUCAAGUGAGUGAAAUUGACUUGUAAAUAUUGUAAAGAUUCAUUGAUAUGUAUCUCAAACUAGGUGUACAAGUUGAAACAUUUGCUAGUAGAUUUUCUCAAGAUUUAGAAUGAGCUUAAGGCUAUCGAAUUAGGUGGGGUUGCGCCAAACCAUAUCACAUCGUUGUUUGCACCUUUUUUUUCACUCUCUUUUACUUAGUUGCUCUAUAUAUAUUGUCUAGCAAUAUCCUAAAGGCUUGAUGGGCUAGGGAGCAUCCCUCUGAAUGAAAAAUUUUCAUUCAAUUCUUAGUUGUAUUACGCAUAUAUAAAAUGCCUCAUUGUUUUAAUGGUAUUCAGUCGUGGCACCACAGAUAUGGACAUCUAAAUUUUAAAAGUUUGAAACUUUUAGCUAAAGAAAAUAUGGUGCUUUGCCUUUUUGGAAAGCAUGUUGAUGAAAUCCAUGAGAAUUGUAUACUUGGAGAGCAACAUCGAGAUAACUUUUUUUUUUUCUUUUUUUAUAAUGCAUUGUUUGUCCAAAUUCCGUACAAAUUAGGCCACCACAUGUUCAUAAUUCUCCCUUCUUGAAUUUGAAAACUCGGACAAUUUGACAAUGCGACACCUAAGUCCGGUUUUUAAAUGCUAAAGUGAAAGGGCAGGUAUGGACCAUUGAAAUGUGAUAACAACUUUUGGCCUUUUCCUUUUCUCUGUAGCCAUGUUGUCUCUUUUUAAUUUCUUUUGCAUGAUUUUCUUACCUAAACAGAAUCAUAGACUUGUUUAAUCUCUAAGUGGGAUUUCAUCCACCUUAAGCUACUGUAUUAUAUCUCGGUGGAGGACAACCGACAUAGAGCACAUGCAAGUGGGUAUAUGGGACAUGAAAUAUCUUCUUAUAAAGCUUGUUUUGCAGUUAAAUUAAUUGGAUAAGUAGACACUGGCGUUUCUAAAUUUCCCACCUAAGAUAAUGACCUUAUCCUUGACUGCUAGAUACACAAACAAUUAUACCUUCAAAAUCUACUGUGAAGUGCUUCAUGUAUGUGUGAAGUAUUAGAAAUUUCUUUCUUGGCAACUUGUUUUUUUCUUUGCGGUCUACUGAUAGGUUUGACUAAAAUUAUAUUCCCUGUCCUGCUAAUUAAUUUUCACGUGCAUGCUCAAAAGAAGAGUAUGACCUUAGUGCACCAAAAUCACUUUCAAUAAUUUGUGAUAAGUUUUUUUGCAUGACAUUAACCUUAUUCAUUUAGAUAAUGUUUAGUUCUCAUAAAUAUUAAGAAAAUGAAAAUAAAUAUUAAGAAAAAUAUUCUUAUAUUUGAUUGUAUUAUGAAAAAUAUCAUAAAAAAUCAAAUAUAAUUAAAAUUAAUUAAUAAUUUAUAUAUUUUAAAAUUAUUUAAUUUUUAUAUUAAAGAUAUAAUAUAAAUGAAAUGAGUUUUAAGUAUUAUAUAAAAAUGAUUUAUUUAUUUAUUUAUAUAUAUAUAUAUAUAUAUAUUUAGUUUUUCUCUUUAUUUUAUUUUCCUUAUGUUUUCCUCACAUUUUCCGGAAUCAAAGAUAGGGAAAUCCACAAUUACCUUCAACUGAGUAGAUUCUAUUGUUUUAGCAAUGUUAGGCUGCUAACUUGUGGUGGUACGAACCAAAUGAUCCAUGUUAAUCUUGGCUUGAUUUAAUUUGGCUCUAUCUCAGAGAACUCAAGGAUCACGUCAACUCUGGUUUCUACUAUUCAGGUCCAUUCCCAGAUGAACUGGUUCAAAUUUGAGAAAAUGGUAACAGACCUUUAGUGAUAUUGGUUUGGAGCCAGUUGCCAAACCUGCCCUGAGCUUUACCACUAAUGUCAAGGGACAAAGCCAUUUGAACAAAAACAAUAGCUUCAAGAGACUGAAUCGUGGAUGAAAUCUGAUCCACAUUUCUUCUCAUUUUGGGAAAAAAUGAGGACUUAACCACAAAGAUUCUACUGCCUCAUAGUGCUUUUCCUGAUCUAAGGUUGGCUCGUUUCCCAAAUUGUGAGGUGCACGUGCCACUCUCACGCUCAGGAGUGUAUCCACGUGGUGGACAUAAGAUGGUGGCUUAAUAUCUGGUGUCGGUGGCUUUACUUUACUAGGAGAGUAGUGUGUCUUCAUCUCAUUCACUGCCAGAGGGUGGCGUAAGCAGUGACGCUAAGGUGGGGCACAGUCAAUAUCAUUUGCAUUUGACCAUUAUAAUUUUCUCCCGGCUUUAAAGUAACCUUAUCGUGAUAAUGGAUUACUAGCACUAGUUCAGAUGACAGUCAUGUUAAAUUCGGACCAUGUUUGUGUCACAUUAUCAGCAACCAUGUGCUUGUGGUUCAUGCUAUCUGCAACUAAACUUGAUAUAUAACCAGGUGAACUUCAAUCUAAAUUCUGGAAGUACUCAUGUGAUAGAUGGUGCCUGUCUGCAGUGAGUGUAUCUAUAAGAGGGAAGGCUUGGCAAAUGUUCAGUUUUCUGGGAAUUCAACAGGGAUCUAAAAUAGAUUGUUUUCUUUGCUGAUUUCAAUGGUUGAAAUUUGAGAAGAUUGUGUCCACAUAACACAACUAUUACUGGUCCUUCUGUUGCAAUUUAUCCUCUAAGGCUCUAACAUGUCUUCCAAUUCCCACUUCCCACUUCCCUGUUACUCCAGGAAAGCUGUUUCUGUCAUUGUGAAGAAGAAAAGAGACUGUACAUAUCGAUGCUUUUAAGUGGACUGGAGAAUUCAUAUCAGGUGGUCUGCAGCCAUACAUGCCACUUUGUGAAGGUUGGAACAGUCAAUCACUAGGCUAUAUUAGUGGGGCCCAGCCACUUCAAUCAAGGACAAGUCUUCAUACUUAAAGUCAAAUUCUGCCUUUAGUCUCAUUAUAAAUUGCUGUUUAAAUAUCAAGCAAACAUUUGUUUAAUGCGAUUAAGACAGCACUAACUCAAUACUUGUUCUAUUUUUGGAUGCAAAUGCUUGAUAGUUUCAUCAUUGGAGGGGAUAAAGGUGCAUUCAUGAUUAUGAAUACUUGUAGUUAUAUUUUCAUUCUCUUUUUUCUCAAUGGGACUUGUUGGCACAAUUUUGCUGUUCAGAAACCUACCUCUCCAUGGAAAAUCAGUUGUGAUUGAUAUUACUGGAUAUAUUCAAGAAAGCUAAAUGUAGAUAGCACAAAAUAUUAUCGACAUAAAUAGCAUUAACAGCGUACGUAUGUCUCAAUGCUCAUCAGCUAUAAGCAAGGGGCAAACACUUACUAUGAGCAACUUACGUCAAAAUUCCGGAAUAGGACAUAGAAGUGACAGGUCAGUAAAUAUAGAACACUGCAUAUGAGUCACAAGAAAGGAAAUUACGGGUACAUAGCAGCUCUUAUUUUACAUCCUACUCAUACUGAUCAAAGUCACUCAGUUGGGAUGGGUGGGAGUGGGAGGUUUGUGGGGUGGCUUGUGCGGAGGAGUUGGCAGCUUCUUUCCAGGACCUGGUUGCUUCUCUGCUGGAGUUGAAGGAGGCUUAAUCUUCCGAGGUGGCUUGUAUGAGUCUUCAGCAUUCUCAGCAGGAGGGUGACCAGGGUUGUGACCACAAUGUGGUGGCUUCUCUCCCUUAGGUGGUUUGCCAACUGGGGUUGGUGGCUUGUGUUCCGGAAGUGGCUUCUCUUUGUGUUCAGGAGGUGGCUUCUCCACUGGAGGCUUGUGUUCAGGAGGUGGCUUCUCCACCGGAGGCUUGUGUUCAGGAGGUGGCUUCUCCACCGGAGGCUUGUGUUCAGGAGGUGGCUUCUCCACCGGAGGCUUAUGCUCUGGUGGUGGCUUCUCCACCGGAGGCUUAUGCUCUGGUGGUGGCUUCUCCACCGGAGGCUUAUGCAAUGGUGGUGGCUUCUCCACCGGAGGCUUGUGUUCAGGAGGUGGCUUCUCUACCGGAGGCUUAUGCUCUGGUGGUGGCUUCUCCACCGGAGGCUUAUGCUCUGGUGGUGGCUUCUCCACCGGAGGCUUGUGUUCAGGAGGUGGCUUCUCCACCGGAGGCUUGUGUUCAGGAGGUGGCUUCUCCACCGGAGGCUUGUGCUCUGGUGGUGGCUUCUCCACCGGAGGCUUAUGCUCUGGUGGUGGCUUCUCCACCGGAGGCUUGUGUUCAGGAGGUGGCUUCUCCACCGGAGGCUUAUGCUCUGGUGGUGGCUUCUCCACCGGAGGCUUGUGUUCAGGAGGUGGCUUCUCCACCGGAGGCUUAUGCUCUGGUGGUGGCUUCUCCACAGGAGGCUUGUGUUCAGGAGGUGGCUUCUCCACCGGAGGCUUAUGCUCUGGUGGUGGCUUCUCGAAUGGGGGAUGCGUAGGGUAAUCAGCUAGUGAGGGGGCGGUGAGAACCACCAGGCCAAGCAACACUACUAGCAAGUAUGUAGGAGACAUCUUUGGGUUUGGGCUCAGAUGGUGCAAAACUAGGAGAAUUGGCUAGCCUUUUAUAGCGGAUCGUACCCAAUAAUGAAAUGACACGUGUCAUUAUGACCCAUGUGUCAUGUGGUCGAUUUGGGUCCUACAGUGUUGAAAACUUCGACAUCCACUUUUUUGGCCUUUUGCUUUCUCUACAGUCGCCUUGCUUUUUCCCUCUUUUCUUUUGUUUUCCUCCUGCCCCAUUCUAUCAACUAAUCACAAUUAUGUAGUUGUUUAAUUCUUAAAUGAGAUAUUAUCCGUCAAUCAUAUUAUCUUUUAUCAAGAGAGAACGGAGUGAAAAGUGGCAAUCCAAAGAAAGAAGAUCCAUAAUGCAGCUGUAAUUUUAUCGUUUACUUUUAUCUCUAGGACCACUGCAUUUUUGUUGAGAGGUGCAAUAAUACACGUCUUUAUCUGCCAUUCAAUGUUUACAGUAAAGAGAGGGCACAAAACUCUUCACUGCUCUGCAUGUGCCCCAAAAAUGCAAUUGGACAAAUUAUGAUUUGCAUGCUAAAAAGAGGCAAAUGAGGUUAAUUAGCACCAAAAUUAUUUUGUUUUCUGGACACCCCGGGGCCCUUUGGUUGGUUUGGGGGUCAGAAAAUGAACAUCAUAGGGGGUUUUUCCCUAAUGUGCAUUUGCAUUUGUAUCUGAUGGCUUUAACUCGCCUUGUUACUACAAAGAAAUUGUCACAGAUAGGAACUUAUUCCAGGCUGAGUAUCUCCGCAUGGACCCUAUAAAAGAAGACAAGUCAUAAUGAACAUCUAACCUUUGUUCAAUUUGAUUCAAUGCCCCUAUUGUGUCCAUCUCACAAAUCUGAAUUAUUAUAUCCAUUGAAUACAUAAAUUAAUGAAGAAAAUAUGAAACCCAAGAUACAUCUCUGCACAACCUCAACCCUGGUUGCUAUGUUUCACUUCUAUUCACAUGAGGAUAUUGAUUACGGAAUAAGGAAACCUAGCAAGGGUUUACUCGGCUCUGGUUUGAUGCUAAUUGCCAAACUUGCAACAAGCCCUGAGUUUGACACCUAAUCGAUGGGCGAAUUAAAAGUCUCCUCCAAACAUAUAUUCCACAGCUUGAAGCUCACAGAAGAUGCUAUACAGGCAGGGAAAAACCUUCAGAGUUAGCUACCAAAGAUAAUUAUCAAGGAGAUAUCACCAAGAGAAUUCCAUGGAGUCUGAAUCAAAGACAAAUUGCUCGCUCGUGGGGGUUCUUACUUAAUUUCUUUUGGGUAUAACUCACUGAGGGCACUGGCUUUGUUAUUUGCAUUUCGCAUUUAGAGUUCUGUUCUGGAAGGUUUGUUCUGGAAACAUAUAAAAGGAGCAUCAUUUUGUUCUAGGGUAACCCAUAGUUGUGAGUGGGUCCAUUUGCAUGCUACUUAGUUGAAAAGUUGGACAAUUUGCUCCGACGCCUACCUCCUGGAUUCCAUGCUCGGAUAAAGCAAGAAUAAUAAAAUAUUUAUAAUUUACAAAUGGGGGAAAGAAAAAAAUGUCAACAACAAACUAGGAAAAAAGAGUAGUAAAAUUUAUGCCACAUGCUAUUGAUAGAAGGGGCAUGUAUUAGAUCCAUCACCAUUUGGUAAGAUUUUAGUAUUAUAUUUUUCAAGGUUCAUUAUUUGAGGGUGUGUUCUUCAUCUCUGUUGCAUUGCUUCUUACUAGGCCCACUGAGGUGGGUUCUUCACCUUUUGUAUAUUCUCUGCACUAGAUCAAUGAGAAAGGGGGAAUUUUGGUGAAUUUGCAGCCGUUGGAUGAUUGAUUCUAGGCUCAGUCCACCAAUGAUGCUCUCUUCACUCUUUCUCAUCUAGUGUCAUUCACAACUAUGUUUUGAUUCAUAUUUGUACUAUCAAAGAUAUCUCAUUAUUCUAGCUCAUUAGGUAGAGUUCCUAAUCUUCCUCCUUUUUGGUCUAUGGACAGUAUUGGCUUCAUAUUAAGAUCAUGUUUCAAUAAUUGCACAUUAAUGAAUGGAUCAUGACCCACAUAAACAGAGUCAGGGUUGAGUCAGUGAACCCUAAAAUUUCACAAUUCUAAAUUUGGGUUCUUUAACAAUGCAGGGUCAAGGACGCGUGGUGAUGAAGGAAAGCUGGUAAGCUCAGUGUUACUUCAAUUCCUGCCAUGUAGGAUGGUGAGGAGAUAUUCACUAUGCAAUUAAUAAUAGACAAUAUUCACUAUGCAAUAAUAAAGCAUAAAUUAAGUUGAAUGAAAAGCAUUUUCUUUGCAAGGAGUUGAUUUUGGUUUCAUAGUUUGUUCAACUGCUAUUUUGGAUAGGAAAGUGUGAGGAGAAGAAAAUAAAAAAUAAAAAUAAAACAAAAAAUAAAAAAUAGAUUUUAUAAAUUCAUUUAAUUUAUUUUUUUUUUAUAAAAAUUAACUAAUUUAAAAUAUAUGUAAAUUUCUAAUUAAUUUAAUUACAUUUUUUUUUUCAGUUUUUCAUAAUAAACCAAAUAUUAGAAAAUUAUUUUUAUUAAGACACCCAAGAUGAGGUAAUAUGCAAUGAAAACAUGAAUUAUAUUAAAAUUCAAAACAAAUUAAGAGAAAUCGGAAAAUAUACAUAGAUAUCUAAACAAAGAAAUUUAAAGAGAAGGAACCACAAACUUUAUUUACAUAAUUUGAAAAUAAAAAACAUAAAACAUACUUAUAGUAAGGAGAAAUUGAAUAUCUUACAAUGGAAGAAGGGAGAAAAGCUUUGAAGAAAGCUUUUGCUUGGAAGCUUACAUGGUGAGAGGUAGAGAAAGGAGAGAGAGAGAAGAAAAUGAAAAAUGAGAAGUGGAGAAAAUUGGAAGUUUUGUGUGCUUACAACUGAGGAUAGAGCCUCCUUAAAUAGCAAAAAAUGGAAUAUUAAAUAGUACCAAUCAGGAGACAAAAUAUUGUUUGCUUUUGAAACCCGUGCAUGAAUAGUAAUCCCGUGAGUGAAUAGUGAAUAAUAAAAGUGAAUAGUAAAAGUCACUUUCUACUAUAGCACUUUAGACUUUUUCAUCGAGAAUCUUACUUUCGGCUGAGUGAUGAUAGCUGAUAGGUUGCUUUGGAUUGUGGAGUCAUAUGUUUGAUGUUUUCGGUGCUGAAACCGCUUAGUUGGAGAAUAAUCUCGUCAGUAGAGCAUCAUGAGAAGCUUGAAUGGAGAGAGCUUAAUGAUGCCAUAUGAUUGGAAGGAAUCCUAUUUUAAUUUCCUUAUUGGAGGGAGAAUACCCUCACAAUCAUCUUCAUUAUCUUGAAGGUAGUUUGAUAUAGAGUCAUCUGACUCAGCAUAAGAGUCCUCUUGGGAGAAGCUUGAACUGCUUUUGUCAAGGAUUUUCUGAAAUUCUUGAGGGGUUUUUGCUAUUGCUAACAUGGUUUGGAGUUGCUGUUUCUUAAGAAGAAACUGUGCAAUAUCAUAAGAUGAUGAAGCUUGUGUAGGAUGCUUUAGGAAAUAUUGCUUUAUUGCUUGUAGUGAGGUAUCAUUUUUCAAGGCAUCCCACCACUUAGACUUGAAAGUCCUUCCAAGGGUUGGAAAGGCUGCUGAUUCAUCUGCUAUAAUGAUAUAAUCCCACUGGACUAUCCAGGCAAGGCCAAAUUCACUAAAAAAGAAUAAUAAUUGGGGAAAACUGAAAGUUCUCUAGGGAUAACAAAAGAACUUUGGAAUAGCUCAAAGCCAUCCAAAAUGGGUUUUGGGAGAAUUUUAAUAGUUGGACCAAAAUAUGUCCACCAAUUGUGGAACCAAAAUGGAAAAGAGGGGAGUUGAUGCUUAGAUGGGAAAUAGAACAUCCCUGAAUGAUGGAAGUCCUUGUUCUGGAUCAGAAAAGCAUUGAACCAUACUCUUUGGUAGUCUCAAUAAUUGAAAAUUUUAGGUUUUGAAGGCUUAGAAAAUUCUCUUGAAAAAUUAGGAUUCCCACCCCACUGCUUAACUGUAAGGAUUUUAUAAAUAUGGUAAGUGGAGAAUGCCAAAUCCAAAUUGCUGAAUUUAUCAGCAUUGUGCUUGAUUUUAACAGAGCCGGUUUCCAUAAGGAUUGCUUCAUAAAAUUCUCUUGUUUUUAAAAGAUCACCAAAGGGAUAAUGAAAAUUUUCAUGAAAAGCUUUUGCUGCAAUAUCUCUAGGGUUUUUAGAGAAAAACUCUUUUUCAAUAACCAAAAGAGGUUGAUUUAAAUCUUUUUGCCAAUAUCUUGCUUUUGCUGAAAGAGGUGUGGGGUUGGCUACCACCACAAUUUGCUUAUUUGAAAAAGAAGAGCUUGAUGCUAAUUCAUUUUGAGAGGGAUUAGCUUUAGUAACCUGCUUAAAGGUCUGAGACACAGUAAUAGUUGGAUACUGAGUAGCCUUGACUGGUUUAGAAGGAUUCGAAGGAUCAUAGUACAAGGACAAAAUCUUAUUAGGCAUAUGGUCAGAAGAAUGAAGCCUUGCUUCUUCUUCUAGCUCAACUUGUUGGCUCCAAAGUAUUUUAUGGGGAGAAGGUUCUUUGCUGGUUUUAGAAGACUAGGAUUCUGGAAGUUUAGGAGCUUGGGUAUUCUUUUUAGGGGCCAUGGUUUCGUGAAUCCUGUAAAAUUCACAAGUUAAGAAAUCAGGGCUCGAAGAAUGUUCUCCUUUAAUAUACUCAAUUUGUAAAUUAAAAUUGCUUAAAAUAGCUUGAUAUAUAGCAAAAAUAUGCUUAGAAGUUAUAUUCUUAACAUCCUUUUGUAAAACUAAUUUUGCAAAUUUACAAUCAACUCUUAAUAAAAACUUUUGAUUCAAAAGAUCAUCUUGAAAUUUUGAAAUGCAUAAAACAACGCUUAAAGUCUCUUUUUUAAUGAUGUUAUGAAUGAGUUGGGUAGUAUUCCAGGUUCUUGAAGUAUACCUAACUAACAUCUCAAGGUUACCAACACUUUGCUUAAGAAUCCCACCAUAACCUAUGUCUGAGGUAUCGAUCCCAACAAACUCAAAGGUUUCUGGAUUGAUAGAGCCUAAACAUGGUAGGGUCUUGACUUUGGACUUAACAUCAAUAAUGAAAACAAUGGUGAAAACAGAAAACUGGUUAAAGUUUUCAUCCAUUAUAUUCUGGAAUUCUGAGGUGCAUUCUUAAGAUCAAAGGGCAUUAUGAACCAUUCAUAAUGUCCAAGAGAUACCACAAAGGUGGUCUUAUUUGGAAUAGGACACCUAAUCCAACUUAAUGUAUCAUUAAGAGGCAUGUAGUUGACGACUAGUCUAGGUGUUCCUUUUUCUGAUUCAACUUGUUCCUGAACAUAGAAGGUUGAACAACUCCAAAGGGACUUAGACUUCCUUAUCAACUUUUUAUCAAGAAGAUCCCAAAUCUCCUUAUCACAAUAGCUUAACAAACCCUUGUUCAUCUGGAUAGGUCUUGAUUUAGUGGGAAUAUUCUUGUCACUAAAGUCUAGUUCAUAAGGUAAUUCUACCUCAUGUUGUUUCCUAUGCCAAAAUGCAUUAGGAAUGUUAGAGCAAACUUCUUCAACAAUCAGAUUAAUUUCUUGCUCAUGACUUUCCUUAGCUUGAAUCACCUGAUCCCUUAAGGUGUUUAUAUUUUUCUUAUUAGGUGGUUGGCAAAUUCAAAAAUAAUUUCCUUAUCUAAGAGCUUUGUUCUUAUACUUUGGUCAUCUACCCACAUGGGAUAGAUGGAGCUUAAAAAGGGGAUUCCAAGGAGAGCUUUCUCCUUAAGAUCCUUAACUAGAAUGAAGGUUUGCUUGAUGCAAAUGCCUUGGUUAUUUAUGUGAGCAUCUGACAGCUUAUACUCAAUGUCAAGCCUUUUACCAUUAGCUCCAAAGAGAGAUUCUUUGGUUUUCUUACAAAACUUAAUAGGACCUAGACCUUCUUGUAGGCAAUUCAAAGCUGUUCCUGAAUCAAUCAAAGCAACAAUAUCAAUGACAAAUUUACUCUUAAUUACUAUAGUAAGGGAGACUUUCCACCUCUGGAAAAUAACCCUACUAACAGUAUUUAAGUAUCCAUCCGUCUUUUCAUCAUUAGCAUGUGAAGAUUCUAGAACCUCUUCAAGGUUUUCCUAGUUAUCAACAAGAUUUUCUAUAACAAUCCUAUUUAUUUGUUCUUGGAGAUCUGAAAAACCUAAGCUUGUGUAUUGUCUUAAAUCUUUAAUUUCCUUCUUAUACUGUCUUACUUCUUCUUGAAGAUCCUUAAUGGUUACGUCUUUGGUAGACUACUGGUUAAAUCUUCCUAAGAUUUCAUUUAAGUUAUAAGAAUUUACUGUCUUCUUAAUCUCUUGCUUAUCGACAAAUUUCUUAAAAACUUCAUAAAGAUCUUGUUUAGUUUUUUCAUCUUCAACUUUCCUUAAAACAUCUAGGACAAGUUCUUGAUCUUGGCUUAUGACAUUUAUAGUCUUAGGUUGGCAAUCACAAUUAUCCUUAAUGUAUUCUUCUUGGUCACUAGAAGUUUGGCUUGAGAUUUCCUCACCACUACUAUCUAGUUGGUUAAUACCAUUUUCAUUAUCUGAAUCAAUCCUUGAUUCAGACUCUGUGGAAUUUAACAUUACUUUACAAAGCAUAUCUUUUAAGUCUUCUGUGACAUUUAAGUUAUUAAUUUUCUGCUUAACCCUACAAUCUUUCUUAUAGUGGCCUAUCUUACCACACUUAAAACAAACUGGCUUAGAUUGUGAAGGAGCUUCUAGCUUUUUAUGGGCUUCUUUGUUCAUCAUUCUUUGGAUGUGCCUUUGUUUCUUAGUUUCAUUCAUCCUAUAGUUGCCAUGAGUUCCUCUCUUGUUGUGAUAGGACUUUUCCUUACUAGGCUUUGUACUUACUUGUUUCUUACGUUGCUUAGAGGGGGGCUUAGUUUCUUUUUGGUUGAAUCCAAACUAGCUACAAAAUGAACCAAACUCAUUCUUGUAGAUCCUUUGUUCAUUUUUCAUCUGUUGCUUAAGCUUAAAGUCAUUGCACAGUUUAAUUGCUUCUGAUGUGACAAUGCUUAUAAUUUCUCCAUAAGAAAGCUUAUCAUAAGGGAUUUGUCCAUUAAACUGUUCCCUUAUCUUAAUCCUAAUCCUCUCAGAGAAAAGUCUAGGUAGUCCUAAGAUGAAUUUUUCUUUCCAAAAAGACUGGUUAUAGUUUGAUCUUAGUAUGACUUUGGUUAGGAAAACUUCUCUAUACCAUCUAAAGUCAUGAAGCUUGGGACACUUAAGGUUGGUUAAGAGAUCUACAAUCUUAUCCUUAAUCUUUGCAGGAUCUCCAAUGAAGUGCUUUGAAAUUGAAUAGAUUAGAGUAGCCACUACAUCCUCUAUAUCUUGUCCAUCUUCAUCCUUAACCACUUCAUUUUCCUCAUUAAUCCUAUAGGCUUUUAGGAUACCAUUUCUAUCCUCAAAGGUGAGAUAAUUAUCCCACCAACCCUAAAGUUGACCUGUAAACCCAACAACAAUUGUUUGAGCUACAGCAUGGCCUGACAAUCUAUUGUUUAACUUAUAGGUUGUACUAACCAUGGUCAUUUCUUGAAGCUUAGUGAGUAUGUUGUACUCAAUCAUACCAUCUAUGUUCCAUUCAUAGAUAGUGUCACUAGUGUAGGAAGCUUGAGUAUGCUGGUUUCUUUCCUCAUACUACAUAUCAGGAAAAGUUGGUCUAGGGUAGUAAUUCCUAGUUCUUGGUUGUUGAUAAUCCUCAUAACUGUUUGGUUAGGAGGUUCCUUAAAAAUCUUAAUUAGUUCAUCAGCCUCUGCUUCAGAACUAAUUUCUCCUUUAACCAUAUUGAUUCUCUUGUGAGAUGGUUGAGGUGUCUCAGAGACAACAAGGCUAUCCUUAACCUUUUGGCUUAUCCUAUCAAUGAGGGCUUGAUCAAUAUGGAGAUUCUCUAGGAAUUUCUUAGAGAAUUCAAAAGGCUUAAAUAAAGACUUAUUAUCUUUCUUAACAAACGUAGUCUUAAUGUAGUCUUGUGUUUCAAUGAUAUCCUCAAACUUGUUGAGUUGAUCGCCUGUAGUCUUAAGAAACAUGUUAGUGUAGUUGUUUUGUUCCAUGAUUCUUCUAACGUCAACAACACUAUCAAUUCCUUUAUUCUUUGGCCUAGUCUUAAAAGGUGAAGCUUUGACUAUGGUUCAAUUAAUGUUCUUUUAUAUCUUAGCUUCUAGAGGGUGGAUGGAUUCUAUGAUAGUAUCGUCACUAGUUUUCCAUAUCUUAGUUUUUUUGGAUGUGUCAUUGACACGCUUACUAGGGUAAUCUAGAUAUUCCUCUUGUUUGAAGAGUUCAAACCAGAUCCAAUACUUAAUGUUCUUCUUUUCUUGUCUUAAGUAUGUGUAGAAUUCUUCUUGGUAGAGGGUUCUAAUGUCUUUAAGGACCUUGCUAAAGAACCAAACUCUCCUUUUCUUAUUGACUUCAGAAUAGAAGUCUUUCCUUAAGAGGUCCUUGUUGAUUCAAAGUCUUCGUUAAUUAGGCUUACAGUGUUAAUCAACUGAGAAUAAGUAGGAGACAUAUCAGGAGAUUCGUCCUGAUGUGAUUCUUGAGUAAACUCAUUUUCCUCCAUGUAAAAGGGUUUGGCCACGUUGGUGUGACUUCUAACACCUGUUAGCUUAAUAUUCUUAGGAUUUGCUGAACUAGAUCCUUCCUCUAUCCUAGUGGUUCUUAUUGGGAUAGAUGAACUUGAAGCUCUAGAGGGCUCAUAAUAUGAAAUUCUAAGGCUGCUAGAAUGAUGAAAAGAGUUGGAGAAAAUUAGAUCUCGUUCUCCAUCAGGAUAUUGAACAAUCUGUUCAAUUCUUUCAGAUCUUUGCUCUAUGGCUGGGACAACAUUAGCAAAAUGCCAAUUUUCUGGAAACUCAACCUCAUUCCACUUGAUUUUCAUGGGGACUAUGAAAUUAGACUUGUUUAUCAUAUCUAAGUGGAAGAUAGUGGUUUCACCCUUGGGACUGGUGCACAAUGCUCCAAAUCCAACGCUUAUGGUCAUGCUCUUAUAGGCAAAUCUGGUGAUGAUGGAAACAUGAUUGUUUCCUUGCUUGAACUUAAAGUCAUGGGUCUUAACAUGAAGGACAACUGAAUCUAAGAUGUUGACAUCUCUUAGUCUAACUGUGAAGUUAGGGAAACACUGGAAAUAAACAGGACCAUCAUUUAAUCCUGCUUGGGUAGCUCCAAUAAUAGAAUCUCGGUAAUCAAGAUGUCUAUUAUCUCUUAAACACAUGACAAUAAAGGUGUUUAGACCUAGUCUUGUCAAGGGCUUAGCUGCAACUUGAAUCAUGCCAAAGUGUAUGAAGUUGUAGUCUCGCUUAUGCUUAUCAAUGGACUUACUAUCCAAGAGUCUUAUGACUUGAUCGUCGUGUUCUAAACUUACUGACAUUUCAGGGGUUUUAAUGGUGUAAUCUGUAAAGAACUUAAAGGUUCCUUUCUUAUAAAUUUCUUGAUUAGGUACCUUGGGUAACUUCCAAUCAUCUAAAUCAUCUUGGAUCUUAGGAUAAUUGAUCUCUUCAUUGUUUACUCUUGAGAAUUUGUGGAUUUCCUAGACAUGGUUCUGAAAAUCAAACUCAUUUUAAGGUUUUAAUCUAGAGCCUAAUAGCAGAUUAACAGACCUAGUGAGUAAUCACCCCAACCCUUUUCCAACCUUAACAAACGCCUAUCUCCAGCUAACAAUGGGCUCAACUCGGCAAGGAUCGCACUCAGGCACACUACUAUCUUUCCUAGGAUAGAUCAAAACACCCAAAACAAACCCGACUUCCUUUUCCUAGGAUAUAUAUAGUAUUUUGGGUUUGAGUAGGAGUUCAUGUUUUGUAUGUAAUUGUAGUCUACGUUGGACUAGGUUGUUUGCUCCUAAUUGAAAUAGGAAUGGUUGGUGUCACAUCUCAUUCAUUUUCUCAUCUAUUUCCAUGUUUAGAUAACUCAAGUAAUCAUAGGAAUGAAAUUAAGAAUGAUUUGAGGGAAAUGAAAUCUCACUUGUAAGUGGGAUCUCAAUUCAUCAUUAAUAGAAGGUAUUUUGAUUACAUAGUGCAAGUUAUUUUUAAAAACACUUUUCAAAAAUUGAAAAACCAAAAACUCUCUUGGAUAAGUUGUUUUUAAAAAGAAUUUUUGUAUUUUUAUUUUGUAAAAAAAAAAAAUAGUAAUUCAAUUUAUAUAAUAUAAAUAGACUUUAAUUUUAUUAAAAAUAAAAAUAAUUUUUUAAUUACAAAUAAAUUAAAAAAUAAAUAUUUGUAAUAAAAUAUGAAUAGUAAUAUUAUAAUAAAAUCAUAAAUAAAUUAAAAAUAUUUUUAAAAACAAAUAAGUUUAAUUUUUUUGAGGUACAAAUGAGCCAAAUUUUUCAUUAGGUACACAACCAACAAUUUUUAUUGGAAACAUUCCUCAAAAAAGAAUUCGUUUCCCAUAUAGCAAAGAUAUUUAUUAUUUAGUAUCUAACCAUCCGUAGUAAUCAUAUCAAUUCUACUAAGUUAUUUAAUAAUUCAUUUAUAUAUAGUACUCAAUUAUGAAUUUUUUUAUUUGAUGUAUAAUUAAUUAAUCAAUGUUUUGAAUUUUGAAUUAUUCUUAAAAUUUAAAACAUUAAUUAUGUCUAUUACUUUUUAUAGUCAUUAUAUAUAUAUAUAUAUAUAUAUAUAGAGAGAGAGAGAGAGAGAGAGAGAGAGAGCUUAAAUUUAUCUUUAAAAAUUAUUAAAUUUAUUAAUAAAUUCAAUACAAAGACUCAUUUGAUUUGAAAUUCAUUUCUUUAGUGAAAAUUUUGAAACUAAAUAGUACUUUGUUUUACUUUGUUUUUAAAUCAUACUCACAAAUAAGUUUUUAUCAUUUAGCCAAAAAAUCUCAAAGAUGUUUCUAAUUUUAUUUAUUUAUUUAUUUGUAAAUGAAAAUAAAAAAUUAGUUUAAACUAAAUAUGCGGAUAUUAUUGUUAAUUUAUUUCAUUUUUUAUUUCCAUUGUUAUUUAACAUUGAAACGGAAACAAAUAAUCAUUCCAAUCUUACAUUCUUAUAUGCAUCUAAACACAAGAAUUGAAAUCACCAAAUUCAUAUUCAAGGCAAAAUAGAAAUGGAAAAAAAAUAUUCAUUUUCAUUCCUCAUUCUCAUGUGCUAAACAUGACAUUAGUUCUACUACCUAUUUCACCAUUCUUCUUGAUAAAUUUGGUAUAUGCAAUAUUGAUCUAAGUGUGAGGUGAAUAAGAAUGAUGAUGGGAUGGGCUUGGAAAUAAGGGCAAAGUUUCUAGGUGCUAUCUAGAGGGGCAACGCGACUUUUUCAAAUUUCGAAUAUUUGUUCUCAACAUAAAGCAAAACUUUACUCACACAAUAGAUAAGACUCUGUUUGUUUUCUUCAUCCACGACUAUAUAAUGUAUAGCUCUUACUCAAGGGAUGAGCUACUUACUAUUAAGGAUUGGGUAAGAUAUUGCCUAAUGGCCAAGAAGGCAUGUCAAAAAAUAAAUCUAAUCACCAUAAAAAAUAAUAGGGGAAAAUUAAUAUAUUAUGAAUGAUGACUUUACUAUUUCUCUAUAUACAUAAUUAUAUAUUUUGAAUUUUCUCACUAGGUAAUGAGAUUCUAAAUCAACUGAAACAUAAUUAAUAAUUUAUAUUUUUAAUGAAUCUUUUAAUUUUUAAAAAUAAUUUAAAAUUUUAAAAAACAAUUCAAUUAAUUACAUAUUAAAUCAAAACAUUUCAAAAUAUUGUGUUUGUAGAUGAGUACUAAAUGCUUGCAUAUAAUAAUAAUAAUAAAAAAAUUGACUCAUUUAGAUGUUAAAAAAGUUAAAUGUUUUUCAUUAUUCAUUUUAAGUAAAAUAUUAUUGACAUUAUUAUUAUAAAAUUAUUAUUAUUCAUUUUUAACAAAAAACAAAAUAAGUUAUUCUUUUACCAAGAUGUCAAUAUCUAUAUUUUUCUAACAUAUAUUAAAAUAGUAUACUUUUCUUUUAUUAAAAAUAAUAAUUAUUAUUAUAUUAUUAUUCAAGUUUUAUUAAAAAAAUUUAUCUUUUAAUUCAUUUGUAAUUACAAAAUAAUUUUAUUUUAUUAAGAAUUUAAUUUAAUUACGCUUUUUUUUUUUAUAAAAAAAACAGUUAUGCUUUUACCAAGAUGUUAAUAUUCAUAUUUUUCUAGCUAACAUAAAUAGAAUAGUACACUUUUUCAUAUAAAAAAAUAAUUUAUGAUUUUAUUAUAAUGUUACUAUUCACAUUUUACUAAAAAUAUUUAUUUAUUUUAUUUAUUUUUAAUUAUAAAAUAAUUUUAUUUUCAAGAAUUUAAUUUUAAAAAAAUAGAAAUCAUUUAUUCUUUUACCAAGAUGUUAAUAAACAUAUUUUUCUAACAUAUACUAAAAUAAAAAAGUUUACUUGUUCAUUAAAAAAUAUAAUUUAUGUUUUUAUUAUAAUACUACUAUCUAUGUUCUACUAAAAAUAUUUAUUUAUAAUUAAAAAAUAAUUUCAUUUUUAAUAAGACUUGAACUAAAUUAAAUUUAUAAUUUUUUUUUAAAAUAAAAUAGAAAAUUAUUUUUUAAAAACAACUUAUUGAAAGAAAUUUUUUAUUCUUUACUUUUAAGAACUGUUUUUAAAAGCAACCUAUAAACCCCUUUGGGUCUGUUUGGCUAUGUUUCAUGCAACUUGUUUUUAAAAAUUGUUUUUUAUUCUUUAAUUUAAUUUUUUUUAAGUUAAAGAAUAAAAAACAACUUUCUAGUGUUUUAUAAAAAUGAGAGCUUUUGACAAGUUGUUUUUAAAAACCAUUUUUAAAAAUAAAAAAUAAAAAACUUAUUUAGAUAAAUUGUUAUAUAUAUAUAUAUAUAUAUAUUUGUAAAAACAUUUUAAAUUCAAUUUAUAUAAUAUAAAUUUAAUUUAAUUUAAGUCUUAUUAAAAAAAAAUUGUUUGGAUAAGUUUUUUUUUUUAAAUAGUUUAUUAUUUUUGUUUUGUAAAAACAUUGCAAAUUCAAUUUAUAUAAUAUAAAUUAAUUUAAUUCAAGUCUUAUUAAAACCAAAAUAAUUUUAUAAUUACAAAUAAAUUUAAAAAUAAUUUUUUUAGUAAAACAUGAAUAAUAAAAUUAUAAAUUAUAUUAUUGUGGACCCUGCAUUUAUGCUCAUGCGCUUCCACUUGUUGGCGAACUCAUUUUUUAUUUGAAAAUGAUUUAUUUUUUUAGAAAAUGACUUAGAGUCGCCACUUAUUUUUGUUUUAUUUUUAAAGGGCAAGCAAAAUAAGAAAGAAAACCCUAAGUGUGACUCCUUAUUCGAAAAAGGUAGUCUGUGUAAAACCGGAUCAGGGUUCAGGGAUCAGGUUACUUAUUGGGAAGGUAUGACAAUGACCGUAGCACUCCUCUAAGUCCUUAAAAACGGGCCUCUACUAAAAAAAAUAAAGUAAUCAUGGCAAUCAGUAAGGAAAUCACUGGAUACCCAGAACAAUUAUGCACAUGUGAGAAUUAAAACAUGCAUAAGAAUGGACAAAGUGAGAGUGGGUGCGUACCUUGACAACGAACCACAAUGCGUUAUCAAGAAAUGGGGUUAGUGCACGAUCAAUGAACAUAAAACACGUCACACAUGUCACUAAGCAGAGUGAGAAAUCAUCAGAUAUUACAAUUCAAUCAAAUUUAUUUUUAGAAGAAACAUCUGUUGAUGUAGAGCCCCUACCAAAGCCUAAUUUAUUUUUGCAUGAAUCAAUUUCAUAAAUUCAAUCGCUUGGAAUUACAGAAUUAAAUUCAUGCUUAUUUUAAAACAUCUUUUUAAAAUCAUGGAAGAUGUGAAAAUGGUUUUCCAAAGAGAAAAUGACAACUGAUUUUAUUGAAAAUGGGAUUUUGGGGACCUAAACGUUAAAGAGGGAUUAGGAAUUGAAAAUUAAAUCAUUUGAAAAUUGAAUUUUUCAAAAAUCAGUUUUGAAAGCAUGCAUGCAAGUAUGGACUGUGAAAGUGGGCCUAGGGAGGGUGGCCAUGCAAAAUGAGGUCAUACACGUGGGCCUUGGGUACAAUUGGGACUACUUUGCUGGUGCCAGUGGUGCUUGCAGCUGUCAUCCAUGAUUUCUUCAUUGGGAUCAAUUUCCAUUCUUACUGCCAAACAUUCCAUAACAAUUGACCAAACUAGUAACCCUGACCUUGCAUGAAAAUGAACGUUACCUAGAAACUCACUGCCAGUGAGAUUCAUUGCUCUUUCAAAAGGUCUCAUUUUCUUUCUCAUCCAAUUGCUUUAAGGAGCAUUCUAGCGUCACGAUUGGUGACUGCGCAUCAUCUAGAGCCUUCUUUCUUCUCAGAAUCAGGUUUGCGUGCAGAGGCCUGUGCUUGUUCAAGGUUGACCUAAAUUCAUCUAGGUUUAGAACCGACCAGUUGAGCUUGGGGAGCAACGACAAGAAUAUCAGUCACUUGCGAAGAGAAAACUCGAGAUCUUUCAAGUAAUGCCUGACAUAGAUUCCUCCAACCUGUGGCCAAUAUCUCAUUCCUUGUUGGCCAGACGCCUAUUAGGGCGUAUCUCAAUCAAUAAUAUGAUUUUUCGUUUGUUCACAAUAAAGACCGGAAGCCAUGGUUGUGAUUUAUGCAGUACAGAAGAAGUUGCCAUGGCUGGUAUCCUUACAAAUUCUGGUGUUUCUGCUAUCUGUUCAAGUGCAAAACACAACAGCUUUAUCAAGUUUGUCCCUAACAACUGAUAUUGAGCCCUCUGGAGGAAACCUUGAUAAAUUCAUAAUCACUUUUGACUCAUGCAUGGGCUGCCCAUCAAAUUUUCCUAGCAACGAGACGACUGCUGUCAUCUACUGCAAAGAGAAUUUCUUCUCGCAAAGACAAGAGGAGUUUAAGAAUACACACUAUUCUGCCAUUUCAUUUCCUCUUUCUCCACAACCAACAUAAACCAUAGUGUCUACAUUAGAGUACUUAGAAAGAGCUUAACUGAUGACCGUUUUUCCACAACCAAAUGCCCCAGGUAUGGCACAAAUUUCACCGAAAACAGAAGGGAAAAGGGCAUCAAGAACACGCUGUCCUGUAAGUAGUGGGGUAUCAGGACUACUCUAGGGAAGUUAUUUCUGUCAUUUUGAAAAAGAAAAAUUAAAGAAUGUACACAUGCUUUCAAGUGGACUGGAGCAUUCUACAUAUCAGGUGGUCUGUAGCCACAUGUGCCACUUUGUGGAAGUUGGAACAGUCGAUCACUAGGCUAUUUAGUGUGGCCAAGCCACGUUAAUCAAGGACAAGUCUUCAUACUUAAAAGUCAAAUGGUGCCUUUAGUCUCAUUACACAUGGCUAUUUAAAGAUGAACUAAUCUUUAGUGUAAUGUGAUUAAGACAGUACUAACUGAUCAAUAUUUUUUCUAAUUUUGGAUGCAAAUGCUUGCUGGCUUCAUCAUUGGAUGGGAUAAAGGUGCAUUCAUGACUCUGAAUACUUGCAGUAAUACUUGCAGUAAUACUUCAUUCUCUUUUUUCUCGAUGAGACUUCUUGGCACAAUUUUGCUUCUCAGCAACCUACCUCUCCAUGGAAAAUGAGUUGCGAUUGAUGGUACUGGAUAUUUUCUAGGAAGCUAAAUAUAGAUAUAUAGCACUCAAUGUCAACGAUAUAUAUAGCAUUAACAGUAUAUGUCUCAAUGCUCAUCAGCUACAAGCAAGGGACAAACACUUACAAUGAAUAACUCACGUCAACAUUCCUAAACAGGACAUAGAAGUGACAGAUCUAUAUAUAGAACACUGCAUAUGAGUCACAAGAAAAGAUAAUACGGGUGCAUAGCAGCUCUUAUAUUACAUAUUACUCAUACCGUUCAAAUUCACUCAGUUGGGAUGGGUGGGAGAAGGAGGCCUCUGGGGUGGCUUGUGCGUGUGAGAAGUGGAAGAAAGUUGAAUGGAAUGAAACUGAAAAACAGGGUAGAAUAGAGGUUUCUUGAAUCUUCUGAAAUCUUUAUUUUUCUGAGAUUUAUUCUCUGUUUUUGUGAGUCGUGACUCUACAUAUAUACAUGUAUUUAAAGUUAGUUAUGCCUUAUAACUAAUUAUCUAACAGUACCAAAACUAAUCAUCUAGUUGCAUGUUUCUAAUUAAUGCUAUUUAGUUACAACUAUAUAUGGCUUAACAUCCUCUCUCAAACUCAAAAGUCUAGCUAGAACAGUGAGUUUGCUUCAUAGAUUGAGAAAUUGUUGAAUAGGUAAGGCUUUGGUAAGAGCAUUAGCAAUCUGGUCAUAAGAAGGAAUGUGUUGAACCACCAAAGUCUUAUUGAGCACCUUUUCCUGAACAAAAUGGCAAUCUAGUUCCACAUGCUUAACUCGAGAAUGAAAAUAGGAUUGGCAGCAAGAAAGGUGGCUGAAAGAUUGUCAUAGAACAAAACAAAAUAGGAGAAUAAGAAGAUGAGAUAGAAAACUCCUGAAGAAGAUGUUGAAUCCAUUGAAGUUCAAAAGCAACAUUUGCUAAGGCCCUAUACUCAGCUUCAUUGCUGGAACGAGACACAACUUUCUGCUUACUGGAGUUCCAGGAGACUAGAUUAGAGCUAAAAAAGAUGCAAUGACCACUUGUACUUCGACGAUCAUCAGGGCAACCAACCCAAUCAACAUCAGCAUAAGCAGUAAGUUGAAAAUCAGGAGAAGAAUAAAAGGAAAGACCAAAGGAAGUAGUGCCCUUAAGAUAAUGCAACAAUCGUUUAACAACUUGCCAAUGAAGAUCAGUUGGUUAUUGCAUGAAUUGGCAAAGUUUAUUGAUAGAGAAAGAGAUGUCAGGCCUUGUAAUGGUACAAUAUUGCAGGGCUUCAACAAUGUUGCGAUAUUGAGAAGGGUCAGCCAAGAGGGAACCUUUAGAGGCAGAUAAAGUGUGAGAGGUAGUCAUUGGUGUAUCAAUAGGUUUAAAAUAUGGAAGACCAGCACGAGUUAACAAGUCCUGAAUAUAUUUGGUUUGGGAAAGAUGAAGAGAAGAUCCUUGCCAACAUACUUCUACACCCAAGAAGUAAUUCAGAAUACCAAGGUCCUUGAGAGCAAACUGAAAGUGUAAAGACGAAACCAUUUGGUGGACUAGCACGGUAUUAAGACCACUAACAAUAAUGUCAUCAACAUAGAUGAGAAUAAUGAUCAUGUCAGUCCCUUUCCGAAGAGGAGCUUGCUUCAGACCCUACAAGGCUUUGCGAAGUUUACAGAAAAAACCGGGUUUAGAAUGAUCAACAAAGCCUGGAGGUUGAACCAUGUAAACCUCUUCUUCUAACUCACCAUUGAGAAAGGCAUUAUUAACAUCUAAUUGUUCCACUAACCAACCAUGAGAAAUAGCAAGAGAAAGAACAAUUCAUAUAGUAGUUGGUUUAACAACAAGGCAAAAGGUUUCAAAAUAAUCAAUACCAUAUGUUUGAUUAAAACCCUUUGCAACUAAGUAGGCUUUAAAACGAUCAAUUGAGCCAUUAGCUUUGAGUUUCAGCUUGUAUAUCCAUUUACAACUAAUAAUGCGUGUAUUAACAGGUUUAGGAACCAAUGUCCAUGUGGAAUUGGUGAGAAGAGCAUCAUACUCAGUCUUCAUAGCAGCUUGCCAAUUAGGAUGCAAUAUUGCUUCUUUGAAAGAGGAGGGUUCGACAACAGUAGUUUGGAUAGCAAGGCUAAAUAUUUUUUUGGGUUUAAAAAUACCAUUUUGGCUACGAGUAACAAUAGUUCGGUUUGGAAGUGAAAGAGGAUCAGUGGAGGAGGCUGGAACAAGGGAUUGUGGUAAAGUAGGAAAGGAAGGUGGAUGAGAUGGAACAAAAUCAGUAGGGACAAUAAUGGGAGAAGAAAAAUUAGGUGGAGAAUGAUGAGGAUUCCUUGAAGAUGGUGUAGGAAUAGAGAGAAUACCAGAAUCAAGAAGUGUUAAAGAAGAGUUGGAUGAUGAUACUGGUUGACAGGAUAAAGACUUUGUUAAAAAUGGAAAUCGAGUUUCAUCAAAUACAACAUGACGAGAAGCAUAUAUCCGAGAGGAAGCCAUAUCCAAACAGAGGAAUCCCUUGUGUUUAGCACUAUAACCCAAAAAACAGCAAACAACAAAUAUAUUUGCUAGCUUGUGAGAAGCAUAAGGGCGAAGAUAAGGAAAACACAAGCAUCCAAAACUUCAAAGAGAUGUAUAAUAAGGUAAACGAUUAUAAAGAACUCCAUAAGGAGAAUUUUGUGAAAGAACAGCAGAGGGAAGGCAAUUUAUGAGAAAAAUGGCAGUUUGAAAUGCAAAUGACCAAUAUUUGAGAGGGUAUACCAGCUUGUAUUAACAAAGAAAGACCAACUUCCACAACAUGACGAUUCUUUCUUUCAACUCUUCAAUUUUGCUAAGGAGUAUAAUGACAAGAGACUUGAUGAAGAAGACCAUUUGUAGCCAAAUAAUUCUGAAAAGCUGAAACUGAAACUCAUCAAAUUGAUUUUUAGUAUCAAAUUUUCUUCAGACUGAACACAUUGAUUUUUAGUAUCAAAUUUUCUUUCAACCAUGGCUUGAAAAUGUUGGAACAUAAGUAAAGCUUCAUCUUUAGUUUCCAAAAGGUACAACCAUGAGAAUAUGCUAAAAUCAUCAAUUAGCAAGAGGAAAUAUUGAGCAUUACCAUUGACAGAAACUAUAGGAGUUGCACCCCAAAGAUCAACAUGGAUGAGACCGAAUGGUUUUAUUGCUCUAGAAGUGGAUAUUUCAAAUGGAAAACGAUGGCUUUUAGCCAACUGACAAGACUCACAUACAGAGUUAUUAUUGUCAUGUUUCAAAGGUAUUUUAUAAAGAGAUAAGAUUUUGGAAACUACAUUAAUAGAGGGAUGACCAAGUCUAUUAUGCCAAAGCCUCAAAGAACCAACGGCUAAAGUACUACUAGUAGAGUAAAAUACUAGUGGAUGACCAACAACUCUUGGUGUAGCAAGAAGUUUAUAGAGACCCUUCUCAAUUUUUCCUUGAAGAAGAGCAAGUCUCGUUUCCUGAUCCUUUACCACAAAAUGAGAAGAACGAAAUUCAAUAAAGGUGCCAUUGUUUGAGUAAAAUCGUUGCACGCUAACUAAGUUGGUGGUAAUAGAAGGAACAUGUAAGACAUCAUUGAAAAACAAAGAACCACUUGAAGAGGCAAGAGAAAAUUUACCAAUAUUUGCAAUGGAUAAACCCUUACCAUCUCCAACAAUUACUUUGUCACCACUGGUAAAUGGAUUAUGGAUUGUUAAAUUGUUAAGAUCAGAUGUGAGAUGAUGGGUAGCCUUUGUAUCAAGAAACCAAUAAGUGUCUCCCAUUGUUGCAGAAGUUGUAGUCAUAGCCUCAGGAUUGUUAGAGGUGGAAUGUUUAGAAUCUUUUGGCUGAUAAUCAGAGUUAAACCGAUACCAGCAUUGUAAAGCGGUGUGUCCGAACUUACAACCGAGAGAAAUAAUCUUUACUUAUUCUCUAAAAACUGUUCUUUAUUCCACACAUUAUUUCUAAAAACUGUUUCUAGAUAACAAUGACAAAAUAGUAUUAGGAAUUUUUAAAAAUAAAAAUUGUUUUUAAAUUACAUGAUCUAUAUCAUUCACAUUUGACCAUUAUAGCUUUGUUCAGGAAAACACUUGAAAGUAACCUUAUCGUGAUAAGAGAUAUAAGUUGGCUGUAGUUUCAAACUGAAAACAGAGGAUGGCAAUAGAAAGCAAAGCAUUAGUUAUCUGCAAUCAGUGGUGAUCAUGCCCCAUGUCAAUUUCGGACCCAUAUCUUAAAACCGUAUAAUUUGCAUUUCAACAUUUCUGAUUUCUCAGAUGUUUCAUACUCCACAGAAGAACAUUGUUUGUGAAAGCAUGCAUUUAUGCUGGAUUUUGGAUGAUGUGGGAACUGGGGCAAGGAUCAUAUGGAAGAGUGGUCGAUUUUUUCUGUACUUUAACAUUUGAAAUAGGAGCAGCACGGGCAUUUGUGGGGCUUAAUUGAUUUUGAAGCCUGAAAUUGCGUUUCUGUCAUUUUGUAAAAAAUAUGGCAGAUUCCAUGCUCUCAUAUGUUUGGUCUGUGGCCAUGUAUAGAUGCCACUUAGUGACCAGUUUGUAACUGUCAAUCAUAGUGUUUUGACUCUGGCUCAACAACAUCAGCCAUUGACGGAUUUUCAUACAUGCAAAUCAAAUAGUCUUCUUCCUCCCUUAGGAAUUUCGGUUUAAAUGUUAUUAAGCAUACAUUUGGCUGACAAUUAUUAACCACUUCAUGAUAUGGUUUCUUACCCUUAAUCAAUGGUUUCUAAGUGAAUAUAUGCAGAAGGAAAUCUGAACUGUAGACAGCAGUAUUGAUAAUUAUCAAUAUUCUUUAUAUAAGAGAAUAAACAACGUCAUAGUGAUCGUCGCCUACAAGAAAGGUACAUUUCCCAACAAGAUGUAGUUGUGACUGGUACAUGGACGUAAUUAACUCGUAGAAAAGGAUAAGACCAGUGCACGGCAGCUCUUAUUUUACAUGCUAAUUAUGCUAACCAAAGUCACUCAGUUGGGAUGGGAGGGAGAUGGAGGUUUGUGCGGUGGCUUGUGGGGCGGAGUUGGUGGCUUCUUUUCAGGAGCUUGUGGCUUUUUCGGAGCUGAAGGAGGCUCAAUCUUAUGAGGCGGCUUGUACGAGUCUUCUUUACUCUCGACAGGAGGGUGGCCAGGGUUGUGACCAUAAUGUGGUGGCUUCUCUCCCUUAGGUGGCUUGCCAACUGGGGUUGGUGGCUUGUGUUCAGGAAGUGGUUUCUCUCCCUUGGGAGGUUUACCAAUUGGGGUUGGUGGCUUGUGUUCUGGGAGUGGUUUCUCUCCCUUGGGAGGUUUAGUGGGUGACUUGUGUUCUGGAGGUGGCUUCUCCACCGGAGGCUUGUGCUCCGGUGGUGGCUUCUUGGUUGGAGGGGGCUUGGGGUAAUCAGCAAGAGAUGGGGGGGUGAGAACCACCACUCCAAGGAACAACACUAGCAAGUAUGUGGGAGACAUUUCUGAGUUUGAGCUGAUCAGAUGAUGCAAAACUAGAAGAAUUACGUGACCUUUUAUAGCAAGUAGCUCCCAAUACCCACAUGACACGUGUUACUGUGACCAUAAAUAUUAUAGGGUCCAUUUGUGCCCUACCGGGUUGAAAACUUGGACGCUUGGCCGAGGACACACCGAACUAUGGAGGACUAUUGACGUGUGAUCACAGCUUUUGGAUUUUUCUUCCUGUGCAGCUGUCUAGCGGUUGGCAUUAUUUUUUUAAUCUUAAAUAAAGGCAUAGUUAUAGAGUACAUUUAUAUAUCUUCAGAUAGCCAUUAAUAUAUUUGAUGAAGAAAGACAAGUGCAUACAACAUGUAUACGGCUUGCUUCAAUCGAGUACAUUUAUGAUCAGUUUUCCAGUGCAAGUAAACCAGUUUUUUGUUCCACAACUAUUUUGGAAUCUUGUUUAUCAGUUUCUAUCAUUAUAAUGUCACAUAGGCUGCAAACUUGGGCACCCAAAGAUCUAGUUGGGCAAAUUUGUUUCAGAAUUUCAAUGGUGGAUUCAGUAAUUGUUAAAAGGUGUUUCUUCAUUAAGGAAAGAGUCCUGUAAAAAUAUUGUUAAAAGGUGUCAUAGAAACUAUAAUAAUUAAAUAACUUCUUUUCCCCGUGGGUGGUGUUUCUUCUGGGGAUACCCAAAAUGAGUUCAGAUUAAAAUUGGUUCGAGUCAAAGCUGUCUCUUUUGUCCAGAAAUCAACUAUUUUGCGCAUUGCAUGAAUCGAUAAAGAAAAAAUGAAAGCCAAAUCACACCUCCCCUGCAAAACCUAAACCCCGGUUGCUAACUUUCUAUGUUUCAGUCCUAUUCAUACAGGAAUAUUGGUUCAAGUUUGAGAAAAAUGGCAACUUACCUAGGGAUUACUUGGUUGUGGUUUGCGACGACUAUUUACGCAACCAACCAUGAGUUUGACUUUAACGUCAUGGGUUGAAGCCUCCUACAAUCGUGUAUGAUAGUUCAAAGCUCGUAGUAGAAAUUAUACAGGAAGGAAGAAACCUCCAAAGCUAGCUCCAAAAGAGAAUUAUCACAUCGAUAGCUCCAGAGAUUCCCAAGGGGACUGAAUCAAAGACAAGUUCCUCACUUUUUCUUCUUUUGAGGCCAAAUAUGAACCAAGGAUCACACGACCUCAUUCAACUUCAUAAGUUUGAUUUCAUGCAGUUGAACACUGGGUGAAGGCCAUGACAAGAAUUGAUUAAAAAAUUCUACCACUGUUUUAAGUAAUGGAAGAUUAUUAUCUCUGAUUGGCACCACAACAGCACAUGCUGCUAGAUCUUUCUAGACACUCCAUGCAAUGAAAGUACAAUGGAUCUUGUAACGAUAGAAACUAAGCCAUGCUACAGUACUAGAUGACGAGGUAAAACUAUUAGACAUGGGUGGCAGCCUAUAUGGGAGGGACACAAGUCUAAUUGAUUUGCAUUUCAGCGUUCUAGAUGGGUAUGUUUUGGAAGAUUUGUUCUGGAAAUACCGCACCAAGUAGGAUUCUUUUUUCUCUUGAGUGGGUCCACUUGCAUGCCAAUUAUCGAGUUGAAAAGUAGAGCACCUACCUCGUGCUCGUGGAACCGAAGGUCAGUGAAGUGGGGCUCCUUUUGGCCUCUUGUGUUUCUGUUCCAACCAAGGCGGCGGAGGGAAAAACAGCAAUAUGUCUCCGCUAAAUAUCAACGCAUGAUAGCGAAUGAGGGAGAAAAAAAGUAAUUGGCAUCUCAAUCUCACAAACUUGGUACAGUAGUGACAUUAAUAGUCUUCCACAUGGUUUUUAUUUUAUUUUAUUUUAUAUUUUAUAUUUUCCAUUUUUUUAUUUUUUUGUAUGUCAAGGCUAAUGAAUAAAAUGCGUUAGCUUGUUUUGUGAUUGGAACUGCAAAUGUCCAAAUUGGAGUUUCUCCAUUUCUCAGUUCGGAUGGUUAACUUUAUAAACAAGAUAUAGGAAACAUGUGAACGUCUUGAGGAACAAUUCGAAUUAUUGAUUAGAACUCCUAGGUUGAGUUCCAAGAUUUAAAUCAGACCCCUCUAGCAGCUUCAGGGGUACCUAGCAAUUAGAACAUAUUAAUGAAGAUUUAGGAUUUAGACUCCGGAAUACAAAUUAAUAUGUAUCUUAUGCUCUGACUAGCUUCCCUGCAUAUGCACAAAAUGGAGAUGACCCAAAAAAUAGCAGAAUCGCCUUAGUUUAUGUGGUUAAGGUGAUUCUCCGGUUAAUAUCCACAUUGGCUCAUUAUGCAAAUCAACUGAGCUAUUUUUUUUUUAAUGUCAAAUAGGAACUCCUAAUUAACCUAACCAUUGGCCUGUGUAAAUUGAUUUCACAUGCACAAUGUUGUAGUAGAAGUCCACAUUUUGAAUUUUAUUUUUGGAAAGGUAAGGAAAAUGAAGCAUUGUGUAAUUAUAAAAAUAACUUCAUUGGAAUUCACAAGGUUCACCCAAAAUGGAGCUACAUCCGUAUUCUAUCUUACAGUAGACUAUAUAGAUUGUACAAUAGUAAAUUGCAAAUACAAUUAAUAAGUCUUGUGUUUCCUUACUAAUAAUCCUUUGACAUAAACAUUGCAGCACUAAGGUCCUCUUGGGCAGACACCUUGCACCCAUGAGAGCACUAAGAGGAAGCAAGGCGGAGUCAUGGGUGCAAUGUCAUGACUUGUUGCACUAAGAGAGGCUUGGUGAUGGCAUAGUGCUGCAGUAGCAAGAAUGUUGCCUUGGCAGGGACACGAUCUAGGGACAGAUGCCAAGAAAGGCUUAGCACUCACAUGAGUUGCACAAAGAUGAAUGAAAUAGAACAUCAAAGAGACAUCUUGGCAAGCUCAAGAAAGACAUGUGGGUUGGUAAAUGAAUGGAUGCAAGAGGCAACAACAUGAGGAGUUUCAAAUGGAUAGGGAAUGAGUCAAAGACAUUUGAAAGCUACAAGUUGGAUUCUAAUUACGAUUGCAAUUUGAGUUUGAGUAGGAGUUUAUAUUAUGAUUGUAAUUGUAGUAUGAGUUGGACUAGGAUUGCUUAUCCCUAGUCAAAAUAGGAGUUGUUCAUGCCACACCCUAUGAAAAGAGUUUGAGUAGGGACUAGGAUUGCUUGCUCCUAGUCAAAUAUGGAGUAGGUGGUGCCACACCUAUAAAAAAAAAAGGGACAACAUGAGAGAGAGAGAGAAUGAAUUCACCAAAGAUAUUGUGGGAGUUUUGCUUUGUUACAUCUUGUAUUAUUAUUUAGAAUAGUAAUAAAAUACAAGUUGGGGCUAGAGCCCCAUAAUCUCGUGUGCCUUUGUGGGUUAUUCUUUAUUUGCCAUCUCGUGUGGAUUGGAUUAGAUUGAUGAGGCGAAAUAUUAUGUGGGAAAUUUAUGUUGGGACACUUACCAUAACCAGGUAAAAUCUACCAAGUCUUUUGUAAUAUCUUCUACAAAUAUUUUAGACCAGUUCUUCACAAAACAUCAUAAUAUGUUUUGUGUUUCUCUUGGAUUUUGAGUUGAAUUGUCUUAGAUCAAUUGAAUGCAUCUCAAUAUUAUUAUCUUGUUUGAAGGCUUGAUGAUUUUCCAUUUAACUUUACUUUCUUUAGGUUAUGCUUGAUUCCUUAAAAGUACUAAGGAAAACAAAAAAUAAAAAAAAAUAAAAAAUGCAGAGGGUUAGGACAUGUGUUAUCUAAUUGUCCUAUCCAAAGAUAUUAAGAAAGUCAUGUAGGAAAGUAAUUGAAAACUAGGUCAAGAAAGGAGCAAAAGGGAAUUGUUUUGGUAUUUUCUUUUUUAUUCUUGAAGGUGGCAGAGCUAAAAUUUGAGAAAUCAAGCAAAACAUACUGAAAUUACAUUGAAAGAAAGAAAAUGGUAGUUAAUGUCUUGCAGUACAUGAUAAGGACUUCAUGCAUGUAGUGUGACGACCCAUGUCUUGGACUGAUGCCACACUCACGGUUACACUUAUACCCUUGGUUCUCUCUUUACUACCUUGGCUAACCUAGAUCAGGCUAUGAGAUAGGCUCCUCACCACACCAUCACUUGCCCAGUAAUUAGUGACAUUUUCAAGCAAUGAGGUAACAUGGUGACACCAAGAGGGUUUAUCCCUCGCCCCAACAAGUCUAGACUCGGUCUCAAAAAAAUGGAGAAAAAUGAGGUGUCGUUAUGCAGAAAUACAACAACCAUGCCUUCCUUAUUACUUAGAUUCAGAAUGUGAAGGUGAAAUUGAGAAACAGAAACUCUUGAAACCAGAAUGAAAAUUGAUACUUUUACGAAGAAUUACAACAUUAGAGGAAGACUACAUUCUUCCUCUAUAUUCCUACGUUUCUACACUACUUCUACUCCACUCCAUAUUUCUACAUACAUCUUUAAUCAGUUUUCCCUCCUUUAUAUAGAGCCAUCUUCACACAAAUUCCGCAAGGUAGAAAAGAGGAAUGAAACUUGGAGCAAGGUUCGACUACUGGUUGUCGCUUGUCAAGGCUGGAAUUGAACUUUUUUUCUUGGCUUUUCUGGGCAUAGGUAGUAACUUGUGGUUCCUUUUUGGAAUGAAAAUGGUACAGCUAGAACAUGUGGCACUCUCUUGUUGGAUUAUGUGUCAAACAUGUGGCAGCCAUCUAGUGGAGAUUAUUUCAAUUUUGGGAUGGAGAGUUGGCAUCCAAUUGCAAAGAAAUAUGACAUCUACCAACAUGCAAUGUAAACCUAUAUAGAUCAUAUGGAGAUAGAGAGGAAACAUAUAGAAAUGGAUAUAUACCUAGAACUAGCUUUUUAUUAAAUGAGACGGAGAGCCAACAAUGAAGGAAAAUCAAAAUUUUUGGCUCAUAUCAAAGAAUUCACAUUGUGUUACCCUAGGUUUUCUUAAAGCUUGCACAAAGCCAAAAAGCACACAAAAAAUUAUAUUUUCUAGCUCUCUACCUUGGAUGGUCUCUUGAUCCUACUUGGAGAUGUGCAUAAAUAAAAGGAUUUGAAAAUGACAAUUGACUAAGUAUGUAGUCAAUCAAUUACUCAUUAAUUGACUAGUUGAUCAAUUAACUUUGCAACAUCAUAUGCAAUCCUAAUAGCUAGUCAUCUAAUCAACUAGGUAGUAAAUCAAUAGGCCAAAAAUAUGUUUAUAAUGACUAUUUUGUACAAAAACCACCUAUAUGGUUAAAUAUAAUGCAUUUCAUUUAUAAAUCUUCUAAUUCUUGAAUAACGAUCCUAUCAUCCUUUGAAAGUUUUUAUUACACCUUUUAUACUUUUGUUCUAAAACUUACACAUGUACAUCACCCUUAAUUGUACCAUGAGAACCUAGCUUUUUUUUUUUUUUUUUUUGUAAUUCAUCAAAGUUAGCUUUUGUAUUCAUUACUGUACUAUUUUUAUUGUAACUUAGAAAGCGAGUGUUUUCAAGUGAGUGAAAUUGACUUAUAAAUAUUGUAAAGAUUCAUUGAUGUGUAUCUUAAACUAAGUGUACAAGUUGAAACAUUUGCUAGUAGAUUUUCUCAAGAUUUAGAAUAGAGCUUGAGGCUAUUGAAAUAGGUGGGGUUGCACCAAACCACAUCACAUUGUUGUUUGCACCUUUUUUUCACUCUCUUUUACUUAGUUGCUCUAUAUUUGUUGUCUAGUAAUAUCCUAUAGGCUUGAUGGGUUAGGGAGCAUCCCUUUGUGAAAAAUUUUCAUUCAAUCCUUAGUUGUAUCACGCAUAUAUAAAAUGCCUCAUUGUUUUAAUGGUAUUCAGUCGUGGCAUCACAGAUAUGGGCAUCUAAAUUUUAAAAGUUUGAAACUUUUAUCUAAAGAAAAUAUGGUGCUUUGCCUUUUUGUAAAGCAUGUUGAUGAAAUCCAUGAGAAUUGUGUACUUGGGAAGCAACAUCGAGAUGACUUUUUUUUUUUUCAUUUUUUAUAAUGCGACACCUAAGUCCGGUUUCUAAAUGCUGAAGUGAAAGGGUAGGUAUGGACCAUUGAAAUCUGAUCACAACUUUUGGCCUUUUCCUUUCUCUGCAGCCAUGUUGUCUCUUUUUUCUUUUGCAUGAUUUUCUUACCUAAACAGAAUCAUAGACUUGUUUAAUCUCUAAAUGGUAUUUCAUCCAGCUUUAAGCUACUGUAUUAUAUCUUGGUGGAGGACUUUUAAGAGUGAAACCGACAUAGAGCACAUGCAAGUGGGUAUAUGGGACAUGAAAUUUCUUCUUAUAAAGACUGCAUGGUUUUUAUAUUAGAGUUGUUGAGGCGCAAUGUAUUUAGCUUGUUUUGCAGUUAAAUUAAUUGGAUAAGUAGACAUUGUCGUUUCUAAAUUUCCCACCUAAGAUAGUGACCUUAUCCUUGACUGCUUGAUGAGAUACACAAACAAUUAUACCUUCAAAAUCUACUGUGAAGUGCUUCAUGUAUGUGUGAAGUAUUAGAAAUUUCUUUCUUGGCAACUUGUUUUUUCUUUGCCCUCUACUGAUAGGUUUGACUCAAAUUAAAUUCCCUGUCAUGCUAAUUAAUUUUCACGUGCAUGCUCAAAAGGAUCACGUCAACUCUGGUUUCUACUAUUCAGGUCCAUUCCCAGAUAAACUGGUUCAAAUUUGAGAAAAUGGCAACAGCCCUUUAGUGAUGUUGGUUUGGAGCCAGUAGCCAAACCCGCCCUGAGCUUUACCACUAAUGUCAAGGGACAAAGCCAUUUGAACAAAAACAAUAGCUUCAAGAGACUGAAUCGUGGAUGAAAUCUGAUCCACAUUUCUUCUCAUUUUGGGAACAAAUGAGAACUUAACUACAAAGAUUCUACUGCCUCAUAGUGCUUUUCCUGAUCUAAGGUUGGUUCGUUUCCCAAAUUGUGAGGUACGUGCCAUUCUCACGCUCAGGAGUGUAUCCACGUGGUGGACAUAAGAUGGUGGCUUAAUAUCUGGUGUCGGUGGCUUUACUUUACUAGGAGAGUAGUGUGUCUUCAUCUCAUUCACUGCCGGAGGGUGGCGUAAGCAGUGACGCUAAGGUGGGGCACAGUCAAUAUCAUUUGCAUUUGACCAUUAUAGUUUUCUCCCGGCUUGAAAGUAACCUUAUCGUGAUAAAGGAUUACUAGCACUAGUUCAGAUGACAGUCAUGUUAAAUUCGGACCAUGUUUGUGUCACAUUAUCAGCAACCAUGUGUUUAUGGUUCAUGCUAUCUGCAACUAAACUUGAUAUAUAACCACGUGAACUUCAAUCUAAAUUCUGGAAGUACUCUUGUGAUAGAUGGUGCCUGUCUGCAGAGUCCAUCAAUUGAAAAAUGGAGUGAGUGUAUCUAUAAGAGGGAAGGCUUGGCAAAUGUUCAGUUUUCUGGGAACUCAACAAGGAUCUAAAAUAGAUUGUUUUCUUUGCUGAUUUCAAUGGUUGAAAUUUGAGAAGAUUGUGUCCACAUAACACAACUAUUACUGGUCCUUCUGUUGCAAUUUAUCCUCUAAGGCUCUAACAUGUCUUCCAAUUCCCACUUCCCUGUUACUCCAGGAAAGCUAUUUCUGUCAUUGUGAAGAAGAAAAGAGAAUGUACAUAUCGAUGGUUUUAAGUGACUGGGGCAUUCAUAUCAGGUGGUCUGCAGCCAUAUAUGCCACUUUGUGAAGGUUGGAACAGUCAAUCACCAGGCUAUAUUAGUGUGGCCCAGCCACUUCAAUCAAGGACAAGUCUUCAUACUUAAAGUCAAAUUCUGCCUUUAGUCUCAUUAUAAAUUGCUGUUUAAAUAUUAAGCAAACAUUUGUUUAAUGCGAUUAAGACAGUACUAACUCAAUACUUGUUCUAUUUUUGGAUGCAAAUGCUUGAUGGUUUCAUCAUUGGAUGGGAUAAAGGUGCAUUCAUGAUUAUGAAUACUUGUAGUUAUAUUUUCAUUCUCUUUUUUCUCAAUGAGACUUGUUGGCACAAUUUUGCUGUUCAGAAACCUACCUCUCCAUCGAAAAUCAGUUGUGAUUGAUAGUACUGGAUAUAUUCAAGAAAGCUAAAUAUAGAUAGCACCAAAUAUUAUCGAUAUAAAUAGCAUUAACAGCGUACGUAUGUCUCAAUGCUCAUCAGCUAUAAGCAACGGGCAAACACUUACUAUGAGCAACUUGCGUCAAAAUUCCAGAAUAGGACAUAGAAGUGACAGAUCUAUAUAUAUAUAGAACACUGCAUAUGAGUCACAAGAAAGGAAAUUACGGGUGCAUAGCAGCUCUUAUUUUACAUCCUACUCAUACUGAUCAAAGUCACUCAGUUGGGAUGGGUGGGAGUAGGAGGUUUGUGGGGUGGCUUGUGCGGAGGAGUUGGCAGCUUCUUUCCAGGACCUGGUUGCUUCUCUGCUGGAGUUGAAGGAGGCUUAAUCUUCCGAGGUGGCUUGUAUGAGUCUUCAGCAUUCUCAGCAGGAGGGUGACCAGGGUUGUGACCAUAAUGUGGUGGCUUCUCUCCCUUAGGUGGUUUGCCAACUGGGGUUGGUGGCUUGUAUGAGUCUUCAGCAUUCUCAGCAGGAGGGUGACCAGGGUUGCGACCAUAAUGUGGUGGCUUCUCUCCCUUAGGUGGUUUGCCAACUGGGGUUGGUGGCUUGUGUUCUGGGAGUGGCUUCUCCCCCUUGGGAGGUUUUUCCAAUGGGGUUGGUUUGUGUUCAGGAGGUGGCUUCUCCACUGGAGGCUUGUGUUCAGGAGGUGGCUUCUCCACCGGAGGCUUGUGUUCAGGAGGUGGCUUCUCCACCGGAGGCUUGUGUUCAGGAGGUGGCUUCUCGAAUGGGGGAUGCUCAGGGUAAUCAGCAAGUGAGGGGUUGGUGAGAACCACCAUGCCAAGCAACAGGACUAGCAAGUAUGUAGGAGACAUCUUUGGGUUUGGACUUAAGACAGUGGAAAACUGCGAGAAUUCUCUAGCCUUUUAUAGCGGGUCGACCCAGUACUCACAUGACACGUGUCAUUAUGACACAUGUGCCAUGGGGUCGAUUUGGGUCCUACAGUGUUGAAAAGUUGGGCAUUUGAGGUGUGAGCACAACUUUUGGCCUUUGCUUUCUCUACAGCCGCCAUGCUUUUCCCUUUUUUCCUUUUCCUUUUGUUUUCCUCCUGCCUCGUGUUCUCAACUAAACACAAUUAGGUUGUUUAAUUGUUAAAUGAGAUUUUUGUCUGUCAAUCAUAUUAUAUCCUAUCAAGAGAGAACAGAGUGUAAUGUAGUACACAUAACACGAGGCAGUAGUAAUUUUAUCAUUUAUUUUUAUAGCUUGGACCACCGCAUUUUUUCUUCUAAAAUAUUCUGUCUUGUUAAGAGACGCAAUAAUACACAAUUUUAUCUGCCAUUCAACAUUUACUGUAAAGUUCUUUUAUCUCUUUGUAGUUCUAGAAAAGUACAAAAUGGAACAUCAUGUAUAUGGUGCCUUCUGUCCUAAAAAAGAAACUGGACAAAUUAUGAACUGCAUGCUAAAAAGAGGCAAAGGAGCUUAAUUCGCAGCAUAAUUAUUUUGGUUUCUAGAGAGCCCGGGGCCUUUUGGUUGGUUUGGGGUCAGAAAAUGAACAUCAUAGGGAUUGUGCCCUUAACUGGCCUUGUUACUACAAAGAAAUUGCCAUAGAAAUUUAUUCCAGGCUGAGUAUCUCCGGAUAGACCCCAGAAAAGAAGAGUCAUAAUGAGAAUCAACCUUUGUUGAGUUUGAUUCCAUGCCUCCAUUGUGUUCAUUUCAUGAAUCUGAUUUGCAUUUAACAUUACAGUUUUGUUCUGGAAACAAUCAAAGGAGCAUCGUUUGCUUCUUGGGUGACCCAUAGUGGUGGGUGGGUCGAUUUGCUUAGUUGAAAAUUGGACAAUUGGCUCCAUCGCCUACCUCUUGGAUUCCAUGCUCGGAUAAAACGACAACAAAUAAAUAUUUAUAACUUACAACUGGGGAAAGGAAAAAAUAGUACUAAAUUCAUGGUACAUGAUAGUGAGAGAAGGGGGUGUUACACUCAGCUAAAGUUCUUUUCUAAAUAUUGCAUGGUGUUUAAUUUUAUGUGUCGGCGCGCGUGUGAAUGGAACCUGCAAAAGUCCAAAUUGGCGUUUCUCCAUUUUCCACAUAGGAUGGUGACGUUAAUAGACAAAGAUACAAUAUCUGUAGACAUUGCUUAAAAAUCGAUGUGAAGUAUUAGAAAUUACAGGCCACUGUACUGGGGGAGCGGCUGCCCCGCCAAAGGAAGAAUGUAGCAAUUUCUUCUGUUAGCCAGGCCUUAGGAUUUAUGCAUGGGAUGCCUAAUAACAAACAGAGAAAAUAUGCUUUUGGGGAAGGUAUCCAACAACAGACACCAUCAUUCAGAUGGUGGGAAGGUAUCCAACAGAUGCCAUCAUUCAGAUGGUAACAUAUAUAUACAUUUAUUAGUGAGUUUUUUUAAUACCUAUAAAAAAAAUAUACACUUUGAUAUUGUGGCUGAAUCCAUUACAUACUCAACUAACCUUGCUCAUUAGGGAUUUGACGUAACAAGGGCAACGUUGCAGUAAAAGCUCGAAACUUUAUGCAGGUGACAUUACAUUUGGUAAAGAAGAGGAAAAUAAGGAAAGCCAUCCAUAAAAGCAAAAUUCCUCAUGGGAUGAAAUUCACAAACUUCAUUUACGUUAGAGUCGCAUCCAGGCAAUUAAUUCCACAUUAGACCGCCUUUUGACAUGUGUACGGAUCUUUUUUCAAAAAUUAUUUAUAAAUAAUUGAUACUUACAAAAAUAAUUUAAGAUUUAUAAAGGAUAAAAAAAUAUUUUCAAAUCUAUGACAAUUUAUAAAAUAUUAAUAAAAAAUUAUCUCUUAAACUUAGUAUAGUUUUAUCGUAUUAAACUUUUAUUUUGAACAAAUAAUUUUAAUCUAAGUUUUAAAUUCUAAAAUUAUUUCCUUAAAAUAAAAUUUUAAAAUUCAACACUUCAAUUGAAAUUGUCUUUUAAAAAAAAUAUCUUCUUAUUUUAAUCCUUAUAAACUAUAGUUGAUUGAAAAUACUAUUGAAGUUCUCUCUUCAAAAAAAGUCUUAUUUUAAUCUUCAUAAAUUGCCCUUGAUUUGAAAAUAAACUUUGGGUUAUCAUAUUUUAAAUAAUAUAUAUAUAUAUAUAUAUAUAUAUAUAUAUAUAUAACAAAUACUCUAUUUUUUUUUUAAAUGAACUAAUUUUAAUUAUAUUUUAUUUUAUUUUUUUAUAUAUUUUUAAUGAUAAACCAAACAUAGAAAAUCAUUUUUCUAAAUAUUUUAAAAUUUCUAAGCAACCAAACAUAAUCUUCAAAAUAAAAGGAGAAUAAGGAGGGACAAGUGAGAAAUGGCGAUUAAAAAAAAGUGUACAAAAGCUCAAUUAAUUUUCUUCUAGUCUUUUAUAUAAAAAAGUAUUGGUAUGUAAAUUAAUAUUUGGAUUUUAAUAGUAUUUUAUUUGUCUUUCUCUAUCUCAUGUAAAAGAGAAUUUAAGAUAUUUCCUAAAGCAAAGCAUUAGUUAUCUGCAAUCAGUGGUGAUCAUGGUCCAUGUCAAUUUCGGACCCAUAUCUUAAAACCGUAUAAUUUGCGUUUCAACAUUACUGAUUUCUCAGAUGUUUCAUACUCCACAGAAGAGUAUUGUUAGUGAAAGCAUUUUGUAACUGUUACUCAUAGUGUUUUGACUCUGGCUCAACAACAUCAGCCAUUGACGGAUUUUCAUACAUGCAAAUCAAAUAGUCUUCUUCCUCCCUUAGGAAUUUCGGUUUAAAUGUUAUUAAGCAUACAUUUGGCUGACAAUUAUUAACCACUUCAUGAUAUGGUUUCUUACCCUUAAUCAAUGGUUUCUAAGUGAAUAUAUGCAGAAGGAAAUCUGAACUGUAGACAGCAGUAUUGAUAACUCUCAAUAUUCUUUAUAUAAGAGAAUAAACAACGUCAUAGUGAUCGUCGCCUACAAGAAAGGUACAUUUCCCAACAAGAUGUAGUGGUGACUGCUACAUGGACGCAAUUAACUCGUAGAAAAGGAUAAGACCAGUGCACGGCAGCUCUUAUUUUACAUGCUAAUUAUGCUAACCAAAGUCACUCAGUUGGGAUGGGAGGGAGAUGGAGGUUUGUGCGGUGGCUUGUGGGGCGGAGUUGGUGGCUUCUUUUCAGGAGCUUGUGGCUUUUUCGGAGCUGAAGGAGGCUCAAUCUUAUGAGGCGGCUUGUACGAGUCUUCUUUACUCUCGACAGGAGGGUGACCAGGGUUGUGACCAUAAUGUGGUGGCUUCUCUCCCUUAGGUGGCUUGCCAACUGGGGUUGGUGGCUUGUGUUCAGGAAGUUGUUUCUCUCCCUUGGGAGGUUUACCAAUUGGGGUUGGUGGCUUGUGUUCUAGGAGUGGUUUCUCUCCCUUGGGAGGUUUAGUGGGUGACUUGUGUUCUGGAGGUGGCUUCUCCACCGGAGACUUGUGUUCUGGAAUUGAUUAAAAAAAUUCUACCACUCUUUUAAGUAAUGGAAGAUUAUUAUCUCUGAUUGGCACCACAACAGCACAUGCUGCUAGAUCUUUCUAGACACUCCAUGCAAUGAAAGCACAAUGGAUCUUGUAACGAUAGAAACUAAGCCAUGCUACAGUACUAGAUGACGAGGUAAAACUAGUAGACAUGGGUGGUAGUUGAUUACUACUCAAAAAGUACUCUUUUAUAGUUUGAAACUAACUGUUUUAAACACUUUUGAGUAGUAGUUAAUAAAUUUUAACUCAAUUGGCACAUUAAGGAACCUAGCAAGGGUUACUAAUAAACUUUUGGCAAGUUUUGGUGUUUUUGGUAGUUAUUCGAUCAUUGAAACAAGCCAAGAAUGAGGGAGAAUUUUGUGAAGUCCAUGGCAAUGCAAGUUAAAGCUCAAAUACACGAAGAAUCCAAGCUUUGGAGCACUACAUAGCCCUUUGCCAAGCCAAUUAGAGAUGCAAGGAACAAAACCAAAGGAAGAAAUCCAACAACCAACAUUUUCGCAUGGUUGUGUGAAAUUUCGCACACCAUGCGAAACCACAAGAGGUAGCCAAAGAAUUUCACAUGGUAUGCGAAAUCUUCUCAUGCACCGACUCCGUUAGAUUUUUAUCUUCAGAUAUUUUGUGUAAUUUCCUAGUUUCUCCUUGUAACCAACCUAGAUAUUUUCUUUUAUAUCUUUUUUUAUAUUUUUUAGGUAACAUCAUAUAUAAGGGGAGAGACAUAAGGAGGAUAUGGAUGUUUUUCAUAGAACACUUGUAAAUUUUCAGUAGUAAGAAAUAUACAAAGCUUUUUGCUAUGCCUUACCUUCUCAUUUUGUUUUCACCUGUCUUUCUAGCCAAACAACCUCUAAGGAUGAUUUCUCAGGGGAUGAGUGGCUAGGUUUUACGUUUCUUGGAGUGAGGGAAGCUAGGUGAAGGACCUGAAUGCAAAGAUGAGAGUUUUCCUUGCUUUAAAUGAAAGUAGUUGUUAAACAUUAAUGGUUUUUAUUUUAAGGUUUAGCUUUAAAUCCCUUAAAAACACCUUGAAUGACCAAUACUUGGUAAGCUUUUCGGAUUCUAUGGAUGCUUAUUGCUAGAUCCAUGGAUGUCUAUUAGUUAUCAUUUACGAGCCUUUGGAAGGUGAUUCAAGGUGAGGGUCUUUAGUGUUUGAAGCCAUUAAUGGGAAGCAAUUACCAUUUUUUCAUGAAUCCUUUGGAUCAAAUCUUAAUUGCUAAAUAUAAAACCGAUUUGGGAAAUAACCAUCCUUUAUGUUAUUAUCCCCAACGCAAGGAGAAGAUCCGGAAUCUUCCCUUUUGUCUAAGGAACCCGAUCCUAGUGACCUAAAGCUCCAAGAGACCUUUUCUUUGUAGUUAACUUCAUUUAUUGUUUUUGCUUAACUUAAAAUCAAUCUUUGCAACCACAAUUCCAUUUUCUUUAAAAGCUAAUUUUUAUAAGGAAAAACACCAUUUUAUUUCCUUCACUAAGUCAACUGUACGAUGAAAACCCAUCCCUGUGGACGAUCCUAGAGCCAUUAUACUAUGUUAGCUAUGCUACCCUAGUGUGAGGUGAUUUAGGUUUUAUAAAUUUUGUUGAUAACACCCAUCUGAGCCAGAAUCAAAUGGCACAACUGAACCAGGGACGAAUCAAAUGGCGCCGCUAUCGAGGAUGGUGCCAAAGUACAUUGACAUGACUUUUGGUGAACACUUGUGAUCUUCAUCACAAGUUUGGUGAUUUUUCUAUUACUAAUUUUUUUCUUUGUUUUUAUUUUAGCUUAUCUUUUAUUUAGUUUUUAGCUAACCUUAACUUUUUCUUAGAAUUGUAUUUCUUCUAUUUUCUUUGUUUUUGUUUCAGUGAUCUUUAGUUGUGCAUGCCCUAUUGGAUAAGAAAUAUUGAGGGAAUACUUGUGAAGAUUGAAAAUCCUCGAGAAACUGAGUUGGAAGUGUGAUUGAACAUCAUGGAUGUUCCACCUGAAGACCAGAAUAGCCAACAUGGUUAAGAGGAUAAUUUCAAAGCAUACCGAUCCAUGAGGGACUGCAUGCAUCCACCUCGUAUGAGUGCACCGUCAUGCAUAGUGCCUCCCACUGAGCAACUAGUAAUCUGACCUCACAUUGUGCCACUCCUACCUACUUUCCAUGGGAUGGAGAGUGAGAAUCUCUACUCGCAUAUUAAGAAAUUCGAGGAGGUUUGUAAUACAUUCCAAGAAGGAGGAGCUUCAAUUGACUUGAUGAGGCUCAAGCUAUUUCCUUUCACUUUGAAGGAUAAGGCUAAGAUUUGGCUUAAUUCUUUAAGGCCAAGGAGUAUCCGAACUUGGACUAAUUUGCAAGCCGAUUUUCUUAAGAAGUUCUUCCUUACCCAUAGGACCAAUGGUUUGAAAAGGCAAAUUUCGAACUUCUCAGCUAAAGAGAAUGAGAAAUUCUAUGAGUGAUGGGAGAGGUACAUGGAAGCUAUUAAUGCUUGUCCUCACCAUGGCUUUGACACAUGGCUCUUAGUGAGUUAUUUUUACGAUGGUAUGUCUUCUUCAAUGAAGCAACUCCUAGAAACUAUGUGUGGAGGAUACUUCAUGAGUAAGAAUCCGAAGGAAGCCAUGGACUUUUUGAGUUAUGUGGCUGAAGUUUUAAGAGGAUGGGAUGAACCAAAUGCUAGAGAGGUGGAAAGAAUGAAGUCUCAACCUAAUGCUAAGGGUGGGAUGUAUGUUUUGAAUGAAGACAUUGACAUGAAAGCAAAGGUUGUAGCUAUGGCAAGGAGAUUGGAAGAGCUAGAAAUGAAGAAGGCACAAAAAGUGGAAGCCAUUUCUGAGACAUCAGUGCAAGCUAUGCCUUGUUCCAUUUGUCAACCUAAUGCUAAGGGUGGGAUGUAUGUUUUGAAUGAAGACAUUGACAUGAAAGCAAAGGUUGUAGCUAUGGCAAGGAGAUUGGAAGAGCUAGAAAUGAAGAAGGCACAAAAAGUGGAAGCCAUUUCUGAGACAUCAGUGCAAGCUAUGCCUUGUUCCAUUUGUCAAUCUUAUGAGUACCUAGUGGAGGAGUGUCCUACAAUUCCAGUAGUGAGAGAGAUGUCUGGUGAUCAAGCAAAUGUUAUUGAUCAAUUCAAGCCUAAUAAAAAUGCUUCAUAUGGCAACACCUACAAUUCAAAUUGGAUGAACCAUCCAAAUUUCUCUUGGAAACCAAAGCUACCUCAAUACACACAACCUGCUCAAGCACCUUAGCAAUCCUCGAAUCUUGAACAAGCUAUUGUGAACCUUAGUAAGGUUGUGGGAGAUUAAAAGUCCAUCAAUGCUCAACUGAAUCAGAGAAUUGACAGUGUAGAGAGUACAUUGAACAAAAGGAUGGAUGAGAUGCAAAAUGAUCUGUCUCAAAAGAUAGACAAUGUCCAAUAUGCAAUCUCAAGGCUUACCAACCUCAACACAGUGCAAGAGAAAGGAAAGUUUAUUUCUCAACCUCAUCAAAAUCCCAAGGGUAUCCAUGAAGUGGAGGCUCAAGAGAGAGAAUCUUCAAAGGUGAGGGAAGUCAAAGCAGUUAUCACCUUGAGGAGUGGUAAAGAGGUUGAUCAACCCACAUCCAAGCCAAAGCAUAAUGAAGAGAGUUUUGUAGAAAAAGAAAAGAGAGGAAAAUAAAGGAAAGAGAAUAGAGAAAAGUACAAAGAAAGAUGACCAUGAGUCUAGUGUGGAUGAAGAGCCCAAGAGGAUAGUGAUCAAGGAAAAUAUGAUGAAGAAACACAUGCCUCCACCUUUCCCCUAAGCUUUGCAUGACAAAAAAGGAACCAAUAAUACAUCGGAAAUUUUUGAAGUAUUGAGGCAAGUGAAGGUCAAUAUCCCUUUGCUAGAGAUGAUCAAACAAGUGCCGACAUAUGCAAAAUUCUUGAAGGACUUGUGCACUGUAAAGAGAGGGUUGAAUGUGAACAAGAAAGCUUUCUUGACCGAGCAAGUGAGUUCCAUCAUACAGUGCAAGUCUCCAGUGAAGUACAAAUAUCCGGGCUACCCUACCAUCUCAGUGAGUAUUGGAGGUACUUGUGUGGAAAAAGCUUUGUUGGACUUGGGAGCAAGUGUGAAUUUGCUACCCUACUCUGUCUAUAAGUAGUUGGGACUUGGAGAGUUGAAGUCAACAUCCAUCACCCUAUCUCUGGCAGAUAGAUCAGUGAAGAUUCCAAGAGAGAUGAUAGAAGAUGUCUUGGUUCAAGUUGACAAAUUCUACUAUCCAGUGGAUUUUGUUGUUCUUGAUACGGAUCCGAUUGUCAAAGGAACUAAUUAUGUUCCUAUCAUACGAAGACCCUUCCUAGCUACAUCAAAUGCAAUCAUCAAUUGUAGGAAUGGAGUCAUGAAACUCACGUUUGUCAACAUGACAUUAGAGCUCAACAUCUUCCAUUUGUACAAGAAGCAUAUCCAUUCAGAAGAAAAAGAAGGUCUAGAGGAAGUGUGCAUGAUUGACACUUUAGUGGAGGAGCAUUGUGAUCGACAAUGCAAGAAGAUUUAGUUGAGAGUUUUGGGGAUCUUGAUGAAGGGUUACUUGAACCCUCAGAUUUGCUUGCUACCCUACUCCAUUGGAGGAAGAGAGAAGAAAUUCUACCCUUAUUCAAUGAGGAGGAGACACAAAGAGCUGCUAAAGAUAAGCCCCCAAAGCUUAUUCUUAAGCCACUACCCACAGAGUUGAAGUAUGCAUACUUGGAAGAAGACAAGAAGUGCACUGUUGUUAUAUCUUUAGCUCUUACCAUUCAUCAGGAGGAUUGUCUACUUGAAGUCCUUAGAAGAAGUAAGAAGGUAAUAGGGUGGCAAAUUUCUGAUUUGAAAGGGAUCAGCCCUUUUGUCUGCACCCAUCAUAUUUACAUGGAGGAUGAAGCUAAGCCAAUUCAUCAACCUCAGAGAAGGUUGAACCCUCACAUGCAAGAAGUGGUGAGAGUUGAAGUUCUUAAGCUACUUUAGGCUGGUAUUAUUUACCCCAUAUCAGAUAGCCCAUGGGUGAGUCCUACUCAAGUUGUGCCAAAGAAGUCGGGGAUCACGGUGGUGCAAAAUGAUAAGGGAAAAGAUGUCUCUACAUGUCUCACUAUAGGUUGGAGGGUGCGUAUCAAUUACAGGAGGUUGAAUGUAGUGACAAGGAAUGACCAUUUCUCGUUGCCCUUUAUUGAUCAAGUGCUUGAGAGGGUCUCUGGGCAUCCUUUUUAUUGUUUCUUGGAUGGCUACUCGAGGUAAUUUAAGAUAGAAAUUGAUGUUGAAGACCAGGAGAAGACCAUUUUCACAUGCCCAUUUAGAACCUAUGCAUAUAGGAGAAUGUCUUUCGGCUUAUGCAAUGCACCCACAACUUUCCAAAGAUGCAUGUUAAGCAUUUUCAAUGAUAUGGUGGAGCAUAUUAUGGAAGUCUUUAUGGAUGAUAUCACCAUAUAUGGAAGUGCAUUUGAUGAAUGCUUGGUCAACUUAGAAGUUGUUCUGAACCGAUGCAUUGAGAAAGACUUAGUGCUUAAUUGGGAGAAGUGCCAUUUCAUGGUACACCAAGGGAUUGUCCUUGGGCACAUCAUCUCCAAGCAAAGCAUUGAAGUUGACAAAGCAAAGGUUGAACUCAUUGUUAAGUUGCCAUUCCCAACAAAUGUCAAAGGAGUAAGGCAAUUCCUUGGCCAUGCCGGGUUCUAUAGGAGGUUUAUCAAGGAUUUCUCUAAGCUUGCAAGGCCUCUUUGUGAAAUAUUGGUGAAGGAUGUUAAAUUCAUAUGGGAUGAUAGAUGCCAAAGGAGUUUUGAAGAAUUGAAGCUAUUUUUGACAACCUCACCAAUAGUGAGGGCUCCCAACUAGCAACUGCCCUUUGAGGUAAAGUGUGAUGUCAAUGACUUUGCUAUAGGAGCUGUUCUUGGGCAAAGAGAAGAUGGAAAACCUUAUGUGAUCUACUAUGCGAGCAAGACAUUGAAUGAGGUGCAAAGAAACUACAUAACCACCGAGAAAGAAUUGUUAGCUGUAGUUUUUGCCUUGGAUAAGUUUCGUGCUUACUUGGUGGGAUCCUUCAUCGUGGUUUUUAUUGAUCACUUUGCUUUGAAGUAUCUAUUGACUAAGCAAGAUGCUAAAGCAAAACUGAUUAGAUGGAUUUUCUUGCUUCAAGAGUUCAAUCUCCAGAUCAAAGACAAGAAAAAAAUGGAGAAUGUGGUAGUAGACCACAUUUCAAGGCUAGCUAUCGCACAUAAUUCCCAUGCUUUGCCCAUUAAUGACGAUUUUCUAGAGGGGUCUCUCAUGUUGGUGGAAGUUGUCCCUUGGUACGCUCACAUUGCUAACUACCUGGUCACAAGAGAAGUUCCAAGUGAGUGGAAAGCACAAGAUAAGAAGCACUUCUUUGCAAAAAUUCAUGCCUACUAUUGGGAAAAGCCAUUUCUAUUCAAGUAUUGUGCGGAUCAGAUAAUAAGGAAGUGAGUUCCUGAAGAAGAGCAACAGGGGAUCCUCAGUCAUUGCCAUAAAAAUGCAUGUGGAUGCCACUUUGCUUAUCAGAAGACAACCAUGAGGGUGCUGCAAUCGGGUUUCUGUUGGCCAUCACUUUUCAAAGAUGCCCACACCAUGUGCAAGAGUUGUGAUCGAUGCCAGAGGCUUGGGAAGUUAUCAUGUAGGAACAUGAUGCCUUUGAACCCCAUUUUAAUAGUUGAUCUUUUUUAUGUUUGGGGCAUUGACUUCAUGGGACUUUUCCCUAUAUCUUUUGGCUACUCUUACAUCUUGGUGGGAAUAGAUUAUGUUUCUAAGUGGGUUGAGGCAGUCCCAUGCAAACACAAUGACCAUAGAGUGGUUCUCAAGUUUCUUAAGGAGAACAUCUUCUCAAGAUUUGGGGUGCCCAAAGCCAUAAUUAGUGAUGGGGGUACUCAUUUUUGCAACAAGCCUUUUGAAACUCUCCUAGCCAAGUAUGGGGUGAAGCAUAAGGUAGCUACACCUUACCACCCUCAAACUAAUGGGCAAGUUGAGUUAGCAAACAAGGAGAUUAAAAACAUAUUGAUGAAGGUGGUGAACACAAACAGAAAAGAUUGGUCAGUCAAGCUCUUCGAUUCACUAUGGUCAUGUAGAACAGCUUACAAGACCAUUAUCGGGAUGUCUCUUUAUCACCUAGUCUAUGGAAAAAAUGCCAUCUCCUUGUGAAAUUGGAAUACAAAGCUUGGUGGUCAAUCAAGAAGCUCAACAUGGAUUUGAGCAGAGCUGGGUUGAAGAGGUUCUUAGACCACAAUGAGAUGGAGGAAUUGAGAAAUGAUGCCUACAUCAAUUCAAAAAUUGUAAAAGAAAAAUUGAAGAGGUGGCAUGAUCAGUUGAUUUCCCGCAAGAAUUUUCAAAAUGGAUAAAGAGUCUUGCUCUAUGACUCUAAACUCCACAUCUUUCCGAGCAAGCUGAAAUCAAGGUGGAUAGGUCCUUUUACCAUUCACCAAGUGCAUUCAAAUAGAGUAGUGGAACUACUCAACUCCAACAACAUCGGGAGCUUCAAAGUGAAUGACCAUUGUCUCAAGCCCUUUGUAGAGUCUUUUUUCUCGCGACAAGGAGGAAUUCAUCCUCCUUGAUCCACAUCAAGCUUGACAAGACCAGUUUUUUUUUAUGGACUUAGUCUUUCUAAAGACUAUCGAGUCCAUAACUUUUUAUUUUAUUUUUUAUUUGAGAGUUUUUCGGUAUUAUUACUUGUUUUGUUUUUUAUUUUUCGUUUUACUUUUAUUUGGUUUGAUUUAACUUAGAUUUUUUAUGAUCAAUUGCAGGGGGGAUUUCAAAUAGAGGAAAAACCAAGAUAAUUCGCACACCCUGCGAAAAUUUCGCAAGGCAUGCGAAAUUUAUGGCUCAUUUCGCAUGGGAUGCGAAAUUUCGCACACCCUACGAACCAAUUUCGCACACUUUGUGAAAAUAAACCAACCCUACGAAAUCAUUUCAAAUACUCUACGAAAUUUUCGCAGAGCAUGUAAAAAAUUUCGCAGACCAAACACCAUUUCGCAUACUAUGCGAAAAUGUAAGGGGUCUACAAAACCAUUUCGCACCUCCAAAGCCAUUUCGCACAUUGUGCAAAAAUGAAAAGUCGCCCUAUCAUCCAUUUUUAAACCCCUUGAGCCCUGAAAUCCCCAUUUCGCAAGCACCCCUGUCCUUGCGAAUCCCUCAUUUUCCUCUGCCACCUUGCGACCUUGUCCCUCUCCAUUUGAUAUCGUGCCCUGCGCACAUCUCAUUUCAAAGACUCGCACUCUGCGCCCUCUCAAAGCACGAACCCAAGGCUCACAUUCCAUUUCCGACAUGGCACAGACCCGAGGAGCCCUUCCCGCCCCUUCAUCGAGACGCACACCAAGGUAGAGAGCCUCUUUUGCUCAGAUGCCAAGUGAUUCUCCAUUUCAGGCCACGGAGGCCCUGCGGAUUCCACAUUCCAAGGGUAGAACAGCCACUGGUCCUUCCUCUUCUAUUCCUCAGCGUAGAUAUGAGACGAGGAGACCACCUACUACACAAAGGGCGACUACUUCGCGCCAUGAGAAUUCGGUACGACACCCUCCUGCCAAGAGGGCCAGGACUUCAGGCCCAGGCGAGUCAUCCAAAGCUUCACAGCCUGAGCCUCCUGCAGAUUCCGAGGUUCCUACUGACAUAUCAUCGGAGUCUAUUAUCAAACGCCCGAUGCUCACAGCACCGCCCAUUGAGGGCAACUCUGAUUGUAGAGCGAGACCUUUCCACUUGGAGCUAUAUUUUAAUUAAGAGGCCAUGCCACAGCAGCCUGAGCUCCAAGACUCUUAUGGCUUACUACAGAGGUACCAUCUUGAGGACCUUAUGACUCCUCGUGAGUUCUUUUAUCCCAGAGUAGCACUAGACUUUUACCAGUCCAUGACUACUCGUGGCGUCCCGAGUCCUACCGCGAUGCACUUCACCAUUAAUGGACGUCAUGGUAUCCUCGAGGCCAGACAUAUUGGAGAGGCUCUACAGAUUCCUUUCGAGCUAGAGGACCCAUCUGUUUUCUGCCAAUGGUCCCCAAUAUCUCAGAGGGACAUGGUCCAUAUUUUAUCCAGGGGGACAUCUACAUAUUCGAUCCUUCUACGGAAGGAGCUUCGACCUGGGAUACUCCUCGUAGAUGUGGUGCUACUUUCCAACCUCUUUCCCUUUUAGCAUUCGAUACAUAGGCGAGGAGCUAUUUUGGACGCUUUAUUCUGUAUAUCAGAGGGCUUCUACUUUGGCCCGCACCACUUGAUCAUGGUUUCCCUCAUCCAUUUUGAGGAGAAGGUCCAUAGAAAGAAGCUUCAGAGGGCGAACACCAUUCCAUUACUAUUCCCGAGGUUGCUCUACUAGAUCUUGGAGUACAUGGGCUUUCCUACUGAGCCUCGGCUUGUGUGCCGCCGCCUUUGUCAAGAGCGAUCCACUCUCGACAAAUGGAAUCAGUUGGCGGGCUAUUCUACACCUCCAGGAGCCCCUCCCAUGGUAGCACCUCUAGUGUCCCCACAGGCAGAGUAGGGCAAGCUCCCGGUAGAGACUGCACCCCUAGUGCCCACACCUGAGGCUACUUCUGCUGUUCCGCCUACGACUCCUACUGUUCCACCAGUUGGUCCUUUUACAUCUGAGUCUUCCAUCAACAUCUCGACUUCGGAGUUUCGCGCCCUUGUGCAUACCUUUCAGACACUCACCACCACACAUACUGCUCUCUUCUAGAAAAUGGCUGAGAUGCGUGCCCAUCAGGACCAGCAGACUACUAUACUCCGCCAAAUUCAACAGCACCUGGGACUUCUGCCUCUGCCUCAGCUUGACCUUCCCACAUCAUCAGAGCCUCUAGCUCCAGUUGAGGAUACUAUUCCACCUGAGGACACUACCACAGUAGAGGUUCAGAUUCCACCACCUCAGGAGGCCACCACAGCUACAUUAGAGGAUGCAUCAUCUCCACCUGAGGCUCCCACUACUUGAUCAUAGGACAUCUCUUUAUCUUAUUGUAUUUACAUAUUAUAUUACUGGAGAUUUGUCUUUGUUUUGAUACUUUAUAUUCUGGCAUUGAAUGUAUUGCCUAAUGAUAUCUCAAUUGUACUUUCUCAUAUUAAUAUAUAGACAUCAAUUUUUUUUAGUAUACUUAGGAUUUUUCUAUUUACUCUACUCAUUACUCUUUUGUUUUUUUUUUUUUACUCAUGUGGUUUCUCCUAUACGACUCAGACUCCAUUUCACUCAGGAGGUACCACUUCUUCCCUUUAUUUUCAAUUGCUCUUGAAACAUUGAGGGCAAUGUUGAUCUUGGUUGGAGGGAGAGUUGAGGAAGGAAGUGAUUACUACUCAAAAAGUGCUAUUUCAUAGCUUGUAAUUAACUCUUUUAAAACACUUUUGAGUAGUAGUUAUCACCUUUUAACCCAAUUAACAUAUUAAGGACCCUUGCAAUCAAUUCUAAUCAAAUUGUGUUAAGUUUUGGUAUUUUGAUAGCUUUUUUAUCACCAAAGCAAUCCGAGAUUGAGGAUAUUUAUUUGGAAUCCAUGGCAAAAGAUGUUUGGACAGGACGUCCGGACACACCAUCGGAGGGCGGCGGAACGUGGGCUGUGGCAGGCUGUCGGAAUGACGUAGCAAGGCUUGUGCACUUUAGCCAAUGAUCGGGAUAACAUAUCCGAAAUUCUGCUCCGCCGACAUUCCACCCGGAUGUCUCACAUCCGGAAUUCUGCUCCGCCGACAUUACACCCAGAUGUCUCACAUCCAAAAUUCUUCUCCGUCGACAUUCCAUCCGAAUAUUUCACAUCCGACGCUUGACGCCGGAUGGGAGAGGAGGGCGUUUCAACUUCCCCGGUCAGACAUAUCCGAAUCCUUUGAUAACGCUUACCCGGAGAGUUUCGCAGCCAUUUUGCACAGUGCCGCGGUGUUCUCUUGAAGCUUCCCGAUAUGUGCGACCGACAUUUUGAGAUAUUUUGCUUUAGAUAUUUGAUGUCUAAAUCCCCAAACUCUCCUUGUAACCCACCAAUUAUAGGAUUCCUUAGUUAUUAAGUUUGGAAAAAUGGUGAAUAACCCCUUAUAUAUAGUUUGCAAUUUUCAUAAAAAAGAUAUGUAGAAUCUCGGGAGCUUGUUCCCAGAGAGACGCAUCCUUUGUACAGUUUUGGAAGGAAGUAAAAUACAGAGCACUUGCUCUGCUUUUCAUAUAUAUUUUUGUUUUCUCGUUCUUUUUAUUUCUAGCCAAUCAAAGUCUGAGGAUUUUUCCUCAGAGGAUGAGAGGCUAGGCUCUUCGUCUCUUGGAGUGAAGAAAACUAGGUAAGUUUCCACAUGCAUAAAUUGAAAGUUUUGUUGUUUUAGUUUUUAAUGAAGAGAAAGUGUGACCCGUUAAUGGUUUUUAUCUUUUUAGUUAACUUAAAACGCCUUUAAAUCACCCGGGCCAACACUUGAUAAGGCAAGUGGUCUCCAUCCAUUGAGAUGCACUAGUUUAUCUCUUGCGAGCCUUUGGGAGGUGGUUUGAAGGUAGGAUUUUCUAGAAUAACCAACACUUGAUAAGCUUUUGGACUCUAAGGAGACAUCCAUUAGUUAUCUCUUGCGAGCUUUUGACGGGUAAUCCAAGGUUAAAGAUCACCUUGAAUGGCAAGUACUAGGUGAGAGGUAUGAGCCAUUGCAAGAUGCAUUAGUGAGAGGGAUUUAGUGUUUGAACCCAUUAAAGGGAAGCAUCUGUACCACACCGGUUCGGGAAAUAACUAUAUGUUAAAUCCCCAAUGAGAGGAAAAGAAACAAGUGACCGGAACUCCCUUUUUGUAUAAGGAACCUGAGCCUAGUGAUCUAAACUCCAAGAAACACUUUUCUUUGUAAGUAAAAUCAGUUACUAUUUUUGGUUAGUUUAAAACCAAACCUUUUUCAUUCAAACAUCUUUAUGUUUUCUUUUAAAGCUAACCUUGAAAUGAAAAGGCACCAAUUCAUAUUUGAAUUAAUAUCAAUUGUGAAGUGAAAACCCAUCCCAGUGAACGAUCCUAGAGCCACUAUGCUAUAGUAGCUUUGUCUUUGCUACCCUAGUUCAUGGUUUAAUAGGUUAUAAAUUUUGUUGAUUACUCCCACAAUCAAAGGAGCACCAGUUGGACAUGAAUCAACUGAGACACUAAUUGGGCACAAAUCAGGAAGUUUUGUUAAUAAUGCUAGGUUAAUUUGUUAAUUUAGUUACUUUCUGCUUAAUUUUAAAAGUUUUCACUUUACUUUCCAUAGUUAUUAAGGAAAAAUUCUCAAAAUGAAAUGGGAGAAAUUGAAUUCUUACAUUUUUACUUGAAUUUUAGAAUUUGUAUUAUGCUUAUUGAAGCUGAUGAAUUAUUGAAACUCCUAUUGAAUUCAACCUUAUUUCUUCCACUUUAAUCUUACCACACACGGUGCACAUUAGGUUCCGAUUAUAAGAGGUGCGUUCUUAGCCUAUUGGAGGUUGGUCAAUUUGUUAAAGUUUGAGAAAGAUCUAGGUUAGGGGAGAGAGAAUAGUCUGACAUACUAUAAUCGAAAACUAAUAAACUUAACACUUAGAUCUUUGUGGAAGAGUAAGGAUUGGACCUUUGGGAGUGGAAAUUCGUUUGAUGCUUAAAUUUGCAUAAUGCUUACACUUUAUAAAUUGUGAUUAGGCAAGAGAUUUGAUGACUCUUGUUCAAGGUUGGGUUUUGCCUCUUUGAUGUUCCAUGAGAGAGUAUAAUCCUCAUCAUGCCACUUGAAAUUUUUUUUGGAGUGAUUAACAUGAUUUUGUAAAUUACUUUACUGUCUAUUUUUUUUUUAUCUCUCCUUCAUUGCUAAUGGACUAGCAAUAUGUCAGUUGAGGGGAGUGAUUACUACUCAAAAAGUACUCUUUUAUAGCUUGAAACUAACUGUUUUGAACACUUUUGAGUAGUAGUUAAUACCUUUUAACUCAAUUGGCACAUUAAAGAACCUAGCAAGGGUUACUAAUUAGUUUUUGGCAAGUUUUGGUGUUUUUGGUAGCUAUUUGAUCAUUGAAACAAGCCAAGAAUGAGGGAGAAUUUUGUGAAGUCCAUGGCAAUGCAAGUUAAAGCUCAAAUACAUGAAGAAUCCAAGCUUUGGAGCACUUCAUAGCCCUUUCCAAAGCCAAUCAGAGAUGCAAGGAAGAAAACCAGAGGAAGAAAUCCAACAAUUAGCAUUUUCGCAUGGCUGUGCGAAAUUUCGCACACCAUGCGAAACCACAAGAGGCAGCCAAAGAAUUUUGCACACUAUGCGAAAUUUCGCAUGGUAUGCAAAAUCUUCUUGUGCACCAACUCCGUUAUAUUUUUAUCUCAAAUAUUUUGUGUAAUUUCCUAGUUUCUCCUUGUAACCAACCUAGAUAUUUUCUUUUAUAUAUUUUUUAGGUAACAUCAUCUAUAGGGGGAGAGACAUAAGGAGGAUAUGGAUGUUUUUCAUAGAACACUUGUAAAUUUCCGGUAGUAAGAAAUAUACAGAGCUUUUUGCUCUACCUUACCUUCUCAUUUUGUUUUCACUUGUCUUUCUAGCCAAACAACCUCUGAGGAUGAUUUCUUAGGGAAUGAGUGGCUAGGUUUUACGUUUCUUGGAGUGAGGGAAGCUAGGUGAAAGACCCGAAUGCUAAGGUGGGAGUUGUCCUUGCUUUAAAUGAAAGUAGUUGUUAAACAUUAAUGGUUUUUAUUUUAAGGUUUAGCUUUAAAUCCCUUAAAAACAUCUUGAAUGGUCAAUACUUGGUAGGCUUUUUGGAUUCUAUGGAUGCUUAUUGCUAGAUCCCUGGAUGUCUAUUAGUUAUCAUUUAUGAGCCAUUGGAAGGUGGUUCAAGAUGAGGGUCUUUAAUGUUUGAAGCCAUUAAUAGGAAACAAUUACCAUUCUUUCAUGAAUCCUUUGGAUCAAAUCUUAAUUGCUAAAUAUAAAACUAGUUCGGGAGAUAACCAUCCUUUAUGUUAUUAUGCCCAACGCGAGGAGAAGAUUCGGAAUCUUCCCCUUUGUCUAAGGAACCCGAUCCUAGUGACCUAAAGCUCUAAGAGACCUUUUCUUUAUAGUUAACUUCACUUAUUGUUUUUUCUUAACUUAAAAUCAAUCUUUGCAACCACAAUUCCAUUUUCUUUGAAAGCUAAUUUUCAUAAGGAAAAUCACCAUUUUAUUUUCUUCCCUAAGUCAACUGUACGAUGAAAACCCAUUCCCAUGGACGAUCCUAGAGCCACUAUACUAUGUUAGCUAUGCUACCCUAAUGUGAGGUGAUUUAGGUUUUAUAAAUUUUGUUGAUAACACCUGUUUGAGCCAGAAUCAAAUGGCGCAACUGAACCAGGGACGAAUCAACAACUUAUAUGGGAGGGACACAAGUUUAAUUGAUUUGCAUUUCAACGUUAUAUAUAGGUAUGUUUUGGAAGAUUUGUUCUGGAAAUACUGCACCAAGUACGAUUCUUUUUGUCUUGAGUGGGUCUACUUGCAUGCCAAUUAACGAGUGGAAAAGUAGGAGCACCUACCUCAUGCUCGCGGAACCGAAGGUCAGUGAAGUGGGGCUCCUUUUGGCCUCUUGUGUUUCUAUUCCAACCAAGGCGGCGUAAGGAAAAACAACAAUAUGUUUGUGCUAAAUAUCAACGCAUGAUAGAUGUUUUUGUUUUUUGGUAUGUCAAGGCUAAUGAAUGAAAUGCUUUAGCUUGUUUUGUGACUGGAACUGCAAAUGUCCAAAUUGGAGUAUCUCCAUUUCUCACUUCGGAUGGUUAACUUAUAAACAAGAUAUAGGAAACAUGUGAACAUCUUGAGGAACAAUUUGAAUUAUUCAUUAGAAGUCCUGGGUUGAGUUCCAAGAUUUAAAUUAGACCCCUCUAGCAGCUUCAGGGGUACCUAGCAACCUAUAGCAUAUUAAUGAAGAUUUAGGAUUUAGACUCUAGAAUACAAAUUAAUAUGUAUCUCAUGCUUUGACUAGCUUCCCUACAUAUGCACAAAAUGGAGAUGACCUAAAAAAAUAGCAGAAUCUAGCUUCCCUACAUAUGCACAAAAUGGAGAUGACCCAAAAAAUAGCAGAAUUUCCUUAGUUUCUGUGGUUAAGGUGAUUCUCCGCUUAAUAUCACAUUGACUCAUUAUGCAAAAUCAACUGAGCUAAUUUUGUUUAUUUAUUUAAUGUCAAAUAGGAACUCCUAAUUAACCUAACCCUUGGCCUGUGUAAAUUGAUUUCACAUGCCCAAUGUUGAAGUAGAAGUCCAUAUUUUGAAUUUUAUUUUUGUAAAGGUAAGGAAAAUGAAGCAUUGUGUAAUUAUAAAAAUAACUUCAUUGGAAUUCACAAGGUUCACCCAAAAUGGAGCUACAUCCGUAUUCUAUCCUGCAGUAGACUAUAUAGAUUGUACAAUAGUAAAUUGCAAAUACAAUUAAUAAGUCUUGUGCUUCCUUACUAAUAAUCCUUUGACAUGAACAUUGCAGCACUAAGGUCCUCUUGGGAAGACACCUUGCACCCAUGAGAGCACGAAGAGGAAGCAAGGCAGAGUCAUGGGUGCAAUGUCAUGACUUGUUGUUGCACCAAGAGAGGCUUGGUGAUGGCAUGGUGUUGCAGUAGCAAGAAUGUUGCCUUGGUAGGGACAUAAUCUAGGGAUAGAUGCCAAGAAAGGCUUAGCACUCACAUGAGUUGCACAAAGAUGAAUGUAAUAGAGCAUCAGAGAGACGUCUUGGCAAGUAAAUGAAUGGAUCCAAGAGGCAACAACAUGAGGAGUUUCAAAUGGAUAAGGAAUGAGUCAAAGACAUUUGAAAGCUACAAGUUGGAUUCUAAUUACGAUUGCAAUUUGAGUUUGAGUAGGAGUUUAGAUUCUGAUUGUAAUUGUAGUAUGAGUUGGACUAGGAUUGCUUAUCCCUAGUCAAAAUAGGAGUGGUUCGUGUCACACCCUAUGAAAAGAGUUUGAGUAGGGACUAGGAUUGCUUACUCCUAGUCAAAUAUGGAGUAGGUGGUGCCACACCUAUAAAAAAAAAGGGACAACAUGAGAGAGAGAGAGAGAGAGAGAGAGAGAGAGAGAGAGAGAGAGAGAGAGAGAAAGAGAUAAUGAAUUCACUAAAGAUAUUGUGGGAGUUUUUCUUUGUUACGUCUUGUAUUAUUACUUAGAAUAGGAAUAAAAUACAAGUUUGGGCUAGAGCCCCAUAAUUAAUCUCGUGUGCCUUUGUGGUUAUUCUUUAUUUGUCAUCUCGUGUGGAUUGGAUUACAUUGACUUAGAGGGCUUCUAAGCACCACCUUUGUGGGUUAUUAUUUAUUUUCCAUUUCUUGUGGAUUAGAUUAGGUUGACUUUGAGGGCUUUUAAGCACCACCUUUGUGGGUUAUUCUUUAUUUUCCAUAUCGUGGGGAUUGGAUUAGGUUGACGAUGAGAAAAAUUAUGUGGGAAAUUUGUGUUGGGACACUUAUCAUAACCAGGUAAAAUCUGCCAAGUCCUUUGUAAUAUCUUCAACAAAUAUUUCAGACUAGUUCUUCACCAUAAACAUCAUAUUGUGUUUUGUUUUUCUCCUGGAUUCUGAGUUGAAUUGUUUCAAGUCAAUUGAAUGCAUCUGAAUAUUAUUAGCUUGUUUGAAGGCCUGGUGAUUUUCCAUUUAACUUUACUUUCUUUAGGUUAUGCUCACUAUAAGAAAAAUGAGAAAUAAUGACGCUUUUUACGCGUUAAGAAAGGCAACAGAUGAUGCUUCUCUAAAGCGUCCUCUUCGGCUCUGUCAUUAUAUGUGUUAGCCAAUAAUGACGCUUCUAGGAAGUGCCAUCUUUGAAUAAUGUUAAUAACGACACUCGUAAAAAGUGUCAUCUUUAAACAUAUUCUGGUCAAAUAAUUUUUACAAAAUUAGUAAUCUUCAAGCCGUUUCUGAAUCAUAUCUGAGCCUAUUUCUGGGGACCAGAAAACCAUCUUUUUUCCAUUCGCCUGAGAGGUCUGAUUAGCAUUUCUGGAAUCAAUCUCUAAACCCAAGCUUCCCUCAUCUACCCAUUUAACCCUCAUGCCCUCCUGUUUGAACAACUUUCCCACUAUAUACACAAAUUUUUUACCUUCUGUUGUUGGUAUUCGACCUCUUCCCAUUCCCAGCACAGAAUCCACCAUUAGUGCCACUUUGUGAAUAAAAUCAUCGAACCAGAUCUUUCGGGCGGAAGAUGAGCUCCAGAGAAAUAAAAUUUUUGGGGUCUUCCCAGCAUGAAAGUCAUAGGUAGCAUUAAUGACAUCAAGAAAUGGGGCACUGUUGAGAAAAAACAUGUUCCCAUCAACCACCCAAGAAUUGUACCAGACUCCAAACACUUCUGGAUUACAUAUGCCUUUACUAAGAUAUAUUUCUUGAUCUCCAUAUCAGAAUCUUGGAGACUCUUCAUUUUAUGAGCUCUGACACUACUGUGAAAUUGGUCCACAUCAAUCACAGGAUGACCCCUUCUAGCAAGAUCAAGCAGGAAGUCUGAAUUCGGGCCCAUAAAAAUGUAGUUCUGAAUAUUGAAACUCUCAAAGUGGCACAACAAAUUCCUUAUGACUCUUUCAGAUGCUCCAAACAGGCUCACAAGUAUAAUGGUAUCCUGUUUUUGCACAGAGUAAAGAAAAUAUCCGAGUUCUUCAAAACUCCUUACAACUAUUCCAGGAUGUACUUCUUUGAAACAGAAAUCGUACCACUUUAGCUUAGUCAGAGGUUGAAUCUAAAAUAACAAAACCCAAACUGAAAUCAAAAUCGAAAUCAACCCUAAUAGAUUUCAGAAACAACAAAUUAAAAGAGUAAAGCACAAAAGGGGGAAAACACAUAUGAAGCAAUCUCCAUACAAGCCCUAACCUUAGAUAAACCCAAAAAAAAAAAUCAAAGCAGAGAGUUACCAUAGAGCAUCUCUGUUUCAAGCUUAGAAAAUGUUUAAUGCCAUUGAUAACUAGUUGGCUAGUGGUGGACUUCAAGCUUCUCUAUUUCGGUGUUAGUAGCUCUCAAUGGCUAUGGUGAGAACAAAGAAAUGAGAGGCUUAGGGUUUGGGAUGUGAGGUUAUUGAUGAUGAUGAGGAUAAAGUUAUGGGCUCUUGGAGGGGUUAGGGAAAUUGAAGAUGGCUGAGAGUAAAGGCUAGGGUUUUUGAGAUAGUUAAUAGCUUUUUAGGGUGUGACUGUCCAUAGAUAGAAGAUAAAUGAGGGUGUGAGAAUUUAUAGAUCUCUAGGUGAUAUGGCGGGUGUGAGAAUGAAAUUUUAGAGGGAAUUGUGUGUUUGGUAGAAAUUUCACACAUGCAUAUAUAAUGUUUCAGAACAUGGCACUUUAAAAAUACGACAAGGAAGAAAUUAUUUAUUGACGCUUAAAUAAAGCGCCAAGGUCUCCAACAUUUUUGCAAUCAAUGACGUUUGUAAAAGGUGCCAUUGAAUAGGAGUGCCAUUGCUUUCCCACAAAGCAUCAUUGUUAAUCAAGCCUUUAAAAAACGCCAAGAUAUGUUGCCACUUAGGUUAAAUAUUGACGCUUUUAAAAAACGCCAAGGAAAAAAACGUCAUUAUUCAUGUUUUUUGUAGUAGUGGCUUGAUUCCUAAAAAGUAAAGGAAAGCAAAAAGUAAAAAAAUAAAAAUGUGGAGAGUUAGGACAUGCGUUAUCUAAUUGUCCUAGUCCCAAAUAUAUUAAGAAAGUCAUGUAGGUUACUUGGAGUAACGAGUCAAGUAAAGCAAGCCUUCUAGUGUUUAAGACAUUAGAUAUUACCGAACUGAUUAUGUCAUUAAUGUAUUGCAUUUGUUGUUUCUAAUAUAUAGAAGAAGAUGAAAUUAUUGGAAUAAGUGGGAAAUAGGAAUAAAUCCAAGGUACCAAAAAGUCACUUUAUCUUAGAUGUUGUUGGAAACAUAAGUGAUUUCACAAUAACGACUAUGAGACAAUCAAGGAUUAAUAAGAUAGACUUUAUAUGAUAUACCUCCCAAUUAGAGCCUAAAAAUAUGGAUGAAGCACUUAGAGAUGAAUCUUCAAUUUUUGUACUAUAGGAAGAAUUAAAUCAAUUUGUUAGCUAUUCUUUGGAUAUUUGAUUCAUCACAAGCUACAAAUCACUUUUGAUGACCAAACACGAAACUAAGAGGAUUGGGCCCAAUUCGAUGCCUAUCAACAAUGAUUUGUAUUCCACCUCAUUAAUUAUUCAAAGUUGGGAAGCUAGGUCUAACCACUUUCUCUACCUGUUCACCCUUAGAGGAGCAGAAGAAAAUUCUAACUUUGGUGCCUAAUGCCUUUGACAAUCUUUCGACAAAGAGAGUUCACUAAUUACUUUGAUUAUUUCUCUGUUGGUCACUGGGGGACAAGACUUUUGUAAUGAAGUCAACUAGAACUUGCCCUUUGAGGGCCAUUCAUGGACGAUAUUACACCAUGAAUUCCCUUAGGUCAUGUUUGGUAUGUGAGAAUGAGGAGUGGAAUGGACAUCUUAUUCAUUUUUUCAUCUAUUCAAAUGUUGGGAUAACUCAAGUGACCAUGAGAAUGAAAUCAAGAAUGAUUCAAGGGAAAUGAAAUCUUACUUAUAAGUGUGAUUUCAAUUAAUCUCUAAUAGAAAUUAUUUUGAAUCAAUAGUGCAAGUUAUUUUUAAAAACAUUUUUCCAAAAUUAAAAAAAUCAAUUUUUUUUUUUUCGAUAAGUUGUUUUUAAAAGGAUUUUUUUUAUUUUGUAAAAAGAAAAUUGUAAUUCAAUUUAUAUAAUAUAAACUAAAUUUUAUUUUAUUCAAAAAGAAAUAAUUUUUUAAUUAUAAAUAAAUUAAAAAUAAAUACUUUUAAUAAAAUAUAAAUAGUAUUAUUAUAAUAAAAUCAUAAAUAAAUUUAAUUUUUUUUAUAAAUAUUAUAAAAAUAUGGAUAUUAACAUUGGAUAAUUGAUUUAUUUUGUUAAAAUAAAAAAUAAUAAUUUUUAAUAUUAUUUUAUGUUAAAUGAAUUUUAAAAUAAAGAAAGUUUAAUUAUUUUAAGGUAUAGAAGAGCCAAAUUUUGCAUUACAUACAUAACAAACAAUAUUUAUUAGAAACAUUUCUCAAGGAGAAUCUUAUUCCAUCUCACAAAGAUACUCGUUUAUUCGAUGUUUGACCAUCCGUAACAAUCAUGUCAAUUCUACUGAUUUAAUAAUUCCUUUACAUUUAUUACUCACUUAUGAACAUGGUAUUGUGAUUUAUUUAUUUAUUUGAUGUAUAAUUAAUUAAUCAAUUUUUUAAAUUUCAAAUUAUUUUUAAAAACUAUUCAUUAAGGAAUUUAAAGCAUUAAUUAUGUCUAUUAUUUUUUAUAGUCAUUAUAUAUAUAUUGAGUUUUAAUUUAUUUUUAAAAAUUAUUAAACUUAUUAAUAAAUUCAAUAUAAAGUCUCGUUUCAUUUGAAAUUCAUUUCUUUAGUGAAAAUUUUGAAAAAAAAAUUGUUAUUUAUUUUACUUUGUUUUAAAAAAAUUGUUUCUAGAGAACAAUAAUCAAAUAAUGGUAUGAAUUUUUAAAAACAAUUUUGUUUUUAAAUCAUAUGCCCAAAUAAUUUUUUUUUAUUUAGCAAAAAACUUUGUUGUAGUAUGUGGCUCAUAUUGAGGGAAAGACAUAUAUGGAGAAAAAUGUGCAAAUGUUGGAGUGGAGCGGAGUGGAAUGACGACAUUUGUCAUUCAAACUUGUAUUUUUAUUGUUAAGGGUGACCGAUAGGUUGGUACGGUUUAGGGGUAUUUUUGGAAUUUCAUUACCUGAGGGUUAGUAUAAAUACCAUUUUAUGUAACCCUAAUUUUACAUAUAAUGUAAGUUUUCUUCCUUGUUCUUGUGGACAUAGGCAAUCCGUCGAACCACGUUAAAUCUGUGUGUUUUUUUUUCUUUUUUCUUUUUCUCUAAUUUCUUCACCAGGAAUCGUUACACUAAGAUCAACAAACUCUCAAAGAUGAUUUUUAAAAUGAAAAAAAUAAUGUAUAGUGUGAGAAUUUUUUAUUUUUUAUUUUUUUAAAAUGAAAAUAAAAAAUUGCUUUAAGGUAAAAGUGUGGAUAUUAUUGUUAAUUUAUUUCAUUUUUCAUUUUCAUUUCCAUUGUUACCUACAAUUGAAAUGGAAACAACUAAUCAUUACAACCUUACAUUCUUAUAUGCAUCCAAAUACAAAAAUUGAAAUCACCAAAUUCAUAUUCAAGGCAAAAUAGGAAUGAAAACAAAUAUUCAUUCUCAUUCUUUAUUCCCACGUGUCAAACAUGACCUCAAAGUUAUAAACAUGAACAAGAAGUCCUUGAAACACCAAUGAUCUCUUCUGGUAUAUAUAUGAGCUUGAUUGACAACUGUUUUAAAUACAGUUUUUUUUUUUUUUGUUUUCAAAAUCAAAACAAAUUUAUUUUUAUUUUUUAUAAAUAGUAGUUUUUUAAUAUUUUUUUUAAACCUUAUUAUGAAAAUAGGAUGUUUUCUAAUAUCAUAUUUUAAUUAUUUUCAAUUAUUUUCCCUUCUUUUAAGGAGGGCUAUUUUAAAAAUAUGAAAAAUGAUACAAAAUAAAGCAUUACAAAUAAAAAUCAUUUUUAAGAAAUAUAUGAAAAUAAUUUGAGAACAUUUGAAGUUCCUUAAUUAAACUUUUGUUCUAGAAAAUGCAAGAAAACUGUUUUUGAAAAUUGUUUUCAUAAUGAUAUGCAUUGAUCGUUUAAAAUUUAAUUACAUGAUAAAAAGACCUAUGUAAAAACCAGAGUUAUAUAAUCAGUCAUAGAUCAAAUCUACUAAAUAUGAAAAGUAAGUACAUAGUUGUAUAUGACUUAGAUGGAGCCUUCUCCGAAUGACAUUCUUUAGUCGGUACUCAUAUUUUUUUGUUUCGUGUCUUCAACAUAACACCUCAUGAUCCUUAAUAAAUCACCUGAAAACUAUAUUAGCACCUUAUUGUUUAAUAUUUCUCUAAAUUUUUUUAUUAAGCAAAUAAAUUCCAAAUUUAAAAUGACAAAUAAAAUUUAUUAAUUUUUAAAAAUAAUUUAAAACUCAAAAACCAAUUUAAUUGAUAUUAAAAGUCAUGAAACUUAAUAAUAUUAGAAAGUCAUGUAUCCAAAUUUAUUUUAAAUGACUUGUUUAAUUUCUUGUUUAUAUAUAUUAUAUUUUUAUAAUUUUUUUUACUAUACAAAUAAAUUUUAAAUUAAACAAAACUUAAUGCGUUGAAUUCAUUAACGAGUCUAAUAAUUUUUAAAAGUUACUUAAAAUUUAAAUACUAAAUCAAUUAGUACCACAAAUUCAUGGAAAAAAAUUGAUUUAUUACUACUAUAUUGUUUCUCUAUUGCAUAGAACCAUUAUUUUUCAAUUUUUUCAUUUGGCAAAUGAACAUCAAAUUAAACAAGACUAAGUGUAUUAAAUUCAUUAAUGGGUCUAGUAAUUUUUUAAAAUAAUUUAAAAUUCAAAUAUUGAUACUCCAAAUUAAACAAGACUUAGGUGGUGUUUGUUUUUUGGUUGAAUAGAAAAAGGUAAAAUAUUUGACUUUUUCUAUUUAGUUAAAAGUAACUUGUUGACAUCGUCCAAUAUAAUUAAAGUAAACCUAUUGAGGGCAAGUUCACUUUAAUUAUGUUGGACGAUGUCAACAGGUUACUUUUAACUCAAUAGAAAAAAUCAAAUAUUUUGACUUUUUUUUUAACUCAAAUAAUAAAUCCAUUAAUACAAAAAAAUUAUGGAUAAUUUGAAACUUUCUUUCUUUUUUUUUUUUUUUUUGCUACACAUAGCUAUAUUUUUAUAAAUUUUAUCAUUAGAGAAAUGGAUUUCAAAUCAAGUGAAACUUUGUAUUGAAUUAAUGGAUUUAACAUUUUUUAAAAAUAAUUUGGAACUAAAAAAAAAAGAUUUAAUUACUAAGAAAAUCAUAGAUCAAAACUAAUAUAUUCUGAUCCAUGAUUUUAUUAUUUUUCCUAUACAUACAAUUAUAUUUUUAUAAUUUUCUCACUAGGUAAAGAUAUUAUAAAUUAAGUGACACAUAAUUAAUAAUUUAAAUUUUUGAAUGAAUCUUUUAAUUUUAGGAAUAAUUUGAAAUUUAAAAAGUUGAUCCAAUUAAUUGUAAAUUAACUUAAAAUAUUAUAAAAUAUUAUGUUCAUAAUUAAGUACUAAAUGUAUAUAUGUAAUGAAAACUUAACUAGUUACAUGUUACAAAAGCCAAAAUUUAUUCAUUCUUUAUUUUAAAUAAAAUAUUAUUAAUAAUUAUUUUUUUUAAAAUAAUAUUUAGUAAUUAUUGUUUUUAAAUUAUUAUUAUUAAUUUUUAAUAAAAAAAUUGCAAAGUUAUUAAUAUCAUUAUAUUUCUAACAUAAAUUUAAAUAGUAUAUUUUUUAAUAUAUAUAUAUAUAUAUAUAUAUAUAUAUAUAUAUAUAUAUAUAUAUAUAUAUAAUUUAUGAUUUCAUUAUAAUAUUUUUAUUCAUGAUUGACGAAAAAUUAUUUAUUGUUUAAUUUAUUUGAAUUGCAAAACUAUUUUUCAAAAUUCAAGCGAGAAAAUAGGCCUGGAUUUGAAUUUCCUGUAGAAGAGAAGGAUGUGGAGAAUAUGUUGGGAGUAUUUGUGGAUAAAGAAAAGGCCAGGGUACUGAGAAAGGAGAGAGAACUUGCUCUUGCCAAAAGAGCCCUGCACAGGUAUUCUACUGAUUCUAAUUAUCGGUUCUUACAUGAUCAGAUUUCAGAUUUAUUUGCUGAGCUUCUGAAAUCUGAUACAGUAUUUAAACUCCGGUGAGCUUUACAAGAUUAGUCUCGCAUCCAAUUCCAAAUGGUGUCCCACAAUUGAUUCUUCUUAUGAUAAAUCCACCUUGAUAUGUGAAAAUAUUGCUCGAAAGGUUUAUCCUCGCGAGGAAUAUCCAGAAUACUAAGGAAUUGAGGAGGCUCACUAUGUUUAUAGAGUCAGGGAUAGGUUGAGAAAACAAGUAGUUGUUCCAUUACAUAAGGCCCUGGAGUUGCCAGAGGUUUUCAUGUGUUCGAACAAGUGGGGAUCACUUCCCUACAACCCUGUGGCUUCAGUGGCCAUGAAAUCAUACAAGAGCCUCUUCUCAAACCAUGAUACAGAGCGGUUUGGUGAGUAUCUUGAGAAAGUGCAAACUGGGAAGGCUAAGAUUGCAGCUGGUGCAUUACUUCCCCAUGAGAUUAUAGCUUCAUUGAAUGAGGAGGAUGCCGAGAGAGUUGCCGAGCUUCAGUGGGCAAGAAUGCUGGAAGAUUGAUCAAAGAAAGGGAGGCUCACAAAUUGCAUUGCAGUAUGUGACGUAUCAGGAAGUAUGAGUGGAACUCCAAUUGAGGUGUGUGUGGCUCUGGGGCAGUUAGUUUCAGAGCUCAGUGAAGAUCCAUGGAAAUUAAGGUAAUGUAAUUACUUUCAGUGCAAAUCCUGAGCUUCACAAGAUCCAAGGAGACAGCCUUGUAUCCAAGACUGAAUUUGUGAGGAUGAUGGAAUGGGGUGCCAACACUGACUUUCAGAAAGUUUUGACAGAAUCUUACAAGUAGCAGUGGAGGGAAAUAUGAGUGAAGAUCAAAUGAUAAAGAGGGUUUUCGUUUUCAGUGAUAUGGAGUUCGAUGAAGCUUGUGGGAGGUAUAACUAUUGUGACUAUGACUAUGAUAUGGAGGAAAUUGACGAGAGUCAGAAGGCAUCUCAGAAGUGGGAGACAGAUUAUGAAGUGAUACAGAGGAAAUUCCAGGAGAAAGGAUACAGAAAAGUUCCAGAGAUAGUGUUUUGGAACCUUAGAAACUCAUCAGCGACUCCAGUGACGGCCACAGAGAACGGGGUGGCCUUAGUAAGCGGGUUUUCAAAGAAUCUGUUGACCUUGUUUUUGGAAGGAGGUGGAAUUCUGAUCCCUCAGGAUGUGAUGGAAUUCGCCAUCUCUGAUGAAGAUUACAAGAAACUUGUUCUAUUUGAUUAAGAUAUCAAGAGAUUUAUCAAUAAUAAUAUAUUUUUUUUCUAUGUGAAAUACAUAUAAUAUUAACUGUGGAGUUAUCAAAGUUCUGGAGGUUUAAUUAUUUCUUCUUUUCAAGUUUUGUUUAUUUAAGGUUUUCUUUGUCUUUGUUAGGAAUUCCCCUUGGGUGGACCCAGCUGGGGAGUUGGAUUGAGGAAGUAAGCAGGCGAACUUGUGUUCUUCUAUGGACAGAGAAAAAAAAUAAAAUAAAAAAAUAAAAAAGGAGGUUAUUUGCAUUUGGAUGUCGUGGUUUGAGGGUACAACUACAAGCUCGAAAUUGUACAUAAUGUGAAAACUCCUGUGUCCAUUGCUGAGAACAGCAUAAAUGAUGGUGAUUUUCAAGUUGUGCCUGGUAUUCUACAGGAUGAAACAAGAAAGGAUCCAGGUGGUAUAUUGAACAAUAUCCCAAUCAUGUUGGUGGCAUCUUUAUUUAGUUAAUGGUAUUCAUUUGGUGGAAGCUGGUUGUUUAUGAUGUUUUUAAUUUUUUUUAACAUGAAGUUCGAUCAAAUACGUAUCUUAGUAUGUUUUGUUUGAGCUAAUUGGCAAAUGCGCUUUAAACAUGGUCACAUGGAUGCAGUUUUAUUUGUGAAAUGAUAAUAGUCGAUUACUUGGUCAGUAAGGUUUAUAUCUCUAACUUCAACAUCUUAUUGUAGUCUUUUAAAAUGUCAAAAGUUUAAUGCUUGAGAAAUUUUGGAAUGGAGACAUUCUAAACAAAGUUAAUAAUCCACAAGACUUGGUAAAACCGAUCAGAUGAUGCUUACGUACAUCAAUGCCUUCUUUAAGCCAUAUCCUAUUUUCAUUGAACGGGAUGUGCCAUCUAGUUUGGUUCUUUAAGCCUCCAAAUCCUAAACCUAGUCUCAAUUUAGAGCAAAUUUAGGGUGCAGGGCCUGCAUGCCUCCCCCUCCCCCUUCCACAAAUAGUAGUGACCUUGCUAUGCCUAUGCAUUGUCAAUGCCUCAUUUUCUAUGGUCUCCAAUGUAAUAUCUUAGUUUCAAUGUCUCUUUCCUUACUAUCUCCAAUGCAAUAGAUUGAUUUCAAUACCUCUUUACAACUAAGACCUCCAAAUUUUCUUGGUUCAAACCUACCAGAAUUUUUCUUCUCCUUUGCUUUCUAUCAAUAUUAGUUCCCCUAAUUUAAUAUAUACUUCUUUAUUACCUUCAACUCUACCUCUCUUUCUUUCUCUAAAAGCUUCCUCAAAGAUUUAAUUGCUUUCUUGCAUGUUUUAAGAAAACAAACAUGCUCAUAUUACAUUACCUCUACUUGAGAUCUACCUUAUACUCUACCUUCUUUCUUUACCUCCUAUAUCAUCUACUACAUUAGCUUCAAAAAUAUUAUUUAGUUUGAUACUAAAUAAGGCUCCUAAUCCUACUCUUCCUUCAACAAACUUUCUUUUUACAAGUUCCUUAAACUUUAUUUUUUAUUUUUUAUUUUUUGGAAAUUCGGGUUAGAAAGAUUCCAUUACUCUUACCUAAUAUUUCAACCAUCAAGUUGAAUCCACUUAUUGCCUAAAUCCAAGGAGUCUGCCCUCCACAAAAACAAGGAAAUUGAUCCCACAAUAACAAGGAGAUUGCCUUCCACAGAAACAAAGAGAUCUCCCUUCACAGAAGCCGAAUACAUUGCAAUCUAUUUUCUUUCUUGUAAGAUCAAAUCUUCAAUCGAGCUCCAUCUUAUGGGGGCAUAUUAGAGAAAUUUAAUAUUAUCCUUAAUUUACAUAUUAAUAUUUAUCUAUUUAUUAUAUAUUGAAUUAAAAUAGAAUAUAGAAUUUGAAUCAUAGUAGAAGUUUACUAUAAGAUUGAAUUACAAUAGUUAAUAGAGUUUAAAUUAUAAUAACUCAAAUACAUUUAUAUAUAUUUGACCUUACGAGAUUUUCUAUUUAUGUAUUUGAACUACAAUCCUUAUGAUCCUUAGGUCUCUAUACCUUCGUGAUGGGCUCCUUGACAUUUCAUAGGUUGUGCUACACAUGCAUUUGAAAUUUAGAGUGCAUUUGACAGUGAUUCUGGGAAGUGUUUUUGGCAUUUCUAACACUUAAAAUUUUUUAUUUUUCAAGUAUUAGAAAUGCUACAAACACUUUUGAAAAUUACUGUCAAACACACUCUUAGGAGCGCAUAUAGUAGAAAACUAGAAAUUGUGGUUUUUUUAGGAUUUACUGUAAUGUCAUUAGGAGGGUAGUAAGUUGAAACUGAGUAUGAAUAAAUAUUUCUUUCUUUGGGAUGUUCUUCUGGUAGGUGCUGAUGAAACUGUUCUUUUUACUGCCAAUGUCACAUAUCAGCCAGAAAUUGAAAAUUUCAGUCAAGGUGUCCUCGGUUUUAGUGGUGAGGAAAGCUAGAAAUUUUAAGGUGAAGUUCUGUUAAAAACCUUAAGUAGCUGGGAUAUCAGGCCUGUUUUGCUUGAAAAAAAAAGUUGCAAGAUAACUCAUAUGCCAAACAGGUUCUGAUAUUGUGAAUCUAUCGGCAGACAUCAGUAAUCUCAUCUUCUGAGAUGGAUGUUGGGGGUGCAUGUGGUGGUGGAGGGGCAAGGUUUCAUUUGGUUUAUUUUGUUGAUGGAUAUUGUCUAGCCCCCUGCGCCAAGUUUGAGGGGUGGUGGGUUGUGAUGGCCCUACAAUUACUAUUAAUUUCUUCCUCUUUUACCGAUUAAAGUGUCCGAACAGUCGAAGUUACCCUUAUGCAUGUCAACUUGAUCACUUACCUCUUCAAUGGAGUUUAUGCUGGUUCAUUUAGGAACUGAUUUUUAUUGUUAUGCAUUCUAUGCUGAUGUUUAGGCCUCUCCAUCAUCACUAUAUACAAAAAUUCUAGGUUGAUACUAUAGGUUGAGAUUUAUUUUUUAAAUAAAAAAUAAUAAAAAUAAAAAUUAUGGUGAUGUUUAGUUGUUUUAUGGAAAAUUUUAACAAGUUAUUUUUGGGCAAGUUUUCAAACAAAAAGAAAAGUAAAAGUUGUUUUGACAAAAACAUAUAGAAAAAAAAAAUCAUAGAAAAGAAAUAAUUUCCCCAUAUUCUAACUUUUUUUAAUUUUUCUCAAUGGGCAAAGGAAUAUCAAAUCAAGUUUGAGUAGGAUUUCUUAAUUUUUAAAAUAACUUACAAUUAAAAAAUUUUGGUGUUUUCAUUUUUGGACAAUUUUUUAUUAAGCAAAUGGACUCUGAGUCAUGCAAGAGAUAUGGUUGAUUAAUGGGUCAAACAAUUUUUUUAAAAUAAUUUAAAACUCAAAUACAUAAUCAAUGUCACAAAAUUUAUAAACAAAAAUAGGUUUAGAGAAGAUCUACACAUAAUUUUACUUUUCUAAUUUUAUUUUAUUUUAUUUUUUUGUUGGAAAAUAGUCUUCAAAUCAUGUAAGAUUUAAUAGGUUAAAUUUGUUAACAAUAAAUUUUAAAUUAUAAAAUAUAAUCUGGAACUUAAAAAUCAAUUCAAGUAAUGCUAAAAAAAAUCAAAUUUGGUAUAGAAUGACUACGUAAAAUUUUUUACAAAACAAAUGAAUUUUAAAUCAAGUGAGAUUUAAUGCAUUAGAUUUUUAUCAAAUAUAGUAAUUUUAAAAUUUAAUUUGGAACUCAACAAUAGACACAAUAAAUACCAAAAAAUAAUGAACCAAAAUUGGUUUGGAAUAACUCCACAACCUCUUUUUUUUUUUUUUGGUGCACACGAAUUUUCUUACUAGGUAUAUUGCUUUCAAAUUGAGAAAGAUUUACUAUUUAGAUUUUUUUUUUUAAUGAGUUUAAUGGUAUUUUAAAAUAAUUCAAAAUUUCAAAAAUUGACUAAUUACUAUUAUAAAUUCAUAAACCAAGACUAAUUCAAAAUGCAUUGGGGGCUAAGGGGGUUGAAAAUAGGGACAAUGGGAUGGGUUUGGGACAUGACACUCAUAUCUCAUUUCCAUUCCAAUUACAUAGUUAUCUCCCAUCCUUAUCCCAAACUUGUGUUGGAGCAAGUUGAUUUGUUCCCAUCUUUGUUGAUGAAAUGACUAAUAACCUCAUCCCCUCCUUAUCUUAGAUGUACAUUUUGUCAAAUUUGAUCAGGUAUGAUUGAUCCAAGCCCUAACCCUAAUUGGUAAUGACUGGAUACUACACCUAAUUGCAUUCUUCUUUCGUCGCAAAAUAAUGAGAUUAUAAUAAUCUAGCAAAUAAGAAAAAAUAGUAUGGAAGUUCAAUUUAACACCAUAACUAUCAAUAAUUUUAAGCUUAUAGAUGACUUAAAUGAUUAAAAACUAAUGCAAAAUACCAAAAAAAAAAGUUCAUAUAAAGAAUUCACAAGAGAACAAAAUGAACAAAAACCAAAUAUGAACAUGGGUCAACAUUAGUUAUGGAUUUGGAUUCCUUUCAAGGCCAAUCUUUGAACCAAGACUUCAUCAAAUCUACUACUUCAAAGGCUUUUGUGUUCUUCUUGGGUUGUGCUCUCAAACAAAGACUUCAAGGUGAUGCUCUAGAUGAUUGCAUUACACAUAUUUAGGGUGGAGAGAUUGGAGAAGCUUGAAGAUGCCAACGAUGGGUACAAUUGAGUGGUCAAUAAGAACAAUGUAGCCUAUGACUAGUUUGAUGUCGUGGUACAAGAGUUUUAGGCAUUGAGGUUAAAGCAAGAGCAACAUGGAAUUGAUUUUGGAGUCUUUCAAUUAGUGUAAAGGAGGAAGAAGUGGUAUUGAUUCUAGAAAUAGGGUUUUAGGUGGUGCGUUAGAGGAUGAAGAAGAAGAAAAAGAAGGAUCUGUUGGAAUUAGUGUGAGUGUGAAGAGAGAAGUAUAUAAAUAAGGGGAAGUAAAAGCAAAGUUCUAAAAGCUAUAUUUUUUUUUAUUGUUGGUGUAUGGUUGCAUGAUUAUCCCUAUAAAUAAUAGGAGUUUUUUUGGUAUUCUACUAGUAGUUGAAGGAUAAUUUCAUAAAUUUAUAUUUAGAGUGGGGUGGGGUGAGUUGUGACAAAAUUCAUACCCGUCCUAAACCUUGGUUCAGAUUUUUAAAAUAUCCUCAAACUUAUCAUAUACCCAACUUUUAUAUUUCAUACUUGUCUUGAUAGAGGCAGGUUAGGCCGGGUUACUUGAGUAACCUACAUAAUUGUCAUCCCUAGUUGAAAUACACUUUUUUGGCAGUGGCCACCAACUGAGCUAGAAGCUUGAUCGAUUGACCUACAAGAUUAGUUCUCAUCAUUUUAAAAAAAGUUUUGGCCUUGGUUGUGAGUGCAAUUGAAUCUAAACUGGCAUUUCCUUAAUGCAUCUACUUCAAUCCUAAAUUUCUUACUUCCUAAGCCUCAAUUGUUGUUAGGAUUUUGGAAAGCCCAUUUCCUUAAAUUGUAAAUUUAAGAAAAAAUAAAAUAAAAGUGAGACAUUUCUUGAUUGAAUAUUGUUAAAGGUCCCUUGGCAUUAAGACUUGGUUGAAGCCUUGGAAGAUUAGUGGAACUCUCAACUUGUGUUUGAAUCUUGAGGAGAGUGGACGUAAGCCAAAAUUUUGUCAAACCAUUAAACAAAUUGAGUUUGAAUCCUCAUUUCUUGAUUUCUUAUUUAUUUGCUUUUUCUUAUUAUUACUUGAAUUGUCAUUUGCAUUCAUUAAUGUUAAAAUUGGUUAUAAUUAACCAACACUAAUUCUCUUUCCCCUUCCCUUUCUUGGGUGUAAACCUAGGUUGGAUUAACUAGAUUAAUUUAUAAAAUCUAUUAAGAUGGUAAAAGAAUAAUUAUUCUUAACACACAUAAGAUCAUCUUCAAUCAAAUGACUCAUUGGCUAAUAUGUUGAAUUUGCUUAUUACUUGCAACUCAAAAUUGUGUUCUAGUUGAUAUGUCAAGUCCCCAGUGUAUGGACAUUAAAUUUGUAGUACGUGAUGGUAAUUAGAUGGUCCAACUCCAAGAAAGUGAUUGAAAACUAGUUCAAGAAAGGUGCAAAAGGGAAUUGUUUUGGUAUUUUCGUUUUUAUUCUUGAAGGUGGCAGAGCUAAAAUUUGUGAAAUCAAGCAAAACAUACUGAAAUUACAUUGAAAGAAAGAAAAUGGGAGUUAAUGUCUUGCAGUAGAUGAUAAGGACUUCAUGCAUGUAGUAUGACCCAUGUCUUGGACUGAUGCCAACUCACGGUUACACUUAUACCCUUGGUUCUCUCUUUACUACCUUGGCUAACCUAGAUCAGGCUAUGAGAUAGGCUCCUCACCACACCAUUACUUGCCCAUUAAUUAGAGACAUUUUCAAGCACUGAGGUAACAUGGUGACACCAAGAGGGUUUAUUCCUCGCCCUCCUCGCCCUCAACAAGUCUAGACUUGGUCUCAAAAAAAUGGAGAAAAAUGAGGUGUCGUUAUGUAGAAAUACAACAACCAUGCCUUCCUCAUUACUUUGAUUCAGAAUGUGAAGGUGAAAUUGAGAAACAGAAACUCUUGAAACCAAAAUGAAAAUUGAUACUUUUACGAAGAAUUACAACAACAUUGGAGGAAGACUACAUUCUUCCUCUUUAUUCCUACAUUUCUACACUACUUCUACUCCACUCCAUAUUUCUACAUACAUCUUUAAUCAGUCUUCCCUCCUUUAUAUAGAGCCAUCUUCACACAAAUUCCGCAAGGUAGAAAAGAGGAAUGAAACUUGGAGCAAGGUUCGACUACUGGCUGUAGCUUGUCAAGGCUGGAAGUGAACCUUUUUUCUUGGCUUUUCUGGGCAUGGGUAGUAACUUGUGGGUUCCUUUUUGGGAUACAAAUGGCUAGAACAUGUGGCACUAUCUUGUUGGAUGAUGUGUCAAGCAUGUGGCAGCCAUCUAGUGGCGAUUAUGUCAAUUUUGGGAUGGAGAGUUGGCAUCCAAUUGCAAAGAAAUAUGACGUCUACCAACAGGCAAUGUAAACCUAUGUAGAUCAUAUGAAGAUAGAGAGGAAAAAUAUAGAAAUGGAUAUAUACCUAGAACUAGCUUUUUAUUAAAUGAAACGGAGAGCCAACAAUGAAGGAAAAUAAAUUUUUUUGGCUUAUAUCAAAGAGUUCACAUUGUGCUACCCUAGGUUUUCUUAAAACUUACUUUUAUGAUAACAAAAAAAAAAAAAAACAUUAUUGUUUAAUCCUUUGUUUUAAACGCAUGUUUAGCAAGUUAUAAAAUGUAAAAAUCUUUCUAAGUUCAAAUAUGAAGAUAUGACAUCAUUUCAAGCAAGAUAGUCUCUAGGAAUUAAUGUAAAGCUAAAUUAAGGUGAAAUUAAAUUAGUUCAAUGCAUUAAUUUAAGAAACUUGACCUAUCAAAAGUACAAAAUUAGAUGAAAUCCAUUUCAAUGGUUAAAAUGAUCAAAAUCAAACUUUUUCUAAGUAUUUUUUAAAAGUAUCAAUAUUGAAAGACAAUUUUAUAUUUAGUCAGAGUUUGGACAAAACCAAAAAGCACACAAAAUCCAAGCGACCAUCUCUAGCUUGGAUGGUCGCUUGAUCUCUAGCUUGUGUACUUGGAAAGCAACAUCGAGAUGAUAUAUAUAUAUAUAUAUAUUUUAUAUAAUAUUGUUUGUCCAAAUUCCCUAAAAAUUAGGCCACCACAUGUUCAUAAUUCUCCCUUCUUGAAUUUGAAAACUCGGACAAUUGGACAAUGCGACACCUAAGUCCGGUUUCUAAAUGCUAAAGUGAAAGGGUAGGUAUGGACCAUUGAAAUGUGAUCACAACUUUUCUCUGUAGCCAUGUUGUCUCUUUUUUCUUUUGCAUGAUUUUCUCACCUUAACAGAAUCAUAGACUUGUUUAAUCUCUAAAUGGGAUUAAUUUCAUCCAGCUUUAAGCUACUAUAUUAUAUCUAGGUGGAGGACUUUUAAGAGUGCAACCGACAUAGAGCACAUGCAAGUGGGUAUAUGGGACAUGAAAUUUCUUCUUAUAAAGAUUGCAUGAUUUUUAUAUUAGAGUUGUUGGGGCGCAAUGUAUGUAGCUUGUUUUGCAGUUAAAUUAAUUGGAUAAGUAGACAUUGGCGUUUCUAAAUCUACUGUGAAGUGCUUCAUGUACGUGUGAAGUAUUAGAAAUUUCUUUCUUGGCAACUUGUUUUUUCUUUGCGGUCUACUGAUAGGUUUGACUAAAAUUAUAUUCCCUGUCAUGCUAAUUAAUUUUCACGUGCAUGCUCAAAAGAAGAGUAUGACCUUAGUGCACCAAAAUCACUUUGAUUAAUUUGUGAUAGGUUUUUGUGCAUCAUGACAUUAGCCUUAUUCAUUUAGAUAAUGUUUAGUUUUUAGAAAGUAUUAAGAAAAGGAAAAUAAAUAUUAAGAAAAAUAUUCUUAUAUUUGAUUGUAUUAUGAAAAAUGUCAUAAAAAAAUCAAAUAUAAUUUAAAUUAAUUAAUAAUUUAUACAUUUUCAAAUUAUUUAAUCUUUAUAUUGAAGAUAUAAUAUAAAUGAAAUGAGUUUUAAGUAUUAUAUAAAAGUGAUUUAUUGAUCUUGCAUAUAUGUAUUUCUUUUUUUUUUCUUCUAUUUUUUUUCUUUAUUUUAUUUUCCUUAUGUUUUCCUCAACAUUUUCCGGAACCAAACAUAGCCUUAGGAAAUCCACAAUUACCUUCAACUGAGUAUAUUCGGUUGUUUUAGCAAUGUUAGGCUGCUAACUUGUGUUGGUACGAACCUGUUAAGCCUAAAGAUGUAAUUAGUUAGGAUAUUCUUUUCCCUCUAGUCUUGUAGCUCCACGUGUAUAGUUGGUUAGGACCUCAUUGUAUAUAAUGCCUGCCCUGUUAUUGUUGAAGACAACAGAGAUAAAUAAUAUUAACAUUUUUCCUCUCAUCUCUCUUUGUUUCCCUCUGUUUUCAUCUCCUCUCUCAUCUUGGUAUCAGAGCCUCCAUGGAUUCUUUCAAAGAAACCUCCGAAUCACCUUCUGCUAGCAUUGUUAAUGUGCAAAACCCAUUAUCUCAGUCAAACAACCUUCCUUCACCAGCAGCCACACCCUCUUUUUCUUUCUUGUCUAUGAAUCAACCUCUCACAGUGAAGCUGGAUAAUGGAAACUACCUCAUCUGGAAGAAUUAGCUUCUGAAUGUCAUCAUUGCGAACAGACUCGAUGAUUUCAUUUAUGGAACUCGACCCUGCCCUCCUUGAUUUCUCAAUCUGCAACAACAAACCCUCACUCCAGAGUACUCGGUCUAGCAGAGAUACAAUCGACUUCUAAUGAGUUGGCUGUACGCAUCCUUGUCCGAAGAUAUAAUGACUCAGAUUGUUGGGUAUUCAACAACUGUGGAGAUUUGGAACGUCCUUAAUCAGAUUUACUCUGCCUCUUCAAUGGCGUGGGUUACCGAGCUUCACACCAAGCUUCAAACGCUCAAGAAAGAUGGACUCUCAGUUGGUGAAUAUAUUCAAAGGCUCAAAUCCAUUUGCAAUAGUCUUGCAGCAAUAGGAGAACUAGUUUCUGAGAAAGACCAGCUUAUCUAUUUGUUCAAUGGAUUAUAUUGUGAGUAUAAUUCUUUUGUUACCUCCAUUCAAAAUCGAUCUGACCAACCAACUAUUGAGCAAAUCCAUAGCCUAUUGCUUAGCUAUGACUUUCGGCUUGAACAACAAAACUCUGUUUCUCUCCAUUAUGCCCAAGUCCGUAUGGCUCAUCUGAACAAGAAACCUUAUAAAUCAACUCCUCAACCUACAUUCAAUCAUAUUCACAUUCAACCUAGAUACUCUUCUCCACCUUUUAAGCCAACCACUAGUCAAUAUCAACCCAGGAUUUUGGGCAAACCACAACCACAACCAUGACAGCCUCAACCUCAAUGGAAACCACAUUUUUCAAUCCAGAAUCAAAAGCCUCAGUGCCAAAUUUGUGGUAAAUUUGGACACACUGCUCUUAUUUGCUUCCAUUGCACAAAUUUGAACUAUUCACCCCAACCUUCUCCUAAAUCUUUCAAUACUGUUCUCACCACAAAUUCCCAGCUCCCUAAUCCUCCAAAAUUUUCUUACCCUACAAUGGCUCAUCCUGCUGCUACGCAUAACACGAUUCCUGAUACAAAUUGGUACAUGGACUCAGGUGCUACACAUCACUUUACUCCGGACAUCAACAUGCUUGACACUGUGACACCAUUUAGUGGUUUAGAACAGGUGACAGUUGGGAAUGGUAAGCAACUCUGUAUCUCACAUCUUGGUACUGCAAAACUACCAUCCUCGUAUUCUCCUCUUGUUCUACAUCAGGUAUAUCACACUCCAAAAAUUUCAAAUAAUCUUAUUAGUGUUAGAAAAUUGUGUUCUGAUAAUAAAGUUUUUGUUGAAUUUUAUGCCACUCAUUUUCUUAUCAAAGAUCAAGUUUCGAAGAGAGUUCUCUUUCAAGGUCAACUUGAUAAUGGCUUAUACAAAGUUCAGUCGUCAUGCUCUCCUUCUACUAUUUCCUUUCAUCCUCAAGUUUUCAUAGCCAACAUCAAGGAUCAAAAUUUGUGGCACAAGAGACUAGGCCACCCAGCUUUAUCUGUUAUUAAUCAAAUCUUGGAUUCUUGUAACAUUGCUCGAACACAGAAAAUUGGUUUUAAUUUUUGUAGUUCUUGUCAAUUAGCAAAAAGCCACAGGCUUCCUUUUUCUCUGUCUCCAUCCAUUGCAGAAAAACCUUUUGAGUUAAUUCAUACAGACCUAUGGGGUCUUUCUCCUGUUCGCUCUAUUUCUGGUGCUCGUUAUUUUUUACUUUUCAUUGAUGAUCAUACUCGUUUUACUUGGUUUUAUUUGCUCAAAACAAAAGAUGAAGCAUAUCCUACUUUUCUCAAGUUUCAAGCUCUCAUUGAAAAUCAAUUUAAUACCAAGAUUAAGGUUGUCCAAUCUGAUUGGGGAGGUGAGUUUCGAUCUCUCUCCAUACUGUUUUCAAAUAUGGGCAUUGUCUAUCGUUUAUCAUGUCCAUACACCUCACAACAGAAUGAGUGGGUUGAGCGAAAAAAUCACCAUGCGGUUGAAAUGGGAUUGUCCUUUCUUGCUCGCUCGGGUAUGCCCUUAUCUUAUUGGCCUUAUGCCUUUCAAACUGCCACUUACCUUAUUAAUCGUCUCUCUACCCCUGUGCUGCACCAUCAAUCCCCUUACUUCGCACUCUAUCACAAAUUCCCAGCUUAUACUCAUCUUAAGGUCUUUGUUCCUCUUGUUUUCCAUAUUUACGCCCUUAUAAUACCCAUAAACUCCAAUACAGGUCACUGGAGUGUGCUUUUCUUGGUUGCAGUUCACACCACAAAGGUUAUCUAUGUCUUGACAUUCAUUCUAGCAGGGUGUAUAUUUCUCGCCAUGUGAUUUUUAAUGAAGAUUCUUUUACAUUCAAGAAUUUGAAAUCUUCUCUCUCUUAGUCUAUUUCUUCUUCCUCUUCUUUAUUAGUUCCUCUGUUCAUUUCCUUGCCUCCCCUCUCCCCAUAUCCUCCUAUUUCUCCAUCUAUAUCUCAUUCUUUUCUCUCUUCUUCUUCUACCUCUAGUACUUGUUCCCCUCUCGUUGCUCCUACCUCUCUUCCUCCCUCUUCACACUUUGUGUCCCAUCUAUUCCACCUCCUUCUCCACCUUCUUCGAGUGUGGACCUGCUUGUACCUUGUGUGAAUACAAAUUUACUUACUUUUUCUCGCACUCACAAUAUUCAUCCUAUGGUGACCAGAUCUAAGGGUUUGUAUCUAUAAACCUAAGUUGCUAUUGAGUGUCUCCAUAGGUUCUCUCACUAAGCCUACUUCCUUUCUUCAAGCUAUUAAAGAUCCUUCAUGGAAGCAAGCCAUGGAAUUGGAGUUUGCUGCCCUUCAACACAACAAGACCUGGCAUCUAGUUCAUUCACCUUCCUCAGGCAAAGUAAUUGGUUGUAAAUGGGUCUAUAAGAUAAAGCUUUAGCCUGAUGGCUAAUUGAGAGAUACAAGGCCCGCUUAGUAGCUUAGGGUUAUCAUCAAACUGAAGGUAUUGACUACUUCGAAACAUUCAGCCUGGUUGUCAAGCCUUCUACUACCGUAUUGUGCUCAGUCUUACUUUUUCCCAGAAUUGGUGUAUUAGACAGCUGGAUGUUCAUAAUGCCUUCUUACAUGGUGACUUAGCUGAAGACGUUUUCAUGGAACAACCACCUGGAUUUGUUGAUCCUCUCUAUCCUACUCAUGUCUGCAAGUUGGAUAAGUCUCUCUACGGUCUUAAUAGUCACCUCGGGCUUGGUAUACUAAGCUGAGUACUUCUCUACUACACUUGGGAUUUGUUACUUCUAAGAAUGACUCUUCCUUAUUUAUUUGUCAUUCGUCUCAUGGGUUACUUCUUGUUCUUGUCUAUGUGGAUGAUAUAAUCGUCACUGGGAGCCACUCUCCUCAAGUUACUCACCUUAUCCAAUAGUUGCAUCAUCAGUUUUCUUUAAAGGAUCUUGGUCAUUUACACUAUUUUCUGGGCUUGGAGGUUCAUCACACCCCUACUGGUAUUCACCUCAGCCAAGCAAAGUAUAUCACUGAUCUCCUUACCCGGGCGGCUAUGUUGGAUGCCAAGCCAUGUCCCACUCCUAUGUCCUCCAACACAUAUCUUUCUCUUCAUGAUGGAGUGGCUCUUGAAAAUGGUUCAGAUUAUUGAAGUUUUGUUGGUGCCCUUUAGUAUUGUACCAUGACACGCCCAGAUAUAGCUUUUGCAGUAAAUAAAGUGUGUCAAUUCAUGCACCAUCCCUCUGAUGUUCACUGGCAGGCUAUAAAACGUAUUCUCCAGUACUUAAAGGGCACAUCUCAUUUUGGUCUCUUCCUACAGCCUUCCUAUGACUUCAACAUCACUUGCUAUACAGAUGCCGACUGGGCUUCCUGCCUUGAUGACAAGUGUAGCACCAGUGGCUACUGCCUCUUUCUUGCCUCUAAUCUGGUUUCUUGGUCAUCUUCCAAACAAAAAGUGGUCUCCCGCUCCAGCGCCAAAUCAGAGUACCGAGGGGUAGCAAAUGGGGCUGCUGAAAUUGCUUGGACUGAAUCUCUUCUUUGUGAACUUUCCACCCACUCGACCUCCCCUCAUUGUCUGUGACAAUAUCAGUGCCACAUACUUAGCUGUCAAUCCUAUUUUGCAUGCCCGCACCAAAACAUGUGGAAAUCGACUAUCACUUUGUCUCGGAACGUGUUCUUCAACGCUCUCUCUCUCUCCAGUUUACACCUUCGGAUGAUCAACUUGCUGAUUGCAUGACCAAGCCUCUCUCCACCCAACGUUUCAUCACUCUACGCUCCAAGCUCACUGUUCUCACUAGACCAAUGAGCUUGAGGGGGGAUGUUAAGCCUAAAGAUGUAAUUAGUUAGGAUAUUCUUUUCCCUCUAGUCUUGUAGCUCCACGUGUACAGUUGGUUAGGACCUCAUUGUAUAUAAUGCCUGCCCUGUUAUUGUAGAAGACAACAGAGAUAAAUAAUAUUAACAUUUUUCCUCUCAUCUCUCUCUCUGUUUCCCUCUGUUUUCAUCUCCUCUCUCAUCUGAACCAAAUGAUCCAUGUUAACCUUGGCUUGGUUUGAUUUGGCUCUAUCUUAGAGAGCUCAAGGAUCACGUCAACUCUGGUUUCUACUAUUCAGGUCCAUUCCCAUAUGAACUGGUUCAAAUUUGAGAAAAUGGUAACAGACCUUUAGUGAUGUUGGUUUGGAGCCAGUUGCCAAACCCGCCCUGAGCUUUACCACUAAUGUCAAGGGAGAAAGCCUUUUGAACAAAAACAAUAGCUUCAAGAGACUGAAUCGUGGAUGAAAUCUGAUCCACAUUUCUUCUCAUUUUGGAAACAAAUGAGAACUUAACUAAGAAGAUUCUACGGCCUCAUAGUGCUUUUCCUGAUCUAAGGUUGGUUCGUUUCCCAAAUUGUGAGAUGCACGGGCCAGACUUCAGAACUCUCACGCUCAGGAGUGUAUCCACGUGGUGGACAUAAGAUGGUGGCUUAAGAUCUGGUGUCGGUGGCUUUACUUUACUAGGAGAGUAGUGUGUCUUCAUCUCAUUCACUGCCGGAGGGUGGCGUAAGCAGUGACGCUAAGGUGGGGCAUAGUCAAUAUCAUUUGCAUUUGACCAUUAUAGUUUUCUCCCGGCUUGAAAGUAACCUUAUCGUGAUAAAGGAUUACUAGCACUAGUUCAGAUGACAGUCAUGUUAAAUUCGGACCAUGUUUGUGUCACAUUAUCAGCAACCAUGUGUUUAUGGUUCAUGCUUUCUGCAACUGAAAUUGAAAUUGAUAUAUAACCAGGUGAACUUCAAUCUAAAUUCUGGAAGUACUCAUGUGAGCGAUGGUGCCCAUCUGCAGAGUCCAUCAAUUGAAAAAUGGAGUGAGUGUAUCUAUAAGAGGGAAGGCUUGGCAAAUGUCCAGUUUUCUGGGAAUUCAACAAGGAUCUAAAAUAGAUUGUUUUCUUUGCUGAUUUCAAUGGUUGAAAUUUGAGAAGAUUGUGUCCCACAUAACACAACUAUUACUGGUCCUUCUGUUGCAAUUUAUCCUCUAAGGCUCUAGCAUGUCUUCCAAUUCCCACUUCCCUGUUACUCCAGGAAAGCUAUUUCUGUCAUUGUGAAGAAGAAAAGAGAAUGUAGAUAUCGAUGCUUUUAAGUGACUGGAGCAUUCAUAUCAGGUGGUCUGCAGCCAUAUAUGCCACUUUGUGAAGAUUGGAACAGUCAAUCACUAGGCUAUAUAUUAGUGUGGCCCAGCCACUUUAAUCAAGGACAAUUCUUCAUACUUAAAAGUCAAAUUCUGCCUUUAGUCUCAUUAUAAAUUGCUGUUUAAAUAUUAAGCAAACAUUUGUUUAAUGCGAUUAAGACAGUACUAACUCAAUACUUGUUCUAUUUUUGGAUGGAAAUGCUUGAUGGUUUCAUCAUUGGAUGGGAUAAAGGUGCAUUCAUGAUUAUGAAUACUUGUAGUUAUAUUUUCAUUCUCUUUUUUCUCAAUGAGACUUGUUGGCACAAUUUUUCUGUUCAGAAACCUACCUCUCCAUGGAAAAUAAGUUGUGAUUGAUAGUACUGGAUAUAUUCAAGAAAGCUAAAUAUAGAUAGCACAAAAUAUUAUCGACAUAAAUAGCAUUAACAGCGUACGUAUGUCUCAGUGCUCAUCAGCCAUAAGCAUGGGGCAAACACUUACGAUGAGCAACUUACGUCAAAAUUCCAGAAUAGGACAUAGAAGUGACAGAUCUAUAUAUAUAGAACACUGCAUAAGAGUCACAAGAAAGGAAAUUACGGGUGCAUAGCAGCUCUUAUUUCACAUACUACUCAUACUGAUCAAAGUCACUCAGUUGGGAUGGGUGGGAGUAGGAGGUUUGUGGGGUGGCUUGUGCGGAGGAGUUGGCAGCUUCUUUCCAGGACCUGGUGGCUUCUCUCCCUUAGGUGGUUUGCCAACUGGGGUUGGUGGCUUGUAUGAGUCUUCAGCAUUCUCUGCAGGAGGGUGACCAGGGUUGUGACCAUAAUGUGGUGGCUUCUCUCCCUUAGGUGGUUUGCCAACUGGGGUUGGUGGCUUGUGUUCUGGGAGUGGCUUCUCCCCCUUGGGAGGUUUUUCCAAUGGGGUUGGUUUGUGUUCAGGAGGUGGCUUCUCCACUGGAGGCUUGUGUUCAGGAGGUGGCUUCUCCACCGGAGGCUUGUGUUCAGGAGGUGGCUUCUCCACCGGAGGCUUAUGCUCUGGUGGUGGCUUCUCCACCGGAGGCUUAUGCUCUGGUGGUGGCUUCUCGAAUGGGGGAUGCUUAGGGUAAUCAGCAAGUGAGGGGGCGGUGAGAACCACCAGGCCAAGCAAGACCACUAGCAAGUAUGUAGGAGACAUCUUUGGGUUUAGACUCAGAUGGUGCAAAACUAGGAGAAUUGUCUUUUAUAGCGGAUCGCACCCAAUAAUGAAAUGACACGUGUCUUUAUGACCCAUGUGUAAUGGGGUCGAUUUGGGUCCUACAGUGUUGAAAACUUCGACAUCCACUUUUGGCCUUUUGCUUUCUCUACAGCCGCCUUGCUUUUUCCCUCUUUCCUUUUGUUUUCCUCCUGCCCCAUUCUAUCAACUAAACACAAUUAUGUAGUUGUUUAAUUCUUAAAUGAGAUAUUAUCCGUCAAUCGUAUCAUAUUUUAUCAACAGAGAACGGAGUGCAAUGUGGCAAUCCAAAGAAAGAAGAUCCAUAAUGCAGCUGUAAUUUUAUCGUUUACUUUUAUCUCUUGGACCACUGCAUUUUUGUUAAGAGGUGCAAUAAUACACGUCUUUAUCUGCCAUUCAAUGUUUACAGUAAAGAGAGGGCACAAAACUCUUCACUGCUCUGCAUGUGUCCCAAAAAUGCAAUUGGACAAAUUAUGAUUUGCAUGCUAAAAAGAGGCAAAUGAGGUUAAUUCGCACCAUAAUUAUUUUGUUUUCUGGACCCCGGGGCCCUUUGGUUGGUUUGGGGGUCAGAAAAUGAACAUCAUAGGGGGUUUUUCCCUUAUGUGCAUUUGUAUCUGAUGGCUUUAACUCGCCUUGUUACUACAAAGAAAUUGUCACAUAUAGGAACUUAUUCCAGGCUGAGUAUCUCCGCAUAGACCCUAUAAAAGAAGACAAGUCAUAAUGAACAUCUAACCUUUGUUCAAUUUGAUUCAAUGCCCCAUUGUGUCCACCUCACAAAUCUGAAUUAUUAUAUCCAUUGAAUACAUAAAUUAAUGAAGAAAAUAUGAAACCCAAGAUACAUCUCUGCACAACCUCAACCCUGGUUGCUAUGUUUCCCUUCUAUUCACAUGAGGAUAUUGAUUACGGAAUAGGGAAACCUAGCAAGGGUUUACUCGGCUCUGGUUUGAUGCUAAUUGCCAAACUUGCAACAAGCCCUGAGUUUGAAGCUCACAGAAGAUGUUAUACAGGCAGGGAAAAACCUUCAGAGUUCGCUGCCAAAGAUAAUUAUUAAGGAGAUAUCACCAAGAGAAUUCCAAGGAGUCUGAAUCAAAGACAAAUUGGUCGUUCGUGGAGGUUCUUACUUUCUUUUGGGUAUAACUCACUGAGGGCACUGUCUUUUUUAUUUUCAUUUCACAUUUAGAGUUCUGUUCUGGAAACAUAUAAAAGGAGCAUCAGUUUGUUCUUGGGUAACCCAUAGUCGUGAGUGGGUCCAUUUGCAUGCUACUUAGUUGAAAAGUUGGACCAUUUGCUCCGACGCCUACCUCCUGGAUUCCAUGCUCGGAUAAAACAAGAAUAAAAAAAUAUUUAUAAUUUACAAAUGGGGGAAAGAAAAAAAUGUCAACAACAAACUAGGAAAAAAGAGUAGUAAAAUUCAUGUCACAUGCUAGUGAGAGAAGGGGUUGUUACACUCACUCGAAGUUCUUUUCAAAAUAUCGCAUGGUAUUUUAUUUUAUGUGUGAGCGCAGUUGUGAAUGGAACGUGCAAAAGUCCAAAUUGGUGACCUUUAAUAAAUAUUUAAAACAAAAAACGAAAAAAAGGAGGGAAAAGGGAUCAGAAAAGAUAAAACAAUGUGUACAAAAGCUCAAUUAGUUUGCAAAUUACUGUUUGGAUUUUGAUAGUAUUUUAUUUGAUGUAAAAGAGAAUUUAAGAUAUUUCCGAAACAAAAGCAUUAGUUUGCUCCAUGUCAAUUUCGGCAUUUCUCAUAUGUUUCACACAUACACAGAAGAGCAUCGUUUUUUAAAGCAUGCAUUUAUGUUGGAUUAAUUUGGAUUUUGUGGGAACUGGGGCAAGGAUCACAUGGAAGAGAGGUUGACUUUUUUCAGUACUUCAAUGGUUGAGACAGGUGAAGGCCUGAUUGAUACUGAAGCCUGAAAUUGCGACUCCGUCAUUUGUCAAAACAUAUGACAGCUUCCAUGCUCUCGUUUGGUUGCAUUGUUCUGUGGUCAUGCAUACAUGCCACUUAGUGAUCAGUCUGUAACUGUCAAUCAUUGGGCUUUGACUGAACAACAUCAGCCAUGUAUAAAUACUUGCAAAUCAAACGGUCUUCUUCCUCCCAUAAGGAAUUUCGGUUUAAUUAUGAAGCAUGCAUUUGGCUGACCAUCAUAAACCACUUCUUUAAAUUGAUGAAUGAUAGUUUUUCAUUCAUUCUUUCAUUCGUUCAUAUACAGAGUAUAUAUAGAGGGUAAUCAUCAUUCUAAGAAUGGGAAAGAAUGAUACAAGGAAAUAAUGAUAUAAAGAAAUAACAACUAAUAUUCUAAUAUCUCAACUUUCCUAAUAUCUAAACAUUCCUAAUAUCUCAACACUAAAUGAUAUAAAGAAAGAAUGAUAUAAGGAAAGCAUUCCUAAUAUCUCAACACUCCUCCUCAAGUUGGUGCAUAGAUGUCAAACAUGUCCAACUUGUCUAAAAAUUUUGAGAACAGUUGACUUGAGACAUCUUUGGUGAGGAUAUCGGUCAAUUGAUCUUCUGAUCGAAUCUUAGGCAAUUCCACAAUCUUAUCAUCCAACUUUUCCUUAAUGAAAAAUCUAUCCAUCUCGACAUGCUUUGUACGAUCAUGUUGUACUAGAUUAUGAGCAAUGUCACAUGCUGCUUUAUUGUCACAAAACAAUCGGAUUGGUUGCCUAGAUAGGUAACCUAAAUCCUAUAAGAGGAGUCUUAGCCAUAAUGCCUCACAAAGUCCUAAAGUCAUACCUCUAAAUUCCGCUUCUGCACUUGAACGAGCGACGACAUUUUGCUUCUUACUUUUCCAUGUCACAAGAUUACCACCUACAAAGGUAAAGUAACCAGAUGUAGAUCGCCUAUCAUCCACUGCACCGACCCAAACAGCAUUAUACUUCUAUACUCUGAUGAUCAACAUUUUUAGCGAACAAAAUUCCCUUCCUAGGAGCAUUCUUCAAAUACCUCAAAAUACGCAUGACUACAUUCAUAUGUUGCUCUCCAGGAUUAUGCAUGUAUUGACUCACUACACUCAAUGUAUAAGCAAGAUCUAGUCUUGUAUGAGCUAAGUACAUUAAUCUCCCCACAAGUCUCUGGUAUCUUCCCUUAUCGAUUGAUACUUGAUUAGGCUCAACACACAAUUUCAGACCUUCUUCUAUUGGUGUAUUAAUAGGUUGACAUCCCGACAUUCCAGUUUCCUGUAGAAGAUCUAAGGCAUACUUUCUUUGAGACAGAAAAAUUCCUUCACUUGAUCGAGAAACUUCAAUCCCAAGAAAGUAUUUCAGACGACCAAGAUCUUUCAUUUCAAAUUCUCUAGAUAGAUACUUUUGCAAAGCUUUUCUUUCUUCAGGAUCAUUUCCUGUAACUACAUGUCAUCCACAUAUAUCAUAAGUGUCGUAAUCUUACCAUGUUGCUUUUUCAAGAACAAAGUGUGAUUUGAAUUACUUUGAUGAUAGCCAAAAGCUCUCAUUGAUUUUGUGAACCUUCCAAACCAUGCUCUCGGGGAUUGCUUCAACCCAUACAAUGACUUCUUCAAUUCGCACACCUUCUGACAUUGCUUUUCUGACACCAUGCAUCCUGGUGGAAGAUCCAUAUAUACUUCUUCAGAUAAAUCGCCAUGCAGAAAGACAUUUUUUACAUCGAACUAUUGUAAUGGCCAAUCUAGGUUUGCAGCUAAAGACAAUAAUACUCGAACUGUGUUGAUCUUAGCUACAGGUGCAAAUGUCUCUGUGUAGUCAAUUCCAUAAGUUUGAAUGUACCCACUAGUCUUGCUUUAAAUCGUUCAAUACUACCAUCUGCCUUGUACUUCACAGUAUAGAUCCAACGACACCCAACUAGCUUCUUUCCUGGUGGACAUUCUACGAGUUCCCAUGUUUCAUUUUUCUGCAAUGAUUUCAUCUCUUCAUUCAUGGUUGCUUUCCACUUUGGAUCAGCUAAAGCUUCCUGCACACUAUUAGGAAUAGCUACAGUAGAUAAUUGAUUUACAAAUGACUUAUUUGAUUCAGACAAACCAUGGUGUGGACCCGCAUUUUUCACGUGCGCCUCUACUCGAUCGGCGAGACUCGCUUUCUAUUUGUGAAAAAUUAAUUUUAGAAAAGUUGGAGUCGCCACCUAUUUUAUUUUUAUUUUGAAGGGAAAAUAAAACAAGAAAGAAAAACCCUAAAAAGUGACUCCAUAGUUUUGGAAAAAGCAUGUCUUUGGGAAACCUGAGUCUAGGUCCGGGGAUCAUGUUACUUAUUGGGAAGGUACCUCUAGGAGGUAGCACCCCUCUAAGCCUUAUGAAGGUCUCUACUAACUAAAUUAAGGGAAGUGUGGCAAUAAAUCGAUUGAUCAUAGAUACCUAAGUAGACUAGGUGAUUUUAAAGUGUGGCAUGUCAAACACAAUCAAAUUGCAAUAAAGGAGAGUUAGGGCGCGUACCUGAACCGCUUCUCAAGCGCUAUCAUAAAACAUCAAUGGUUAAUUUAAAUAAUAUAUCAUCCAGCAUGUAUUUUAUUAGAAAUAAUCAAACAAUGAAACAUGUAUAUCAGAACACUCAAGCAUUAUUAGACAUAAGCAUUAUUUCACUAUUCACAGAAUUCAGAAAGUAGGUGAUAGAGGACAUACCUGGAUAGCAUAGAUAAUUUGUAAUGUGCUUCCUCAAGUUGUAAGGGGUUAGAUAACAAAUAAUAAAAUAUAGAAAUCCUAGCAUGCUCGUUAUCUAAUUAGCAUAGCAAAAGUGAUCACAGUAUACAGAAUCAUCAAUUAUCACAUACAUCUUGUAUAUAAUUCCUAAAAAAAAUAGAUAGACAUGAUUUCAACAAGUGUCAAAUGUGGCAACAAAAAUAAAUUUUGAAAAGAUUUUCUUAUGUAGGGGUUUCACCAAUUCCCCAAAUUAAUAUACACGAAUUUAGCUUAGAAUUAUCCCAUUUAUUUGGGACUACAAGCUUUGAUUCGUGUUUUUGUUCAAAACCAAAAAUUUUUGUUGAAAAUCAAGAAGGAUGCGAACCGAACAAGAUAUGGUUGCAUAUUAUUUUUAAAUAAAUAAAUAAAUAAAUAAAGGAGAUUUUGAUCCUGAGGACUUUAAUGAGUUUUUUUUUUUAAAAUAGAUUUUUAAAAUGAUUUUUUUGAGAAAAGUAUUUUAUUUUAAAAUAAAAGGGAUUAAUUUGGGAAAAAAAUAAAAUAUAAGAAAUAAAAUACCAAACAAAACAAAAAUGAAACCUCAAAGUAAAAUUUUUUUAGUAAUUAACAAAAAUGAUAAUGGUGAUGGUAGAGGGCAAUCUUCAUGAUUUUCCAAUGGCCUCAGAAAGAAAAUCAAAUUAAAUGAAGGAUCACUAACAGGCAAGACAUUCUAAAUUAGACAAACUAACAAAGUAUCAAUUCAUGAACUAACCGCUAGGAUUUUGAAAGCAUAUAAGCUAAGAUAAGGGUGAUCAGGAACUAAUAUUAAUGAUUUUGAAAUAAAAACUAAAAAAAAGGAUCAAUUCGGGUAAGGAACUAAAAUUAUAAAAGUACCUAAACUAAUUAUGACGAGUUUGACUAAAUUAAACUAAAAACAUGAACUUUCAAACAUAGAAUUAAUUUUACUAAUGAACCAAAGCAAACUAAAAAUAUGUACUUUCAAGCAUAGAAUUAAUUUUAUUGAUGAACUAAACUAUAACAAAUAUCUAAACUAAAUAUAAUGAAUCAAAUUAAAUUAAAGCAACUUAAAAACGCAAACUUUCAAACAUAGAAUCAAUUUUAUCAAUGAAUUAAAACUAUAAAUGUAUUUGAACUAAAUAGAUGAAUCAAACUAAAUCAGAGCAAAAUUAAAAAAAAAAAAGAACUUUCUAACAUGAAAUCAAUUUUAUCAACAAAUAAAUGAAUGAAUAACAAGUAAUUAAAAGAAUAGCUACUACAUGAAUAACUGAAUGAAUAAAAUUCAAAUGUUUUCAAUCUGAAGCAAUCAAUCAAAAUUAAAUAGGGAUCAAAUCAAAAUAAUCGAAAUCGGAAAAACAAUAUGCAAUCUUUCUAAAGGUUUAACCAGACAAUUGAAUUAAAAUUAUGAAUAGAAUAAAUUAAUAAACCAAAUCGAAACCUAAAUUGUACCUAAAAAGAUUAAUUAAUUAAACUAAGAAAUCAAAAUCAAUAACAAAACUAAACUAAGGAGUAAAUUAAGACAAGACUAAUUAAAUUAAACUCACAAACACGUUUUAACUAUCAUAUGGAUUAAAACAAAAUUAGCAUGGACUUAUGAAUUACGAACAAAAAUAAUCAAAACUAUUUUAAAAAACUCACCUCUAUUAUAAGAAAAAAUCUGCCUUUGAUGCGUUGAGGUGGCUCCCCUCUCUGUGUGGAUCUCUCUGCUCCCCAGAAAAAAAAUGUCUCUUCCUCCGUUCUCUUUUGUUUCAGCAAAAUAAUAUAUCCCCUGCUGUGGAUCUCUCUACUCCCAGAAAAUAAUAUAUUCUCUCCGUGUCCUAAAGUGGACCUAGGGUGCCUAAGUGGACCUAGGGUGCCUAAAUGGGCCUAGGGUGCCUAAAUGGGCCAAGUGUAUCUAAAUAGGCUUAGGGUGCCUAAGUGGGCCUAAGUCUAAGUGAGCCUAAGUCUAAAUCAAGACUACCAAGGAUCAUAAUAAGGGGUUAGGCAAUCCCUUAACCAAAGUCUCCAAGGUGGCUAAAAAAAAGUAAGUAGUAUGAGUAGCUAUGGGUCACCAAGGAACUACUGUGGAGCAUUGAAAACGAAUUUAAAGACAUGUGCCAAAGGGACAAAAUUGAGGGUCUACAGAUGGUUAGACACAUAGUUGCUCAUGGGAUAUUUGACUUUGGUAAACAAUUCAGAUUCAUAUGUGGGUUUAGGAAUACCUUUAUUAUGACGGUGUGGUAAUCGUUUCAUGAAUGGAUCAGGUUGCAAAUUAAGAACACCCUCAGCAAACAACGAUUGGUUUGGUAUUUCAGUGAAGACAUCUUCGAACCCAAAUUGUUGACCACUCAUAUCCAACUCACCCGCUUCCUGGUUCACUAGUUCAGAUUGUCCAAAUUCAUCAUUCUCAUAGAUAUGAUAAUCAUAAUCGAGAGUCUGAAUUUCCUUAUGGUACUCCCCCUGAAGUUCAGACUUAGAUGAAAAAUACAUCGAAUAUUCAUGAAACAGCNNNNNNNNNNNNNNNNNNNNNNNNNNNNNNNNNNNNNNNNNNNNNNNNNNNNNNNNNNNNNNNNNNNNNNNNNNNNNNNNNNNNNNNNNNNNNNNNNNNNNNNNNNNNNNNNNNNNNNNNNNNNNNNNNNNNNNNNNNNNNNNNNNNNNNNNNNNNNNNNNNNNNNNNNNNNNNNNNNNNNNNNNNNNNNNNNNNNNNNNNNNNNNNNNNNNNNNNNNNNNNNNNNNNNNNNNNNNNNNNNNNNNNNNNNNNNNNNNNNNNNNNNNNNNNNNNNNNNNNNNNNNNNNNNNNNNNNNNNNNNNNNNNNNNNNNNNNNNNNNNNNNNNNNNNNNNNNNNNNNNNNNNNNNNNNNNNNNNNNNNNNNNNNNNNNNNNNNNNNNNNNNNNNNNNNNNNNNNNNNNNNNNNNNNNNNNNNNNNNNNNNNNNNNNNNNNNNNNNNNNNNNNNNNNNNNNNNNNNNNNNNNNNNNNNNNNNNNNNNNNNNNNNNNNNNNNNNNNNNNNNNNNNNNNNNNNNNNNNNNNNNNNNNNNNNNNNNNNNNNNNNNNNNNNNNNNNNNNNNNNNNNNNNNNNNNNNNNNNNNNNNNNNNNNNNNNNNNNNNNNNNNNNNNNNNNNNNNNNNNNNNNNNNNNNNNNNNNNNNNNNNNNNNNNNNNNNNNNNNNNNNNNNNNNNNNNNNNNNNNNNNNNNNNNNNNNNNNNNNNNNNNNNNNNNNNNNNNNNNNNNNNNNNNNNNNNNNNNNNNNNNNNNNNNNNNNNNNNNNNNNNNNNNNNNNNNNNNNNNNNNNNNNNNNNNNNNNNNNNNNNNNNNNNNNNNNNNNNNNNNNNNNNNNNNNNNNNNNNNNNNNNNNNNNNNNNNNNNNNNNNNNNNNNNNNNNNNNNNNNNNNNNNNNNNNNNNNNNNNNNNNNNNNNNNNNNNNNNNNNNNNNNNNNNNNNNNNNNNNNNNNNNNNNNNNNNNNNNNNNNNNNNNNNNNNNNNNNNNNNNNNNNNNNNNNNNNNNNNNNNNNNNNNNNNNNNNNNNNNNNNNNNNNNNNNNNNNNNNNNNNNNNNNNNNNNNNNNNNNNNNNNNNNNNNNNNNNNNNNNNNNNNNNNNNNNNNNNNNNNNNNNNNNNNNNNNNNNNNNNNNNNNNNNNNNNNNNNNNNNNNNNNNNNNNNNNNNNNNNNNNNNNNNNNNNNNNNNNNNNNNNNNNNNNNNNNNNNNNNNNNNNNNNNNNNNNNNNNNNNNNNNNNNNNNNNNNNNNNNNNNNNNNNNNNNNNNNNNNNNNNNNNNNNNNNNNNNNNNNNNNNNNNNNNNNNNNNNNNNNNNNNNNNNNNNNNNNNNNNNNNNNNNNNNNNNNNNNNNNNNNNNNNNNNNNNNNNNNNNNNNNNNNNNNNNNNNNNNNNNNNNNNNNNNNNNNNNNNNNNNNNNNNNNNNNNNNNNNNNNNNNNNNNNNNNNNNNNNNNNNNNNNNNNNNNNNNNNNNNNNNNNNNNNNNNNNNNNNNNNNNNNNNNNNNNNNNNNNNNNNNNNNNNNNNNNNNNNNAACCAAAGGAAGCAUGUUCCAGACGUCGAUGCCACAACCAAAUUUCAGACUUUUUCUUCUCCUCCUUAGAUCCAUCUGCCAUCAAGGCUUGUUGCAACUUAUUUGAAUCCUUUGAUUGCAAGUCCAAGUAUAGAGUUUCCCCCGCUUAAUACGACAACCAAUCGUCUGUCUUGUUUGAAUGUCCUUAAUCACACAAAAUUCAGGCCAAAAAAUGACAAUACAAGAUAAGGCUGCAGUGAUUUGAGAAACUAACAAAAGAUUGUAAUCUAAAGAUGGAACAACUAAAACAGAAUCCAAAUUCAAAGUAUCAGUAAGAGUUAAGGAUCCUUCCCCAAUGACUGGGGUUGUGUUACCAUUGGCUGUGGAAACAAUUUUUUGUGAGGAAGGUCUAAGGGGUGAAACCUGUCUAGAAUCAAAAGUCAUAUGAUCUGUAGCACCAGAAUCAAUUAUCCAUGCACUAUUAAUAACAGGUGUAAAAGUAUUUAAAAACUUACCACAAUGAUCUGUAGCGGCUACUAAUGCAGAGACUUUCUCAACAACAUUAGUCUUUGUUUUUAUUUCGGUAACAGUUGCAAUCAAGGUUUUCUUGGAAUUCUUCUUCCGUUGAUCACGAUUAUUAUCAUUAAUAACAAAGUGUUGAUAGCCUAAACAUGAUCUAAAGGUCCAUGGUGCAAACCCUCGGUUCCUCAUUGUUUUCCUGGUCAUACCAAGAGUUGUUGCUUUGAAAUUGUGGGAUAUCCAGACUGGUGGGAUCAGUUUUAUUGCAGUGAGUGCAUUUGAAUGUUGACUUAUCAAUAUUAGGGCUUGUCUUCGGAUGGUUGAUUGCUGUUGGACUACCAUAGCGACAAAAUAUCCAGGAUUUCAAUUCCAGGGCUCUGAUACCAUCUUCAAAUUGAUGAAUGAUAGUUUUUCAUUCAUUCUUUCAUGUACAGAGUAUAUAUAGAGGGUAAUCACCAUUCUAAGAAUGGGAAAGAAUGAUACGAGGAAAUAAUGAUAUAAGGAAAUAAUAACUAAUAUCCUAAUAUCUCAACUUUCCUAAUAUCUCAAUAUUCCUAAUAUCUCAACUUUCCUAAUAUCUAAACAUUCAUAAUAUCUCAACACUAAAUGAUACAAGGAAAGAAUGAUAUAAGGAAAACAUUCCUAAUAUCUCAACACCACUUCAUGAUAUAUAUAGUUUCUUACCCUUAAUCAAUGGUUUCUAAGUGAAUUUAUAUAGAAAGAAAUCCAAACUGUAGACAGCAGUAUUGGUAACACUCAAUAUUCUGUAUAUAAUAGAAUAAAUAGCGUCACAGUGAUCGUCGCCUACAAGCAAGGUACAAAUACCACAAAGAGUGACCCACAUAGACAUUCCCCAACAAGAUGUAGUAGUGACUGACACAUAGCCACAAUUAACACGUAGAAAAGGAUAAGACCGGUGCACAGUAGCUCUUAUUUUACAUACUACUUAUGCCAACCAAAGUCACUCAGUUGGGAUGGGAGGGAGAUGGAGGUUUGUGCGGUGGCUUGUGGGGCGGAGUUGAUGGCUUCUUUCCAGGAGCUUCUGGCUUUUUCAUCGGAGCUGAAGGAGGCUCAAUCUUAUGAGGCGGCUUGUACGAGUCUUCUUUGCUCUCGAAAGGAGGGUGGCCAGGGUUGUGACCAUAAUGUGGUGGUUUCUCUCCCUUGGGAGGUUUACCAAUUGGGGUUGGUGGCUUGUGUUCUGGGAGUGGUUUCUCUCCCUUGGGAGGUUUAGUGGGUGACUUGUGUUCUGGAGGUGGCUUCUCCACCGAAGGCUUGUGCUCCGGUGGUGGCUUUUUGGUUGGAGGGGGCUUGGGGUAAUCAGCAAGAGAUGGGGUGGUGAGAACCACCAGUCCAAGGAACAACACUAGCAAGUAUGUGGGAGACAUUUUUGAGUUUGGGCUGAUCAGAUGAUGCAAAACUAAAGCAUUACGUGACCUUUUAUAGCAAGUAGCUCCCAAUACCUACUUGACACGUGUUACUGUGACCCAUAAAUAUUAUGGGGUCUAUUUGUGCCCUACCGGGUUGAAAACUUGGACAAUUGGGCAAGGACCCGCCUGACUAUGGAGGACUACUGAGGUGUGAUCACAGCUUUAGGAUUUUUCUUCCUCUGCAGCCGUCUUGCCGUUGGCAUGAUUUUCUUAAUCUCAAAUAAAGGCAUAGUUAUAGAGUUGUUUAAUCUCUAAAUGGGAUUUUAUAUAUCUUCAGAUAGCCAUUAAUACAUUUGAUGAAGAAAGAAAGACAAGUGCAUACAACAUGUAUACGACUAGCUUUCAUGGAGUUCAUUUAUGAUCAGUUUUCCUGUACAUGUAAACCAAGAUCAUAUAUGUUUUUGUUCCACAACAAUUUUGGAAUCUUGUUUAUCCGUUUUUAUCAUUAUAAUGUCACAUAGGCUGCCAACUUGGGCGCUAAAUUAAAGAUCCAGUUGGGCAAGUUCGUUUCAGAAUUUCAAUGGUGGAUUCAGGAAUUGUUUUAUAAGAUAUGCAAAAUAGUAGAGGGAUGAAUAGUGUUUCAUUAAGAAAAGAGCCCUGUAAAAAUAUUGUUUAAAGGUGCCAUAGAAACUAUAAUCAAUAAAUAACUUUUUUUCCCCAUGGGUGGUGUUUCUUGUGGGGAUCAGUGACUGGUUUGAGUCAACGCCGUGUCUCUUUAGUCCAGAAAUCAACUAUUUUAUGCAUUGAAUACAUCAACAAAGAAAAUAUGAAAGCCAAAUGACACCUCCCCCGCAAAAACUAAACCCUGGUUGCUAACUUUCUAUGUUUCAGUUCCAUUCACACAAGAAUAUUAGUUCAAGUUUGAGAAAAAUGGCGACUUACCUAGUGAUAACUCGGUCUUGGUUUGCGAUUUGACUUUAACGUCAUGGGUUGAAGCCUCCUACAAUCAUCGUGUAUGCUAGUUCAAAGCUCGUGGAAGAAGUUAUACAGGGAGGGAGAAACCUCCACAGCAAGCUCCAAAAGAGAAUUAUCACAUUGAAAGCUCCAGUUGAACACUGGGUGAAAGCCAUAACAAGAUUGGUUUUCUAUCGCUCUUUUAAGUAAUGGAAGAUUAUUAUCUCUGCUUGUCACUACAACCGUGCAUGCUGCUAGAUCUUUCUAGACACUUCAAACAGUGAAACCAAGUAUGAUUCUUUUUCUCUUGAGUGGGUCCACUUGCAUGCCAAUGAACGAGUUGAAAAGUUGGACAAUUGGCCACAGCGCGCACUUACCUUCUGGAACCGAAGGUCAGUGAAGUGGGGUUCCUUUUGGCCCCUUGUGUUUCUGUUCCAACCUACUCCAGGAACCGAAGUUCAGUGAAGUGGGGCUACUUUUGGCCUCUUGUGUUUCUGUUCCAACCAAACAAAAAUGGGAGGGAAAAAUAGCAUUAUGCUUGUGCUAAAGAUCAACGCAUGAUAGCUGAAUAAGGGAGAAAAAGGCAUUGCUAUCUCAAUUUCAUAAACUUGAUAAGUAGUGACAUUAAUAGUCUUCCUCAUAGAUGGAUACAUGGUUUUAUUUUAUUUAUUUAUUUUUAUUUUUUUGUUUUAUGUCAAUGCUAAUGAAUGAAGUGCAUUAGCUUGUUUUGUGACUAGAACUACAAAUGUCCAAAUUGGAGCUUCUCCAAUAUAUUUCUCAGUGAGUUAUUGAUUAGAACUCUUGGAUUGAGUUCCAAGAUUUGAAUCAGACCCCUCUAGCAGCUUCAGGGGUACGUAGCAACCUAUAGCAUAUUAAUGAAGACUUAGGAUUUAGACUUAGGAAUACAAAUUAAUAUGUACCUCAUGCUCUGACUAGCUUCCCUGCGUAUGCACAAAAUGGAGAUGACUCCCAAAAAAAUAGCAGAAUCGCCUUAGUAUGUUUUUGUGGUUAAGAUGAUUCUCCACUUUAUAUAUCCACAUUGGUUCAUUAUGCAAAUUAAUCAACUAAGCUAUUUUUAUUUUUUCUUAAAUGUGAAAUAGGAGCUCCAAAUUAACCUAACCAUUGGCCUGAUUGAAUUGAUUUCACUUGCAUAAUGUUAUAGUAGAAGUCCGUAAUUUGAAUUUUAUUUUUGCAAAAGGUAACGUAAAUGAAGCAUUGUAAUUAAAUUUAUUUGUAAUUACAAACUAAUUUUAUUUUAUUAAGAAUUAAUUUAAUUACUCAUUUAAAAUAAAAAUCAGUUAUACUUUUACCAAGAUGAUAAUAUUCAUAUUUUUCUAGUUAACAUAUAUAAAAUAGUACACUUUUUCAUAUAAAAAAAUAAUUUAUGAUUUAUUAUAAUGUUACUAUUCACAUUUUACUAAAUUGAUGGUACAUGAUAGUGAGAGAAGGGGGUGUCACACUCAGCUAAAGUUCUUUUCAAAAUAUUGCAUGGUGUUUAAUUUUAUGUGUCGGCGCGCGUGUGAAUGGAACCUGCAAAAGUCCAAAUUGGCGUUUCUCCAUUUUCCACAUAGGAUGGUGACGUUAAUAGACAAAGAUACAAUAUCUGUAGACAUUGCUUAAAAAUCGAUGUGAAGUAUUAGAAAUUACAGGGCACUGUACUGGGGGAGCGGCUGCCCCGCCAAAGGAGGAAGAAUGUAGCAAUUUCUUCUGUUAGCCAGGCCUUAGGAUUUAUGCAUGGGAUGCCUAAUAACAAACAGAGAAAAUAUACUUUUGGGGAAGGUAUCCAACAACAGACACCAUCAUUCAGAUGGUGGGAAGGUAUCCAACAGAUGCCAUCAUUCAGAUGGUAACAUAUAUAUACAUUUAUUAGUGAGUUUUUUUAAUACCUAUAAAAAAAAAUAUACACUUUGAUAUUGUGGCUGAAUCCAUUACAUACUCAACUAACCUUGCUCAUUAGGGAUUUGACUUAACAAGGGCAACGUUGCAGUACAAGCUCAAAACUUUAUGCAGGUGACAUUACAUUUGGUAAAGAAGAGGAAAAUAACGAAAGCCAUCCAUAAAAGCAAAAUUCCACAUGGGAUGAAAUUCACAAGCUUCAUUUACGAUAGAGUCGCAUCCAGGCAAUUAAUUCCACAUUAGACCGCCUGUUGACAUGUGUACCAAUCUUUUUUCAAAAAAUAUUUAUAAAUAAUUGAUACUCACAAAAAUAAUUUAAUAUUUAUAAAGGAUAAAAAAAUAUUUUCAAAUCUAUAACAAUUUAUAAAAUAUUAAUAAAAAAUUAUCUCUUAAACUUAGUAUAGUUUUAUCAGAUUAAACUUUUAUUUUGAACAAAUAAUUUUAAUCUAAGUUUUAAAUUCUAAAAUUAUUUCCUUAAAAUAAAAUUUUAAAAUUCAACACUUCAAUUGAAAUUGUCUUUUUAAAAAAUAUCUUCUUAUUUUAAUCCUUAUAAACUAUAGUUGAUUGAAAAUACUAUUGAAGUUCUCUCUUAAAAAAAAGUCUUAUUUUAAUCUUCAUAAAUUGCCCUUGAUUUGAAAAUAAAUUUUCAGUUAUCAUAUUUUAAAUAAUAUCUAUAUUUAAAAUACUCUAUUUAAAAAAAAAUGAACUAAUUUUAAUUAUAUUAUAUUUUAUUUUUUUAUAUAUUUUUAAUGAUAAACCAAACAUAGAAAAUCAUUUUUCUAAAUAUUUUAAAAUUUCUAAGCAACCAAACAUAAUCUUCAAAAUAAAAGGAAAAUAAGGAGGGACAUUUGAGAAAUGGCGAUUAAAAAAAAGUGUACAAAAGCUCAAUUAAUUUUCUUCUAGUCUUUUAUAUAAAAAAGUAAAGGAAUUGAAAAGUAUUGAUAUGUAAAUUAAUAUUUGGAUUUUAAUAGUAUUUUAUUUGUCUUUCUCUAUCUCAUGUAAAAGAGAAUUUAAGAUAUUUCCUAAAGCAAAGCAUUAGUUAUCUGCAAUCAGUGGUGAUCAUGCCCCAUGUCAAUUUCGGACCCAUAUCUUAAAACUGUAUAAUUUGCAUUCAAACAUUACUGAUUUCUCAGAUGUUUCAUACUCCACAGAAGAGCAUUGUUUGUGAAAGCAUGCAUUUAUGUUGGAUUUUGGAUGAUGUGGGAACUGGGGCAAGGAUCAUAUGGAAGAGUGGUCGAUUUUGUUCUGUACUUUAACAUUUGAAAUAGGAGAAGCUCGGGCAUUUGUGGGGCUUAAUUGAUUUUGAAGCCUGAAAUUGCGUUUCUGUCAUUUUGUAAAAAAUAUGGCAGAUUCCAUGCUCUCAUAUGUUUGGUCUGUGGCCAUGUAUAGAUGCCCCUUAGUGACCAGUUUGUAACUGUCAAUCAUAGUGUUUUGACUCUGGCUCAACAACAUCAGCCAUUGACGGAUUUUCAUACUUGCAAAUCAAAUAGUCUUCUUCCUCCCUUAGGAAUUUCGGUUUAAAUGUUAUUAAGCAUACAUUUGGCUGACAAUUAUUAACCACUUCAUGAUAUGGUUUCUUACCCUUAAUCAAUGGUUUCUAAGUGAAUAUAUGCAGAAGGAAAUCUGAACUGUAGACAGCAGUAUUGAUAACUCUCAAUAUUCUUUAUAUAAGAGAAUAAACAACGUCAUAGUGAUCGUCGCCUACAAGAAAGGUACAUUUCCCAACAAGAUGUAGUUGUGACUGGUACAUGGACGCAAUUAACUCGUACAAAAGAAUAAGACCAGUGCACGGCAGCUCUUAUUUUACAUGCUAAUUAUGCUAACCAAAGUCACUCAGUUGGGAUGGGAGGGAGAUGGAGGUUUGUGCGGUGGCUUGUGGGGCGGAGUUGGUGGCUUCUUUUCAGGAGCUUGUGGCUUUUUCGGAGCUGAAGGAGGCUCAAUCUUAUGAGGCGGCUUGUACGAGUCUUCUUUACUCUCGACAGGAGGGUGGCCAGGGUUGUGACCAUAAUGUGGUGGCUUCUCUCCCUUAGGUGGCUUGCCAACUGGGGUUGGUGGCUUGUGUUCAGGAAGUGGUUUCUCUCCCUUGGGAGGUUUACCAAUUGGGGUUGGUGGCUUGUGUUCUGGGAGUGGUUUCUCUCCCUUGGGAGGUUUAGUGGGUGACUUGUGUUCUGGAGGUGGCUUCUCCACCGGAGGCUUGUGCUCCGGUGGUGGCUUCUCCACCGGAGGCUUGUGCUCCGGUGGUGGCUUCUUGAUUGGAGGGGGCUUGGGGUAAUCAGCAAGAGAUGGGAUGGUGAGAACCACCACUCCAAGGAACAACACUAGCAAGUAUGUGGGAGACAUUUCUGAGUUUGAGCUGAUCAGAUGAUGCAAAACUAGAAGAAUUACGGGACCUUUUAUAGCAAGUAUCUCCCAAUACCCACAUGACACGUGUUACUAUGACCAUAAAUAUUAUAGGGUCCAUUUGUGCCCUACCGGGUUGAAAACUUGGACGCUUGGCCGAGGACACACCUGACUAUGGAGGACUAUUGACGUGUGAUCACAGCUUUUGGAUUUUUCUUCCUGUGCAGCUGUCUAGCGGUUGGCAUUAUUUUCUUAAUCUUAAAUAAAGGCAUAGUUAUAGAGUUGUUUAAUCUCUAAAUGGGAUUUUAUAUAUCUUCAGAUAGCCAUUAAUAUAUUUGAUGAAGAAAGACAAGUGCAUACAACAUGUAUACGGCUUGCUUCAAUCGAGUACAUUUAUGAUCAGUUUUCCUGUGCAAGUAAACCAGUUUUUUGUUCCACAACUAUUUUGGAAUCUUGUUUAUCAGUUUCUAUCAUUAUAAUGUCACAUAGGCUGCAAACUUGGGCACCCAAAGAUCUAGGUGGGCAAAUUUGUUUCAGACUUUCAAUGGUGGAUUCAGUAAUUGUUAAAAGGUGUUUCUUCAUUAAGGAAAGAGUCCGGUAAAAAUAUUGUUAAAAGGUGUCAUAGAAACUAUAAUAAAUAAAUAACUUCUUUUCCCCAUGGGUGGUGUUUCUUCUGGGGAUCAGUGACUGGUUAGGGUCACCCAAAAUGAGUCCAGAUUAAAAUUGGUUCGAGUCAAAGCAGUCUCUUUUGUCCAGAAAUCAACUAUUUUGCGCAUUGAAUGAAUCGAUAAAGAAAAAAUGAAAGCCAAAUCACACCUCCCCUGCAAAACCUAAACCCCGGUUGCUAACUUUCUAUGUUUCAGUCCUAUUCAUAUAGGAAUAUUGGUUCAAGUUUGAGAAAAAUGGCAACUUACCUAGGGUUUACUUGGUUUUGGUUUGCGACUAUUUACGCAACCAACCAUGAGUUUGACUUUAACGUCAUGGGUUGAAGCCUCCUACAAUCAUGUAUGAUAGUUCAAAGCUCGUGGAAGAAAUUAUACAGGAAGGAAGAAACCUCCAAAGCUAGCUCCAAAAGAGAAUUAUCACAUCGAUAGCUCCAGAGAUUCCCAAGGGAACUGAAUCAAAGACAAGUUCCUCACUUUUUCUUCUUUUGAGGCCAAAUAUGAACCAAGGAUCACACGACCUCAUUCAACUUCAUAAGUUUGAUUUCAUGCAGUUGAACACUGGGUGAAGGCCAUGACAAGAAUUGAUUAAAAAAUUCUACCACUCUUUUAAGUAAUGGAAGAUUAUUAUCUCUGAUUGGCACCACAACAGCACAUGCUGCUAGAUCUUUCUAGACACUCCAUGCAAUGAAAGCACAAUGGAUCUUGUAAUGAUAGAAACUAAGCCAUGCUACAGUACUAGAUGAGGGGGUAAAACUAGUAGACAUCUUUCUAGACACUCCAUGCAAUGAAAGCACAAUGGAUCUUGUAAUGAUAGAAACUAAGCCAUGCUACAGUACUAGAUGAGGUGGUAAAACUAGUAGACAUGGCUGGCAGUUGAUUACUACUCAAAAAGUACUCUUUUAUAGCUUGAAACUAACUGUUUUAAACACUUUUGAGUAGUAGUUAAUACCUUUUAACUUAAUUGGCACAUUAAGGAACCUAGCAAGGGUUACUAAUCAACAUUUGGCAAGUUUUGAUGUUUUUGGUAGCUAUUUGAUCAUUGAAACAAGCCAAGAAUGAGGGGGAAUUUUGUGAAGUCCAUGGCAAUGCAAGUUAAAGCUCAAAUACAUGAAGAAUCCAAGCUUUGGAGCACUUCAUAGCCCUUUGCCAAGCCAAUCAAAGAUGCAAGGAAGAAAACCAAAGGAAGAAAUCCAACAAUCAGCAUUUUGGCAUGGCUAUGUGAAAUUUCGCACACCAUGCGAAACCACAAGAGGCAGCCAAAGAAUUUCGCAUGGUAUGCGAAAUCUUCUUGUGCACUGACUCUGUUAGAUUUUUAUCUUCAGAUAUUUUGUGUAAUUUCCUAGUUUCUCCUUGUAACCAACUUAGAUAUUUUCUUUUAUAUCUUUUUUUAUAUUUUUUAGGUAACAUCAUAUAUAAGAGGAGAGACAUAAGGAGGAUAUGGAUGUUUUUCAUAGAACACUUGUAAAUUUUUGGUAGUAAGAAAUAUACAAAGCUUUUUGCUCUGCCUUACCUUCUCAAGGGAUGAGUGGCUAGGUUUUCUUGGAGUGAGGGAAGCUAGGUGAAGGACCUGAAUGCAAAGGUGGGAGUUUUCCUUACUUUAAAUGAAAGUAGUUGUUAAACAUUAAUGGUUUUUAUUUUAAGGUUUAGCUUUAAAUCCCUGAAAAACACCUUGAAUGGCCAAUACUUGGUAAGCUUUUUAGAUUCUAUGGAUGCUUAUUGCUAGAUCCAUGGAUGUCUAUUAGUUAUCAUUUACGAGCCAUUGGAAGGUGAUUCAAGGUGAGGGUCUUUAGUGUUUGAAGCCAUUAAUGGGAAGCAAUUACCAUUUUUUCAUGAAUCCUUUGGAUCAAAUCUUAAUUGCUAAAUAUAAAACCGGUUUCGAGAGAUAACCACCAUCCUUUAUGUUAUUAUCCCCAACGCGAGGAGAAGAUCCGAAAUCUUCCUUUUUAUCUAAGGAACCCGAUCCUAGUGACCUAAAGCUCCAAGAUACCUUUUCUUUGUAGUUAACUUCAUUUAUUGUUUUUGCUUAACUUAAAAUCAAUCUUUGCAACCACAAUUCCAUUUUCUUUAAAAGCUAAUUUUUAUAAGGAAAAACACCAUUUUAUUUCCUUCACUAAGUCAACUGUACGAUGAAAACCCAUCCCUGUGGACGAUCCUAGAGCCACUAUACUAUGUUAGCUAUGCUACCCUAGUGUGAGGUGAUUUAGGUUUUAUAAAUUUUUUUGAUAACACCCAUCUGAGCCAGAAUCAAAUGGCACGACUGAACCAGGGACGAAUCAAAUGACGCCGCUACCAAGGAUGGUGCCAAAGUACAUUGACAUGACUUUUGGUGAACACUUGUGAUCUUCACCACAAGUUUGGUGAUUUUUCUUUUACUAAUUUUUUUUAUUUUAGCUUAUCUUUUAUUUAGUUUUUAGUUAACCUUAAAUUUUUCCUAGAAUUGUAUUUCUUUUGUUUUCUUUGUUUUUGUUUCAGUGAUCUUUAGUUGUGCAUGCCCUAUUGGAUAAGAGAUAUUGAGGGAAUACUUGUGAAGAUUGAAACUCCUCGAGAAACUGAGUUAGAAGUGUGCUUGAACAUCAUGGAUGUUCCACCUGAAGACCAGAAUAGCCAACAUGGUUAAGAGGAUAAUUUCAACACAUACCGAUCCAUGAGGAACCGCAUACAUCCACCUUGUAUGAGUGCACCGUCAGGCAUAAUGCCUCCCACUGAGCAGCUAGUAAUCUGACCUCACAUUGUGCCACUCCUACCUACUUUCCAUGGGAUGGAGAGUGAGAAUCCCUACUCGCAUAUUAAGGAAUUCGAGGAGGUUUGUAAUACAUUCCAAGAAGGAGGAGCUUCAAUUGACUUGAUGAGGCUCAAGCUAUUUCCUUUCACUUUGAAGGAUAAGGCCAAGAUUUGGCUUAAUUCUUUAAGGCCAAGAAGUAUCCAAACUUGGAUUGAUUUGUAAGCCGAGUUUCUUAAGAAGUUCUUCCCUACCCAUAGGACCAAUGGUUUGAAAAGGCAAAAUUUGAACUUCUCAGUUAAAGAGAAUGAGAAAUUCUAUGAGUGUUGGGAGAGCUACAUGGAAGCUAUUAACGUUUGUCCUCACCAUGGCUUUGACACAUGGCUCUUAGUGAGCUAUUUUUACAAUGGUAUGUCUUCUUCAAUGAAGCAACUCCUAGAAACUAUGUGUGGAGGAGACUUCAUGAGUAAGAAUCCGGAGGAAGCCAUGGACUUUUUGAGUUAUGUGGCUGAAGUUUCAAGAGGAUGGGAUGAACCAAAUGCUAGAGAGGUGGGAAGAAUGAAGUCUCAACCUAAUGCUAAGGGUGAGAUGUAUGUUUUGAAUGAAGACAUUGACAUGAAAGCAAAGGUUGCAGCUAUGGCAAGGAGAUUGGAAGAGCUAGAAAUGAAGAACAUACAAAAAGUGCAAGCCAUUUCUGAGACAUCAAUGAAAGCUAUGCCUUGUUCCAUUUGUCAAUCUUAUAAGCACCUAGUGGAGGAGUGUCCUACAAUUCCAGCAGUGAGAGAGAUGUUUGGUGAUCAAGCAAAUGUUAUUGAUCAAUUCAAGCCUAAUAACAAUGCUUCAUAUGGCAACACCUACAAUUCAAAUUGGAGGAACCAUUCAAAUUUCUCUUGGAAACGAAAGCCACCUCAAUACACACAACCUACUCAAGCACCUUAGCAAUCCUCGAAUCUUGAACAAGCUAUUGUGAACCUUAGCAAGGUUGUGGGAGACUUUGUGGGAGAUCAGAAGUCCAUCAAUGCUCAACUGAAUCGGAGAAUUGACAGUGUGGAGAGUACAUUGAACAAAAGGAUGGAUGAGAUGUAAAAUGAUCUGUCUCAAAAGAUAGACAAUGUCCAAUACGUAAUCUCAAGGCUUACCAACCUCAACACAGUGUAAGAGAAAGGAAAGUUUCCUUCUCAACCUCAUCAAAAUCCUAAGGGUAUCCAUGAAGUAGAGGCUCAAGAGGGAGAAUCUUCAAAGGUGAGGGAAGUCAAAGUAGUUAUCACCUUGAAGAGUGGUAAAGAGGUUGAUCAACCCACAUCCAAGCCAAAGCAUAAUGAAGAGAGUGUAGCAGAAAAAGAAAAGAGAGGAAAAUAAAGGAAUUAGAAUAGAGAAAAAUACAAAGAAAGAUGACCAUGAGUCUAGUGUGGAUGAAGAGCCCGAGAGGAUGGUGAUCAAGGAAGAUAUGAUGAAGAAACACAUGCCUCCACCUUUCCCCUAAGCUUUGCAUGACAAAAAAAGAACCAAUAAUACAUCAGAAAAUUUUGAAGUAUUGAGGCAAGUGAAGGUCAAUAUCCCUUUGCUAGACAUGAUCAAACAAGUGUCGACAUAUGAAAAAUUCUUGAAGGACUUGUGCACUGUAAAGAGAGGGUUGAAUGUGAACAAGAAAGCUUUAUUGACCGAGCAAGUGAGUUCCAUCAUACAGUGCAAGUCCUAGUGAAGUACAAAGAUCCGGGUUGCCGUACCAUCUCAGUGAGUAUUGGAAGGACUUGUGUGGAGAAAGCUUUGUUGGACUUGGGAGCAAGUGUGAAUUUGCUAUCCUACUCUGUCUAUAAGCAGUUGGGAUUUGGAGAGUUGAAGCCAAUAUCCAUCACUCUAUCUCUAGCGGAUAGAUCAAUGAAGAUUCCAAGAGGGAUGAUCGAAGAUGUCCUGGUUCAAGUUAACAAAUUCUACUAUCCAGUAGAUUUUGUUGUUCUUGAUAUGGAUCCGGUUGUCAAAUGAACUAAUUAUGUUCCUAUCAUACUUGGAAGACCCUUCCUAGCUACAUCAAAUGCAAUCAUCAAUUGUAGGAAUGGAGUCAUGCAACUCACAUUUGUCAACAUGACAUUAGAGCUCAACAUCUUCCAUUUGUACAAGAAGCAUAUCCAUCAGGAGGAAAAAGAAGGUCUAGAGGAAGUGUGAAUGAUUGACACUUUAGUGGAAGAGCAUUGUGAUCGAGAAUGCAAAAAGAUUUAGUUGAGAAUUUUGGGGAUCUUGAUGAAAGGUUACUUGAACCCUCAGAUUUGCUUGCUACCCUACUCCAUUGGAAGAGAAGAGAAGAAAUUCUACCCUUAUUCAAUGAGGAGGAGACGCAAAGAGCUGCAAAGGAGAAACCCCCAAAACUUAUUCUUAAGCCACUACCCACAGAGUUGAAGUAUGUAUACUUGGAAGAAGACAAGAAGUGCCCUAUUGUUAUAUCUUCAACUCUUACCAUUCAUCAGGAGGAUUGUCUACUUGAAGUCCUUAGAAGAUGUAAGAAGACAAUAAGGUGGCUAAUUUCUUAUUUGAAAGGGAUCAGCCCUUUAGUCUGCACCCAUCAUAUUUACAUGGAGGAUGAAGCUAAGCUAAUUCAUCAACCUCAGAGAAGGUUGAACCCUCACAUGCAAGAGGUGGUUCGAGCUGAAGUUCUGAAGCUACUUCAGACCAGUAUUAUUUACCCCAUAUCAAAUAGCCCAUGGGUGAGUCCUACUCAAGUUGCGCCAAAGAAGUCUGGGAUCAUGGUGGUGCAAAAUGAUAAGGGAGAAGAUGUCUCUACACGCCUCACUACAGGUUGGAGGGUGUGUAUCAAUUACAGGAGGUUGAAUGCAGUGAUAAGAAAGGACCAUUUCUCAUUGCCCUUUAUUGAUCAGGUGCUUGAGAGGGUCUCUGGGCUUUUUUUUUUAUUGUUUCUUGGAUGGCUACUCCGGGUACUUUCAGAUAGAAAUUGAUGUUGAAAACCAAGAUAAGACCAUUUUCACAUGCCCAUUUGGAACCUAUGCAUAAAGGAGAAUGCCUUUCGGCUUAUGCAAUGCACCCGCAACUUUCCAAAGAUGCAUGUUAAGCAUUUUCAGUGAUAUGGUGGAGCGUAUUAUGGAAGUCUUUAUGGAUGAUAUCACCAUUUAUGGAAGUGCAUUUGAUGAAUGCUUGGUCAACUUAGAAGCUGUUCUGAACCGAUACAUUGAGAAAGACUUAGUGCUUAACUGGGAGAAGUGCCAUUUCAUGGUACACCAAGGGAUUGUCCUUGGGCACAUUAUCUCCAAGCAAGGCAUUGAAGUUGACAAAGCAAAGGUUGAACUCAUUGUUAAGUUGCCAUCCUCAACAAAUGUCAAAGGAGUAAGGCAAUUCUUUGGCCAUGUCGGGUUCUAUAGGAGGUUUAUCAAGGAUUUCUCUAAGCUUGCAAGGCCUCUUUGUGAAAUAUUGGUGAAUGAUGUUAAAUUCAUAUGGGAUGAUGGAUUUGAAAGGAGUUUUGAAGAAUUGAAGCUAUUUUUGACAACCGUACCAAUAGUGAGGGCUCCCAACUGGCAACUGCCCUUUGAAGUAAUGUGUGAUGUCAAUGAUUUUGCUAUAGGAUUUUUUCUUGGGCAAAGAGAAAAUGGAAAACCUUAUGUGAUCUACUAUGCGAGGAAGGCAUUGAAUGAGGCACAAAGAAACUACACAACCACCGAGAAAGAAUUGUUAGCUGUAGUUUUUGCCUUGGAUAAGUUUCGCGCUUACUUGGUGGGGUCCUUCAUCAUGGUUUUUACUGAUCACUUUGCUUUGAAGUAUCUGUUGACUAAGCAAGAUGCUAAAGCAAGGCUGAUUAGAUGGAUUCUCUUACUUCAAGAGUUCAAUCUCCAUAUCAAAGAUAAGAAAGGAGUGGAGAAUGUGGUAGCAGACCACAUUUCAAGGCUAGCUAUCGCACAUAAUUCCCAUGCUUUGCCCAUUAAUGACGAUUUUCUAGAGGGGUCUCUCAUGUUGGUGGAAGUUGUCCCUUGGUACGCUCACAUUGCUAACUACCUGGUCACGGGAAAAGUUCCAAGUGAGUGGAAAGCACAAGAUAAGAAGCACUUCUUUGCAAAAAUUCAUGCCUACUAUUGGGAAGAGCCAUUUCUAUUCAAGUAUUGUAUGGAUCAGAUAAUAAGGAAGUGCGUUCCUGAAGAAGAGCAACAGGGGAUCCUUAGUCAUUACCAUGAAAAUGCAUGUGGAGGCCACUUUGCUUAUCAAAAGACAGCCAUGAGGGUGUUGCAAUCGGGUUUCUGUUGGCCAUCACUUUUCAAAGAUGCCCACACCAUGUGCAAGAGUUGUGAUCGAUGCCAGAGGCUUGGGAAGUUGACACGCAGGAACAUGAUGCCUUUGAACCCCACUUUAAUAGUUGAUAUUUUUUAUGUUUGGGGCACUAACUUCAUGGGACCUUUCCCUAUGUCUUUUGGCUACUCUUACAUCUUGGUAGGAGUAGAUUAUGUUUCUAAGUGGGUUGAGGCAGUCCCAUGCAAACACAAUGACCAUAGAGUGGUUCUCAAGUUUCUUAAAGAGAAUAUCUUCUCAAGAUUUGGGGUGCCCAAAGCCAUAAUUAGUGAUGGGGGUACUCAUUUUUGCAACAAGCCUUUUGAAACUCUCCUAGCCAAGUAUGGGGUGAAGCAUAAGGUAGCUACACCUUACCACCCUCAAACUCAUGGACAAGUUGAGUUAGCAAACAGGGAGAUUAAAAACAUAUUGAUGAAGGUGGUGAACACAAACAGAAAAGAUUGGUCAGUCAAGCUUCUUAAUUCACUAUGGGCAUAUAGAACAACUUACAAGACCAUUCUCGGGAUGUCUCCUUAUCGCCUAGUUUAUGGCAAAGCAUGCCAUCUCCCUGUGGAAUUGGAAUACAAAGCUUGGUGGGCAAUCAAGAAGCUCAACAUGGAUUUGAGCAGAGCUGGGUUGAAGAGGUUCUUAGACCUUAAUGAGAUGGAGAAAUUGAGAAAUGAUGCCUACAUCAAUUCAAAAAUUGCAAAAGAAAAAUUGAAGAGGUGGCAUGAUCAGUUGAUUUCCCGCAAGGAUUUUCAAAAUGGACAAAGAGUCUUACUUUAUGACUCUAAACUCCACAUCUUUCCGGGCAAGCUGAAAUCAAGGUGGAUAGGUCAUUUUACCAUUCACCAAGUGCAUUCAAAUGGAGUAGUGGAACUACUCAACUCCAACAAUAUCGAGAACUUCAAAGUGAAUGGCCACCGUCUCAAGCCCUUUGUGGAGUCUUUUUCUCACAACAAGGAGAAAUUCAUCCUCCUUGAUCCACAUCAAGCUUAACAAGACCAAUUUUCUUGAUGGACUUAGUCUUUCUAAAGACUAUCGAGUCCAUAACUUUUUGUUUUAUUUUUUAUUUGAGAUUUUUUCGGUAUUGUUACUUGUUUUGUUUUUUAUUUUUCGUUUUAAUUUUAUUUGGUUUGAUUUAACUUAGGUUUUUGAUGAUCAAUUACAGGGGGGAUUUCAAAUAGAGGAAAAACCAAGAUAAUUCGCACACCCUACGAAAAUUUCGCAAGGCAUGCGAAAUUUAUGGCUUAUUUUGCAUGGGGUGAAAAUUUUCGUACAUCUUACGAACCAAUUUCGAACACUUUGCGAAAAUAAACCAACCCUGCGAAAUCAUUUCGAUUACUCUACGAAAUUUUCGUAGAGCAUGCGAAAAAUUUAGCACACCAAACACCAUUUCGCAUACUAUGCAAAAACCUAAGGGGUCUGCGAAACCAUUUCGCACCUCCAAAUCCAUUUCGCACAUUGUGCGAAAACCAAGAGGCGCUGUGCGAAAAUGAAAAGUCGCCCUGUCAUCCCUUUUUAAACCCCUCGAGCCCUAAAAUCUCCAUUUCGCAAGCACCCCUGUCCUUGCGAAUCCCUCAUUUUCCUCUACUACCUUGCAACCUCGUCCCUUUCCAUUUGAUAUUGUGCCCCGCGCACAUCUCAUUUCAGAGACUCGCACUCCGCGCCCCCUCAAAGCAUGGACUCGAGACCCACCUUCCAUUUCCGACGUGGCACGGACCCAAGGAGCCCUUUCUGCCCCUUCACUAAGACACACACCAAGGCAGAAAGCCUCCUUUGCUCAAGUGCCUAGUGAUUCUCCAUCUUAGGCCUCAGAGGCCUCGGAGGCCCCGUGGAUUCCACCUUCCGAGGGUAGAGCAGCCAUUGGUCCUUCCUCUUCUACUCCUUAGCGUAGAUACGAGACGAGGAGACCACCUACUACACAAGGGGCGACUACUUCGAGCCUUGAGAAUUCAGUACGAUGCCUUCCUGCCAAGAGGGUCAAGACUUCAGGUCCAAGUGAGUCAUCCAGAGCUUCAUAGCCUAAGCCUCCUGUAGAUUCCAAGGUUCCUACUGACAUAUCACCGGAGUCUAUUAUCAGAAGCCCGAUGCUCAUAGCACCGCCCAUUGAGGGCAACUCAGAUUAUAGAGCGAGAUCUUUCCACUUGGAGCUAUAUUUUGAUCAGGAGGCCAUACGACAGCAGCCUGAGCUCCGAGACUCUUAUGGCUUACUGCAGAGGUACCAUCUUGAGGAACUUAUGACUCCUCGUGAGUUUUUUUAUCCCAGAGUAGCACUAAACUUUUACCAGUCCAUGACUACUCGUGGCGUCCCGAGUCCUACCACGAUUCACUUCACCAUUGAUAGACGUCAUGGUAUCCUCAAGGCCAGACAUAUUACAGAGGCUCUACAAAUUCCUUUCGAGCUAGAGGAUCCAUCUGUUUUUCGCUAAUGGUCCCCAGUAUCUCAGAGGGACAUGGUCCGUAUUUUAUCUAGGGGAACAUCUACAGAUUCGAUCUUUCUACGGAAGGAGCUUCGACCUGGGAUGCUCCUCUUAGAUGUGGUGCUAUGCUCCAACCUCUUUCCCUUACAACAUUCGGUACAUAGGUGAUGAGCUAUUUUGGACGCUUUAUUCCGUAUAUCAGAGGGCUUCUACUUUGGCCCGCACCACUUGAUCAUGGUCUCCCUCAUCCACUUUGAGGAGAAGGUUCAUAGGAAGAAGCUUCAGAGGGUGGACACCAUUCCAUUACUAUUCCUGAGGUUACUUUGCCAGGUCUUGGAGUACAUGGGCUUUCCUACUGAGCCUCGGCUCGAGCUUUGCCGCCUUUGUCGAGAGUGAUCCACUCUCGACAAAUGGAAUUAGUUGGCGGGCUAUUCUGCACCUCCAGGAGCCCCUCCCAUGGUAGCACCUCCAAUGUCCCCACAGGCAAAGUAGGGCGAGCUCCCGGCAAAGACUGUACCACCAAUGCCCACACUUGAGGCUAUUUCUGCUGCUCUGCCUAUGACUCCUACUGUUCCACCAGUUGGUCCUUUUACAUCCGAGCCUUCCAUCACCAUCUCGGCUUCGGAGUUUCGCGCCCUUGUGCAUACCUUUCAGACACUCACCACCACACAUACUCCUCUCUUCUAGCAAAUGGUUGAGAUGUGUGCCCAUCAGGACCGGAAGACUACUAUACUCUGCCAAAUUCAGCAGCACCUAAGACUUUUGCCUCAACCUCAACCUAACCAUCCCAUAUCAUCAGAGCCUCUAGCUCCAACUGAGGAUACUAUUCCACCUGAGAACACUACCACAGUAGAGGUCCGGUUUCCACCACCUUAAGAGGCCACCACAGCUACAUCAGAGGAUGUGUCAUCUCCACUUGAGGCUCCCACUACUUGAUCAUAGGACAUAUCUUUAUCUUAUUGUAUUUACAUAUUAUAUUACUAGAGAUUUGUCCUUGUUUUGAUACUUUAUAUUCUGGGAUUGGAUGUAUUGCCUGAUGAUAUCUCAAUUGUACUUUCUCAUAUUAAUAUAUAGACAUCAAUUUUUUUUAGUAUACUUAGCAUUUUUCUAUUUCCUCUACUCAUUACUCUUUUGUUUUUUUUUACUCAUGUGGUUUCUCUUAUACAACUCAGACUCCAUUUCACUCAGGAGGUACCACUUCCUCCCUUUAUUUUCAAUUGCUCUUGAAAUAUUGAGUGCAAUGUUGAUCUUGGUUGGGGGGAGAGUUGAGGAAGGAAGUUUUGUUAAUAAUGCUAGGUUAAUUUGUUAAUUUAGUUACUUUCUGCUUAAUUUUAAAAGUUUUCACUCUACUUUCCAUGGUUAUUAAGGAAAAAUUCUCAAAAUGAAAUGGGAGAAAUCGAAUUCUUGCAUUUUUACUUGAAUCUUAGAAUUUGUAUCAUGCUUAUUAAAGUUGAUGAAUUAUUGAAACUCCUAUUGAAUUCAACCUUAUUUUUUCCACUUUAAUCUUACCACACACGGUGCACAUUAGGUUCCAGUUAUAAGAUAAAAAACUAUCUCACCCCCUAAACUUAGAAAAAUUUACACUUGGUACCUUUGACAUCGUUUUAAUAGUGUUGGGACACCUUAUAAAAGGCCAAUGAGCCUUUAAAAAAAAAAAAAAAAAAAAAAAGAGAAAGAACAAAGUAUUGCACUUGCCUUGAAACCUGAGCAAGAUCCGAGGGGUAUACAGUGAAAGUCUUUAAAACCUGGUGCCCUAAGCCUUGAUUGGUUGGGAGUCACCGACCUCAAUGCUCGUUAUAAGGGUGAAUAGGUGGAGUUUAACAUAUUGUAGGUGCUUGGGUAUUGAAUUUCAAUCUCAAAAGUCCGGGAAAAAAUCUAAGGAGUUAGUGGUCAAAAGAUCCUUAAAGCUUGAUGCCCUAAACCUUGAUUGGUUGAGAGUCAUUGAUGGAUCCCCGCUACAUGGACAUUUUAGAAAACAAUACCUUUAGCAUUGCACGCCUACAAUGAAAAAAAAAUGUGAAAUAAAAGAGGUGCGUUCUUAGCCUAUUGGAGGUUGGUCAGUUUGCUAAAGUUUGAGAAAUCUAGGUUGGGGGGAGAGAAUAGUCCGACAUACUAUAAUAAAAAACUAAUAACCUUAACACUUAGAUUUUUGUGGAAGAGUAAGGAUUGGACCUUUAGGGGUGGAAAUUCUUUUGAUGCUUAAAUUUGCAUAAUGCCUACUCUUUAUAAAUUAUGAUUAGGCAAGAGAUUUGAUGACUCUUGUUCAAAGUUGGGUUUUUCCUCUUUGAUGUUCCAUGAGAGAGUAUAAUCCUCAUCAUGCCACUUGAAAUCUUUUUGGAGUGAUUAACAUGAUUUUGUAAAUUAUUUUACUGUCUAUUUUUCUUUAUCUCUCUUUUAUUGCUAAUGGACUAGCAAUAUGUCAGUUGGGGGGAGUGAUUACUACUCAAAAAGUACUCUUUUAUAGCUUGAAACUAACUGUUUUAAACACUUUUGAGUAGGUGUUAAUACAUUUUAACUCAAUUGGCACAUUAAGGAACCUAACAAGGGUUACUAAUAAGUUUUUGGCAAGUUUUGGUGUUUUUGGUAGCUAUUUGAUCAUUGAAACAAGCCAAGAAUGAGGGAGAAUUUUGUGAAGUCCAUAGCAAUGCAAGUUAAAGCUCAAAUACAUGAAGAAUCCAAGCUUUGAAGCACUUCAUAGCCCUUUGCGAAGCCAAUCAGAGAUGCAAGGAAGAAAACCAGAGGAAAAAAUCCAACAACCAGCAUUUUCGCAUGGCUGUGCGAAAUUUUGCACACCAUGCGAAACCACAAGAAGUAGCCAAAGAAUUUUGCACACCAUGCGAAAUUUCGCAUGGUAUACGAAAUCUUCCUAUGCACCAACUCCGUUAUAUUUUUAUCUUCAGAUAUUUUGUGUAAUUUCCUAGUUUCUCCUUGUAACCAACCUAGAUAUUUUCUUUUAUAUCUUUUUUUUAUAUUUUUUAGGUAACAUCAUAUAUAGGGGGAGAGACAUAAGGAGGAUAUGGAUGUUUUUCAUAAAACACUUUUAAUUUUCUGGUAGUAAGAAAUAUACAAAGUUUUUUGCUCUGCCUUACCUUCUCAUUUUGUUUUCACCUAUCUUUCUAGCCAAACAACCUCUGAGAAUGAUUUCUCAGGGGAUGAGUAGUUAGGUUUUACGUUUCUUGGAGUGAGAGAAGCUAGGUGAAAGACCCAAAUGCUAAGGUGGGAGUUGUCCUUGCUUUAAAUGAAAGUAGUUGUUAAAUAUUAAUGGUUUUUAUUUUAAGGUUUAGCUUUAAAUCCCUUAAAAACACCUUGAAUGGCCAAUACUUGGUAAGCUUUUCGGAUUCUAUGGAUGCUUAUUGCUAGAUCCAUGGAUGUCAUUAGUUAUCAUUUAUGAGCCAUUGGAAGGUGGUUCAAGAUGAGAGUCUUUAGUGUUUGAAGCCAUUAAUGGGAAACAAUUACCAUUUUUUCAUGAAUCCUUUGGAUAAAAUCUUAAUUGCUAAAUAUAAAACUGGUUCGGGAGAUAACCAUCCUUUAUGUUAUUAUGCCCAAUGCAAGGAGAAGAUUUCGAAUCUUCUCAUUUGUCUAAGGAACCCGAUCCUAGUGACCUAAAGCUCCUAGAGACCUUUUCUUUGUAGUUAACUUCAUUUAUUGUUUUUGCUUAACUUAAAAUCAAUCUUUGCAACCACAAUUCCAUUUUCUUUAAAAGCUAAUUUUUAUAAGGAAAAGCACCAUUUUAUUUCCUUCACUAAGUCAACUGUAUGAUGAAAACCCAUCCCUGUGGACGAUCUUAGAGCCACUAUACUAUGUUAUCUAUGCUAUCCUAGUGUGAGGUGAUUUAGGUUUUAUAAAUUUUGUUGAUAACACCCGUCUGAGCCAGAAUCAAAUGGAACCACUGAACCAGGGACAAAUCAACAGCCUAUAUGGGAGGGACACAAGUUUAAUUGAUUUGCAUUUCAGCGUUAUAGAUAAGUAUGUUUUGGAAGAUUUGUUCUGGAAAUACUGCACCAAGUACGAUUCUUUUUCUCUUGAGUGAGUCCAUUUGCAUGCCAAUUAACGAGUUGAAAAGUAGGAGCACCUACCUCGUGCUCAUGGAACCGAAUGUCAGUGAAGUGGGGCUCCUUUUAGCCUCUUGUGUUUCUGUUCCAACCAAGGCGGCGUAGGGAAAAACAACAAUAUGUCUGUGCUAAAUAUCAACGCAUGAUAGAUGUUUUUUUUUUUUUUUUUGGUAUGUCAAGGCUAACGAAUGAAAUGCAUUAGCUUGUUUUGUGACUAUAACUGCAAAUGUCCAAAUUGGAGUAUCUCCAUUUCUCACUUCGGAUGGUUAACUUUAUAAACAAGAUAUAGGAAACAUGUGAACAUCUUGAGGAACAAUUCAAAUUAUUCAUUAGAAGUCCUGGGUUAAGUUCCAAGAUUUAAAUCAGACCCUUCUAGCAGCUUCAAGGGUACUUAGCAACCUAUAACAUAUUAAUGAAGAUUUAGGAUUUAGACUCCGGAAUACAAAUAAAUAUGUAUCUCAUGCUUUGACUAGCUUCCCUACAUAUGCAUAAAAUGGAGAUGACCCAAAAAAAAUAGCAGAAUCUAGCUUCCCUACAUAUGCACAAAAUGGAGAUGACCCAAAAAAUAGCAUAAUCGCCUUAGUUUCUGUGGUUAAGGUGAUUCUCCGCUUAAUAUCCACAUUGACUCAUUAUGCAAAAUCAACUGAGCUAAUUUUAUUUAUUUAUUUAAUGUCAAAUAGGAACUCCUAAUUAACUGAUUACUGUCGAAAAGUGCUAUUUUGUAGACCUAAUUAUAAGGGUUUUAAGCACCUUUGAGUAGUAAUCAUAUUCAUUUAACCUAAUUAAUUCAUUAAGCUCCUUAGUAAUUAGUUCUAACCAUUUUUAGUGGCAAGUUUACAUGUUUUUCAUCAGCUUAUGAACCAAUUCAAGCAUGCCAAUUGAUGGAGGAGCUACUUGGGCGAGUUAAGCAAGGAUUUUGGACGUUUACAGGCUUGAAUUUCAAGUGGAAACACGAGCACAAGCAAUGGGAACACCAUUUCGCAAGGGGAGGCAAUUCACCUUGCCAAAUGACCAAUUUCGCAAGGGGAUUUUCCUCAUGGUGCAAAAUUUGGUCAUUUCGCACCAUGAAGAAACCACCUUGCAAAAUUUCGCAAGGUGGAUUUAGGCACCUUGCGAAAUGCCAAAUUUCACAAGGUGGCUUUUCACCUUGCGAAAUUUGGACCUUUCAUCUUCCCCCCUUGCGAAAUGCCUUUGAAAUCCCCUGUUUUGAGACGCUGUUGAUGAUAUUCCACUGCCGGUUCUCCAAGAUAUUUUGCUUGACUUUUAGCUUUAUAAAUACCUAUUUUACCCUUGUAAUCAACCAAUGAAAAGGUUGCUUUUGUAAUAGCUCUUGUAAUUUAGCUUUUUAUUGUCUUUAAAUAGAGGUGAAGAGCCUCAGACACGAUCAUCUUGUAACCUGUAACUUUAUAAGUUAUAAGAGCACUUUUGUUCAUACGCUUCUUUUCUCUUUUCUUUCUCAUUUUCUUAGUAGCCAAACAUCCUUGGAGGAUGAAAUCCCCAAGGAUGAGAGGCUAAAACCUUUUAGUUUCUUGAAGUAAUGGAUGCCAUGUGAAGCUCCCGUGUCAGGAUGGAGAUUUCCAAGCCAUAAAUGUAAGUAGCUGAGCGUCAUAAAUGUUUUCAUUCAAAGUAAAGCUUUUAAUCCCUCUGACUUGCUUUGAAUGGCCAAUACUUGAUAACCUUUUGGUCUCAAUGGAUUCUUAUUGUUAGAUCCACUGACGUUCAUUAGUUAUCUCCUACGAGCCAUUGUAUUGCAAGUCGAGGAGAUGACCUAUACCAAUAAAAGAGCAUUUAUGAGGUUCAACUACCCUUUUUGUAAGUUUUCAAGGACUAAAACUCAGUUGUUAAACUCAUACCGGUUCGAGAAGUAAGCAUCACCUUAGUUGCUUCCCCAACUCGAGGUGAAAAGUCCCAAAAUCUCCAUUUUUACACAGUGAGUUAAGCAUGGCUAUCCAAAGCUUUAAGAAACUUCUUUUUCCAUCUUUUAACCUAUUUUCAUGUUAGUUUAGUUUACAACACCUUCAUCUUUUUAUGUUUUCAUCUUAACCUAAUUUUUAUUAAGAAAAGUUCACUCCAUCCUCCGAACUUCACCAGUUAAAGUAAAAACCCUUCCCAGUGUUCGAUCCUAGAGCCACUAUGCUAUAGUAGCUUUGCUACUUUAGUGUAAGGACCUUAGGUAUAAAUUUUGUUGAUACCCUUACAUGCCAAGCUACCAAGAGUCGGGUUAUCAUUAACCUAACCAUUGGCCUGUGUAAAUUGAUUUCACAUGCACAAUGUUGUAGUAGAAGUCCAUAUUUUGAAUUUUAUUUUUGUAAAGGUAAGGAAAAUGAAGCAUUGUGUAAUUAUAAAAAUAACUUCAUUGGAAUUCACAAGGUUCACCCAAAAUGGAGCUACAUCUGUAUUCUAUCCUACAGUAGACUAUAUAGAUUGUACAAUAGUAAAUUGCAAAUACAAUUAAUAAGUCUUGUGCUUCCUUACUAAUAAUCCUUUGACAUGAACAUUGCAGCACUAAGGUCCUCUUGGGAAGACACCUUGCACCCAUGAGAGCACUAAGAGGAAGCAAGGCAGAGUCAUGGGUGCAAUGUCAUGACUUGUUGUUGCACCAAGAGAGGCUUGGUGAUGCCAUGGUGUUGCAGUAGCAAGAAUGUUGCCUUGGCAGGGACACGAUCUAGGGAUAGAUGCCAAGAAAGGCUUAGCACUCACAUGAGUUGCACAAAGAUGAAUGUAAUAGAGCAUCAGAGAGACGUCUUGGCAAGUAAAUGAAUGGAUCCAAGAGACAACAACAUGAGGAGUUUCAAAUGGAUAAGGAAUGACUCAAAGACAUUUGAAAGCUACAAGUUGGAUUCUAAUUACGAUUGCAAUUUGAGUUUGAGUAGGAGUUUAGAUUUUGAUUGUAAUUGUAGUAUGAGUUGGACUAGGAUUGCUUAUCCUUAGUCAAUAUAGGAGCGGUUCGUGUCACCCUAUGAAAAGAGUUUGAGUAGGGACUAGGAUUGCUUACUCCUAGUCAAAUAUGGAGUAGGUGGUGCCACACCUAUAAAAAAAAGGGACAACAUGAGAGAGAGAGAGAGAGAGAAAGAGAGAGUGAAUUCACUAAAGAUAUUGUGGGAGUUUUGCUUUGUUACGUCUUGUAUUAUUACUUAGAAUAGGAAUAAAAUACAAGUUGGGGCUAGAGCCCCAUAAUUAAUCUCGUGUGCCUUUGUGGUUAUUCUUUAUUUGUCAUCUCGUGUGGAUUGGAUUAGGUUGACUUAGAGGGCUUCUAAGCACCACCUUUGUGGGUUAUUAUUUAUUUUCCAUCUCUUGUGGAUUAGAUUAGGUUGACUUAGAGGGCUUCUGAGCACCACCUUUGUGGGUUAUUAUUUAUUUUCCAUCUAUUGUGGAUUAGAUUAGGUUGACUUAGAGGGCUUUUAAGCACCACAUUUGUGGGUUAUUCUUUAUUUUCCAUAUCGUGUGGGUUGGAUUAGGUUGACAAGGAGAAAAAUUAUGUGGGAAAUUUGUGUUGGGACACUUACCAUAACCAAGUAAAAUCUACCAAGUCCUUUGUAAUAUCUUCAACAAAUAUUUUAGACUAGUUCUUUCAGUUAGUGUAAAGGAGGAAGAAGUGGUAUUGAUUCUAGAAAUAGGGUGUGUGUAUUUGAACUACAAUCCUUAUGAUCCUUAGGUCUCUAAACCUUCGUGAUGGGCUCCCUGACAUUUCAUAGGUUGUGCUACACAUGCGUUUGAAAUUUAGAGUGCGUUUGACAGUGAUUCCGGGAAGUGUUUUUGGCCUUUCUUACACUUGAAAAUUUUUAUUUUUCAAGUAUUAGAAAUGCUACAAACACUUUUGAAAAUUACUGUCAAACACACUCUUAGGAGCGCACAUAUAUAGUAGAAAACUAGAAAUUGUGGUUUUUUUAGGAUUUACUGUAAUGUCAUUAGGAGGGUAGUAAGUUGAAAUUGAGUAUGAACAAAUAUUUCUUUCUUUGGGAUGUUCUUCUAGUAGGUGCUGAUGAAACUGUUCUUUCUACUGCCAAUGUCACAUAUCAGCCAGAAAUUGAAAAUUUCAGUCAAGGUGUCCUCUGUUUUAGUGGUGAGGAAAGCUAGAAAUUUUAAGGUGAAGUUUUGUUAAAAACCUUAAGUAGCUGGGAUAUCAGGCCUGUUUUGCUUGAAAAAAAAAGUUGCAAGAUAACUCAUAUGCCAAACAGGUUCUGAUAUUGUGAAUCUAUCGGCAGACAUCAGUAAUCUCAUCUUCUGAGAUGGAUGUUGGGGGUGCAUGUGGUGGUGGAGGGGCAAGGUUUCAUUUGGUUUAUUUUGUUGAUGGAUAUUGUCUAGCCACCUGCGCCAAGUUUGAGGGGUGGUGGGUUGUGAUGACCCUACAAUUACUAUUAAUUUCUUCAUCUUUUACCGAUUAAAGUGUCCGAACAGUCGAAGUUACCCUUAUGCAUGUCAACUUGAUCACUUACCUCUUCAAUGGAGUUUAUGCUGGUUCAUUUAGGAACUGAUUUUUAUUGUUAUGUAUUAUAUGCUGAUGUUUAGGUCUCUCCAUCAUCACUAUAUACAAAAAUUCUAGGUUGAUACUAUAGGUUGAGAUUUAUUUUUUAAAUAAAAAAUAAUAAAAAUAAAAAUUAUGGUGAUGUUUAGUUGUUUUAUGGAAAAUUUUAACAAGUAAAAGUUAUUUUUGGGCAAGUUUUCAAACAAAAAGAAAAGUAAAAGUUGUUUUGACAAAAACAUAUAGAAAAAAAAAUCAUAGAAAAUAAAUAAUUUCCCCAUAUUCUAACUUUUUUGAAUUUUUCUCAAUGGGCAAAGGAAUAUCAAAUCAAGUUUGAGUAGGAUUUCUUAAUUUUUAAAAUAACUUACAAUUAAAAAAUUUUGGUGUUUUCAUUUUUGGACAAUUUUUUAUUAAGCAAAUGGACUCUGAGUCAUGCAAGAGAUAUGGUUCAUUAACCGGUCGAACAAUUUUUUUAAAUUAAUUUAAAAGUCAAAUACAUAAUCAAUUUCACAAAAUUUAUAAACAAAAAUAGGUUUAGAGAAGAUCUACACAUAAUUUUACUUUUCUAAUUUUAUUUUAUUUUAUUUUUUGUUGGAAAAUAGUCUUCAAAUCAUGUAAGAUUUAAUAGGUUAAAUUUGUUAACAAUAAAUUUUAAAUUAUAAAAUAUAAUCUGGAACUCAAAAAUCAAUUCAAGUAAUGCUAAAAAAAAAUCAAAUUUGGUAUAGAAUGACUUUGUAAAUUUUUUUACAAAACAAAUGAAUUUUAAAUCAAGUGAGAUUUAAUGCAUUAGAUUUUUAUCAAAUAUAGUAAUUUUAAAAAUAAAUUUGGAACUCAACAAUAGACACAAUAAAUACCAAAAAAUAAUGAACCAAAAUUGGUUUGGAAUAACUCCACAACCUUUUUUUUUUUUUUUUGGUGCACACGAAUUUUCUUACUAGGUAUAUUGCUUUCAAAUUGAGAAAGAUUUACCAUUUAGAUUUUUUUUUAAUGAGUUUAAUGGUAUUUUAAAAUAAUUCAAAAUUUAAAAAAUUGACUAAUUAAUAUUAUAAAUUGAUAAACCAAGACUAUUUCAAAAUGCAUUGGGGGCUAAGGGGGUUGAAAAUAGGGACAAUGGGAUGGGUUUGGGACAUGACACUCAUAUCUCAUUUCCAUUCCAAUUACACAGUUAUCUCCCAUCCUUAUCCCAAACUUGUGUUGGAGCAAGUUGAUUUGUUCCCAUCUUUGUUGACGAAAUGACUAAUAACCUCAUCCCCUCCUUAUCUUAGAUGUACAUUUUGUCAAAUUUGAUCAGGUAUGAUUGAUCCAAGCCCUAACCCUAAUUGGUAAUGAGUGAAUACUACACCUAAUUGCAUUCUUCUUUCAUUGCAAAAUAAUGAGAUUAUAAUAAUCUAGCAAAUAAGAAAAAAUAGUAUGGAAGUUCAAAUUAACACCAUAACUAUCAAUAAUUUUAAGCUUAUAGAUGACUUAAAUGAUUAAAAACUAAUGCAAAAUCCUAAAAAAAAUAAAAAUCAUAUAAAGAAUUCACAAGAGAACAGAAUGAACAAAAACCAAAUAUGAACAUGGGUCAACAUUAGUUAUGGAUUUGGAUUCCUUUCAAGGCCAAUCUUUGAACCAAGACUUCAUCAAAUCAACUACUUCAAAGGCUUUUGUGUUCUUCUUGGGUUGUGCUCUCAAACAAAGACUUCGAGGUGAUGUUCUAGAUGAUUGAAUUACACAUAUUUAGGGUGGAGAGAUUGGAGAAGCUUGAAGAUGCCAACGAUGGGUACAAUUGAGUGGUCAAUAAGAACAAUGUAGCCUAUGACUAGUUUGAUGUCAUGGUACAAGAGUUUUAGGCAUUGAGGUUAAAGCAAGAGCAACAUGGAAUUGAUUUCGGAGUCUUUCAGUUAGUGUAAAGGAGGAAGAAGUGGUGUUGAUUCUAGAAAUAGGGUUUUAAGUGGUGCGUGAUUACUACUCAAAAAGUGCUAUUUGAUAGCCUUUAAUUAAUCCUUUUUAACACUUUUGAGUAGUAGUUUAGGCCUUUUAACUCAAUUGGCAUGUUAAGGAUCCUUUAAAGCAAUUUUGAUCACUUUGUGCAAGUUUUGGUGUUUUUGUUAGUAUUUUGAUCACCAAAGCAAGUCAAGAAUGAGGAGAACUAUGAGGAAUCAUGGGCAAAGCUUAGAAUUCAAUUGCCAAGAGUGAAUCCGGAUUGCAAGGAGAAAAAGCAAAGAGAAUCUGUCAUGAAGCCUAUUCUUGAUGACAGUCGUAGCAGCCACUUUUGGAGCACUUUCUGAAGUCCAAAUGAUGCAAGCUAUAUACCAUUUCAAAGAUCAGGAAGUCAACAAUCCAAUGCUUCAAACGGUGCGCGAUUCGGAGUUGAAACGAAGAAGUUGCAGCCAUUACAAGCCAGUCACUCUAAAGUGUUGCGGAAUCAGCCUUUUGUUGCGAGAAUUUCGCAGCACUUUUGUACAGUAAGGUGUUUCUCCUUCUGACGAUGCACGAACCAUGCCGCGAGAGGGAAGCUAGGAACUUCAAGAUGGAAGCCAACUUUGCAGCCUGGUGAAGAUAGCUUGGUCUUGCGAAAUAAUUUCGCAGCCCUCUUGGGUGUCUGCGAAAUUUCGCAGGCACCACUUUUUUCCUGCGAAAUGGCUCCGGAAGCCUCCCGAAGCUUGCUACCGACAUUGGGAGAUAUUUUCCAUUAGAUUUUUGUUGUCUAAAUUCCAAAAUACUCCUUGUAAACCACCAAUUACAUGAUUCCUUAGUUUUUAAGUUAGUAAAAAGACCAAAUAUCUAUGUAAUAAUUAGUUUUAUAUUAGUUUGCUAUAAAUACCUCUCGGGAGCAUGUUCUCAGAGAGGAGUUCCUUCUGUAACCAUUUUGGUAAGCAAGUAAAGUCUUUUCUUUCUACUGCCUUACCUUCUCACUUUGUAUUUUCAUUUUAUUUCUAAGUUAUGAAUUCUCUGAGGAGCUUUCCCCAGAGAAUGAGUAACUAAACCUCCAAUUCCUUGGAGCUAAGGUUGCCGGGGAAGGUUCCAAGUGCAAGAAUGCAAAGCUCUGUGGUUUUAGCUAGUAAUGAAGAGGAAGUGAAAUCCUUUAGUGAUUUCAAUGUUUUUAGUUAACUUAAAACACCUUGGAGUCACCUGGGCCAACACUUGGUAAGGCAAGUGAUUUCCAACCGUGGAAAUGCACUAGUUUACCCCUUGCGAGCCUCUGGUAGGUGACUUCAAGGUAGGAUUUUCUGGAAUUACCAACACUUGGUAAGCUUUUGGACUCCUAGGAGACAUCCAUUAGUUAUCUCUUGCGAGUUUGUGAAGGGGAAUCCAAGGUUAAAGAUCACCUUGAAUGGUAAGUGCUCGUGAGAGGCAUGAACCAUUGCAAGUUGUAUCAGUGAGAGAAUUAAAGUGAAAUCUAAUUGAAGGAGUCUCUGUACAUCACCGGUUAGAGAAUUGACUAUAAGUUGAAUCUCUAAUGCGAGGAAAUGAACCAUCUGACCGGAGCUAUGUCUUUUGCAUGAGGAACCACCCCAGUGAACCUAAAUCUCCAAGGAAUGCUUUUCUUCCUAAAUUAUUCCAAACUUCUGUUAAGUUAGUUAGUUUAAGUCUAAACCUUUACCAAUCAAACUUUGUGUUUUAUUUCUUAAGCUAACCGUGAAAUGAAACAAAACCAAUUCACUUGGAAUUGGUAUCCUUGAUUGCUUGCAAAUCAUUCCCAGUGAACGAUCCUUAGAGCCACUAUACUAUAGUAGCUUUGUAUUUGCUACCCUAGUGUAUGGUGUUAUAGGUAUAAAUUUUGUUGAUCACUUCCUCAAUCAAGGAACACCAGCUGAACACAAAUCAGCUGAGACACCAAUUGGGCAUGAGUCAAAUGGCGCCGUUGCCGGGGAAUGAGUGUCAAGAUCAUUGUGAUACCAUUUUUGAGCACUUGUGAUUUUCAUCACAAGUUGGUAAAGUUUCUUUCACUUUACUAAUUUUCAUUCUCUCUUUGUUUAUUUACAAUCUAAGUUUAUCUUUUUAAAAUUUAGUCUAGUUUAAUUUUGCUAUUGUAGCCUUGUUUCUCUUGUUGUCCUCUGUUCUUGUUGUCCUCUGUUUUCAUUUUAGUUGCAGCUGAAUACUAGUUGUGUAUGCCAAAGUGGAUACGAGACAUUGGAGGUAGGCUUAUUAAGUGUGAUACACCUCAGAGAGGAGAAUUGGAAGUAAUCUUGAAUAUCAUGGAGGCUGCACCUGAAGAUCAGCAUAGUCACCAAGGUCGUCAAGACAAUCUCAAUGAAUUCAGAUCAAUGAGGGACCGUAUGCAUCCACCUCGUAUGAGUGCACCAUCAUGUAUAGUGCCCCCUACAGAGCAACUAGUGAUCAGACCAUAUCUUGUUCCACUUCUACCAACUUUCCAUGGGAUGGAAAGUGAGAAUCCGUAUGCACACAUCAAGGAAUUUGAAGAUGUUUGUAAUACAUUCCAAGAGGGAGGAGCUUCAAUUGAUUUGAUGAGGCUUAAGUUAUUUCCUUUUAAUUUAAAGGAUAAGGCCAAAAUUUGGCUUAAUUCUUUAAGGCCAAGGAGUAUCCGCUCUUGGACUGAUUUACAAGCUGAAUUCCUCAAGAAAUUUUUUCCUACUCAUAGAACAAAUGGCUUGAAAAGGCAAAUUUCAAACUUCUCAGCUAAAGAGAAUGAGAAAUUCUAUGAGUGUUGGGAAAGAUACAUGGAAGCUAUAAAUGCUUGUCCUCACCAUGGCUUUGAUACUUGGCUACUGGUGAGUUAUUUUUAUGAUGGUAUGUCCUCCUCAAUGAAGCAACUCCUCGAGAAAAUGUGUGGAGAAGAUUUCAUGAGCAAAAAUCCAGAGGAAGCUAUGGAUUUCUUGAGCUAUGUAGCUGAUGUUUCAAGGGGAUGGGAUGAACCAACUAAAGGAGAAGUGGGAAAGAUGAAGUCUCAGUUGAAUGCUUACAAUGCAAAGGCUGGGAUGUAUACUUUAAAAGAGGAUGAUGACAUGAAAGCAAAGUUGGCAGCUAUGACAAGAAGAUUGGAGGAGCUGGAGCUGAAAAGAAUGCAUGAAGUGCAAGCUGUUGCUGAAGCACCAGUGCAAGUGAAGUUGUGUCCCAAUUGUCAAUCGUUUGAACAUUUGGUAGAGGAAUGCCCUGCAAUUUCAGCUGAAAGGGAAAUGUAUAGAGAUCAAGCAAAUGUUGUUGGACAAUUCAGGCCCAAUAACAAUGCUCCUUAUGGAAAUACCUACAAUUCAAGUUGGAGGAAUCAUCCAAAUUUUUCAUGGAAGGCCAGAGCAACUCAAUACCAACAGCCGGAUCCACCAUCUCAACAAUCUUCAAGUAUUGAACAAAUAAUAGCUAAUCUCAGCAAGGUAGUGGGAGAUUUUGUGGGAAAGCAAGAAGCCACCAAUGCUCGAGUGGAUCAAAGAAUGGACAGAGUGGAUCAAAGAAUGGACAGAAUGGAGAGUAUGUUGAACAAAAGAAUGGAUGGAAUGCAAAAUGAUAUGAAUCAAAAAUUUGAUAACAUCCAAUAUUCAAUUUCAAGGCUUACAAAUUUGAAUACACUGCAAGAAAAGGGAAGAUUUCCUUCUCAACCUAACCAAAAUCCCAAAGGUGUCCAUGAAGUGGAAAGCCAUGAGGGAGAAUCAUCACAGGUGAAAGAUGUGAAAGCUUUGAUCACUCUAAGGAGUGGUAAGAAAAUUGAGCAGCCAACACCCAAGCCACAUGUUGAGAAAGAAGAAGAGAUGAAGAAAGGGAAGGAAAUGGAAGAUAAAGGCAGUGAGAUCAGUGAAGAAAAGAAGGACUCUGAUGCAACAAUGAAAGUAAUUCCAGAGAAGGAGCUUCUGAAGGAAGAAAUGCUGAAGAAAUCAACUUUUCCACCUUUUCCUCAAGCAUUACAGGGGAAAAAGGGGGUUAGAAAUGCAGCUGAAAUCCUAGAAGUAUUGAGGCAAGUGAAAGUUAAUAUUCCACUGCUGGAUAUGAUCAAACAAGUUCCAACGUAUGCAAAAUUCCUAAAGGACUUGUGUACUAUCAAAAGAGGGUUGACUGUAAACAAGAAAGCCUUCUUGACUGAGCAAGUAAGUGCAAUCUUACAGUGUAAGUCUCCUUUGAAGUACAAAGACCCUGGAAGUCCUACCAUUUCAGUCAUGAUUGGAGGAAAGGUAGUGGAGAAAGCCUUGCUAGACUUGGGAGCAAGUGUGAAUUUGCUUCCAUAUUCUGUCUACAAGCAACUGGGACUUGGAGAGUUGAAGCCAACAGCAAUCACUUUGUCUCUGGCAGAUAGAUCAGUGAAAAUUCCAAGAGGGGUAAUUGAGGAUGUAUUGGUUCAAGUAGAUAAUUUCUACUAUCCUGUAGAUUUUGUUGUUCUUGAUACAGAUCCUACUGUAAAGGAAGCUAAUUUAGUUCCUAUCAUCCUUGGAAGGCCAUUUCUUGCAACUUCAAAUGCAAUCAUCAACUGUAGAAAUGGGCUUAUGCAACUCACUUUUGGUAACAUGACACUGGAUCUAAAUAUUUUCUAUAUGUCUAAAAAGCAAAUCACUCCAGAAGAAGAAGAGGGUCCAGAAGAGCUAUGUAUUAUUGAUACUUUGGUGGAGGAGCACUGCAAUCAACAUAUGCAAGAUAAGUUGAAUGAAAGUUUUGUGGAUAUUGAGGAAGGUUUUUCUGAAUCUCCUAAUGGGCUUGCUACUCUACAAAGUUGGAGAAAGAUAGAAGGAAUUCUACCUUUGUUCAAUGAAGAAGAGGAGGCAGCUGUUGAAAAAGAAAUUCCAAAACUCAAUCUGAAGCCUUUACCUAUGGAGCUGAAAUAUACAUAUCUUGAAGAAAAUAAUCAAUGUCCUGUCGUAAUAUCUUCAUCUCAAACCAAGUCUCAAGUGAAGGAUGCAAGCUUCAAAUGGGAUCCGGGCAAACUGAAUCAGGAAGGGCAAAAAGUUUUGAUGUAUGACACAAGACUCCAUAUCUUUCCUGGGAAGCUCAAGUCAAGGUGGAUUGGUCCAUUUGUUAUUCACCGAGUAUAUUCCAAUGGAGUGGUGGACUUAUUGAAUUCCAAUGGCAAGGACAGCUUUAGAGUCAAUGGAUAUCGUCUUAAGCCGUUCAUGGAGUCAUUCAAAUCAGAAAAGGAGGCAAUCAACCUCCUUGAACCUCAAAAAGCCUAAGUGAAAUGGGUUUGCUGGACGUGGUUUUACCACAGUCCAAAAAUUUUUGUAAAUUUUGUAAAUUUUCAAGUUGUUUCCAUGCUUUUAAUCUUAGUUUUUGAUUUUAAAUCAUGUUUUUAGGUGUGUUUUAAUCGUUUUAUAUGAUCCCAGGCGGAAGAAAUUUCAAGGGGAUUGAAAAGAAAAAAAUCGGGUCGAAAUUGGAGCCGAAACAGAGCAAAAACAGGGGAAAAACAGAGCUCUGCGAAAUUUCGCAGGGUGAAGGAAACUUCUGCGAAAUUGGCAUUUUGCUGCCAAACCAUUCCGCAGCACUGUAGAAGCCUCUGCGAGUGUAUUUCGCAAUUGCGAAAGUGGAUUUGGCACACGAGUGCCACUUCGCAGCACAGUGACAUCAAUUUCGCAGCUGCGAAACUCACUGCGAAGUUGCUGCGAAAAUGGCAAGUUGCUGCGAAAUUGGCGUUUUGUUGCGAAACGUAAUCUGACCCCUGGGCUUCCGUUUUUCCUAUUUAUACCUGUCAAAAGUGCUGCGAAAAAGGUUUCAAAAAUUAGAGCACCAUUCUCGCAGCCCUUUCAUCUUCUUCGCCAAGCCACGCCGUCCGUUUCUCCGGUCGUCUUCUCCGUUUAGCAGCGCCGGCCAAAGAUCGAUAGCCCAAAAAUGGCACGAACGCGAGGGGCAAAGUCUUCAUCCCCUUCGAACCGCAAAAGGAGUCUGCGAAAGGAGCCAAGUUCAGGCUCUGUUCCAGAACCUGCUCCAAAGCCUUCGCCGUCGAGACCACAACCUUCUCCAGUGAAGCCGGCGCCACCAAAGCCGCCGGCAAGGCGAUAUUUAACCAGGUCAGGUGGUCAGCCAUUGAAGAAGAAAGCCAGAGUUGAGAGCUCUGAACCAAUCGAUUUGACUGAGCAAUCCCCUGAGAAAUCACCAAAUCCUUCACCGGUACAAAUUCCAGUGCCAUCACCGGUUCCCUCGCCAAUUCCCUCACCAGAAGCAACUCCAAUUCCAUCGCCGGUACCAUCUCCGGCACCCCAAGAAAAAGCUCAGGAGCCUCAAGCGCCAAUUCCAGAGCCCCAAAUUGCAGCUGAAGCACCUCUGGAAGAAGUGAUCCGAAGGCCAAUGCUGCCUCAGCCCCCAAUCGAAGGAAACCUGGAUUGCCGAACUCGGGCAUUCCAUUCUGAGCUUUGCUUCGAUUUAACAGCAUUCAGAGUGAGGCCAGAGCUUGCCCAAUCCUUCCAACUGCUGAGGAGAUAUCAUAUGGAGCAUCUGCUAGCUCCAAGGGAUUUUUUCUAUCCCCGGGUAGUCACGGAUUUCUACCAAACCAUGACAACCAAAGAAGUAAGAAAUCCAACUCUGAUUCAUUUCAUAAUUGAUGGAAGGCAUGGUAUUUUGGGAGCAAGACAUAUUGCUGAAGCCCUGCAAAUUCCUUUUGAGCCAACUCAAUUCGACAAUUUUAAAGCUUGGACAAAUCCUACUGAGUUAGAGAUGGUUAGCACACUAACCAGAGGAGCUGCAAAUCGAUCGCAUUUGUUGAGGGGGGAGCUACCUCCAGUUAUGUUUUUGAUUGAUGCCUUUUUGAGGCAUAAUAUCUAUCCCCUGCAGCAUUGGACCCAAAGAAGGGGAAUUCUCCUAGAAGCCUUGUACAAAAUGUCUGAAGGAUUCUUCUUUGGGCCUCAUCAUCUGAUCAUGGCAGCCCUUCUAUACUUUGAGGAGAAGGUUCACAAGAAGAAGCUUCAAAGAGCAGAUUGCAUUCCACUCCUCUUCCCAAGGCUGCUAUGCCAAGUUUUGGAGCAUCUCGGAUACCCCUCUGAGCCUCAGCAGGAAAGAAAGAGAAUAUGCCGUGAGCCUUUUACCCUUGAUAAAUGGAAUAAUAUGACGGCCUACAAAAUUGAUCAGCCUGGGCAGCCUCAGCCAGCAGCAAGGAGAGUCUCCCCAAGACAUAUACCUGAAGGUAUAACACUUGCUACUCCUGCCAUCCCUCGAGCUCCACCAGCUGCACCUGCUCCAUCACAGCCAUCCACAUCAGCUGAGCCGAGGAUGGCCAUCCCUAUAUCCGAAUAUCGAGAGCUGUGCCGUGCAUUGGAGACUCUUACAGCUUCUCAGAGCAAUCUUGCUCAGGAGUUGGCAGCCAUUAAAGCAUGCCAGGAGCAGAUGUUAGCCUCUCAGACUCAACAAGCUGCCAUCCUAAGGCAGCUUCAAGUCCAUUUCGAUCUGCCACAAGCUGUAGAGCCCUCUAUUCCUACUCCACCAGAGCCACACUCUCAGCCUUCAGAGUCUCAUCCUCCAGAACCCGAAGCACCAGCUGAUCCACCUACUGAGGAGGCAGAUCCUUCUGCCUAGCACCAUCACCCCCCUCAUCAGACAUUAUAUAUAUAUUUGCUGUUUAUGUUUUUAUGCAUGUUUGUUUUGUUUUAGUUGAAAAGAAAUCCCAGUAUUUUGGUACUAUAUAUGGGAUUCCUUGUGUUACUUGUCUUUAGUAUUGUAAUCACAUGAACUCAAAGUAAUACAAGUUGACUAUUUCUUGUUAAAAGUUAGCAUUAAAGUUUCCUUAUUUCCUUUUCUCACAUAUUCUAUUCUUUUUGAAACAUGUGGUUUUCCCCAAUCAAUAUUCGAAUUUGAUAUCAGCAUGGAGGUACCACUUCCUCCCUUUUAUUACAGUCACUCAAAUCACAUUGAGGACAAUGCUCAGUUCGGUUGGGGGGUAUGAGGAAGGAAGUAUUCUAAACCUUUUUGGUAUUGCAAUUAUAUUGGUUAAUUAGUUGUAGAUUUUACUUUUUACUAGUGUUACUCUAUUCUCCAUGAAUUUUGAGGAAAAAUUUUCAAAUUAAACCAAGAGAAAUUGAACUGUUGUUUUUCACUUGACUUAGAGUAUGGAUUAUGCUUACUAAAGUGGUUCAAUUGUUGAAACUUCUACUGAAAUUGAAUUGAGUUCUUCCACUUUAAGCUAUCCACACACUGUGCACAUUAGUUUCCGAUUAUAAGAUGAAAAGCUAUUUCCCUCUUGACUUAGUAUAUUUUUGGGACUUGGUAUAUUUGACCUCAUUUGAUAAAAAUUGAAACACCCUGCAAAAGGCCAAUGAGCCUUUGAAAUAAAGAAAGUUGUUUGCUUGCCUUGAAACCCGAGCAAGGUCUGAGGGGUAUAUGGUGAAAAUCUUUAAAGCCUGGUGCCCUAAGCCUUAAUUGGUUGGGAGUCACCGACCUCAAUGCUCGUUACAAGGGUGAAUAGGUAGAGUUAGCAUAUGGUAGAUGCUUGGGUAUUAGAAAUUCAUUCUUAAAAGUCCGGGGAAAAAUCCGAGGAGUUAGUGGUUGAAAGAUCCUUAAAACUUGGUGCCCUAAACCUUAAUUGGUUGGGAGUCAUCGAUGGACCCCCAUUACAUGGACAAGUCAGAAAGAGUACCCCAUAAAGCUACCUUAAAAAAAAAAAAAAAAAAAAAAAAAAAAAAAAAGAUGAAAGUGUGUUCUUUUCUUAUUGAUUUUGGUCAGUUUGCUAAAGUGUUGAAAAGAGAUAGGUUGGGGGGUGAGAUUAGUAGCAUAUUAUUCUCGGAACCUAAGGAACCAAUACACAUAGAUUUUUGUGGAAGAUUGAAGUUUAGUUCUUAGAAAAUGAAAUGAUUUUAAAACUUCAGUUUGCAUAAUGCACUCCCUUGAUUGACAGUGUUUAGCAUAGGUGUUAUGACUCUUGUUGAGAUUUGGGUUUGUAUUUCUUUAAUGAUUCAUGUGAGAAAUAGAUCAUCAUGCCACUUGAGAAUUAUUUUCCUUUUAGCAUGAUGUUGUAAAUUUUAGAUUAGUUUGCUAUUUAUUUUUUAUUUUCUCUCCUAUAUUGCUAAGGGACUAGCAAUAUGUCGGUUGGGGGGAGUGAUUACUACUCAAAAAGUGCUAUUUGAUAGCCUUUAAUUAAUCCUUUUUAACACUUUUGAGUAGUAGUUUAGGCCUUUUAACUCAAUUGGCAUGUUAAGGAUCCUUUAAAGCAAUUUUGAUCACUUUGUGCAAGUUUUGGUGUUUUUGUUAGUAUUUUGAUCACCAAAGCAAGUCAAGAAUGAGGAGAACUAUGAGGAAUCAUGGGCAAAGCUUAGAAUUCAAUUGCCAAGAGUGAAUCCGGAUUGCAAGGAGAAAAAGCAAAGAGAAUCUGUCAUGAAGCCUAUUCUUGAUGACAGUCGUAGCAGCCACUUUUGGAGCACUUUCUGAAGUCCAAAUGAUGCAAGCUAUAUACCAUUUCAAAGCUCAGGAAGUCAACAAUCCAAUGCUUCAAACGGUGCGCGAUUCGGAGUUGAAACGAAGAAGUUGCAGCCAUUACAAGCCAGUCACUCUAAAGUGUUGCGGAAUCAGCCUUUUGUUGCGAGAAUUUCGCAGCACUUUUGUACAGUAAGGUGUUUCUCCUUCUGACGAUGCACGAACCAUGCCGCGAGAGGGAAGCUAGGAACUUCAAGAUGGAAGCCAACUUUGCAGCCUGGUGAAGAUAGCUUGGUCUUGCGAAAUAAUUUCGCAGCCCUCUUGGGUGUCUGCGAAAUUUCGCAGGCACCACUUUUUUCCUGCGAAAUGGCUCCGGAAGCCUCCCGAAGCUUGCUACCGACAUUGGGAGAUAUUUUCCAUUAGAUUUUUGUUGUCUAAAUUCCAAAAUACUCCUUGUAAACCACCAAUUACAUGAUUCCUUAGUUUUUAAGUUAGUAAAAAGACCAAAUAUCUAUGUAAUAAUUAGUUUUAUAUUAGUUUGCUAUAAAUACCUCUCGGGAGCAUGUUCUCAGAGAGGAGUUCCUUCUGUAACCAUUUUGGUAAGCAAGUAAAGUCUUUUCUUUCUACUGCCUUACCUUCUCACUUUGUAUUUUCAUUUUAUUUCUAAGUUAUGAAUUCUCUGAGGAGCUUUCCCCAGAGAAUGAGUAACUAAACCUCCAAUUCCUUGGAGCUAAGGUUGCCGGGGAAGGUUCCAAGUGCAAGAAUGCAAAGCUCUGUGGUUUUAGCUAGUAAUGAAGAGGAAGUGAAAUCCUUUAGUGAUUUCAAUGUUUUUAGUUAACUUAAAACACCUUGGAGUCACCUGGGCCAACACUUGGUAAGGCAAGUGAUUUCCAACCGUGGAAAUGCACUAGUUUACCCCUUGCGAGCCUCUGGUAGGUGACUUCAAGGUAGGAUUUUCUGGAAUUACCAACACUUGGUAAGCUUUUGGACUCCUAGGAGACAUCCAUUAGUUAUCUCUUGCGAGUUUGUGAAGGGGAAUCCAAGGUUAAAGAUCACCUUGAAUGGUAAGUGCUCGUGAGAGGCAUGAACCAUUGCAAGUUGUAUCAGUGAGAGAAUUAAAGUGAAAUCUAAUUGAAGGAGUCUCUGUACAUCACCGGUUAGAGAAUUGACUAUAAGUUGAAUCUCUAAUGCGAGGAAAUGAACCAUCUGACCGGAGCUAUGUCUUUUGCAUGAGGAACCACCCCAGUGAACCUAAAUCUCCAAGGAAUGCUUUUCUUCCUAAAUUAUUCCAAACUUCUGUUAAGUUAGUUAGUUUAAGUCUAAACCUUUACCAAUCAAACUUUGUGUUUUAUUCCUUAAGCUAACCGUGAAAUGAAACAAAACCAAUUCACUUGGAAUUGGUAUCCUUGAUUGCUUGCAAAUCAUUCCCAGUGAACGAUCCUUAGAGCCACUAUACUAUAGUAGCUUUGUAUUUGCUACCCUAGUGUAUGGUGUUAUAGGUAUAAAUUUUGUUGAUCACUUCCUCAAUCAAGGAACACCAGCUGAACACAAAUCAGCUGAGACACCAAUUGGGCAUGAGUCAGUGCGUUAGAGGAUCAAGAAGAAGAAAAAGAAGGAACUGUUGGAAUUAGUAUGAGUGUGAAGAGAAAAGUAUAUAAAUAAGGGGAAGUAAAAGCAAAGUUCAAAAAGCUAUAUUUUUUUAUUGUUGGUGUAUGGUUGCAUGAUUAUCCCUAUAAAUAAUAGGAGUUUUUUGGUAUUCUACUAGUAGUUGAAGCAUAAUUUCAUAAAUUAAUAUUUAGAGCGGGGUGGGGUGAGUUGUGACAAAAUUCAUACCCGUCCCAAACCUUGGUUCAGAUUUUUAAAAUAUUCUCAAACUUAUCAUAUACCCAACUUUUAUAUUUCAUACUUGUCCUAAUAGAGGCACGUUAGGCCGGGUUACUUGAGUAACCUACAUAAUUGUCAUCCCUAGUUGAAAUACACUUUUUGGCAGUGGCCACCAACUGAGCUAGAAGCUUGAUUGAUUGACCUACAAGAUUAGUUCUCAUCAUUUUAAAAAAAGUUCUGGCUUUGGUUGUGAGUGCAAUUGAAUCUAAACUGGCAUUUGCUUAAUGCAUCUACUUCAAUCCUAAACUUCUUACUUCUUAAGCCUCAAUUGUUGUUAGGAUUUUGGAAAACCCAUUUCCUUAAAUUGUAAAUUUAAGAUAAAAUAAAAUAAAAGUGAGACAUUUCUUGAUUGAAUAUUGUUAAAGGUCCCUUGGCAUUAAGACUUGGUUGAAGCCUUGGAAGAUUAGUGGAACUCUCAACAUGUGUUUGAAUCUUGAGGAGAGUGGAUGUAAGCCAAAAUUUUGUCAAACCAUUAUACAAAUUGAGUUUGAAUCCUCAUUUCUUGAUUUCUUAUUUAUUUGCUUUUUCUUAUUAUUACUUGAAUUGUCAUUUGCAUUCAUUAAUGUUAAAAUUGGUUAUAAUUAACCAACACUAAUUCUCUUUCCCCUUCCCUUUCUUGGGUGUAAACCUAGGUUGGAUUAACUAGAUAAAUCUAUUAAGAUGGUAAAAGAAUAAUUAUUCUUAACAUACAUAAGAUCAUCUUCAAUCAAAUGACUCAUUGGCUAAUAUGUUGAAUUUGCUUAUUACUUGCAACUCAAAAUUGUGUUCUAGUUGUGUCAAGUCCCCAGUGUAUGGACAUUAAAUUUGUAGUACGUGAUGAGUAAUUAGAUGGUCCAACUCCAAGAAAGUGAUUGAAAAGUAGUUCAAGAAAGGUGCAAAAGGGAAUUGUUUUGGUAUUUUCGUUUUUAUUCUUGAAGGUGGCAGAGCUAAAAUUUGAGAAAUCAAGCAAAACAUACUGAAAUUACAUUGAAAGAAAGAAGAUGGGAGUUAAUGUCUUGCAGUACAUGAUAAGGACUUCAUGCAUGUAGUGUGACCCAUGUCUUGGACUGAUGCCAACUCACGGUUACACUUAUACCCUUGGUUCUCUCUUUACUACCUUGGCUAACCUAGAUCAGGCUAUGAGAUAGGCUCCUCACCACACCAUUACUUGCCCAUUAAUUAGAGACAUUUUCAAGCAAUGAGGUAACAUGGUGACACCAAGAGGGUCUAUUCCUCGCCCGGAACAAGUCUAGACUUGGUCUCAAAAAAAUGGAGAAAAAUGAGGUGUCGUUAUGUAGAAAUACAACAACCAUGCCUUCCUCAUUACUUAGAUUCAGAAUGUGAAGGUGAAAUUGAGAAACAGAAACUCUUGAAACCAAAAUGAAAAUUGAUACUUUUACGAAGAAUUACAACAACAUUAGAGGAAGACUACAUUCUUCCUCUUUAUUCCUACAUUUCUACACUACUUCUACUCCACUCCAUAUUUCUACAUACAUCUUUAAUCAGUCUUCCCUCCUUUAUAUAGAGCCAUCUUCACACAAAUUUCGCAAGGUAGAAAAGAGGAAUGAAACUUGGAGCAAGGUUCGACUACUGGUUGUAGCUUGUCAAGGCUGGAAGUGAACUUUUCUUGGCUUUCUGGGCAUGGGUAGUAACUUGUGGGUUCCUGUUUGGCAUAAAAAUGGCUAGAACAUGUGGCACUAUCUUGUUGGAUGAUGUGUCAAGCAUGUGGCAGCCAUCUAGUGGCGAUUAUGUCAAUUUUGGGAUGGAGAGUUGGCAUCCAAUUGCAAAGAAAUAUGACGUCUACCAACAUGCAAUGUAAACCUAUGUAGAUCAUAUGAAGAUAGAGAGGAAAAAUAUAGAAAUGGAUAUAUACCUAGAACUAGCUUUUUAUUAAAUGAAACGGAGAGACAACAAUGAAGGAAAAUAAAAUUUUUUGGCUUAUAUCAAAGAGUUCACAUUGUGUUACCCUAGGUUUUCUUAAAACUUACUUUUAUGAUAACAAAAAAGAAAAAACCAUUAUUGUUUAAUCCUUUGUUUUAAACGCAUGUAAGGUGUAAUUAAGUUAGUUCAAUGCAUUAAUUUAAGAAACUUGACCUAUCAAAAGUACAAAAUUAGAUGAAAUCCAUUUCAAUGGUUAAAAUGAUCAAAAUCAAACUUUUUCUAAGUAUUUUUUAAAAGCAUCAAUAGUGAAAGACAAUUUUAUAUUUAGUCGGAGUUUGGACAAAACUGAAAAACACACAAAAUCCAAGCGACCAUCUCUAGCUUGGAUGGUCGCUUGAUCCCACCUAGAGAUGUGCAUGAGUAAAAGGAUUUGAAAAUGGAAAUUGACUAUGUAGUCGAUCAAUUAACUUUGCAACAUCAUAUGCAAUCCUAAUUGCUAGUCAUCUAAUCAAUUAGGUAGUCAAUCAACAGGCCAAAAAUAUGUUUAUAAUGACUAUUUUGUACAAAAACCACCUGUAUAGUUAAAUAUAAUGCAUUUCAUUUAUAAAUCUUCUAAUUCUUGAAUAACGAUCCUAUCAUCCUUUGAAAGUUUUUAUUACACUUUUUUUACUUUUGUUCUAAAACUUACACAUCACCCUUAAUUGUACCAUGAGAACCUAGCUAUUUUUUAUUUUUUUUUUUGUAAUUCAUCAAAGUUAGCUUUUGUAUUCAUUGUUGUAUUAUUUUUAGUAUAACUUAGAAAGCUAGUGUUUUCAAGUGAGUAAAAUUAACUUGUAAAUAUUGUAAAGAUUCAUCGACAUGUAUCUUAAACUAAGUGUACAAGUUAAAACAUUUGCUAGUAGAUUUUCUCAAAAUUUAGAAUAGAGCUUGAGACUAUUGAAAUAGGUGGGGUUGCACCAAACCACAUCACAUCGUUGUUUGCACCUUUUUUCACUCUCUUUUACUUAGUUGCUCUAUAUUUGUUGUCUAGUAAUAUCCUAUAGGCUUGAUGGGUUAGGGAGCAUCCCUUUGUGAAAAAAUUUUAUUCAAUCCUUAGUUGUAUCACGCAUAUAUAAAAUGCCUCAUUGUUUUAAUGGUAUUCAGUCGUGGCAUCACAGAUAUGGGCAUCUAAAUUUUAAAAGUUUGAAACUUUUAUCUAAAGAAAAUAUGGUGCUUUGCCUUUUUGUAAAGCAUGUUGAUGAAAUCCAUGAGAAUUGUGUACUUGGGAAGCAACACCGAGAUGACUUUUUUUUUUUUUUUAUAAUAUUGUUUGUCCAAAUUCCCUACAAAUUAGGCCACCAGAUGUUCAUAAUUCUCCCUUCUUGAAUUUGAAAACUCGGACAAUUGGACAAUGCGACACCUAAGUCCGGUUUCUAAAUGCUAAAGUGAAAGGGUAGGUAUGGACCAUUGAAAUGUGAUCACAACUUUUCUCUGUAGCCAUGUUGUCUCUUUUUUCUUUUGCAUGAUUUUCUUACCUUAACAGAAUCAUAGACUUGUUUAGUCUCUAAAUGGGAUUAAUUUCAUCCAGCUUUAAGCUACUAUAUUAUAUCUAGGUGGAGGACUUUUAAGAGUGCAACCGACAUAGAGCACAUGGAAGUGGGUAUAUGGGACAUGAAAUUUCUUCUUAUAAAGAUUGCAUGAUUUUUAUAUUAGAGUUGUUGAGGCGCUAUGUAUUUAGCUUGUUUUGCAGUUAAAUUAAUUGGAUAAGUAGACAUUGGCGUUUCUAAAUCUACUGUGAAGUGCUUCAUGUACGUGUGAAGUAUUAGAAAUUUCUUUCUUGGCAACUUGUUUUUCUUUGCGGUCUACUGAUAGGUUUGACUAAAAUUAUAUUCCCUGUCAUGCUAAUUAAUUUUCACGUGCAUGCUCAAAAGAAAAGUAUGACCUUAGUGCACCAAAAUCACUUUGAUUAAUUUGUGAUAGGUUUUUGUGCAUCAUGACAUUAGCCUUAUUCAUUUAGAUAAUGUUUAGUUUUUAGAAAGUAUUAAGAAAAGGAAAAUAAAUAUUAAGAAAAAUAUUCUUAUAUUUGAUUGUAUUAUGAAAAAUAUCAUAAAAAAAUCAAAUAUAAUUUAAAUUAAUUAAUAAUUUAUACAUUUUCAAAUUAUUUAAUCUUUAUAUUGAAGAUAUAAUAUAAAUGAAAUGAGUUUUAAGUAUUAUAUAAAAGUGAUUUAUUGAUCUUACAUAUAUAUAUUUCUUUUUUUUUUCCUUCUAUUUUUUCUCUUUAUUUUAUUUUCCUUAUGUUUUCCUCAACAUUUUCCGGAACCAAACAUAGCCUUAGGAAAUCCACAAUUACCUUCAACUGAGUAGAUUCUGUUGUUUUAGCAAUGUUAGGCUGCUAACUUGUGUUGGUACGAACCUAUUAAGCCUAAAGAUGUAAUUAGUUAGGAUAUUCUUUUCCCUCUAGUCUUGUAGCUCCACGUGUACAGUUGGUUAGGACCUCAUUGUAUAUAAUGCUUGCCCUGUUAUUGUAGAAGACAACAAAGAUAAAUAAUAUUAACAUUUUUCCUCUCAUCUCUCUCUGUUUCCCUCUGUUUUCAUCUCCUCUCUCAUCUUGGUAUCAGAGCCUCCAUGGCUUCUUUCAAAGAAACCUCCGAAUCACCUUCUGCUAGCAUUGUUAAUGUGCAAAACCCAUUAUCUCAAUCAAACAACCUUCCUUCACCAGUAGCCACACCCUCUUUUUCUUUCUCGUCUAUGAAUCAACCUCUCACAGUGAAGCUGGAUAAUGGGAACUACCUCAUAUGGAAGAAUUAGCUUCUAAAUGUCAUCAUUGCUAACGGACUCGAUGAUUUCAUUGACGGAUCUCGACCCUGCCCUCCUCGAUUUCUCGAUCUGCAACAACAAACCCUCAAUCCAGAGUACUCAGCUUGGCAGAGAUACAAUCGACUUCUGAUGAGUUGGCUGUACGCAUCCUUGUCCAAAGAUAUAAUGGCUCAGAUUGUUGGGUAUUCAACAGCUAUGGAGAUUUGGAAUGCCCUUAAUCAGAUUUACUCUGCCUCUUCUAUGGCGCGGUUUACUGAGCUUCGCACCAAGCUUCAAACGCUCAAGAAAGAUGGACUCUCAGUUGGUGAAUAUAUUCAAAGGCUCAAAUCCAUUUGCAAUAGUCUUGCAGCAAUAGGAGAACCAGUUUCUGAGAAAGACCAUCUUAUCUAUUUGUUCAAUGGAUUAGAUUGUGAGUAUUAUUCUUUUGUUACCUCCAUUCAAAAUCGAUCUGACCAACCAACUAUUGACAAAAUCCAUAGCCUAUUGCUUAGCUAUGACUUCCGGCUUGAACAACAAAACUCUGUUUCUCUCCAUUCUGCCCAAGUCCAUAUGGCUCAUCUGAACAAGAAACCUUAUAAAUCAACUCCUCAACCUACAUUCAAUCAUAUUCACAUUCAACCUAGAUACUCUUCUCCACCUUUUAAGCCAACCACUAGUCAAUAUCAACCCAACAUUUUGGGCAAACCACAACCACAACCAUGACAGCCUCAACCUCAAUGGAAACCACAUUUUUCAAUCUAAAAUCAAAAGCCUCAGCGCCAAAUUUGUGGUAAAUUUGGACACACUGCUCUUAUUUGCUUCCAUCACACAAAUUUGAACUAUUCACCCCAACCUUCUCCUAAAUCUUUCAAUACUGUUCUCACCACAAAUUCCCAGCUCCCUAAUCCUCCAAAAUUUUCUUACCCUACAAUGGCUCAUCCUGCUGCUACGCAUAACACGGUUCCCGAUACAAAUUGGUACAUGGACUCAGGUGCUACACAUCACUUUACUCUGGACAUCAACGUGCUUGACACUGUGACACCAUUUAGUGGUUCAGAACAGGUGACAGUUGGGAAUGGUAAGCAACUCUGUAUCUCACAUCUUGGUACUGCAAAACUACCAUCUUCGUAUUCUCCUCCUGUUCUACAUCAGGUAUAUCACACUCCAAAAAUUUCAAAUAAUCUUAUUAGUGUUAAAAAAUUGUGUUCUGAUAAUAAAGUUUUUGUUGAAUUUUAUGCCACUCAUUUUCUUGUCAAGGAUCAGGUUUCGAAGAGAGUUCUCCUUUAGGGUCAACUUGAUAAUGGCUUAUACAAAGUUCAGUCGUCAUGCUCUCCUUCUGCUGUUUCCUUUCCUCCUCAAGUUUUCAUAGCCAACAUCAAGUAUCCAAAUCUGUGGCACAAGAGACUAGGCCACCCAGCUUUAUCUGUUGUUAAUCAAAUCUUGGAUUCUUGUAACAUUGCUCGAACACAGAAAAUUUGUUUUAAUUUUUUAAAUUCUUGUCAAUUAGCAAAGAGCCACAGGCUUCCUUUUUCUCUGUCUCCAUCCAUUGCAGAAAAACCUUUUGAGUUAAUUCAUACAGACCUAUGGGGUCUUUCGCUCGUUCGCUCUAUUUCUGGUGCUCUUUAUUUUUUACUUUUCAUUGAUGAUCAUACUCGUUUUACUUGGUUUUAUUUGCUCAAAACAAAAGAUGAAGCAUAUCCUACUUUUCUCAAGUUUCAAGCUCUCAUUGAAAAUCAAUUUAAUACCAAGAUUAAGGCUGUCCAAUCUGAUUGGGGAGGUGAGUUUCGAUCUCUCUCCAUACCGUUUUCAAAUAUGGGCAUUGUCUAUUGUUUAUCGUGUCCAUACACCUCACAACAGAAUGGGCGAGUUGAGCGAAAAAAUCGCCAUGCGAUUGUCCUUUCUUGCUUGCUCUAUGCCCUUAUCUUAUUGGCCUUAUGCCUUUCAAACUGCCACUUACCUUAUUAAUCGUCUCUCUACCCCUGUGCUGCAUCAUCAAUCCUCUUACUUCGCACUCUAUCACAAACUCCCAACUUAUACUCAUCUUAAGGUCUUUGGUUCCUCUUGUUUUCCGUAUUUGCACCCUUAUAAUACCCAUAAACUCCAAUACAGGUCACUAGAGUGUGCUUUUCUUGGUUACAGUUCACACCACAAAGGUUAUCUAUGUCUUGACAUUCAUUCUAGCAGGGUGUAUAUUUCUCGCCAUGUGAUUUUUAAUGAAGAUUCUUUUCCAUUCAAGAAUUUGAAAUCUUCUCUCUCUCAGUCUAUUUCUUCUUCCUCUUCUUUAUAAGUUCCUCUGUUCAUUCUCUUGCCUCCCCUUUCCCCAUCUCCUCUUAUUUCUUCAUCUAUACCUCAUUCUUUUCCCUCUUCUUCUUCUACCUCUAGUACUUGUUCCCCUCUCGUUGCUCCUACCUCUCUUCCUUCCUCUUCACACUCUGUGUCUCCAUCUAUUCCACCUCCUUCUCCACCUUCUCCGAGUGUGGACCUGCUUGCACCUUGUGUGAAUACAAAUUUACAUACUUCUUCUCGCACUCACAAUAUUCAUCCUAUGGUGACUAGAUCUAAGGUUUGUAUCUAUAAACCUAAGUUGUUGUUGAGUGUCUCCAUAGGUUCUCUCACUAAGCCUACUUCCUUUCUUCAAGCUAUUAAAGAUCCUUCAUGGAAGCAAUCCAUGGAAUUCGAGUUUGCUACCCUUCAACACAACAAGACCUGGCAUUUGGUUCCUUCACCUUCCUCAGGCGAAGUAAUCGGUUGUAAAUGGGUCUAUAAGCUAAAGCUUCAGCCUGAUGGCUAAAUUGAGAGAUACAGCCUGCUUAGUAGCUAAGGGUAUCAUCAAAUUGAAGUAUGGACUACUUCGAAACAUUCAGCCUGAUNNNNNNNNNNNNNNNNNNNNNNNNNNNNNNNNNNNNNNNNNNNNNNNNNNNNNNNNNNNNNNNNNNNNNNNNNNNNNNNNNNNNNNNNNNNNNNNNNNNNAGCUUCAGCCUGAUGGCUAAAUUGAGAGAUACAAGGCCUGCUUAGUAGCUAAGGGUUAUCAUCAAAUUGAAGGUAUUGACUACUUCGAAACAUUCAGCCUGAUUGUCAAGCUUUCUACUAUCUGUAUUGUGCUCAGUCUUACUUUUUCCCAGAAUUGGUGUAUUAGACAGCUGGAUGUUCAUAAUGCCUUCUUACAUGGUGACUUAGCUAAAGACGUUUUCAUGGAACAACUGCCUGGAUUUGUUGAUCCUCUCUAUCCUACUCAUGUCUGCAAGUUGGAUAAGUCUCUCUACUGUCUUAAAUAGUCACCUCGGGCUUGGUAUACUAAGCUGAGUACUUCUCGCUACACUUGGGAUUUGUUACUUCUAAGAAUGACUCUUCCUUAUUUAUUUGUCAUUCGUCUCAUGGGUUACUUCUUGUUCUUGUCUAUGUGGAUGAUAUAAUCGUCAUUGGGAGCCACUCUCCUCAGGUUACUCACCUUAUCCAACAGUUGCAUCAUUAGCUUUCUUUAAAGGAUCUUGGUCCUUUACAUUAUUUUCUGGGCUUGGAGGUUCAUCACACCCCUACUGGUAUUCACCUCAGCCAAGCAAAGUAUAUCACUGAUCUCCUUACCCGGGCGGCUAUGUUGGAUGCCAAGCCAUGUCCCACUCCUAUGUCCUCCAACACAUAUCUCUCUUUUCAUGAUGGAGUGGCUCUUGAAAAUGGUUCAGAUUAUCGAAGUUUUGUUGGUGCCCUUUAGUAUUGUACCAUGACACGCCCAGAUAUAGCUUUUGCAAUAAAUAAAGUGUGUCAAUUCAUGCACCAUCCCUCUAAUGUUCACUGGCAGGCUAUAAAACGUAUUCUCCGGUACUUAAAGGGCACAUCUCAUUUUGGUCUCUUCCUACAGCCUUCCUAUGACUUCAACAUCACUUGCUAUACAAAUGCCGACUGGGCUUCCUGUCCUGAUGACAAGUGUAGCACCAGUGGCUACUGCCUCUUUCUUGCCUCUAAUCUGGUUUCUUGGUCAUCUUCCAAACAAAAAGUGGUCUCCCGCUCCAGCGCCGAAUCAGAGUACCGAGGGGUAGCAAAUGGGGCUGCUGAAAUUGCUUGGACUGAAUCUCUUCUUUGUGAACUUUCCAUUACUCCCCCUCCCCUCAUUCUCUGUGACAAUAUCAGUGCCACGUACUUAGCUGCCAAUCCUAUUUUGCAUGCCCGCACCAAACAUGUGGAAAUCGACUAUCACUUUGUCACGGAACGUGUUCUUCAAUGCUCUCUUUUUGUCCAGUUUACACCUUCUGAUGAUCAACUUGCUGAUUGCAUGACCAAGCCUCUCUCCACCCAACGUUUCAUCACUCUACGCUCCAAGCUCACUGUUCUCACUAGACCAAUGAGCUUGAGGGGGGAUGUUAAGCCUAAAGAUGUAAUUAGUUAGGAUAUUCUUUUCCCUCUAGUCUUGUAGCUCCACGUGUACAGUUGGUUAGGACCUCAUUGUAUAUAAUGCCUGCCCUGUUAUUGUAGAAGACAACAGAGAUAAAUAAUAUUAACAUUUUUCCUCUCAUCUCUCUCUCUGUUUCCCUCUGUUUUCAUCUCCUCUCUCAUCUGAACCAAAUGAUCCAUGUUAACCUUGGCUUGGUUUGAUUUGGCUCUAUCUUAGAGAGCUCAAGGAUCACGUCAACUCUGGUUUCUACUAUUCAGGUCCAUUCCCAUAUGAACUGGUUCAAAUUUGAGAAAAUGGUAACAGACCUUUAGUGAUGUUGGUUUGGAGCCAGUUGCCAAACCCGCCCUGAGCUUUACCACUAAUGUCAAGGGAGAAAGCCAUUUGAACAAAAACAAUAGCUUCAAGGGACUGAAUCGUGGAUGAAAUCUGAUCCACAUUUCUUCUCAUUUUGGAAACAAAUGAGAACUUAACUAAGAAGAUUCUACGGCCUCAUAGUGCUUUUCCUGAUCUAAGGUUGGUUCGUUUCCCAAACUGUGAGAUGCACGUGCCAGACUUCAGAACUCUCACGCUCAGGAGUGUAUCCACGUGGUGGACAUAAGAUGGUGGCUUAAGAUCUGGUGUCGGUGGCUUUACUUUACUAGGAGAGUAGUGUGUCUUCAUCUCAUUCACUGCCGGAGGGUGGCGUAAGCAGUGACGCUAAGGUGGGGCACAGUCAAUAUCAUUUGCAUUUGACCAUUAUAGUUUUCUCCCGGCUUUAAAGUAACCUUAUCGUGAUAAAGGAUUACUAGCACUAGUUCAGAUGAUAGUCAUGUUAAAUUCGGACCAUGUUUGUGUCACAUUAUCAGCAACCAUGUGUUUAUGGUUCAUGCUUUCUGCAACUAAAAUUGAUAUAUAACCAGGUGAACUUCAAUCUAAAUUCUGAAAGUACUCAUGUGAUAGAUGGUGCCCGUCUGCAGAGUCCAUCAAUUGAAAAAUGGAGUGAGUGUAUCUAUAAGAGGGAAGGCUUGGAAAAUGUUCAGUUUUCUGGGAAUUCAACAAGGAUCUAAAAUAGAUUGUUUUCUUUGCUGAUUUCAAUGGUUGAAAUUUGAGAAGAUUGUGUCCACAUAACACAACUAUUACUGGUCCUUCUGUUGCAAUUUAUCCUCUAAAGCUCUAGCAUGUCUUCCAAUUCCCACUUCCCUGUUACUCCAGGAAAGCUAUUUCUGUCAUUGUGAAGAAGAAAAGAGAAUGUACAUAUCGAUGCUUUUAAGUGACUGGAGCAUUUAUAUCAGGUGGUCUGCAGCCAUAUAUGCCACUUUGUGAAGAUUGGAACAGUCAAUCACUAGGCUAUAUAUUAGUGUGGCCCAGCCACUUUAAUCAAGGACAAGUCUUCAUACUUAAAGUCAAAUUCUGCCUUUAGUCUCAUUAUAAAUUUCUGUUUAAAUAUUAAGCAAACAUUUGUUUAAUGCGAUUAAGACAGUACUAACUCAAUACCUGUUCUAUUUUUGGAUGCAAAUGCUUGAUGGUUUCAUCAUUGGAUGGGAUAAAGGUGCAUUCAUGAUUAGGAAUACUAGUAGUUAUAUUUUAAUUCUCUUUUUUCUCAAUGAGACUUGUUGGCACAAUUUUGCUGUUGAGAAACCUACCUCUCCAUGGAAAAUAAGUUGUGAUUGAUAGUACUGGAUAUAUUCAAGAAAUCUAAAUAUAGAUAGCACAAAAUAUUAUCGACAUAAAUAGCAUUAACAGCGUACGUAUGUCUCAGUGCUCAUCAGCUAUAAGCAUGGGGCAAACACUUACUAUGAGCAACUUACGUCAAAAUUCCAGAAUAGGACAUAGAAGUGACAGAUAUAGAACAUUGCAUAUGAGUCACAAGAAAGGAAAUUACGGGUGCAUAGCAGCUCUUAUUUUACAUACUACUACUCAUACUGAUCAAAGUCACUCAGUUGGGAUGGGUGGGAGUAGGAGGUUUGUGGGGUGGCUUGUGCGGAGGAGUUGGCAGCUUCUUUCCAGGACCUGGUUGCUUCUCUGCUGGAGUUGAAGGAGGCUUAAUCUUCCGAGGUGGCUUGUAUGAGUCUUCAGCAUUCUCAGCUGGAGGGUGACCAGGGUUGUGACCAUAAUGUGGUGGCUUCUCUCCCUUAGGUGGUUUGCCAACUGGGGUUGGUGGCUUGUAUGAGUCUUCAGCAUUCUCAGCAGGAGGGUGACCAGGGUUGUGACCAUAAUGUGGUGGCUUCUCUCCCUUAGGUGGUUUGCCAACUGGGGUUGGUGGCUUGUGUUCUGGGAGUGGCUUCUCCCCCUUGGGAGGUUUUUCCAAUGGGGUUGGUUUGUGUUCAGGAGGUGGCUUCUCCACUGGAGGCUUGUGUUCAGGAGGUGGCUUCUCCACCGGAGGCUUGUGUUCAGGUGGUGGCUUCUCCACCGGAGGCUUAUGCUCUGGUGGUGGCUUCUCGAAUGGGGGAUGCUUAGGAUAAUCAGCAAGUGAGGGGGCGGUGAGAACCACCAGGCCAAGCAACACCACUAGCAAAUAUGUAGGAGACAUCUUUGGGUUUGGGCUCAGAUGGUGCAAAACUAGGAGAAUUGGCUAGCCUUUUAUAGCGGAUCGUACCCAAUAAUGAAAUGACACGUGUCAUUAUGACCCAUGUGUAAUGGGGUCGAUUUGGGUCCUACAGUGUUGAAAACUUCGACAUCCACUUUUGGCCUUUUGCUUUCUCUACAGCCGCCUUGCUUUUUCCCUCUUUCCUUUUGUUUUCCUCCUGCCCCAUUCUAUCAACUAAACACAAUUAUGUAGUUGUUUAAUUCUUAAAUGAGAUAUUAUCCGUCAAUCGUAUUAUAUUUUAUCAAGAGAGAACGGAGUGCAAUGUGGCUGUAAUUUUAUCGUUUAGUUUUAUCUCUUGGACCACUGCAUUUUUGUUAAGAGGUGCAAUAAUACACGUCUUUAUCUGCCAUUCAAUAUUUACAGUAAAGAGAGGGCACAAAACUCUUCACUUCGCACCAUAAUUAUUUUGUUUUCUGGACACCCCGGGGCCCUUUGGUUGGUUUGGGGGUCAGAAAGUGAACAUCAUAGGGGGUUUUUCCCUUAUGUGCAUUUGUAUCUGAUGGCUUUAACUCGCCUUGUUACUACAAAGAAACUGUCACAGAUAGGAACUUAUUCCAGGCUGAGUAUCUCCUCAUAGACCCUAUAAAAGAAGACAAGUCAUAAUGAACAUCUAACCUUUGUUCAAUUUGAUUCAAUGCCCCCAUUGUGUCCAUCUCACAAAUCUGAAUUAUUAUAUCCAUUGAAUACAUAAAUUAAUGAAGAAAAUAUGAAACCCAAGAUACAUCUCUGCACAACCUCAACCCUGGUUGCUAUGUUUCCCUUCUAUUCACAUGAUUUGAUGCUAAUUGCCAAACUUGCAACAAGCCCUGAGUUUGACACCUAGUAUCGAUGGGCGAAUUUAAAGUCUCCUCCAAACAUAUAUUCCACAGCUUGAAGCUCACAGAAGAUGUUACAGGCAGGGAAAAACCUUCAGAGUUCGCUACCAAAGAUAAUUAUUAAGGAGAUAUCACAAAGAGAAUUCCAAGGGGUCUGAAUCAAAGACAAAUUGGUCGUUCGUGGGGGUUCUUACUUUCUUUUGGGUAUAACUCACUGAGGGCACUGUCUUUGUUAUUUGCAUUUCACAUUUAGAGUUCUGUUCUGGAAACAUAUAAAAGGAGCAUCAUUUUGUUCUUGGGUAACCCAUAGUCGUGAGUGGGUCCAUUUGCAUGCUACUUAGUUGAAAAGUUGGACCAUUUGCUCCGACGCCUACCUCCCGGAUUCCAUGCUCGGAUAAAACAAGAAUAAAAAAAAUAUUUAUAAUUUACAAAUGGGGGAAAGAAAAAAAUGUCAACAACAAACCAGGAAAAAAGAGUAGUAAAAUUCAUGUCACAUGCUAGUGAGAGAAGGGGUUGUUACACUCACUCGAAGUUCUUUCCAAAAUAUCGCAUGGUAUUUUAUUUUAUGUGUCAGCGCAGUUGUGAAUGGAACGUGCAAAAGUCCAAAUUGGCGUUUUUCCUUUUCCCGUGUAGGAUGGCGACCUUUAAUAAAUAUUUAAAACAAAAAACGAAAAAAAGGAGGGAAAAGGGAUCAGAAAAGAUAAAACAAUGUGUACAAGAGCUCAAUUAGUUUGCAAAUUACUGUUUGGAUUUUGAUAGUAUUUUAUUUGUCCAUCUAUAUUUGAUGGAAAAGAGAAUUUAAGAUAUUUCUGAAACAAAAGCAUUAGUGUAAAACUAAAUUAAGGUAUAAUUAAGUUAGUUCAAUGCAUUAAUUUAAGAAACUUGAUCUAUCCAAAGUACAAAAUUAGAUGAAAUCCAUUUCAAUGGUUAAAAUGAUCAAAAUCAAACUUUUUCUAAGUAUUUUUUAAAAGCAUCAAUAUUAAAAGACAAUUUUAUAUUUAGUCGGAGUUUGGACAAAACCAAAAAGCACACAAAAUCCAAGCGACCAUCUCUAGCUUGGAUAGUCACUUGAUCCCACCUAGAGAUGUGCAUGAGUAAAAGGAUUUGAAAAUGGAAAUUGACUAAAUAUUUAGUUGAUCAAUUAAAUUUGCAAUGUCAUAUGCAAUCCUAAUAGCUAGUCAUCUAAUCAAUUAGGUAGUCAAUCAAGUGUUUGUAAUGACUAUUUUGUACAAAAAACCACAUGUAUAGUUAAAUAUAAUGCAUUUCAUUUAUAAAUCUUCUAAUUCUUGAAUAACGAUCCUAUCAUCCUUUGAAAAUUUUUAUUACACCUUUUUUACUUUUGUUCUAAAACUUACAUAUCACCCUUAAUUGUACCAUGAGAACCUAGCUAUUUUUUUUUUUUUUGUAAUUCAUCAAAGUUAGCUUUUGUAUUCAUUGUUGUAUUAUUUUUAGUAUAACUUAGAAAGCUAGUGUUUUCAAGUGAGUAAAAUUAACUUGUAAAUAUUGUAAAGAUUCAUUGAUAUGUAUCUUAAACUAAGUGUACAAAUUAAAACAUUUGCUAGUAGAUUUUCUCAAAAUUUAGAAUAGAGCUUGAGGCUAUUGAAAUAGGUGGGGUUACACCAAACCACAUCACAUCGUUGUUUGCACCUUUUUUCACUCUCUUUUACUUAGUUUCUCUAUAUUUGUUGUCUAGUAAUAUCCUAUAGGCUUGAUGGGUUAGGGAGCAUCCCUUUGUGAAAAAAUUUCAUUCAAUUCUUAGUUGUAUUACGCAUAUAUAAAAUGCCUCAUUGUUUUAAUGGUAUUCAGUCGUGGCAUCACAGAUAUGGGCAUCUAAAUUUUAAAAGUUUGAAACUUUUGUAAAGCAUGUUGAUAAAAUCCAUGAGAGUUGUGUACUUGGGAAGCAACAUCGAGGUGACUUUAUUUUUUUUUCCUUUUAUAAUGCCACACCUAAGUCCGGUUUCUAAAUGCUAAAGUGAAAGGGUAGGUAUGGACCAUUGAAAUGUGAUCACAACUUUUGGCCUUUUCCUUUCUCUGCAGCCAUGUUGUCUCUUUUUUCUUUUGCAUGAUUUUCUUACCAAAACAGAAUCAUAGACUUGUUUAGUCUCUAAGCUACUAUAUUAUAUCUCGGUGGACUUUUAAGAGUGCAACCGACAUAGAGCACAUGCAAGUGGGCAUAUGGGACAUGAAAUUUCUUCUUACAAAGAUUGCAUGAUUUUUAUAUUAGAGUUGUUCACGUGCAAUGUAUUUAGCUUGUUUUGCAGUUAAAUUAAUUGGAUAAGUAAACAUUGGCAUUUCUAAAUCGACUGUGAAGUGCUUCAUGUACGUGUAAAGUAUUAGAAAUUUCUUUCUUGGCAACUUGUUUUUUCCUUGCCAUCUACUGGUAGGUUUGACUAAAAUUAUAUUCCCUGUCAUGCUAAUUAAUUUUCAUGUGCAUGCUCAAAAGAAGAGUAUGACCUUAGUGCACCAAAAUCACUUUGAUUAAUUUGUGAUAGGUUUUUUUGCAUCAUUUAGAUAAUGUUUAGUUCUAAGAAAAAUUUAUAUAAAAAUGGUUUAUUUAUCUUACAUAUAUAUAUAUAUAUAUAUAUUUUUUUUUUUUUCAUUUUUUUUUCUUCUAUUUUAUUUAUUUAUUUUAUUUUCCUUAUGUUUUCCUCACAUUUUCCGGAACUAAACAUAGUCUUACGAAAUCAACAAUUGCCUUCAACUGAGUAGAUUCUGUUGUUUUAGCAAUGUUAGGCUGCUAACUUGUGGUGGUACGAACCAAAUGACCCAUGUUAAUCUUGGCUUGGUUUGAUUUGGCUCUAUCUCAGAGAGCUAAAGGAUCACGUCAACUCUGGUUUCUACUAUUCAGGUCCAUUCCCAGAUGAACUGGUUCAAAUUUGAGAAAAUGGUAACAGACCUUUAGUGAUGUUGGUUUGGAGCCAGUUGCCAAACCCGCCCUGAGCUUUACCACUAAUGUCAAGGGAGAAAGCCAUUUGAACAAAAACAAUAGCUUCAAGAGACUGAAUCGUGGAUGAAAUCUGAUCCACAUUUCUUCUCAUUUUGGGAAAAAAUGAGAACUUAACUACAAAGAUUCUACUGCCUCAUUCAUAGUGCUUUUCCUGAUCCAAGGUUGGUUCGUUUCCCAAAUUGUGAGGUGCACGUGCCACUCUCACGCUCAGGAGUGUAUCCACGUGGUGGACAUCAGAUGGUGGCUUAAUAUCUGGUGUCGGUGGCUUUACUUUACUAGGAGAGUAGUGUGUCUUCAUCUCAUUCACUGCCGGAGGGUGGCGUAAGCAGUGACGCUAAGGUGGGGCACAGUCAAUAUCAUUUGCAUUUGACCAUUAUAGUUUUCUCCCGGCUUGAAAGUAACCUUAUCGUGAUAAAGGAUUACUAGCACUAGUUCAGAUGACCGUCAUGUUAAUUCGGACCAUGUUUGUGUCACAUUAUCAGCAACCAUGUGUUUAUGGUUCAUGCUAUCUGCAACUAAACUUGAUAUAUAACCAGGUGAACUUCAAUCAAAAUUCUGGAAGUACUCUUGUGAUAGAUGGUGCCUGUCUGCAGAGUCCAUCAAUUGAAAAAUGGAGUGAGUGUAUCUAUAAGAGGGAAGGCUUGGCAAAUGUUCAGUUUUCUGGGAAUUCAACAAGGAUCUAAAAUAGAUUGUUUUCUUUGCCGACUUCAAUGGUUGAAAUUUGAGAAGAUUGUGUCCACAUAUCACAACUAUUACUGGUCCUUCUGUUGCAAUUUAUCCUGUAAGGCUCUAACAUGUCUUCCAAUUCCCACUUCCCUGUUACUCCAGGAAAGCUAUUUCUGUCAUUGUGAAGAAGAAAAGAGAAUGUACAUAUCGAUGCUUUUAAGUGACUGGAGCAUUCAUAUCAGGUGGUCUGCAGCCAUAUAUGCCACUUUGUGAAGGUUGGAACAGUCAAUCACUAGGCUAUAUAUUGGUGUGGCCCAGCCACUUCAAUCAAGGACAAGUCUUCAUACUUAAAGUCAAAUUCUGCCUUUAGUCUCAUUAUAAAUUGCUGUUUAAAUAUUAAGCAAACUUUUGUUUAAUGCGAUUAAGACAGUACUAACUCAAUACUUGUUCUAUUUUUGGAUGCAAAUGCUUGAUGGUUUCAUCAUUGGAUGGGAUAAAGGUGCAUUCAUGAUUAUGAAUACUUGUAGUUAUAUUUUCAUUCUCUUUUUUCUCAAUGAGACUUGUUGGCACAAUGUUGCUGUUCAGAAACCUACCUCUCCAUGGAAAAUAAGUUGCGAUUGAUAGUACUGGAUAUGUUCAAGAAAGCUAAAUAUAGAUAGCACAAAAUAUUAUCGAUAUAAAUAGCAUUAACAGCGUACGUAUGUCUCAAUGCUCAUCAGCUAUAAGCAUGGGACAAACACUUACUAUGAGCAACUUACGUCAAAAUUCCAGAAUAGGACAUAGAAGUGACAGAUCUAUAUAUAUAGAACACUGCAUAUGAGUCACAAGAAAGGAAAUUACGGGUGCAUAGCAGCUCUUAUUUUACAUACUACUACUCAUACUGAUCAAAGUCACUCAGUUGGGAUGGGUGGGAGUAGGAGGUUUGUGGGGUGGCUUGUGCGGAGGAGUUGGCAGCUUCUUUCCAGGACCUGGUUGCUUCUCUGCUGGAGUUGAAGGAGGCUUAAUCUUCCGAGGUGGCUUGUAUGAGUCUUCAGCAUUCUCAGCUGGAGGGUGACCAGGGUUGUGACCAUAAUGUGGUGGCUUCUCUCCCUUAGGUGGUUUGCCAACUGGGGUUGGUGGCUUGUAUGAGUCUUCAGCAUUCUCAGCAGGAGGGUGACCAGGGUUGUGACCAUAAUGUGGUGGCUUCUCUCCCUUAGGUGGUUUGCCAACUGGGGUUGGUGGCUUGUGUUCUGGGAGUGGCUUCUCCCCCUUGGGAGGUUUUUCCAAUGGGGUUGGUUUGUGUUCAGGAGGUGGCUUCUCCACUGGAGGCUUGUGUUCAGGAGGUGGCUUCUCCACCGGUGGCUUGUGUUCAGGAGGUGGCUUCUCCACCGGAGGCUUAUGCUCUGGUGGUGGCUUCUCCACCGGAGGCUUAUGCUCUGGUGGUGGCUUCUUGAAUGGGGGAUGCUGAGGGUAAUCAGCAAGUGAGGGGGCGGUGAGAACCACCAGGCCAAGCAACACCACUAGCAAAUAUGUAGGAGACAUCUUUGGGUUUGGGCUCAGAUGGUGCAAAACUAGGAGAAUUGGCUAGCCUUUUAUAGCGGAUCGUACUCAAUAAUGAAAUGACACGUGUCAUUAUGACCCAUGUGUAAUGGGGUCGAUUUGGGUCCUACAGUGUUGAAAACUUCGACAUCCAGUUUUGGCCUUUUGCUUUCUCUACAGCCGCCUUGCUUUUUCCCUCUUUCCUUUUGUUUUCCUCCUGCCCCAUUCUAUCAACUAAACACAAUUAUGUAGUUGUUUAAUUCUUAAAUGAGAUAUUAUCGGUCAAUCGUAUUAUAUUUUAUCAAGAGAGAACGGAGUGCAAUGCAGCUGUAAUUUUAUCGUUUACUUUUAUCUCUUGGACCACUGCAUUUUUGUUAAGAGGUGCAAUAAUACACGUCUUUAUCUGCCAUUCAAUGUUUACAGUAAAGAGAGGGCACAAAACUCUUCACUGCUCUGCAUGUGUCCCAAAAAUGCGAUUGGACAAAUUAUGAUUUGCAUGCUAAAAAGAGGCAAAUGAGGUUAAUUCGCACCAUAAUUAUUUGGUUUUCUGGACACCAUAAAAAGAUGUUAUACAGGCAGGGAAAAACCUUCAGAGUUAGCUACCAAAGAUAAUUAUCAAGCAGAUAUCACCAAGAGAAUUCCAUAGAGUCUGAAUCAAAGACAGAUUGCUCGCUCGUGGGGGUUCUUACUUUCUUUUGGGUAUAACUCACUGAGGUCACUGUCUUUUUUAUUUGCAUUUCACAGUUAGAGUUCUGCUCUGGAAGGUUUGUUCUGGAAACAUAUAAAAGGAGCAUCAUUUUGUUCUUGGGUAACCCAUAGUCGUGAGUGGGUCCAUUUGCAUGCUACUUAGUUGAAAAGUUGGACAAUUUGCUCCGACGCCUACCUCCUGGAUUCCAUGCUCGGUAAAACAAGAAUAAAAAAAAAUAUAUAAUUUACAAAUGGGGGAAAGAAAAAAUGUCGGAAAAAAUAGUAAAAUUCAUGUCACAUGCUAGUGAGAGAAGGGGUUGUUACACUCACUCGAAGUUCUUUUCAAAAUAUCGAAUGGUAUUUUACUUUAUGUGUCAGCGCAGUUGUGAAUGGAACGUGCAAAAGUCCAAAUUGGCGUUUUUAUUUUUCCCAUGUAGGAUGGUGACCUUUAAUAAAUAUUUAAAACAAAAGACGAAAAAAAAAAGGAGGGAAAAGGGAUCACAAAAGAUAAAAUAAUGUUUACAAAAGCUCAAUUAGUUUGCAAAUUACUGUUUGGAUUUUGAUAGUAUUUUAUUUGUCGUUCUAUAUUUGAUGUAAAAGAGAAUUUAAGAUAUUUCCGAAGCAAAAGCAUUAGUUUGCUCUGUGAUGUCCCACAUCGAAUAGGGGAGAAAGUUUCUGGCGCUAUAUAUGUAGAGGCUCCUCUUAACCAAGUAGAUGCGUUUUAAAACCAUGAGGGCCCCCUUAGGUCCAAAGCGGACAAUAUCUACAUGAUUGGGUGUAAGUCAUUACAAAUGGUAUCAGAGCCGAUCCCCGACCCCGGUGUGGGGGUUUGUUUGGCCCUGUAAGGGGUGUUUGUCUGUUUGACCCCACAAUCCCAUGGGACACAACGAGGACGUUGUGUCUGCAUGGGGGGGCGUUUGUGAUGUCCCACAUCGGAUAGGGGAGAAAGUUCCUAGUGCUAUAUAUGUAGAUGUUUCUCUUAACCAAGUAGAUGCAUUUUAAAAUUGUGAGGGCCUCUUUGGGCCCAAAGCGGACAAUAUCUACAUGGUUGAGUGUAAGUCAUUACAUGCUCCAUGUCAAUUUCAGCAUUUCUCAUAUGUUUCACACAUACACAGAAGAGCAUCGUUUUUUAAAGCAUGCAUUUAUGUUGGAUUAAUUUGGAUUUUGUGGGAACUGGGGCAAGGAUCACAUGGAAGAGAGGUUGACUUUUUUCAGUACUUCAAUGGUUGAAAUAUGUGAAGGCUUGAUUGAUACUAAAGCUUGAAAUUGCGACUCUGUCAUUUGUAAAAAAAUAUGACAGCUUCCAUGCUCUCGUUUGGUUGCAUUGUCCGGUCGAGAGGUGCAAAAAGCAUUCUCUCUCUUCUAAUAGUCUUUUCGUUUAAAUCAAGGGAUUUGCCUUCCCGGUCGAGGUCCAAUAGAGGGUAACGGUCACCUACUAAACAUUAAAUGCUCCAACAACUAGUGAACUGAUCGACCCCAGCUCGACUAGUUGAGGUUACUUUUUGGUUUUCUUGUCUCCCGAGGUUAGAAACCUAUAAAUAGAGAGCUUCACUUCAUUUAUGAGUAAGAGAACACCUAAAUUUAUUUGUUUACCUACUUGUUUUUGCCAUAAAAGCUCUCAUUUCUUUUCUUGGUGUAUUAAAUCUCCAUUUGCAUAUCCUUUAGUGCACCUUUGUGAUUCAUUCUAGCCUUGAGUUGUAUUUAAGCCUUUGUUGAGCUAGGUUGAGAGUUUCAUACUUGUUUAUUGAGUGUUAAAGCCUUCAAGUGAGUUAAAACUUGAAGAGAUUGUGUAAGAGCCCAUUGGAGUCGGAAUCCAAGUGUAAAGGUGAUUAAAAGCUUGGUUGAAGCUUCAAGUUAGUGGAACUCUCACUCGGUUAUGAGCUUGAGAAGAGUGGACAUAGACAAGGCAGUGUCGAACCACUAUAAAAUCUGAGUUUGAUUUCUCUAACCUUAUCUCUUUAUAUUUGCUUCUCUUGUGCUUAAAUUUUUUGUGUUUAAAAAGAAUUUUUAAAAACUCAAUUCACCCCCUUCUUGGGAGUUUUUCUCUUUUAAGAUCAGCUUUUAUUUUCUCAAUUGGUAUCAGAACUAUGCCUCUUGUUUAAGACUUAAUCGUCUAAGAGGAAAUGGCUAAUCCAUCAAGUUCAUCUCACAUUGAAAGUUUUGCAACCAAUAGACUUCUUUUUUUUUUUUUGCGGGAACUGAUUAUCCCUAUUGGAAAACUAAAAUGACUUGGUUUUUACAAUCAAUUGAUUUAGAUGUAUGAGAUGCCAUUGAAGAUGACCUAACUUUUCCUUCAAAACUAGUUGAUGGAGUCAUGGUUCCAAAACCUAAGCAAGAAUGGGAUGAGCGUGAUUGAAGAAAUUUUCAAUUAAAUGCUAAAGUCGUUUAUACUUUGCAAUGCUCUAUGGACAGAAAUGAAUAUAAUAGAAUAUGUCAAUGCAAAUCGGUUAAAGAAAUUUGGAGAUUGCUUGAAAUAACUCAUAAAGGAACAAAUCAAGUUAAAGAGUCAAAAAUCAAUUUACUUGUUCAUAGAUAUGAAUUGUUUUUUAUGAAAGAUAAUGAAACUAUUGUUAAGAUGAUCACUAGGUUCACCAACAUUGUUAAUGGUCUUAAAGCCUUGGGAAAGACCUACAAGGAAUCCGAAAACGUGAUGAAGAUCUUGAGGUCACUUCCAUCAAAGUGGCAUACCAAGGUCACCGCAAUUUAAGAAGCAAAAGACUUGAUCAAGCUACCUUUGGAGGAGUUCAUAGGGUCAUUGAUGACAUAUGAAAUCAAUUUGGCAAAGAAGUAACAAAAAGGUGAAGACAAAAAGAAGAAGAACAUAACUCUCAAAGCUACAACUAAGGAAGAAGAAGUUGAAGAAGAAAAACAAAUUGAAGAAGAUGAAGAUUUAGCCCUCAUCACAAGAAAGUUCAACAAAUUCAUGAGGGGUGAAAGGUUUAGAAGAAGAAGGUUCACUUCUAGAAGAGACUUUUCUAAAAAGGAAUCUUCAUCUAAUGGUGACAAAAAGAGAUGGGAAGAGAAAAGAGACUUGGUGUGUUUCAAGUGCAAGAAACCGGGACACAUUAAAUAUGAUUGUCCUCUCUACAAAAGUGAAGUCAAGAGGAAAAAGAAUAAGGCAAUGAUGGCCACUUAGAGUGAAAGUGAAGAUGAAUCAUCCGAAGAAGAAAAUGAGAAAGAAGUGGCAAACAUGUGUUUCAUGGCAAUAGAUGAACUUGAUGAGGUAAAAUCUAACCUUAGUGAUUAAGAUAUACAUGAUGCAUUUGAAGAAUUGUAUGAGGAUUUUUAAAAACUUAGUUUGAAAAAUAUUUCUCUUAAAAAGAAAGUUCAACAACUUGACAAAGAACUUAGAGAAGUAAAAGAAAAAUUUUCAAAUGUUAAAGUUUCUAAAACUCAUCUUGAAAAAGAAAAUGAGAUUCUAAGAAAGAAAAAUGAAUAGUUGAACUCCUCUCUUUCAAUCUUUUCUUCUAGACAAAAAUCUUUUGAAAUGAUUCUAACUAGCUAAAAAUGUGUUUUUGACAAACAAGGGUUAAGAUUUAAAUCUUCAAAAAAUCAAAAGUAUUUUAAAAACUAUUUUGUAAAGGAAUCCACAAGUGCAAGUCCUUCCACUACUUGCAACUUUUGUGGAAGAGAAUGGCACAUUAGUAGUACGCCCUUUAAGAAAUGGUUCUCAAAAGAAUUUAAAUGCAAAAACUAAAAAAGAUUUGGAUUGAGAAAUCCAAGGUCACUAACCCUCAAGGACCCAAAAAGAUAUAGGUACCUAAAUCAACUUGAGUUUUAUGUUGUAAGGUUCAAAGAAUGAUAAGUGGUUCUUAGAUAAUGGUUGCUCAAGACACAUGACCGGAGAUGAAUCCAAGUUUGCUUUUCUUAAAAAGAAAAAUGGAGGAUAUGUUACCUUUGGAGACAAUGCAAAAGAAAGGAUGAUUGGUCAAGGCAACAUUGGUAAUGGCACAUCCUCUCUCAUUGAAAGUGUUUUAUUAGUAGAUGGUUUCAAACAUAACCUUUUAAGCAUUAGUCAAUUUUGCGACAAAGGUUUUUAAGUGAUUUUUUAAGCAUCUCAUUGCAUCAUCAAGGAUAUUCAAAAUGAUAAAACCAUUUUCAUGGGCCAUAGAUGUGAUAAUGUUUAUGCUAUAAAUAUUUCAAAAUAUGAUGGCCAUGAUAGAUGUUUUUCAAGCAUGCAUGAUCAAAGUUGGUUGUGCCAUAGGAGAUUGAGACAUGCUAACAUAGACCUCAUUUCCCAACUCAACAAAGAUGAACUUGUUAGAGGCCUUCCCAAAAUAAUUUUUUAAAAAGAUAAAGUUUGUGAAGCUUGUCAAGUGGGAAAGUAAAUCAAAAACUCUUUUAAAAACAAAAACUUCAUUUCCACAUCUAGGCCACUUGAGUUGUUGCAUAUGGAUUUAUUUGGUCCCUCUAGGACACCAAGUCUUAGAGGAAAUUCUUAUGCAUAUGCUAUUGUGGACGACUUCUCUAGAUACACAUGAGUCUUGUUUUUUAGUCAAAAGAAUAAAGUUUUUUAUGAGUUUUCAAAGUUUUGCAAUAAGAUUCAAAAUGAAAAAGGUUUUUCAAUUACUUAUAUAAGAAGUGAUCAUGGGAGAGAAUUCGAAAAUAUUGAUUUUGAAGAGUAUUGCAAUGAGCAUGGAAUUGACCACAAUUUUUUGGCUCUUAGAACUCCUCAACAAAAUGGGGUAGUUGAAAGGAAAAAUAGAACUCUUCAAAAAAUGACAAGAACCAUACUAAAUGAAAACAACUUACCAAAAUAUUUUUAGGCCAAAACGGUUAACACUUCUUGUUAUGUUUUAAAUAGAGUAUUAUUGAGGCUCAUACUUAAGAAAACUCCCUAUGAGCUUUGGAAAAACAAAAAACCCAACAUUAGUUAUUCCAAAGUCUUUGGAUGCAAUAUUUUAUAAUAAACACCAAAGACAAUCUUGGAAAAUUUGAUGCAAAAUUGGAUGUUGGAAUUUUCCUUGGUUACUCAACUUCAAGUAAAGCUUUUCGAGUUUUAACAAAAGAACCAUGGUUGUAGAGGAGUCCAUCCAUGUUAUUUUUUAUGAAUCUCCAAGAAAGAGAGAGGAUUGAUGAUGAUUUAGGUUUGAAGACCUCUAUAGGAAGAUUGCAAAUCGAAGAUAGAAGACAACAAGAAGAAAAUGGAGAGAAUCCAAAGAAAGAAGGAUCACCAUUGGCACUACCCCCUCAUCAACAAGCGCAAGGUGAAUCAAGUCAAGAGCUUCCUAAAGAAUGGAAGUUUGUCAUCAAUCACCCACAAGAUCAAAUUAUAGGCAAUCCAUCUAGUGGGGUAAGAACUAGAUCCUCUCUUAGAAAUAUUUGCAAUAAUCUAGCUUUUAUCUCUCAAAUUGAGCCUAAAAAUAUAAAUGAUGUUUUAGAUGAUGAAAAUUGGAUAAUUGCAAUGCAAGAAGAGUUAAAUCCAUUUGAAAGAAGUGGAGUAUGGGAAUUAGUACCAAGACCUUCAAAUCAAAGUGUUAUUGGAACUAGAUGGAUCUUUAGAAAUAAAAUGGAUGAAAAUAGCAUAAUUGUUAGAAAUAAAGCAAGAUUGGUAGCCCAAGGUUUUAAUCAAGAAGAAAUGAUAGAUUAUGAAGAAACCUUUGCCCCCGUAGCUAGGUUGGAAGCCAUUAGGAUGCUACUUGCCUUUGCAUGUUUUAAAGACUUUGUUUUAUAUCAAAUGGAUGUGAAAAGUGCUUUUUUAAAUGGUUUUAUAAAUGAAGAAGUAUAUGUUGAACAACCACCCGGUUUUCAAAGUUUCAACUUUCCUAACCAUGUUUUUAAACUUAAAAAGACACUUUAUGGUUUGAAACAAGCACCUAGAUCAUGGUAUGAAAAAUUGAGUAAAUUUCUUUUGAAAAAAAUGUUUUAAAAUGGGAAAAAUUGACACAACUCUUUUUAUAAAAACCAAAGAAAAUGAUAUGCUCUUAGUUCAAAUAUAUAUUGAUGAUAUCAUUUUUGGUGCUACUAAUGUCUCUCUUUAUGAAGAAUUUUCUAAGUGCAUGCAUAGUGAGUUUGAAAUGAGCAUGAUAGGAGAACUCAACUUCUUCCUUGGACUUCAAAUCAAGCAACUAAAGGAAUGAACCUUCAUCAAUCAAGCAAAGUAUAUAAGAGAUCUUCUCAAAAGGUUCAACAUGGAAGAAGCCAAAACAAUGAAGACUCUAAUGAGCUCAUCCAUUAAGCUUGAUAAGGAUGAGAAAGGUAAAUCCAUUGACUCUAUUAUGUAUAGAGGCAUGAUAGGUUCUUUGCUCUAUUUGACCACUAGUAGACCUUACAUUAUGUAUAGUGUGUGUUUGUGUACUAGAUUUCAAUCUUGUCUUAAAAAAUCUCACUUAAGUGUCGUGAAAAGAAUCCUCAAAUAUUUGAAAGGGACAAUGGACAUAGGCUUAUGGUAUCCUAAGAGUGAUAACUUUGAAUUAAUUGGUUUUUUGGAUGCUGAUUUUGUCAGUUGUAGGGUUGAAAAAUAAAACACUAGUGGCACUUUUCAUUUCUUAAGACACUUACUUGUCUCAUGGCAUAAUAAGAAGCAAAAUUUGGUAGCUUUGUCAACAGCAGAAGCUAAAUACAUAGCAACUGGUUUAUGUUGUGCACAAAUCCUUUGGAUGAAAUAAACACUUAGUGAUUUUGAUUUAUCUUUUGAGCAUAUUCCUAUUAAAUGUGAUAAUAGUAGUGCCAUAAGUAUAUCAAAAAAUCUCGUGCAACACUCUAGGACUAAGCAUAUAGAGAUUAGACAUAAUUUUCUUAGAUAUCAUACACAAAAGGAUGAUAUAACACUUGAAUUUGUAAGCAUAAAAGACCAACUUGCCGAUAUCUUUACAAAACCUCUAAGAACAUUUUGUUGAUAUUAGAGGACAAUUAGGAGUGAUUUCUUUAUGAUCUAAUGUGAUGAAUUCUUGAUGAAUAUACUUUUUGAUUGCAUGAAUUUCAUGUCAUAUAUGCAUCAUAUAGAAAUAUACUUAGAUAAUGGUCAAAUUUCGACCAAAAAUCAAAAUUCCCAUGGCAUUAGGCAUAAAAAUUUUGGAAUUUCAACUGAAAAUGGUAGGAGGAGGAUCACAAAAUGAGAAAGUAUGCAAAAAUUGAAAAAUCAAAACGUUGACCAAGCGGUCAAUCGGACUAGACCGAUCGACUAGUUUGUCGAGAUUUAGGAUUUUUAAGAGACUCCAACGCUUCAAUUUUUGCACCGUUCUCCUCUAUUUCUUCACGGUUUCUCUGAUUUUGUCUUUUAGAGACUAAUUUGAGUGCGUUUUGGAUCAAUUGAAGCAUUUUGGAUUGGAUUUUAGGAAGAUUGAAAGUUAAGGUUUCGGAUUUGGGUCGCCUUCUCUUCCUCUCGCGUGUCACAAUCAGCUUUAGCAUUGUUCUCUUUCCAUUUUCACACACCUAGGGUUUCAGUUGUGAGCAUCUCUCUCUCUUUACCAACCACUACUCCCUUGCUUCUUCCAUAUGGCUCCUAGGCGAGAGUCCGCUACUUCUAGGGCACAAGGCAAGCACCCAACUGAGUCGUCUCAGUCAAAGGCACGUCGAAAAGUGAGAUUUGACAUUGCCUUGUUCAGUUCCAUGGAGGACUACCAACUAUACAAGCAACACUUUGCUUAGAGACGAGUAGUUCCCAAGAGAAAUAUUAAUUUUCCUCAACUUCAGCAUUUCGAAUUUAAGGGUCUAUUUACUAGGAUGGUUGGUUGUCUAUUGUCACAAUUUCGGAGCCGGUUUUCCUGACCUUAGUGCGAGUUUUUUACUCGAGGGCGACUUAUGGCAUGGGUGGCAUGAUCAUUUCUACUGUUGGAGGAGUUGAGAUCUGUCUGGACCCAGAGAGCAUCUGCCAUAUUUUCGAUAUUGCUCUGGUUGGACUCAAAGUAUACAAGUCCAAAAUGUGGCCCAUUGUGCCAGGAUUUGAGCUUAGAGAGGUCAUUCAGAGGAUUUGUGAACUUCCAGACGCCCAGGAGAUGGGCAAACCAUUGCCACACAGUUUGACGGUCAUCAACAGGGUGCUACACCAUAUAUUGUGCUCUAUCUUUCUACCACGAAGUGGACAUUGAGAUGAGGUCUCUUAUUAUGAGGCAUUCCUUAUUGACUCCAUUCUAACGGAGAGACGAAUUCAUCUACUAUGUCAUCAUUCACUAAGCCUCCUCACAGUGACAUACCACCUCAUCAGGCACCUCUUGCUCCUGACCAUGCUCCAUUGAUGGAUUUAUUUACUCAUAUUAGCUCUCUAGGCACUCGCAUGAAGGAGUUUGUUGUAGUUAGUGAUACAUGGUUCUACUCCAUAGAGGAUCGCAUGGAUCAGUAUCAGACUGGCUUCACGUCACAGUUUGAGUAUCUCCAAUAGAGGAUUGAGCAUAUUGAGGAUCACUUGAGCAUGAGAAGAUGAUGGCUUUUCUAUGCUCUGUGUUUCCACCUCCACCUCGUCAACCUUGAUUUCUUAGAGACCCAUUGUUUUCAUUUUGUAAUGUUGCCAAAAGGGGGAGAUAUUUAGGAUCUAGGACUCUAUAGGAGACUUACAUGCAUAUCAUUUUCAUAUCAUUGUUUGGAUCGUACAUAUUGGAUAGUGAUACUUUUUACUUAUAUAUGAUAUGCCUAUAUGUUUCAUGUCUUACAUUGUUUCUUAUUGCAAAUUAUCUCUAACAUGUCUUGAUUAUCUUUUUUUUAACUUCAUAAAUUUUGAUUGUUAACCCAUGAUUGGUUUGAGGGGAAGAUUCUUCUUCUCCUAGAUAACCAAGGUUUGUCAUCAUAAAAAAAUUGGAGAUUGUUAGCCCAAGGGUUCUCCUAAUCAUGUUUUGAUGAUAACAAACCAUGCUUAAGUUACUAAUUGGUUUGAAUUAUAAAGAAUUUCAAGUGUUAAUUUGAAAAUUCAUCAAAGAACCUAAUGGAUGCAAGAUCAAGAUUUUUGGAAGACCUUUAAUCAUAAGAAACAUAUGUAAGAUGAAUGCAUGGGUGCACUUAAGAUUUGCAUAUCAUUUCAUGCAUAUUUGGAAAACACGGUUUAUGCUUUAAAGUUACAUUUCCAUCAAAAUUUGAGAUCCAUCAAAUGAACCUUAGGAAAAAUGUUUUAAAAUUGGCAUAUAAUUUUACCUAAAGACCUUGCCUAAGUGUUAGAAGCAAAAGGACAAAAAAAAUAUAGGUUUUCUGGUCAAAAAUGGUGAACCAGUCAAGGCAUUGUCUAAAUCAGCUCAAUCGGCCAAGGUACCGGUCGAUCGGUUUCCCUUUCCCUGUCGAGAUCUAGUCAAGAGGUACAAAAAUCACAAUCUCUGUCUCUUUCUCUCUUUGUCUAUCUUCCAGUAGUCUUUCCUUCCCGGUCGAGGGAUUUGCCUUCCCGAUUGAGGUCCGAUUGAGAGUAAUAGUCACUUGCCAAAUAUUAAAUGCUCCAACAGUUAGUGAACUGGUCGACCCCCACCUUGCCCAGUUGAGGUUACUUUUUGGUUUUCUUGGCUCCCGAUGUUAGAAACCUAUAAAUAGAGAGUUCCACUUCAUUUAUGAGCAAGAGAACACUUGCAUUUAUUUGUUUACCUACUUGUUCUUGCCUUAAAAGCUCUCAUUUCUUUUCUUGGUGCAUUAAAUCUCCAUUUUGAUAUCCUUUAGUGCACCUUUGUGAUUCAUCUUAGCCUUGAGUUGUAUUUGAGCCCUUUUUUUAGCUAGGUUGAGAGUUUCAUACUUGUUAAUUGAGUGUUAAAGCCUUCAAGUGAGUUGAAACUUGUAGAGAUUAUGUGAGAGUCGAUUGGAGCCGAAAUCCAAGUGUAAAGGUGAUUAGAAGCUUGGUUGAAGCUUCAAGUUAGUGGAAUCCUCACUCAAUUAGGAGCUUGAGGAGAGUGGACGUAGCCAAGGAAGUGUCGAACCACUAUAAAAUUUGAGUUUGAUUUCUCUAACAUUGUCUCUUUAUAUUUGUUUAUCUUGUGCUUAAAUUUAUUGUGUUUAAAAAGAAUUUUUAAAUACCCAAUUCACCCCCCUCUUGGGUGUUUUUCUCUUUUAAAAUUAGCCUUUAUUUUCUCACAAACUAUUGUAGUAUAGUGGUUUUUAGGUGUCAUCCAUUAGGAUGAAUUGUUCUCGGUAAUUAAGGCGUGAAUGAGAGGAGAAUUAAUGAUUGUGAUUAAGUAAAAUUGAUUUGAAAAUUCAUGGUGAAAAAUCAAUUUAACAAUGGUUUCUAAUUGAGAAAAACAAUGAAAUGUGAAAUAAAAUAAAAUUAAUAGGAAAUGAAAUUCUCGAAGUUAGAAUUUUCUAAAAAACAAAUUCCAUGGUGAAUGGAUGUUGAGAUCUAAUUUUCAUCAAGUUAGAUUGAAAACCGAAAUUUUCAUAUAAACUGAUUUUUUAUUUAGUUUUAGGUCUAGAUUUAAUUUCCCUUAAAAUUAGGUUAUUUAAUCCAAGAAAUCAAUUCAAAUCAUAUAUUCAAUUCAUCUUAAAUUAUCUUCCAAUUAUUCACACAAUGCAACUAUUCAAUCUCAUCAAAUCUAGCUUUUAAGAAUUUAAUGAAUCUACCUAGUUUGCAUUGUAAUAGUCAUCCAUGACAAUUUGAAGAGAAAAAUAAUUCAAUUAAUCAAUCACUUGGAUCAAAUUACCUUUGCAAUUAAAGUUCAUUUCUCUAAUUCACCACAGAUUUUGUCUCUAGAUCCUCCUUUCUCAAAGAAAAAUGAGAUUUAGCCACACAUGAUUGGAGAUUUGGUCUCAUAAGGCAUGUUUAGCUAGUGAUAAAAUGAGAGAAAAUAAAGAAAAAUAGAGAAUUCGAUUAAGAAAGAAAAUCUAAAAAAUUCUACAAUUAGAAAUGUCCAAAAAGCUUUUUCAUGAGAAAAUCAAGUUUCUAUUUAUAGGCCAAGGUCAAGUGGACACUUGACAUCAUCUAAGAGGUCUUCCGGAAGCUUCUUCAUCAAGAAAUCUGGAGUUUAAUAAUAAAAUGGUCAUUUCACAAGAGCUCAAACAAUUUCGCAUGAUUAUGUGAAAUAAAAAAUGCAACAACAGCAAUUUACAUCUUCUUGGAGCAUUUCGCAUGACUGUGUGAAAUUUUCACAUGAUCAUGUGGAAUCGACUUGACAACUCUCAUUUAGCCUACAACAUAAUUCCACCUUUUGGUCCAUUUUUCAUAGUCAUGCGAAAUGGAAAUAUUUGAUUUUUAAGUUUUCUUUUGUCAUUUCUUUCAUUUCCUUCUCUUGAUUCCACUUCAACUACCUCCGAAUCCUGGUCCAAACCAAUUGCAUUACUUCUUUCAUUAUGCAUUUGGAUCAUCAUCAACAUUAUUUGUUCUCUUCAAUUUGAUUCAUCUCUUUUGUCACCAAUUUAUCAAAAUCAUACCUUGAAAUGACUCCAAAACUUCAUAAAACUUGUUAGUAACUCUUGCAAGGGCAACAACAUAUUAAUUAAGUGUUUUAGGCAUAGUUACUACUCAAAAGAUGCGAAACUCAUGAUAAUUAUUAUAUAAAAUAUGCUCUUUUUGAGUAGUAAUCAACUUUCUUGCAUAAGCAGACCUUUUAGGGUGGAGUACUAAAGACCAAUAUGCUUGUCCUUGUUGUAAUAAAGAAACUUGCUCUUAUUGAUUGCACCAUGGGAGAAAAUUUUGCUACAUGAGUUAUCAUCAAUUUCUUCCCACCAAUCAUAGAUUUAGACGUGACAAGAGGCCUCUUAAUGGCAAGGAGGAACUGACACUCACACUUAUACAAUUAUCGGGCAUUGAUGUGUUGCAACAAUUAGAAUAACUUACACCAAUUAUGUUGGGGAAGUCACAAAAGGCAAACAUGAAAACUAAAAGGAAAAAAGAAAAAUGUUACAUAUCACCACAACUGGAAAGAAAAAAGUAUUUACUUUCAUUUGCCAUAUUGGAAAGCACUUAUUUUACAUCAUAAUAAUUUAGACAUAAUGCAUAUUGAGAAAAAUGUGUGACAAUAUAAUUGAGACAUUGUUCAGUAUUGACGAAGAAACAAGGACAACCUAAAUAGUCAUCUCGAUUUACAAGCUCUAACUAUUAGAAAUGAGAUUCACCCAAUAGAAAGCAGGACCAAAUUUAUUUUGCUUGCAACAUGCUACUCACUCACCCCAAAUGAGAUUAAGGAAUUUUGCAAGUUUUUGAAAUCAAUAAAGGUCCCCAAUGGCUAUUCUUUCAAUAUCUCUCGUUAUGUGCAACUCAAUGAAAGGAAGAUAUAUGAGCUCAAAUUGUAUGAUUGUCAUGUCCUAAUGCAACAACUUCUCUCACUUGUAGUUCGUGGAGUUCUACAUAAGAAUGUUUGUGGAGUUAUCAUAGAAUUGCGUAAUUUUUUCAAGCAAUUGUGCUCAAAGGUGUUAGAAACAAAUCACUUACACCAACUUGAGAACAAUAUUAUUGUCAUACUAUGUAAAAUGGAGCAAAUAUUUCUUCCAUCAUUCUUUGAUAUUAUGGUGCAUUUACUUGUGCAUCUAGUAAGGCAAAGGUUGCAAGACUUGUGCAAUAUUGUUGGAUGUACCUAAUUGAACGAUAUUGUUAUAAUUUCAUAUGAAUCAUUUAAUUUUAUUUUAUAUUAUGUUCAGUUCAUUAACAUGUACAUUGGUCUACAUAUGGAUGAUGAUAGGUACCUAAGCACUUUAAAGUCAUAUGUGCGUAAUAGAACUUUUCUAGAAGGUUCUAUUGUAGAAAGGUACCUUGCAAAAGAAUGUACAACAUUUUAUUCUAGGUACUUGAAUGAUGUGGAAAUAAAGUAUAAUCACAAUGAUAGAAACUUUGUUGGUUUCAACACUAGAGGAGAUGAAAGGGGUUAUCUUUAAACAUAUUGGACAUGCAUUGGGAAAGCCCAUAUUUCAUUAACUUAGUUCAAAAGAGUGGUCACAAGCACAUUUAUAUGUGUUGACAAAUUGCGAAGAUGUCAUACCAUUCAUUGAGUAAAAAAUUUAUUUGAAUUUUAAUUAAAGCUCUAGUUUAUAUCCUUAAUCAAUGUUUUUUAAAUUCACAAGGAGCACAAGCAAACCAUCAAGGCUAGACCACAUAUACGUGUUUGAGACGUAGAUUUAAUUCAUAACAAGGAAUUUAUCAAGUGGUUUGAAAGACAUGUAAGUAUAUUCCUUAUUAUAAGGGAUUUAUUUCACAUUAUGUUUAUAUUGAAUCCAAACCUAUUAUUGAAUUGUAGGUUGAACAAUUACAUAAUGAAGGUCAUAUAUCUGAACACCUUCUCACAUUAUCAUGUGUUCCAAAUUCAUUAGUUACAUGCUUCAAAUGAUAUAUUGUCAAUGGAUUUAGAUCCCACAUUAAAGAACGUGAUAAAAAAGUUUUUAAAAAAAGACUCAGAAUAAUGGAAUUGUUGUAGUUGCAAAAACGUCAAGCUUUACAAGUGCAUGUGAUAUGAGUCCAAUUAUUAGUGAUGCUCUCUACUAUGGUGUUCUAACUAAAGUUGUUGAGUUACAUUAUCUUGGUGAAAAUAAGGUUGUUUUAUUCGAGUUUGAUUGGUGGGAUGUUACAAAUAUUGGAAAAUUGAUAAAAGAUGAUGAGUACAAUUACACAUUUGUUAACUUUGCAUGAAUUCUAACCACGAACGAACGAUUUGUACUUGCAUCUCCAGCAAAGUAAGUGUUCUAUGUGAAGAAUGCGAAUGAAUCAGAUUGGCAUACUAUCAUGGAGAUGCAACCUCAAGACCUCUAUAAGAUGAACGGGAUAGGAUCCAAUGGUGAUUUUGAACCAUUUCAACAAAGUGAACUACAUGAUCACUAAUAUAUCUCAGAUUUAGUUGAUGAAGAUAUAAUCAAGUGGAACAAAAGUGAUGUUUUAGGACUAAUCAUCCUAAAAAAUAUUGUAGUUUCUUAAAAAAAAAAUGAAAAUGAAGAAGAUAAUUGAACCUUUGUCAUACUUUAAAAAGCAACUAUGCAUUGUUCAUUUUGUAUGUUUUGGUUUUCUUCAUUUAAUUUCCUGAUUUUUGUGAUUCAAUGUCAUAUUAUUGAUCUUGAAAUAUUUUUCUAAUUUUUCAUUCUACGAUGGUUUCAACAAGGAUGACAUCAAGUCAAAAAAGGAAAUGUGGUCCCACACACAAUAUUGCAUUACAGGGAUUAAGGUCAGGGAAGAAGGUAAAAGUUGCAUUUAAUGAGUACAAUCAAUUGGUUAAACAGAAAAAUGGAAAACACUUAUCGAGCUACAUAGGGACACUUGUAUCUAACCAACACAAUGUACCUCUCCAAGCUAGUGAUUGGAAAAAUGUUCCAAAUGAUGCAAAAGAGAAAGUAUGGCCUUUGUUUUGGUAUGUUGUAUUUCUCACUAUAUGAUGUCAUUUCACUGUUAUUCUAUUUUGUGACUAACGUUUGAAUCAUAUGUAAGAAAAAUUUGAAGUAGAUAAAGACUGAAAAGAUUACAUGUUGGGUAUAGCCUCAAAUAAAUAUAGAAGCUAUAAAAAUAUGAUGAAUGCAAAAUACUAUGACCCUUGGCAUAAGGAUGCAUGAGGAGAGGUUAAUACAUAAAUCACCAUUUGUCUCUGAUGUUGAUUGGAAGUGGCUUGUCUCUGAUGCAUAAACCAAAUCCCCCACUGAAUGUUUGAUAUUUGAUAGCAGGAAAAACACACCCGCAGCUAUACACCUCCAUCAUUCAGAUAAUUAUAGUGGGGGAGAUGAUUCAUGGUUGCCCUUAUACCCUUUAUUUGCACCAUCUAUUGAGAUUCUUUAUCAUGGCCAGGUUUUACUGCAGCAAUAAGAUAUGGUGGCAACAAUUUUAUCUAUAGGUGCGGUUCCAGACCGCCUCCAUAGGUGCGGUUCCUGACUGCCUCCAUAGGUGCCUCUUCUUGUAAUGUUUGUUCUGGGAAUUACACUUGAAAGCCUUAUCGUGAUAAGGGAUUACAAACACUAGUUCAGAGGACAGCCAUGUUAAACUUCCACUAUGUUUGUGUCACAUUAUCAGCAGCCUAGUGUUUAUUGGUCAUGCUAUCUGCAACUAAUAUAACCCGGUGAACUUCAAUCUAAAUUCUGAAAGUACUCAUGUGACAGAUGGUGCCUUUCAGCAGAUAUCAUCAAUUUAAAAGUAGUGUGUGUGCCUAUAGGUGGGAAGGCCUUGGCAAAUGUUCAGUAUUCCGGUAAUUCAAGAAGGAUAUAUCUAAAAUAGAUUUUCUUCUUGCCCAUUUCAAUAGUUAAAAUUUGAGAAGAUUGUGUCCACAUCACACAAAUAUUAUUGGUCCUUCUGUUGCAAUUUACCUCUGAACAUGUCUUCCAAUUCCCACGGUCCUGUUACUCCAGGAAAACUAUUUCGGUCAUAUUGAAAAAAAAAAUAUUAAAGAAGGUACACAUGCUUUUAAGUGGACUGGGGCAUUCAUAUCAGGUGGUCUGUAUCCACAUAUGCCACUUCGUGAAAGGUGGAACAGCCUAAUCACUAGGCUAUUUAGUGUGGCCCAGCCACGUUAAUCAAGCACAAGUCUUCAUACUUAAAGUCAAAUGGUGUCUUUAGUCUCAUUACACAUCGCUAUUUGAAGAUUAACUCAUCACUAGUGUAAUGCGAUUAAGACAGUCCUAACUCAAUAUUUGUUCUAGUUUUGGAUGCAAAUGCUUGCUGGUUUCAUCAUUGGAUGGGAUAAAGGUGCAAUCAGGACUAUGAAUACGUGCAGUAAUACUUCAUUCUCUUUUUUCUCAAUGAGACUUCUUGGCACAAUUUUGCUGCUCAGCAACCUACCUUUCCAUGGAAAAUCAGUUGUGACUGAUAGUAAUGGAUAUAUUCUAGAAAGCUAAACAUAGAUAGCAUUCAAUAUUAUCGAUAUAACAUUAACAGCGUAUGUCUCAAUGCUCAUCAGCUACAAGCAAUGGACAAACACUUUGAGUAACUCACAGCAGUCAAAAUUCCUAAACAGGACAGACGUGACAGAUCUAUAUAUAGAACACUGCAUAUGAGUCACAGGAAAAGAUAAUACGGGUACAUAGAAGCUCUUAUUUUACAUAUUACUCAUACUGAUCAAAGUCGCUCAGUUGGGAUGGAUGGGAGAAGGAGGUUUGAGGGGUGGCUUGUGCGGGGAAGUUGGCAGCUUCUUUCCGGGAGCUGGUUGCUUCUUUGCUGGAGUUGAAGGAGGCUUAAUCUUCCGAGGUGGCUUGUAUGAGUCUUCAGCAUUCUCAGCAGGAGGGUGACCAGGGUUGUGACCAUAAUGUGGUGGCUUCUCUCCCUUAGGUGGUUUGCCAACUGGGGUUGGUGGCUUGUUUUCUGGGAGUGGCUUCUCUCCCUUGGGUGGUUUGCCAACUGGGGUUGGUGGCUUGUGUUCUGGGAGUGGCUUCUCCCCCUUGGGAGGUUUUUCGAAUGGGGUGGGUUUGUGUCCUGGUGGUGGCUUCUCUCCCUUGGGAGGUUUACCAAUUGGGGUCGGUGGCUUGUGUUCUGGGAGGGGCUUCUCUCCCUGGGGAGGUUUAGUGGGUGGCUUGUGUUCUGGAGGUGGCUUCUCCACCGGAGGCUUAUGCUCUGGUGGUGGCUUCUCGAAGGGGGGAUGCUCAGGGUAAUCACCAAGUGAGGGGGUGGUGAGAACCACCAUGCCAAGCAACAACACUAGCAAGUAUGUAGUAGACAUCUUUGGGUUUGGACUCAGACAGUGCAAAACUACGAGAAAUCGCUAGCCCUUUAUAGCGGCUCGGACCUAAUACUGACAUAAUAUAAAAUAAAUAUUAUAUUUUAUCAAGAGAGAACAGAGUGUAAUUUUAUCAUUAAUACCGAUCGAGGCCAAAGAAAGAAGACCCAUAAUCCAUUUCCCACAAGCAUACACAAUGCAGCUGUAAUUUUAUCAUUUACUUUUAUCCCUUGGACCACUGCAUUUUUGUUGAGAGACACAAUAACACAUUUUUAUCUGUCAUUCAACAUUUACAGUAAAGAGAGGGCACAAAACGCAAUUAGAUAAAUUAUGUUUUGCCUGCUAAAAAGAGGCAAAUAACUUUAUUUGCAACAUAAUUAUUUUGGUUUCUAGUGACCCCGGGGCCUUUCGGUUGGUUUGGGAUCGGAAAAUGAACAUCAUAGGGGGGGUUGUGCCCUUAUGGGCAUAUAUAUCUGAUAGCUUCAACUGGCCUUGUUCCUAGAAAGAAAUUGCCAAAGAUAUAAACUUAUUCCAGGCUGAAAGUAGAUGAGAGUCAUAAUGAACAUCAACCUUUGUUCAGUUUGAUUCAAUGCCCCCAUAGUGUUCAUUUCACAGAUCUGAAUGAUUAUAUCCGUUGAAUACAUAAAUUAAUGAAGACAAAUAUGAAACCCAAGAUACAUCUCUGCAUAACAACCCCAACCCUGGUUGCUAUGUUUCCCUUCUUCUAUUCACAUGAGGAUACUGGUUAUAAUUGUCAAACUUGCAACAAGCCCUUUGACACCUAACGUCAAUGGACGAAUUAAAAGUCUCCUUCAAACGUCUAUUUCACAGCAUGAAGCUUAUAAAGGAUGCUGACAACCUUCAGAGUUAGCGACAAAAGAUAAUUAUCAAGGAGAGAUAGUUCCAUGAGAAUUCCAAGGAGUCUGAAUCAAAGACAAAUUGCUCACUCAAGGGUUCUUAUUUUCUUUUAGGUACAAAUCUCUUGAGUGUUGUUAAAGAAACACGUCACUGUCAUUUUGAUUUGCAUUUAACAUUUCACUUUUGUUCUGGAAGGUUUGUUCCGGAAACAUAUCAAAUGAGCAUCAUUUUCUUCUUCGGUGACACAUGGUCGCGAGUACGUGGGUCCAUUUUCAUGCCACUUAGUUGAAAAGUUGGAAAGAAAAAACAUGCCAACAAGAAGAUAGUGAGAGAAGGGGCACUUCAAGCCUUUAACAUGAACAAACAGUAAAUAAAAGAUGUUUCUCCACUCAUAAAAGUGUGUUAGAUAGCAAUAUAACGAAUCACAUCCAAAAUCUUUACUAGGCUCAAACAUAAAGAAGACUCAUUUUUAAGAAAAGAUAAAAAUGGCAUUGUCUGAUAGUAUCCAAUACACGAGAUGGCACUUAAUUUGUACAAGAUCUGUCAAUGCUGACGCACAUUUUCUGAUUAAAAAAAAACUGAUCAGUCAAAAGCAAUGAAGAGAAGUGAUGACAAUGAAUGAUGCUUCCAAUAUUUUCACCCCUUAUAGUGUUCUUCAUGAUUCAGAUAUAUAAUUGGAAAUAGAACAACCCUAUGCCAUACAUUCGUCUAAGUAUGGUGUCUAAUUUUUUGUGUCAGCGGUUGCGAAUGGAGCGUGCAAAAGUCCAAAUUGGCGUCUCUCCAUUUCCACAUAGGAAGGUGACCUUUAUUGACAAAUACCCAAUAUUUGUAGACAUUCCUUAAAUAUCAUAACUUCUUGUUGAUUUGAAAAUCAUUUUUCAACUACCAUGUUUUAAUAAAUAUUUUUUAAAAUGUAUUUUUAUCAAAGUCCACCAUGAUGGAUAAUAUUCACCAUGCAAUAAUUAAUAAAGUACAAACUAAGCGAAAUGAAAAGCAUUUUCUUUGCUUUGAGUUGAUUUUGGUUGCAUUGAGUUGAUUUUGGUUUCAUGGUUUUUUCAACUCUUAUUUUGAUUGGAAGAUGUCAAGAAAAGAAAACAUAAAGAAAAAUUAAAAGGGAAAAAAGAAGAAAAAUAAAAAAAAAUAGAUUUAAAAGUUAAUAAAUUAUUUUUUAUAUUUAUUUUAAUUCAUUUCACUUAUUUUUCUUUUACUAUAUAAAAUUUAAAUAAUUUAAAUUUUAUAAUUAAUUUAAUUACAUUUCAUUUUCUUCUAUAUUUAAAUAUUGGAAAAAUAUUUUACUUAAUAUUUUUUUCUUUAAUUUCUUUGGCAUUUUGGGAACCAAACUUAGCCUUUAAAAUAAAAAACAAAAAAAAAAUGAAAAUAAGGAGGGAAAAGUGAGAAAAGAUAAAAACAAUAUGUAAAGGAUUUGAAAAGUAUUAGUUUGUAAUUACUAUUUGGAUUUCAAUAGUAUUUUAUUUGUCUUUCUAUAUUUCAUGUAAGAGAGAAUUUAAGAUAUUCCCCAAGGCAAAGCAUUAGUUACCUGCAAUCAGUGGUGAUAAGGCUCCAAGCCAAUUUUGGGCCCCAUAUCUUAAGACAGUACAAUUUCCAUUUCAACAUUUCUGAUUUCUCAGAUGUUUCACAUACCACAGAAGAACAUUGUUUGUGAAAAUAUGCAUUUAUGUUGGAUUUUGUAUGCUGUGGGGACUGGGGCAAGGAUCAUAUGGAAGAGUGGUUGACUUUUUCUGUACUUUAACGGUUGAAAUAGGAUAAGCACGGGCAUUUGUGAGGCUUAAUUGAUUUUGAAGCCUGAAAUUGCGUUUCUGUCAUUUUGUCAAAAAAAUGGCAGAUUCCAUACUCAUAUGUUUGGCCUGUGGCCAUGUACAGAUGCCAUUUAGUGACCAGUUUGUAACUGUCAAUCGUUGCGUUUUGACUCUGCCUCAACAACAUCUGCCAUUGACGGGUUUUCAUACUUGCAAAUCAAAUAGUCUUUCGUCCCAUCAGGAAUUUCGGUUUAAAUAUUAUUAAGCAUACGUUUGGCUGACAAUCAUUAUCCAGUUCAUGAUUUGGUUUCUUACCCUUAAUCAAUGGUUUCUAAGUGAAUAUAUGUAGAAGGAAAUCCGAAGUGUAGACAGUAGUAUCGAUAACUCUCAAUAUUCUCUAUAUAAUAGAAUAAACAGCGUCAUAGUGAUCGUCGCCUACAAGCAAGGUACAAAUACCAAAACGAGUGACUCACAUAGACAUCUCCCAACAAGAUGUAGUAGUGACUGACACAUGGACACAAUUAACUCGUAGAAAAGGAUAAGACCAUUGCACAGCAGCUCUUAUUUUACAUACUACUUAUGCUAACCAAAGUCAAUUAGUUGGGAUGGGUGGGAGAUGGAGGUUUGUGCGGUGGCUUGUGGGGCGGAGUUGAUGGCUUCUUUCCAGGAGCUUCUGGCUUUUUCAUCGGAGCUGAAGGAGGCUCAAUCUUAUGAGGCGGCUUGUAUGAGUCUUCUUUACUCUCGACAGGAGGGUGGCCAGGGUUGUGAUCAUAAUGUGGUGGCUUCUCUCCCUUAGGUGGCUUGCCAACUGGGGUUGGUGGCUUGUGUUCAGGAAGUGGUUUCUCUCCCAUGGGAGGUUUAGCAAUUGGGGUUGGUGGCUUGUGUUCUGGGAGUGGCUUCUCUCCCUUGGGAGGUUUAGUAGGUGACUUGUGUUCUGGAGGUGGCUUCUCCACCGGAGGCUUGUGCUCCGGUGGUGGCUUCUUGGUUGGAGGGGGCUUGGGGUAAUCAGCAAGAGAUGGGGUGGUGAGAACCACCAGUCCAAGGAACAACACUAGCAAGUAUGUGGGAGACAUUUUUGAGUUUGGGCUGAUCAGAUGAUGCAAAACUAAAGCAUUACGUGACCUUUUAUAGCAUGUAGCUCCCAAUACCCACUAAGUAUUGUGGGGUCCAUUUGUGCCCUACGGGGUUGAAAACUUAGACAAUUGGGCAAGGACCCACCUGACUAUGGAGGACUAGUGAGGUGUGAUCAUAGCUUUAGGAUUUUUCUUCCUCUGCAGCCGUCGUGCCGUUGGCAUGAUUUUCUUAAUCUUAAAUAAAGGCAUAGUUAUAGAGUUGUUUAAUCUCUAAAUGGGAUUUUAUAUAUAUCUUCAGAUAGCCAUUAAUAUAUUUGAUGAAGAAAGAAAGACAAGUGCAUACAACAUGUAUACGACUAGCUUUCAUGGAGUUCAUUUAUGAUCAGUUUUCCUGUACAUGUAAACCAGGAUCAUAUAUAUGUUUCUGUUCCACAACUAUUUUGGAAUCUUGUUUAUCAGUUUUUAUCAUUAUAAUGUCACAUAGGCUGCCAACUUGGGCGCUAAAAGAACCAGUUGGGCUAGUUCGUUUCAGAAUUUCAAUGUGGAUUCAGGAAUUGUUUUGUAAGAUAUGCGAAAUAGUAGAGGGAUGAAUAGUGUUUCAUUAAUAAAAGUGUCCUGUAAAUUAGAAGGUGUCAUAGAAACUAUAAUCAAUAAAUAACUUUUUUUCCCCACGGGUGGUGUUUCUUGUGGGGAUCAGUGACUGGUUUAGGUUCACCCAAAAUGAGUUCAGACUAAAAUUGGUUUGAGUCAAUGCCGUGUCUCUUUUUUCCAGAAAUCAACUAUUUUAUGCAUUGAAUAAAUCAUACAAAGAAAAUAUGAACGCCCGCAAAACCUAAACCCUGGUUGCUAACUUUCUAUGUUUCAGUUCUAUUCACGCAAGAAUAUUAGUUUAAGUUUGGGAAAAAUGGCAACUUACCUAGUGAUUACUUGGUUUUGGUUUGCGACUAUUUACGCAACCAACCAUGAGUUUGACUUUAACGUCAUGGGUUGAAGCCUCCUACAGGAAGGGAGAAAGCUCCACAGCUAGCUCCAAAAGAGAAUUAUCACAUUGAUAGCUCCAGAGAUUCCCAAGGGGACUGAAUCAAAGACAAGUUCCUCACUUUUUCUUCUUUUGAGGCCAAAUAUGAACCAAGGAUCACACAACCUCAUUCAACUUCAUAAGUUUGAUUUCAUGCAGUUGAACACUGGGUGAAGGCCAUGACAAGAAUUGAUUCAAAAAUUCUAUCACUCUUUUAAGUAAUGGAAGAUUAUUAUCUCUGAUUGGCAUCACAACAGCACAUGCUCCUAGAUCUUUCUAGACACUCCAUGCAAUGAAAGCACAAUGGAUCUUGUAACGAUAGAAACUAAGCCAUGCUACAGUACUAGAUGAUGAGGUAAAACUAGUAGACACGGGUGGCAGCCUAUAUGGGAGGGACACAAGUCUAAUUGAUUUGCAUUUCAGCAUUAUAGAUAGGUAUGUUUUGGAAGAUUUGUUCUGGAAAUACCGCACCAAGUAGGAUUCUUUUUCUCUUUAGUGGGUCCACUUGCAUGCCAAUUAACGAGUUGAAAAGUAUGAGCACCUACCUCGUGCUCGUGGAACCGAAGGUCAGUGAAGUGGGGCUCCUUUUGGCCUCGUGUAAACUUGAUUCAGAAGUGAAGUUAAUAGUCUUCCAUUCAGAUGGAUACAUGGGAAUUUUUCUCUUUUAUUUAUUUAUUUAUUUUUUUUUUGUGUGUGUAUGUCAAAGGAUAAUGAAUGAAGCGCGUUAGCUUGUUUUCUGACUGGAACCGCAGAUGUCCAAAUUGGAGUUCCUUCAUUUCUUACUUAGGAUUGUUACAUGUAUAAACAAGGUAUAAGAAAUAUGCCAACGUGUCUUGAGGAGUUAUUGAUUAGAAAUAACAAGUCACCCGACUGUAGAGUUCCAAGAUUUGAAUCUUCAGACCCUAUAGCAGCCUCUGGGGUACGUGGCAUCCUAUAGCAUAUUAAUGAAGGCUUUUUCGAUUUAGACUUCACAAUACCAAUUAAUAUGUAUGCACAAAAUGGAGAUGACCCCAAAAAAAACAGAAUCGCCAUAGUUUAUGAGGUUAAGGUGAUUCUCCACUUAAUAUCUACAUUAGCUAAUUAUGUAAAUCAAAUGAACUUCUAUUUUUCCUUUUUUUUUUUGGUUUAUGUCAAAUAGUAGCCCAUAAUUAACCCAACCAUUAGCCUGUUUGAAUUGAUUUCACAUGCACAAUGUUGUAGUAGUUCAUAUUUUGAAUUUUAUUUUUACAAAGGUAGUUAAGGAAAAUGAAGUAUAAUAAUUAUAAAAGCAGACUAUAUACACUACAAUAAUUGUUAGAAUGGUAUCUCAAAUUCUAAUUUAAAAUAUUAUUUUUUGUAAAAGAAAUAUUAUAUAGAAUAUUUCCUAAUUUUAUAAAUGAUUAUAAUUAGAUCUUUAUAAAAUAAGGAAAGUUGGUAAGAAUAUCUUUAUAAAUAUUUUAGGUCAUGAGAGAAAGAAAUGGGAUAAAAAUGUGAUGAAGAGGUGAAAUAAGAGAGUUGAUUAGGAUAUAGAUGUGAAGAAGAAAGGGAUUCAAUAUAUAUAUAUCUUUCAAUUACCACAUUAAAACCCUGUGAACCUUUUAUAUGGUUUACUUUAUUUUUAUAUUCCUCCUUUAAUAUAUUUACAUUAAUGCUUCCAUUGGCACAACAAUAACGAAUUACAAAUACAAGCAACAAGUCCCAUGUUUUAUUACCAAAAGCAGGUAAAAUCCACCUAAUAUAUUACAAUAUAUUCAUCCAAUAUUUUAGACCAAUUCUUCACCAUAAAUAUCAUAAUGUGGCUUUUGUUCUUUCUUAAAUUUAAAUUGAAUUGUCUUAUAUCAAUUUGUUUGUGAUUUUUUCAUUAACUUCACUUUCAUUUGGUUAUCUUUGGUUUUUGAAAAGUAUUAAGGAAUUAAUUAACAAAAUAAUGUUAAGAAAAAUAAUUUUCUCUCUUUUGAUUUUGAUUUUGUAGUAGAAAAAUAUAAUUAAAAUUAUUUAAAAAGUAUGUAAUUUUAAAUUAUUUAAUAUUUAGAUAAAAAAAAUAAGUCUAAUGAGUUUAAAAUAACAUAUAAAAAUAAUUUAUUUAUUUUAAAUUUAUUUUUUAUUUUCCAUUAUGUUCUCUUUCUCUUUUACUUUUUCAUAUUUUUUCUUACGAAGAAUCAAACACAACCUCAUAUUAUAUGUCAAGUGUUUGUCUAUAUUUGAGCAAUGUUAGAUACGGCCAUGGAUUCAUCAAACUAAACUGAUUUUAAUAGAUACUUCACAAAUUGAUUUAUACACUAAAUCAUUGGAUAGCAAUGAUGCAUUGGAAUUAAACGUAGGAUGAAGCUCGAAGAACACUGUUUGUGUAACAACAUAUUUAUGAAAUUAUGCAAAGGAUGAGCUUCGGGGUAGUAGUACAAGGUCAUUAAUGGAGAGCCGUGUUAAACCUUGAUUGUGAUUGGAUUCCGUUAUCAGCAACAGCAACCUUGUUUGUAACCUUGAAAGUCAUUCUGUCCACAUCGAAACUCCAAUUUGACGUUUGUAAUUACCAUUCCUGGAGUGUUCCUUGAUUGAAAUUUAAAUAAUAAUUGCGGCCCACAAGGAAUAUUUUCGAUUCUGUGGGAAUUUGACAAGGUUUGUUAGAGAAGACUGGUGACAUGUUGACUUCAAUGGUUCAAAUAGGAGACGUAUGUGGAUUUGGGGGGUUUAAUUGAAACUGAGUCCCUAUGGCUUUUUAAUAUUUGCAUUGAGCAGUCUCCAUGUGACUUCCUAAUUCCCACCAACCCUCCUGUCCAUGCUGUGAAACUAAAUUGUAAUUUAUCAGCCUUUGUCAAUGGUUUCUAAAUUAAAGAUAUAGACCAUGCAUGUACUUUAAUAAAAGCAAAUCUAAAGUGUAGAUAGCAGCAAUGGUGACACCCAAUAUUCUCCAUAAAAUAGAAUUAGAAUAAGCAGUGUUACAUUGUUCAUGAUCACCUACAAGCAUACAAGAACUUCCAUGAAUAACUCAUAGCAAUUGCCAACAGGGCGUCGUAGAGACUCAUACAUAGAACACUAUCCACCCAGAGGAAAGGACAAGACCAGUGCGCUGCAGCUCUUAUUUUUCACAUGUAUACCACCACUCGUAAUAACCAAAUUCACUCAGUUGGGAUAGGUGGGAGAUGGUGGUUUGUGGGGUGGCUUGUGGGGAGGAGUUGGAGGAGGCUUUAUUUUCUGAGGCGGCUUGUAUGAGUGUGCAGGAGGAUGCCCGGGAGUGUGACCAUAAUGUGGUGGCUUCUCUCCCGUAGGUGGUUUGCCAAAUGGGCUUGGUGGCUUCUCUCCCUUAGGAGGUUUACCAAUUGGGGUUGGUGGCUUGUGUUCUGGGAGUGGUUUCUCUCCCUUGGUAGGUUUGCCAAUUGGGGUUGGCGGCUUAUGUUCUGGGAGUGGCUUCUCUCCCUUGGGAGGUUUGCUAAUUGGGGUUGGCGGCUUAUGUUCUGGGGGCGGCUUCUCUCCCUUGGGAGGUUUGCCAAUUGGAGUUGGCGGCUUAUGUUCUGGGAGUGGCUUUUCUCCCUUGGGAGGCUUGCCAAUUGGGGUUGGCGGCUUAUGUUCUGGGGGUGGCUUCUCUCCUUUAGGAGGUUUGCCAAUUGGAGUCGGCGGCUUAUGUUCUGGAAGUGGCUUUUUUCCCUUGGGAGGUUUGCCAAUUGGGGUUGGCGGCUUAUGUUCUGGGGGUGGCUUCUCUCCCUUGGGAGGUUUGCCAAUUGGAGUCGGCGGCUUAUGUUCUGGGAGUGGCUUCUCUCCCUUGGGAGGUUUUGUUGGUGGCUUGUGUUCUGGAGAUGGCUUCUCCCCUGGAGGCUUGUGCUCCGGAGGUGGCUUCUGAAAUGGCGGGGGCUUGGGGUAAUGAGCAAGAGAUGGAGUACUG
rnacentral:lncRNA from 1 species